CAUCCCAAAAUUUAAUUGAUUUACUUAUUCCCUUUUUACAUAUGGAGGAAGAGAACUUAUAUUUACAGGACAAUCAACACAUGGUUCCUUUAUCCCCUUUUACCUUUCAUGAUAAAUUGGCUAAACUAAUAAAAAACAAAAAAAAUAGACAUUGAAAUUGAUUUUUAUUGACCAAUCAGAAUUGUCUUCCAGGAUCAGAAAUUUGCUCAAAAUGUCCAAUAUAUAUAUACAUUAUUGGACCUUUUGAAUAACAGCCAAGAAGAUCUUAUGAAAAUUGAACAGUUUCGUAGCGAAGAUAUAAAACAGAUAUUGGGCAUUUUAGAAAAAUAUUUCGUAAUUGAUUUAGCAAAAAAUAAGUUUUAAAUCUAUUGGACUUACUUAGUGAAAAGUGAAAAUAGAUUGAAAAAGCACAAUUUAGCACAAUUAAUAUAUCAUAAAUUAGAAAGAAAUUCAUAAUUAAAUUGAAUAGAUAUAUCUAGGGAGAAUUCACUUUGAAGAAACUAUUCCCUAGAUACACAUGUCGUGUUAGUCACAAUUAAAUCAAUUAAAAAAUUUAAAAAGACCUAAAGUUAGGGAUUUAUCAAUAGGUAAUGUUGCACCAAUGCCCAACCAAAGGGCGACUGCGGUACCAAUCAAAAAGACAGUCGUCGCUACUGGCCGGCGAAAUGGAUUUUGGAAUUUAUUAACAUUUUCUAAAAAAGGUACUGUUAAUAAUAAUCCCUCAGGUACUUAAACCAUUAAAAGAACCCCCAAUAAUUUAUUGGGCACUGUACGAAGUAUUUGAAAUACAGGAUUGAAAUACCAUUAAGGUAAGAUUUCCAAAGGGGUUGCAAAUGGAUCCGCCGGUUCACCAAUCAUUGAUGGUUCUAAAAUGGCUAAGCCUACAUUACAUGCAAUUGUACCUAGAAUUACUACUGGAAAAAUAUAUAAAAGAUCAUUGGGCCAUGCGGGCUCGCCAAAAUAAUUAUGACCCAUACUCUUAGCCAAUUUAGCUCUUAAUACAGGAUCAUUCAAGUCAGGUUUUUUUGUUAUUGGGAUAGGUGAAUUCUUAUAGAUCCAUCCCCCGAGGGAACUGGACAUGAUAAUUUUUAAUCAUCCAGCUCGAGCAAGAAUAAAAAGAACCAAACGAAUCCAUAUAUCCAUAUAAAAUAUCUAUAUGGUACCGGUAUUUACACAUACACAUAUAUGAUAUAGGAAUGGUUCAAUAUAAGAAAAAUUUGACUGAAUUCUUUUUUAUGGAGUUGCAACUAUCCAUUACAAAACAAAGAAUUCCGUUCUUACAAGUAAAUACUCAAGACCCAAGUAGGCUUACAAAUCAGAUCAUGAUAUGAUCAAGUGCUUUCUGGGUCGUCUCAGACCUUCUAAUUGGUAUUUAUCUCCAAAAUGCUUGGAGAUACACAUACAAGGUUUGCUUGUUACUAAUAUAGUCUAGCCUCUCUUCUUCUUUAGAUCCCUUGUUUCACUCUGAUAGUAUUAUUGAUCGUGUCAAUGUAGAGGAAAUGAAUACAUUUACAUACUAUUAAAUCUUAUAAGUGAACUAGAUAAAAGGGAAUCUUGAUUCCCUUUUAUCUAGUUCACUUAUACUAGAUGAAUGGUUGCCUACUCAUGUAUAACAUGAUUCGGAUCAUAGAAAGAUUCUCUUUAAGCGAACCAGCCUAUCCUCUGUAUAGAACUUACACGGCGAUUGGAACAAAGAGACACAUUCGGUUGUGAAUUCCCAUGUGGCAGGCAUAUAUCUACACAGACCAAUCAAUAGUUCAAGUCACACACUCCCAUAAUCCAUUUUCUCUUCACAAAAUUCCCUUCAAUCCCCCCGUUUAGUUGACAUGAAUGGUUAAAGGGAAAUGUCCAAAUCCAUGUCUUAUUAUUUUCAAUAAUCCAUACUUGUAGCAAUGAAUAUAUAAUCCAUUUUCCUUUCACAAAAUUCCCUUCAAUCCCCCCGUUUAGUUGACAUGAAUGGUUAAAGGGAAAUGUCCAAAUCCAUGUCUUAUUAUUUUCAAUAAUCCAUACUUGUAGCAAUGAAAUACUAUAUAUUCCUACACCAAGUAAUAAACGGUUGAUUACAAAUAGUUAGGAUAUAUUUUGACUUUCUCUAUCUAUAAAGGCCCAGAAAUACCUUUUUUACGUAUCAUUGGAAAGUGCAUUAACAUAAAUACGGCAGUAAGAAGCGGCAAUACAAAAGUGUGUAAACUAUAAAAAUGAGUCAAAGUAGAUUGUCCCACACUAGCACUUCUGCGCAAUAAUUCGACCAAAGGUAAUCCUAUUACAGAAAUAGCGUCAGGGACACCUGUUACUAUUUUCACUGCCCAAUAGCCAAUUUGGUCCCAAGGUAAGGAAUAACCAGUUACGCCAAAAGAUAUGGUUAAUACAGCAAGAACCACACCUGUAACCAAAGUCAAUUCACGAGGUUUUUUAAAUCCGUCGGUGAGAUACACACGAAAUACAUGCAGAAUUCACAAAAUUCCGUUUCCAUUGAGAAUUGAAUUGACCUUUCCCUUAUUUCGAGUGGAGAAUCUAACAGAGACAUUACUGUGGAUAUUCUGACCAAAAAAUGUGACAUUCCAUGCCCUUGGAGAGUGCUUUAUCGUGCUAGGUCACUGACAUAUCUUUUUUUGUCUUUAUUUGACCCCAAGAAUGGAUUGGAUCAUCAUUAGGACCAUCAUACUUGCCGACCAUCGAUGAACGGAUCAGAUUAACCAACCAAAGUUGGCUUCAGUCAUUAUGUAUUGAACAGAAGCAAAAGCCUCAGUAACGGUCGAACAAUAGUAAAAAGUAAUAGCAAACCCAGUAGCUACUUGUACUAAAAAACAAGUAAGCGUAAUUCCCCCUAAACAAUAAAAUAUAUUGACGUGGGGAGGAACAUAUUUACUAGUUAUAUCAUCCGCAAUUGCUUGAAUCUCGAGACGUUCUUCGAACCAAUCAUACACUUUAAUGUGAUAGGCGGAACUCCCCUUCUGAGAAUCGUAUAUGAGACUUUCAUCUCGUACAACUCAAGCAAAAACACCCAAAUACUAGUUGCAACGGAUAUGGAAUAGAAAGUUUGAAAUUUAUUAAGUUCUGAUCCCAUCUUCUCUGAAAAAUCCGAAAGCUCGUCUUCGUGUCGAUAAUACCAAAAUAUCAAGUUGGCGCAAUCGUCUUUAUCUUUAUUUUGAUACUUAUGGGCCUCUUGAAUUCUCUUGUUCCCUAUUUCUUUAUAGAAUUUGUGGAAUAUGGCUUUUAUUAUUUGUUUUCUUUAUUAUUGAUAGGAAUUCUCUUGUUAAGACCCUAUGAAUCGAUUAAAACCUCAGAUUCAUACUAGAACUACGAUGAUUCAAUAAGAAAACCUAACCUAAAUCAAAUCAACGAUUCCCUGCGUAAGAAUCCUCGGAUUAUCACUUAUUCCCUGAAUAAAUAGAAUGACUAAAAAUUCAAAGAAAGGUUCUGCUUUUGGUCAAAAUAUAAAUAGGGGUUGAAAGAAAAGAAUCUUUCGAUUUAGAAAUUAAAAUUCUUUGUUUGAAAUUUUUUUGGAGUCCGGACAUGAGGUCUGAAUAUUAAGUAUGAAUCAUAGUUCAAAUAUUUUUUAAUCUAUUUCGUGGUCCAAAUAUUCCAAUAAAUAUCUGACGAAGUAGAACCAUUUGUAUCAAGAUAACAGACCCAUUCUCUGUACUAUCAAUAGGAUCAAUUAUAACAAGUCACACACUUAUACUCCGGAAAUACAGAAACAAAGAAAUUCCAUGAUCGAACUACCAAAAGAAAAUAGAACGGACUAUAAAUCAGAGCUCUAAAUGAUUCAUUUUAGACUCAAAAGAAUGGACUUUGCAGUACUUAUACAUCUAAUUCAUUGAAAUCCCAUCCAAUAAAACAGAAGAAUUAUAAAUCUCCAAAAUAAUAGAUAGAUAUACCACAAAUAAGGCCAUUGCGACACCGAUCAAAUGAGUAGUUCCCCACCCAGGAGCUACUUUAUUAUAUUCCGAAUUCAAUGGUUUUAAUAAAUCUCUUGCUGUAGUUCGUCUUGGACCAUAUCUAGAACUGUUCUCAAUAGUUUGUGUAGCGAUAAAUCCUAUUGUAUUCAUUUAGAUCUAUUGACUUUGUAUACCAUUCCGUUGUAAAUAAACGAUCCUAUAAUAGAUCCAUUGGGGUCUUGAAAUUAUAUAAAUAUGAUAAGAAUGAAAGCAGCAACCCUAGUCGCCAUCUUUAUAUCUGGUUUACUUGUAGGUUUUACUGGGUACGCCUUAUAUACCGCUUUUGGGCAACCUUCUUAACAACUAAGAGAUCCAUUCGAGGAACAUGGAGACUAGUUAAAGUACUGAGAUAAUGAAAAAUUAUUUCACCCUUUUAGUUCUUUUUAGUUGGAACUUUAGGCGGUUCUCGAAAAAAGAUAGCGAAAAAUUUUAUCCCUAGAGUCAAGACUAAGAGGAAUGUAUAAACCAAUGCUUCCAUUGAUUCGAUCGUGGUUUACAAUUAUAGCUUUCAUACUUGUUUGUUUAUUUUUAUUUCCUUUUUUUAUCAUCUUCCAGAUAAAGAACGAACAAGAGUAAAAAGUAAGUUGAUUCAAAUAAAGAUUUCUCUGGUACCCUAUGUCAAAAAAACUAAAAGAAAGAAAAUAAGGGCGAAAGAAAGAUACCAAAGCAAUGUUGUAUCAGGCUGCCUGUCUUUUUGUAGUUGGAUCUCCAAGUUUUUGGAAUGCUCCAAAUUCGACUUGAGCAUCUAAAUCUGGGUCAAUACCAACAAAAACAUCUCUCAACAAGGUUCUAGCACUAUGCCAAAUAUGUCCGAAGAAGAAGAGCAAAGCAAACGAAGCAUGCCCAAAAGUAAACCAACCCCUUGGACUGCUAUGAAAAACACCAUCGGAUUUCAAAGUAGCACGAUCUAAUUCGAAAAUUUCACCCAAUUAAGCACAUCUAGCAUAUUUUUUCACAGUAGUAGGAUCACUAUAACUGACACCGUUGAGUUCACUGCUGUAGAACUCAACAGUUACACCUACUUAUUCAACACUAUACUUCGAUUCUGCCCUUCUAAAAGGAACAUCGACUCUAACAAUUCCAUCGCCGUCUACCAAAACGUCUGGAAAUGUUUCAAAAAAAGUAGGCAUACGACAUACAAAAAGUUCACGCCCUUCCUUAUCUCUAAACAUAGGGUGUCCUAACCAUCCAACCGCUAUUCCAUACCCAUUAUCCAUUUAACCUGCUCUGAAUAAUCCUCAUUUUACCGGAUUAUUGCCGAUGUAAUCAUAAUAAGCUAAUUUUUCAGGAAUUUUAGACCAUACUUGUGAUAAACUUUGAUUUUCUGCUAGCCCAGCACUAACUCUUCAAUAUAUUUCUUGCUGGAAGUACCCCUGAUCCCAUUGAUAAUGAGUGGGACCAAAUAAUUCAAUCGAGGUAGUUCUUGAACAAUACCACAUAGUUUAGGCAACAACAAAAGCUGCAAAAAAAAAAUAGCAAUGAUACUACUGGAAAUGAUGGUUUCAAUAUUUCCCAUACGCAAUCCUUUGUAUAGACGCUGUGGCAGACGGACGCUAAGAUGGAAUAGGCCUGCUAAUAUGCCCAAUGUUCCUACUGUAAUAUGAUGAGAGGCUAUUCCUCCUGGAACAAAAGGAUCAAAACCUUCCACGCCCCACGCUGGAUUUAUAGGUUGUACUUUUCCCGUUAGUCCAUAAGGAUCGGACACUCAUAUUCCGGGACCAUACAAGCAUGUUACAUGAAAUGCGCCAAAACCAAAGCAAGCCACCCCUGAGAGAAAUAAAUGAAUUCCAAAGAUCUUUGGCAAAUCCAAAGAGGGUUUUCCUGUACGUUCAUCACAAAAAAUUUCUAGAUCCCAAUACACCCAAUUCCAGAUAGCUGCCAAAAAGAAUAAUCCAGAAAACACAAUAUGUGCUCCUGCUACACCUUCGUAACUCCAAAUACCUGGAUUCGUUACAGUCCCCCCUGUGAUACUCCAACCGCCCCAUGAAUUGGUUAUUCCUAAACGAGUCAUGAAGGGUAUAACGAACAUACCCUGUCUCCACAUUGGAUCAAGAACAAGAUCAGAAGGAUCAAAAGCCGCUAAUUCAUACAGAGCCAUCGAACCGGCCCAACCAACAACCAGAGCUGUAUGCAUUAUAUGAACGGAAAGAAACAGACCGGGAUCAUUCAAUACAACGGUAUGAACACGAUACCAAGGCAAAUCCAUGGAAAUAUCCCUUAUAUAAAAGAUAAAUGAACACUACUUAACUUUAUUGCAUUGGAAAAGACUAUAAUAUGACUAUCCUAUGGACCACUCUUGUUGAGUCAAUUAUUUCCGAACAAGGGUUUCUAUUCUGUUGGUAAUAAUGGAACAAUUUUGUUCGUAGGAACAAAGAGAAGAAGAUUUAAUCUAUACUCGAUAAGUACCAAUACGCAAUGGGGGAGUUGAUCCCAUUUUUUAUGAGCGAAUAAGUCCAUAGUUAUUUAUCAUUAGAAAGACCUAUUCGUAAUAAUUUGAUUUUUAUUCAUUCUGUCUUUGUUUAUGAAUUAUGAGAAUCUAUGGAUAAAAUAAAUACGAUAAAAACCAAUAUGAAUAUUAUAAAGACAAUAAAAAAAUUUGUUACGUUUCCACCUCAAAGUGAAAUAUAGUAUUUAAUUCGUUCUAUCAUUUAAUGCCUAUUGGUGUUCCAAAAGUUCUAUUUCGAAAUCUUGGAGAUCCAAUUUUAUCUUGGGUUAACGUAUAGUGCGACUUGUCAGAUAUAUUGGGUCAUAUGGUAUUUCCCCGUUCUCUCCACCGAUCGAGAUAUCCCCCAUUUCGCCCAAGAAAGAUAAAUUGAAUCAUCAAAAAUUUGGAGCGUGAAGUGCAAUUAGAUCCAUUUUUGAGGGGAUUCAUAUUACAUCAAUUAGAAUAAUUUAUGGUUGGCUUGGUUGGCCUAAAUAAAUGAAGUAUCCAGGCUCCAUUUAGAAAAAAACCCAAUUGGAUUGGUAAGAUAUCUAUGAUUGCUAUUCAUAUUUUUUCUUUGUAAAGAGAUCCUAAUUGUCAAGCAAAGUUAUCUCAACUCUAAUAAAUACUUGUAUAAAAUGAUUUUUUUUUUAAAAUACAAAAAGAAAUGGUAAUGGGAGCAUUUGUCCUAUAUGUACAAAUCCAAAUCGGGCAGAUCUUUACCCGGAGUAGAGCAUAAACCUAAAAAGAUGAAACAGACCCAUUCAGGAACAAGAAAAUACCAUCGCGGUUUGGAUUAAAUCUCAAUGAAAGAAUACAUUAAUGACCCUUUCUUAUAACAUCAAAUUUUAUAAUGGAAAAUCGAAAAUAUAAAAAAGGAGUAAAAACUCGUCUUUAUUGAAAAAUCGAAAAAAAGCCCUUCCGUUAGAAGUAAGAAAGAGCCCUUGUAGAAAAAAAAGAAAGAGGACUGUAAUCUAUACAUUGAUUCACAAUUUUUUUGAACCGUAUGCAUCAAAAGGUGCAUGUACGGUUCCUAAGGGAUACAAUUUUACCCUAAUCAACCGAAUUUGUCGAGAAAGAUUACUUUUUUUACGCCAAGGGAUUAAGACCGAUCUUUCGAAUCAACUUAUUGGUCUUAUUAUAUAUCUCAGUAUGGAGGAUGAGAACAAAGAGCUAUAGUUGUUUGUAAACUCUCCUGGGCGCUGGGUAAUACCUGGGAUCGCCAUUUAUGAUACUAUCCAAUUUGUGCGACCAGAUAUCCAUACAAUAUGCAUAGGAUUAGCUACUUCAAUGGGACCUUUUAUCCUGGCCGGAGGACAACUUACCAAACGUAUAGCAUUCCCUCACGCUUGGCCCCAAUGAGGUUUUUAUUUGAGAGAAAAAAGAAGACUAUGCCUUCGCCAUAUGAAUACUAAGUAAUAAUAGCGUGGGACUUCGAUUUCCAUAUGAGAAAUUUUUGUAUUGGUUUUUUUUUCAAAACAUUAGAUUCUGUAUCAAGAGAGUAGUAUGAGAUAAGGGGUAUUUACGAUUUUCUCUUAUCUAUCGGGAAUUCAAUUUAGCGUCACAAACUUUUUUGUUUUCAUGCCGGAGAGUUCUUAACAAUAUUUAUGUUAUGAAAGAGUACGAAAAAGAAAUAUUUUUUCCUUAUUUGAUCGGAUUAAAAAGAAACUUUGGGAUUACUGAAUCACAGACAAAAAAAAGAAAAAAUAAACAUAUAAAGCAAUAGAGCCAUCAUAGUAUUUUUGAACUCCUCCGAAAGGAAGGAUGACAAUUUGAUUAUUUACCCAUCUGAGUCUGAUAGAUUCUAUUUUCUCUUUCUUCAAUAGAAAUGAGGGGGUGAAUUUUCUUGUAGCAGUGGUAAUGGAUAUACUUGAAGGUCCAAGAGCUGUAGUGAGCAGAAGUGCUUCUGUAGGUGUAGAUCUACUGGUCGCCACUUCAGUCUGCUUCUUUUCUUCUUGAUCCUUAAGAUAUUUGGCUUCGAUAUUUCGGAUGUUGGUAGAGGCUGUGGGCAUUACUUCUACAUCCUCCUUGCAAUUCAGAGGUACUCGGGCAUUUCUGCACAAUUCAGUGAUUAGUACCGGAAAAGGGAGAGAUGUCUGGCUUUGCUUUUCAUGCAUAUGGAAUUCAGAAGCAAUGAUAGUUCCCAGAUUUAUCCUGGUUUUCUCUAUGAUGCAUCCAAGACAGGCUGCUUUAGCGAGGCGAAGGAUUGAUUCGUUGUGUGAUGGCAUGACGAAACUGCUGAUAAACCAAAACCAGUAUCCUGCAACUAUGUUCAGAUCUUUAUUUUCAAUUGGGGUUCCUUCUGCUAGCCAUUUCGGAGUGUUAUCAUCUGAGAUUGGUGGGGCCAACCACUGUUUCAUCGCAUCCAGCUGCUUUGUUCUGAUCAGGUGCUGACAGUGAUCAUCAAUCUUAGUGGACAUACCCAAGGCUAUGUUGAUAGCCUCACUGUCACACACUACUUUCCUUCCUCUGAUAACCACGUAGUCAACUGCUUUGAAAGACGCGACUAGUCUCUUCCGCUGAGGUACCAAUGCACUGUAUGCACUAUAAAACUCUCUGACCCAGCUUGCUAUAUAAGAGCCACGUGGUUUUGUGAAAACUUGGAGUUUGUGAUAUUUUAGGCACUCCAUUAUCUCGGGAUACCUAUCAAUCACUCAAUUUAUGGACAACCAUUUCUCUUCAAUGAUCGUUCUUGAUCCAUCAAACUUUAAUCUAUUCGAUGAUCUAGGUGAGGGACCUUGUACUAGAGCUGCCAGUAUCAUUGCCUGUUCUAAAGCUGGAGGUGUUUGAGCGGUGGAUCGAGGAUUUUUGAUCCGCGAUGGGUCAUUAAUCUAUUUGGAUCGUAACUCAUUCCUCUGUGCUUCUCUCAAUUCGUCUUCGCCUGAACUCAUACCCUCACUAUCAUAUGUUGUUGGGUCGUUGGUGUAAAAACCAGUGCUAUCGGAGCUUGCAUCUGAUAACUCAACGGUUUUGUCCUUACCCUUGCCUUUUCUGCCAAUGUUAAAACGUUGUGCAACCUUGCUUUUUGAUGCAGCUGCAUCCUCGUUGAUUCUUAUCCCUUUUUUCUUGCUUUGGGUUGGCUUGUUGCUUCCUGUAACUUUGGGUUUGGCCAUGUCUGUAAUCAAUCAGGAUUAAGUUAGAAAAAAUUAAACCAGCGGUGCAGACUUUUAGUGGUAGACAGAUUCGCCGAACUCGUCGACGAAUCGCCAAACCUCUUUGGUGACUUGGGUCAAACUUGCCUAAGAUCCUGUCCUAAAAGCCUUCACUAGUCGGUGAUGAGAAAGUUCCAUCUGCGAAUCACCGACUACUUUCGACGAUCAAGGGUUUAUUCGGAAAAAGUUACAGUGCAAUGAAGAUUCAGAAGUACAGACAGAGGGCGACCUAAGCCACUUUUAGGCGAACCGCCUUAUUGUUUGACGAAUCCGACCCAAUUCGCUAAACAACUUAACGUGCCUUCUUCUAAUUCAAAUUCGACCUUGCAAACUCCCAAAAUACAAUUUACAGUUGCACUAGUGAGAUUAAACUAAGACCCAUGACAUUCAUCCACCCAAAAUUUAAAUCAUUUCAUGCACAGACAAAAAGGGAUUUCAAAAAUCGAGAUCAAUUAGGCACGAUUCCCAGAUCUAAUCUGGCAUUUAGACAAGAUGGGUUUAUCAGAGAGAGGCCUAGCACAUGUCAACCCAACCAGUUUUAAUUUAAUAAGAGAACAAAAUUUUAGUAGUUCCGGGAUUUGGGAGAAACCAACCUUUUAUGAUGCUUGAACUGUGUUGAAAUGCUAGGAAGCAAUGUAAUCCCACGCUUUAGCACUAAUCGACAACUAGAAUACCAGGAGUGUAGAGAUAAUGAAAAUUACUUACUAGGUACGGUUUUUCGAUAGUAUAAAUUGAGUGGAAAAUGAACGUUUUUCCAUUUUUGAAACUAUUGGCCUUUAAAAAAUGUCUAGUUGUUGCUCAUUCGACGAUAUUAGUUUGUACCGCUGAAUGAUUCAGCAUUACGCCAAGUGAUUGCCCUCGCCGCCGAUUGUUACAGACUGUAGCUUGGAUCUUGAGUCUGUUGGCGGUCUAGAUUGAAGACGCCGAAUAGUUCGGUUACUCGUCGAAUGGGACUAUCAAUUACUAAUCCACAUUUUUCAUUCAUUCUCCAAGUUUUCUCCUGCGAAAUUAAUACACCAUUAUUUCUAGAAUAAAACUAAAGCUCGUAAAGGUUUUGGGUUGCCUCCCAAACAACGCCUUAGUUAAAGUCGUGGCACGAUGCAAGUCAUCACUCAAACUUUAUUUUUGGGUUUAGCCAUGGUAUUACUAGGCAACCCCCUAUUUUGUUGCAGGUGGAGAUCGUGUGCCACAUAGCCCAUGAGGUUCUCGAGCAGCUGGACAGCUCUGGAAUGAGACCAAAUCAUCCGUUUCAUUCCUUCACUGUCUUCCUUCAUUCCUUUCAUCUCUCUAUCUUGCUCAGUCACCUUAUAGAGAAUGAUUGAGAGCAUUCCCUCAAGGAUUUUAACCUCAUUGUCAUUGAGACUUCUUCUCUUAUGAGAAGGGACGUAUUUAUCCUUCCUUUUACACUGGAUUUCAAUCUUCGCCAUCUUUUUAGCCAACUCAUCCAUCUGAGACAUUAGGGUGGCCAACAUGAAGUCCGUUUCCACUUCUUGGUUCGUUUCAAUCAUUUGAUUAAGCAGUUGAGCUGCUAUCACAUAUGGUUGUUUCGCAAUGCCUCCCGGAAUUAGUUGGUCGACCAACCUCUUGUUUCCAGGACCAAGACUUCUGUAGAAUCAAUCAAGAAGAGCUAAGUCGGGAAUGUCAUGAUUUGGGCAUUGAUUGAUCAGUUCAUUAAACCUUGCCCAUGACUUGUGGAUCCGUUCACCCUUCAAUUGCUUGAAGGUGAGGAUACGCUCCCAAAAUAUCAUUACCUCUAAUAGAAGAAACUCCAUUAGCUCUCGAGUGCUACUCGCCACACUCACUUCCUCUGCUUACAUAAAUACAAGAAAACAAAACUACAAGUUAAGUUAGUAAACUACGACUAAGAAGAACAAAAAAAUUCUACUAAACUAGGAAUUCGAAAAUAACACCACUCCCCGGCAGCGGUGCCAUUUUGAUGCUUAUCGUGACCAACGACACUAUCCUCCGGUAUGAGUGUCUACGAUCAUCGAUAAUAUAGUAACCCAACAAAGGGUUGGGGUCGUGUCGCAAGGGAGUAGUUUUGAGAAUUGUUAGAAAAAUAGAAUUUACAUUCUAACUAGUCGUAGCUAAAGACAUUUGCGAUAAAAGACAUUGUAAAUUAAAGGGGGCGACACAAAAGUGUCAAAUAUCAAAGGGGGUUUUGUAACAAGUACUAAAAUAGCAAAAUAAACAAGAAAAUCAAGUAUGGGGAAAGGUUCUUGGGAUGUGACCGCAAUACAAGUUGAGAUAAAUUGUUGGGUACAUGCUUUCAAUAGGAAAUUUGCAAGCCAAUUGUGACUAGGCUAAGCUUUAAAUGGAAAUAAGUUCCCUCUCGGGCAACUUACCCAGUUUCAAAUGCGUUCCUCUCGGACACCCAUUUGCCGCAUGAAGACCAACCUACGCCUUACCCCACUCACUCUCUUGAGCUGACUGUUAGAAUAUGGGACUAGGGCUCACCCUCUCGGGCUGAACCGCAUGUCGAUCCACUCUUUAGGCCAUCAGUCUAGUGGUUUUAGUUUCGCGACCUCCCUCUCGGGCAGGCCGAAAACACAUGGGUGGCUUUGUAUUUGUAACUAAAAAUCCUUCAGAUUAAACCAUAACCACUAGGUGAAAUCACCAUUAACAUACAUCUAACCUAUCAGCAAGCAAGACCCAACAAGAAUAUCAACCCAUAUUUGCUAAAUCACACCCAAGAAUGGGGGUUUUUAGCCACACAUAAAGAAAUAAUAAAUUAUACCUAACAUUAUAAAUAAAUCAACUGAGUAUAAGAAAUUAAACCUUGAAUUAAGCUACAGAAGAAGAAUAAAGAAGACCCACUCCCAACUUAGGGAAGAUAUACUCCUUUCUUCAAGUCUCCACAAAACCUUUUCCAAACUUGAGAGAAGAAAACAGAAAAAUACUAUAGACUAAUAAUAAUUUUUACUCUAAAAUGUUCCACUCAAAUGUUCCGCACUAAGGCCACAACUCUAACUAGUAUUUCUAGUUUUCACAGAUUGUGCUGCGGAGGAACGUUCAGCGACAUUAGUCUAAAUCACCGAUGAACUCGGCGAUCCACCUUUUGGUCAGCUCAUCACCUUCAGUGUCUUGCCUUUAGUAUCCUCACAUUCUGGAUCAUUGAGCGGUACAGUACUACUUCGCGGAACUGAUCGGUGACUCACCGACUGCUUCUUUCCUCAACUUUUGAUCCACUUCCUUCAAGGCUUCGCAUACUGGAACGAAGGGCAGUUCAUGUCAUUUUGGUGACUCGCCCAGUUAAACUCGGCGAUCCGUAGGAUUCCAUUUCUUUGAUCCAUUUUAAGCCUAAAUGUCCAUGCUUCCACUAAAACUUCAAAUACCUGACUUCAGCAUUUUAAUAAGGUAUUGAGAUAUAACAAGCAUUCAAGGACACUAUUUCUAUUAAAAUAAAACUCUAAAUGAGUCCAAUUUGUGGACUCAUCAGUAGCGGCUUUAGCUUUACCUAACAAUGAAGGAAUAGUGUUGUGCAAUUCUUAAAGAGAUACAUUUUCACUAGGUUUGGCACUCCGCGCACAAUUAUUAUUAAUGGAGGAUCUUAUUUUUGCAGUUGUUUGUUUACUUCGUUGUUGAGAAAAUAUUGAGUUAAGCAUAAAGUUGCAAACCCUUAUCAUUCGUAGACAAGUGGACAAGUUGAAGUAUCAAAUUGAGAAAUCAAGGGAAUUCUGGCAAAAAUAGUCAAUGCAAAUUGGACUAACUAGUCUCGGACGUUAUUUGAUGCUCUGUAGGCGUACCACACCGCUUUCAAGACUCCAACUGGAAAGGAAUGGGGGGACGCUUCAAAAAGUAGAGUCAAUCAACUCCAUGAGUUGGAAGAAUUUCGGCUACGAGCUUACGAGAGUUCAUCCCUUUAUAAGGAGAAAAUGAAGAAGUGGCAUGAUGCCAAAAUCCUUUAGUGAGAGUUUAAAGUCAGUGACCUUGUUUUUCUUAAUAACUCUCGAUUGAGACUCUUCCCGGGUAAACUAAAGUCAAAGUGGUCAGGCCCAUUCAAGGUAACUCGAGUGUUUGGAAAUAGGGAAAUUGAGGUUGAAAGCAAAGAAGGAUUGACAUUCAAAGUAAAUGGGCAACACUUGAAGCUUUAUUUUGGAGAGUGUCUCGAUAUCUUAGUAAUUGAAGUGGCGUAUUUGGAAGAUGCUUGAAAGAAUUUCUAUGUCGUGCCACGAUGUUACAUAAGGUGUUUCUUGGUAGGCACCCCAAGUUUCAGUUGUUUUGGAAUAACGUUUACUGAAUGUGUAGAUUGCAGCCUUCUUUUUGUACGAAUAAAAAUUGAGCAACACACUAAUCUUAUCGGUGAACCGCCAAUAGGCCCUUAUAGAUCGCCCAAGUACAUUGCCCCUCCUAGAGCUAGAUUGGAGACUCCUUCAGGAAAAUUUGGUGAGCUGAAUACCUUUCAGCGCACCGCCGAACUGAAUUGGUGAGCUCGACAAUGACCACCAUUUUUGCUCAACUAAAGGGGUAACUUUCUCUGACUUUCGGUGAACCAAAUCCUGCUCGCCGGCUCGCCGAAUAGUUCGACAUCUCUCGACAUUGCUCGCCGAUAGGGCUUGAAGUGAAGAAUCUCUCCUACUCUAAUCCUUUCAUUCAGUGAACACUACCUUCCCAUUUUUCUAGUUACAUUAGUUGUAUUUGCAUUGAGGGCACUGCAUUGUUUAAGUCGGGGGUGUAUCUUUGAAUGUUGAGCCUGUUCCCUUGCAUAUUUGAGUAUCGGUUGUGAUCAAUAUCGAUAACUUGAAUAGUUCUCUUGAUUGAACAAUAUGUUUGUGCAAGUCCAAUGAGUCAAGGUUGAGUUGCAUAAGUCAUGUGUGAACUCCUAGCAUCUCAUUGUGACAAGCUAUUUGUUGAAGCGAGUCUUGUGAUGACUGUUGCGCACAAGCUUAACUUGUAGAGUCCUGAUUGAUGAUCAUGUUGAAUGCCUUUUGUGGUGAGAUUUCCUUGAAAUAUAUGCUUGGUGAUACCUAGAACUUUACCUGUUGGUCCAAUUGACUAAUGUUGGUGAAUGAAAGAAAUGAUCUCAGACAUACAAUUUUGAGAGUGAACCAAAUUGCUAUUAUACCUCUUUCUGACCACCUUGUAAGAGUGUGAAUUAGCUUGGUACUGUUUCAGCCUACCUUUUCUUGGGAUGAAACAUAAACCCUUUUAGCCUCUUUCCUCCCCACCUAAAUCCUUCAUGAAGUUUUUGUUUGUUUGAAUAGCCAACUUAGACUAAAAGCCUCAGUUAGGGGUGUGGUGAAAAUUUAGGAGAGAAGAUGAGAAAGAUUUUUGUAAAACUUCAUCCUUGAAAAAUUGGGUUGAAAAAGAUGGAACCCCUGCAUAUAAACAAAGAAAGAAAGAAAAUCAAAAGAAGAAACAAAUUGAAAAAGAAUUUCGCAAUGCAAUUUGUGCAUGGAUGGAAAGAAAAGGUGUGUCCAAUGAACCAUAUAAGUAUCUUUAUAGUUGAAAGUACUUAGGGUGGAUUGUGAAAAAACAAAAGAGUGGAAUAAAAGGAGAAGAAGUGAAAAACAAUGGGUCCUAAAUAAUACACCAAACCUGUAUUUCAGAAAAGAAUACACUUUGAGCCUCGGAAUGACAAAAUCCAUUAAUAUUUAGAUUACAACAUUAACUAGUCAAGGCAAUCUAUAAACUUGCAUGACUUUGAAUCAAUAAAAUUGGACCUCAGACGGAGGAGAAAUCGCCAAUUUAAUAACCAACAAAUGUUGAGAUUUGGAGAAAAAAAAAACUUCUCAAGUAACGCUUAAGAGGAUACUAACAUCUCUUAAGCUAUAUGCUUCAAAGAGAGCCUCUCUUUUGCAAACUCUUGGCCGUAAAAGUGGGCCUCACUUCAACGAACCCUGGUUUCAAAAGUGAUGGCCACUUAAGUGAAGCUAGGGCUGCUUAAGUGGCUACCACCUAACCGUUUGGGAUUGCUUUAUAAGAGCCCUAUUCACAAAAGCGACGUUCUCUGAAGCGAACCCAGUGGCGCGAAAGCGGCCCAAACCAAAGCUCCAGAAAAUUCAACAGAGUCUCUUGGGCUCUGCAAGAGGGCUCGAGAUUAGUUCAGAACCCCGUGCUUGCACAUGAGAUAUGCAAACCAUUCAAAUUUGACAUUUUAGAAUCAAUGGAGCAGUCAGAACUUUUAUACAAAUUCGUCCUGGUAGAAUAUCAGUCCACACCCAACUUUAUUUUACGCUAAAAUCCCCAAGGGGACUCGAAAUUAGCUCAGAAGCCUUGAGAUCUGAAUUAAGGGUCAUUCUGACGAAACUCAAAUUUUUUGAGCUAACCACAUUGAAAAAAUUCUCUUCCGAUUUCAUUUACUCAAAAUGUUGACUAAAGUCUAACUUAGACCUUAACUUGAAAGUUAAAAGACCUAAUCACACAAACUCGCACUCGAAGCCUCGAGAGUCAUGUCGACCAUGCUACUAGCCUAAAAUAACCCUUACAAAACUGAUUGAAUCGUCAAAAUUGGAUUCUAAGGUCAUCUUAUUAAAAUCCUGAUAAAAAAUGAUCGUUAAGGUUCAAGACCUCCUUAGCAUUAAAACUUACAUAAAAACCAAAUGAACGACCAGGUCAUCAAAUGUCAGUCCUAGAAAGUCAUAAAUGACUUGGGGUCACUAUAGAAUGCGCUAAACGACGAAUAAGAGGCAUAAACAGAAAAAUGACAAGGAGGGUCAUUACAACAUCCAUUACUAAAAAAGACUUUCGUGUGCAAAAGUAAGAGUCAAGAAGUACUUAAAGGUUCAAAAAAGCUAGGAAGCUGCUCUAGCAUAUCAUGCUUGGUCUCCUAAAUAUCCUCCUAAACUGGACGAUGCCUCCAAUGGACCUUAACCAUAGGAAUGACUCUCUAACACAAUAGCCCCACCUUUACGGAUUCAAGAGCAACUGGCUCCUCAAAGAAGAUAAAAUGUUCAUUGAUGGAGUGGUAGAUUUGCACUCAUUUAAGUUCUUAUUAGCUCAAGUUCAAUCUGCAAAGUGGAGUAAGAAUGGUGAUGAGCCGAAAGACAUAAUGCAAAGUAAGUGGAUGUCGCUGAAUCUGACAGUGUAGGGAGAUAAAAUGAUUGUUUAAAGGGAGAUAUGAGGUUUCAAUCGGUGACUCGCUGAAGUUAGAAAGGCAAAUUCAAACGGGAUCAUCUAAUGAGACUGGAAAACCUAAUUCUUGAACAAAGAAAAAGGUGAACCGAAGAAAGAUGAGUGAUUCACCGAAUGCGGUUGGUUGACAAAGUUAUCGUCGCCAAAGGAACACAAAGCUAAUUUUUUUAUAAAAUUUUGGGAAACUAUAAAUAGACCAGAGGAGAGACUUAGAAAGUUCAAAAAAAUUGAGAGAGAGUGUCUCAACAUUCUAGAGAGAGAAACAUUUUCCAUCAAGUGAGAGCACUUUUAUUAUUGAAGUUUUCAAUUUUGUGAAGGUGAAUUCGGAAAAUUGAGAUUGAAUUUGAAGUUGGUUUGCUCUAAAAUAGUUAAUUGCAUGCUACCCAUGUCUAAUUUCUUGUAAGGUAUAAUCUAUUUUCACUUUCCAAUGUGUGGCUAAAACCCCAAAUUCUAGGGAUGUGAUUAUGGAGUUGGAUGUUGCUUUAAUUUAGUGGGUUUGCUGAAUUGCUCUGUUCUCUGACUGUUAAUCAUAUAUUUGACUGAUUGUUGAGUGAUUAAUUCAUGAAUUAAGGUGGAAACCUAAAUUCUAGUUUUGAUCCUGUAAUGCUGCUCGAAAGAGUCCAAUAUAAGUGGGUAAUUUGUUCAAUAACUGUAGUUUUGGGUUAUUUUGAAUGACAUAUAGAUGAGACCGCAAUGAGAUUCUAUGCAAAGAUGCUUUGAGAUCGAAAGAAGAUUGGCAUCAAUUAUGAUGACCUAGCUUAUUUGUGAUUAACUAGUUGUAAUGAGCAAUUCUAAAAUACCCCAAGUGAAAUCAACAUUUAAUCUCCACACCUUUAGAGUCCAAUAGUUUCGUGAAUCGUCAAUUAUUUCAGUAUUGUUAAUUGGGUUCGUGAAUUAUUGUUGUUAAAGUUGGUGUACUUCUCCACGCAUUUGUUUUUUAAUUUCAACUUCAUUGGAAUUAAUUGUUUGUUAAUUCACUAAUGUAGUUCUUAAUAGAAUACCAUUCCUUGUGGGAUUCGACCCCGACUCUUAGUUAGGUGUUUUUAUUGACGAUGGCCGCUCACCUGUUUGAUUAGUUUUGAAUAGUGAUUUGAUAGUUAUCAGUCAUUCAACUCUACUACAUCAUACUAGAGCACAUGCGAUUCAUCAAGAACAUACCGGCACAACAUCAAAACAUGGAAAAUUGGGUGGAUAGUUGAGAAUAGUGGAGGUAGAGCUAACUCUUAAGAAACCUCACCAAUUGUUCGGAAGAUCAUAAAUGGACGAAUAUACCUGGGACUAAACUUUCCCUGCCUCCCAAACAUCAUCAUGCUCUUAUUGGUGACACACAUAGGAAAAAUCUAUCAUCAAAACCUCACCGGCCGCCGCCUACGAGCAACAAAACUUUGUUUCCUACUCUGAGCUGUUCGAAGCCUGCCUUGGAUAACCCUCACCUAGUACACAACUCUUGAAUCAAGUAUGUAACAUGUGAUCUAGGAGAUGUGGAGUUAAAAAAACCAAUCAAAGGCCAAUAACACCUUCCAUAUAAGGCAUCAAAAGGGGCCAAUUGAAUGCUAGAGUGGUAGCUGCUGUUGUACACAAAUUCCACCAAAGGCAAGAACUUGUCAAAACACAUGCCCACAACAUAUUCUAUAGAUCCUGAAUAGCUGAUAACACUUAAAUGUACUAUGCGAAACCAAUUUAAAGAGACAGCGGUCAUCGACAAUAAGAAUAAUAAACUAAGGGUUGGGGUCGAAUCCCACAGAGAAUGGUAUAUCAUAGAGAAUUCUAUCAAGAAAUUUUGAUUGUAAAAUCAUUCAUUUGUAGUAGUAAAAAACAAGUAGGUGGAUGAUUCCACCAAUUAAAUAAAAAUAUUAGGUUAUCAGUGGUCACAAUUAAACUAAAAUUGCAUAGAAUUCAAGAAGUAACAAGUAAUCUAGGGGUGCGGAGAUUGGAAAUCAAUGUCACAUAUGGGUGAUUGUAUUGAUCUAUAGUGAUGGACAUUCAUGAAUAGGCUGAGUCAUCUUCUAUGAAUCUAAUAUUUUUUUCAAUCUCAUAACUUCCUUUCAUAGUAUCUCUUUUCGGUCUCAUCUAUGUACUACACUAAAUUACCGAACACCUUACUCUAUUCUCUCUUUUGAUGUAGAAAUAGGGAAAAUAGAUCUGACCCAUAACCUCUAUUUUAAAGCAAAGUACACACAUCAAAUAUAAAUUGCUAGUAUCAAACUAAUCACCCACUCCAAUCAAUCUCCUUUGAGCAUCGACCAGAGAUCAAGAAAUAGGAAUUAAGUUUGUAACCUUCACCCAUAAGUUAACCUUAGUAUAAUUAGGCCAAAUUCAUGUAUGAACAAAAAAAAAAUAGAGUAUAACCACAAUACCCACUACAUUAAAUCAACACCCAACCCUAUAAUUGCACCCCUAGAUCUUGUGGUUCUAGCCACCCAUCACAAAAAAGCAAAGAAAUUAUACCUUUAAAGAAAUAAACCAUAGGUAAUAUGAAAUUAAGAAUUUACAAGAAAAUCCACUUUGAAUUCAACUUCAAUUCUUCGAUUUCAAGAAUAAAGUUGAAACCUCCAAAACUAAAAGUGUUCUUAACAAGGUAUUGUGUUUCUCUCAAGUUUCUCACUCUUUCUAUUCUUCUAACACGUGAAAUCUUUCGCUUUCUCUCUCCUUUGGGAUAUUUAUAAUUUCUCCAAAAUUUUGUCGAAAACAUAAUGCAUGACCCAUUGGCCGAUAUUAGUUGGGCUCGCCAAACACAAUGGGGGAAUCACCCUCUGCUCUUCAGCUCACCUUUCUUUUAUACUAGGCUUCAGGUGUUUGAACCUCAGUCGGUGAGCUCGUUCCUUAUGGCCUUUCACAUUAGGUGUAUCACCAAGUAUUACCUUAGUUUGCGUUUCGAGCCUUCAAUUUUAUCAUCUAGUACUAUCAAAUUCGGAGAUGUUCACCUUGUUUGCCUUUUGCAUUAGGCGCAUCACCAUAUCUUUCACGAGUUUGCCAAAUUAUCUCAAUUUAUGAGAUUAUUGCACCGUCAAUUUGGGUGAAAUCAUACCCAUUGGGUAAUCCACCCUUUGCAAUAGGCGAUCACAAAAUGUGGAGUUUACACUUCCUUUCAUGAUUUUUGCCAUUCUUUCACCCAAGAGCUUUCACGAUCCCAUGCACUAUUGUUUUUUUUGUCAAAGCUUUAUGUGAUCUUGGUGUAAGCAUAAAUUAUAUAGCAUUUAUGGUAUUUCAUAAGCUUCAGCUUGAGAAACUAAAACCAAAAAAUAUGAGACUUAUAAUGGCUAAUCAUUCAAUAAAGAAACCAGUGGGCGUGGUCUAUGAUGUGCUAGUGAAAGUUGAACAAUUUGUGUUCCCCAUAGAUUUUAUGGUUCUUGAUUGUGAAAUUGCUUUCGAAAUUCUAGUUAUUCUUGGUAGAACAUUUUUGGCUAAGGCCAAAGCUUUGGUGUAUGUGGAAGGUGGUGAGUUGAGGUUCUGAGGAAAAAAAGUAGUUAGCUUCAAUAUUCACAAAUCAAUGAAAUACUCUAGUGAUAUGCAUGUUGUGUCUCACUUGGAUCAUAUUGACGAAGCCGCAUAAAGUAUUAAAAGUGCAGCAUAUUGUAGGGAACGUUUGGAUUAAGUGUUAUUUAACUAUGAUCAAGAUGAAAUUGGCAACUAUAAUGAGGUUAUGGAUGCUCUUGUAGGUGUGAGCUCAUAUAAUUCUUUCCAAUCCAAACUCGACCUCAAUUUGUCUAGUCAAGAAGCACCACCGGCUAAACCAUAUAUUAUUGAACAACAAAAAUUAGAGUUGUAUGAUCUCCCUCCAAAUCUCAAAUAUGCUUUCUUGGGGGCCAAAAACACACUUACAAUUAUUAUUGCAAGUGAUCUCAAACAAUGGCAAGUGGAGUUUUUAAUCAUACUGUUAAAAAGGCACAUUAAAUCCUUGGGGUUGUCAAUUACCGAUAUUGUGGUUAUUUUUCCAGCAUACGCACUCACAAAAUAAAUUUGGCGGAUGAGUGUAAACCAAGUAUUGAACAUCAACGAAGAUUAAAUCCCCCAACUCAAGAAGUGGUGAAUACAAAAAGUUAUAAAAUAGUUAGAUGUGGGAGUUAUUUUCCAAUUACGGAUAACCAAUGGGUAAGUCUGGUGCAAUGUAUUCCAAAAAAGGGUUUUAUCAUGGUAGUUCCCAAUGAAAAAGCUAAGUUUGUCACAACUAGACCCGUCUCUAGGUGGCAUAUGUGCAUGGACAACCUGAAACUUAAUUGAUGGACCGAACAAGAUCAUUUAUCCAUCCCCUUUAUUGAUCAAAUGCUUGAUAGGCUUGCCGGAAAGGGGUGGUGUUUCUUUCUUGAUGAAAAUUCUGGGUACAACCAAAUCUCCAUUGCACUAGAGAAUCUAGAGAAGAAAACAUUUACAUGCCCGUAUGGCACCUUUGUAUUCAAGUGAAUGCCCUUUGGGCUAUGUAAUGCCCCGACUACCUUUUAACGAGGUAUACGCUCAAUUUUUGUCGAUAUGGCAGAGGACUCUAUGGAAGUGUUCAUCGAUGAUUUGUUUGUUGUUGGGGAUUCUUUUGAAGAAUGUUUGAGGCAUUUGGAGAUGGUGUUAAAAAGGUGGGUGGAUUCAAACUUGGUCCUUAACUGGGAGAUGUAUAACUAUAUGGUAAAAGAGGGAAUAUUGCUUUGGCACAAAAUAUCCAGGAAUGGUAUUGAAGUUGAUCAAGUCAAAAUUCAAGUAGUCAAAAAGUGACCACCAUUAAUUUCGGUGAAGGUAGUAAGGAGUAUUCUUUGUCAUGUCGGGUUCUAUCGGAGGUUCAUUAAAGAUUCUCCAAGAUUACCAUUCCAUUGUGUUGAAUUCUUGACAAAGAGAGCACAUUUGUUUUUUAUACUUCUUUAUGGUAGCUUUCAAAACACUCAAGGAUAAACUUAUCUCUGCUCCCAUAAUCAGUGCACCUGAUUGGAAUCUCCUUUUUGAAAUGAUGUGCGGUCAUAGUGGUUUGGCUCUAGGCUAUGUUCUUGGGCAACACAAGAACAAUUUCUUUCAUCCUCUCCAUUAUUCUAGCAAAACACCGAAUUUUUCUAAAAUGAAUUACACCAUAACGGAGCAAAAAUUAUUGGUUGUGGUAUUAGGGUUUGAGAUGUUUUGAGAAUAUUUAUUGGGUUCCAUAGUGGUUGUGCCCACUGAUCACACAAAUUUAAGGUACCUAAUGGCUAAGAAAGAGGGUAAGAUAAGGCUCAUCCGAUUGGUUUUACUCCUUCAAGAAUUUGACUUCGAGAUGAAAGAUAGAAAGGGGUGUGAAAACAAAGUAGAUGACCAUCUUUCGGGGUUGGAAGCAGAUUCUAUAUUGUCUGAGUAAAAAGAAACUGAUUUUGCCUUCCUGGAUGAAUCCGUAAUGGUAAUCUCUACACAUUCUGUUCCUUAGCAUGCUAAUUUUACAAACUUUAUUAUGUGCACAUUGUUACCCGAUGAUUUGAGUAGCCAUGAAAAGAGGAAAUUUCUUAUUUGAUGUGAAAAAGUAUGUAUGGGAUGAACCUUUCCUUUUUAGAGAGUGUGCUGGUAAUAUCAUUCAGCAUUGCGUGUCGAAAGUGGAAGUGAAUGAAAUCCUUGAAGCAUGCCAUUCUUCACUAGUUGGCGGUCAUCAUAGGGGAAUUCGUACAACCUCCAAAGUUUUGAAAUAGGGCUAUUUUUGGCCUUUGAUGUUAGGGAUGCUCAUGCAUUUUGCAAGUGGUGUAUGCAAUGUCAAUUACAAGGGUAUAUAUCUUGGAGACAUGAACUACCACUUUCACAAAUCCUUGAGAUUGAAUUGUUCGACGUUUGGGGGAUUUAUUUCAUAGGUUUUGGGGGAUUGAUUUCAUGGGUCCUUUCCUUAUCUCUUUUGGAAAUAUGUAUAUACUUAUAGAAGUUUACUAUGUCUCCAGGUGGGUUGAAGAAAUUGCGUUACCAAACAAUCAAGCACAAAGUGUCACAAAUAUUCUCAAAUAGAAUAUCAUCACAAGGUUUGGUAACCCAAGGGUCAUUAUAAGUGAUGGAGGAUUACAUUUUUUCUACCGUCAGGUUGCAACCCUUCUCUUACAAUAUUGGGUCAAGCACAAGGUGGCAGCACCAUACCAUCCCCAAUCGAGUGGACAAAUUGAGCUGUCUAACCAAGAAAUAAAGAGCAUCUUGGCGAAACUUGUGAAUAUCCAUCGUACUGGUCUAUGUACUACACUAAACAACCUCUAUUUUCAAGCAAGCUACAGACAUAAAACCUAAAUUUCUAGUAUGUGACUAAUUACCCACUCCAAUCAGUCUCUUCUGAGCAUUGAUCGGAGAUCGGAAGUAGGAAUUAGGUUUGCAACCUUAACCCAUAAGUAACCUCAUGAUAAUUAACCCAAAUUCAUGUAUGAACAACAACAAAAAAAAGCAUAACACAAUACCCACUACAUUAAAUGAAUACCCAACCCCAUAAUUAGACCCCUAGAUCUUGGGAUUUUAGUCACUCAUCACAAAAAGCAAAGAAAUUAUACUUUAAUUGAAAGAAUCCACGGGUACCAUGAAACUUAAAAAAUUCAAGCAUAUCCACUUUGAAUUCAACUUCAACUUGUCGAUUUCAAGUACAAAGUUGAAAAACCCAAAAACUAAAAGUGUUUCUCUCAAGUUUGUCACUCCUUCAAUUCUUUUCACAUGUGCACUCUUUUGCUUCAGCUCUCAUAUGGGCUAUUUAUAAUUUCCCCAAAAUUUGGCCUAUAACUUAAUGUGUGACCCAUUGGGCAUCAUUAGUUGGGCUCGCUUAACACAAUCAGCAAAUCACCCUCUGCUUUUCAGCUCGCCAUUCUUUUAUUCUAAGCUUCAGGUGUUUGAACCUUAGUGACUGAGCUCAUUCCAGUCUACUUUUCAUAGCCGACAUAUCUUCAGGUACAACCUUAGUUCACCUUACAAGCAUUCACUUUCAUAACCCAAUACUGUCAAAUUCAGCGAUGUUCACCUUGUUUGGUUUUUUGCAUUAGGCGCAUACCCAUAUCUUUUGUGAGUUCACCAAGUUGCCUCAAUUUAUUAGAGUAUUGUCACACCCCGAGGCUACCCCCUUGACUUAAACAAGGGACCUAGGAUCACGAGUGACCCUAAGCUAACCCUAAGUUGGCUUAUCAUAAACAUACUUAAACAACUGAACCAUAAAUAUUAUAUGGAAGUUUUAAACAUGAGAUAAACUACAUUAUGGGGAAUACCCAAUCUAAGUCUGAAUAUAUAAAUACUGAAAAAUAGUUUACAAUACUGAACUAUAACUCAAAAGCUAAAGCUGAUCUGUCUAUGUCUGAAAUAAGCCUCUAACUGACUAGAAAUGCUAGGACAUGCCCCCUGCUAACUCUAGUAAACCUGAAACUAAAAUGAAAGACUGAAUGUAAAGGAAUAUGUCAAUUGUCCUUGAGGAAUGAGGAGUCACCACUAAAGCUGCUGAACUGGAGAUCGGGAUUCGAUCUAUGCGUGGUCUGGAUGGUGAGUACCUGAAUCUACAUCAUGAAAUGAUGUAGUGCAGAGUAUGCGUCAGUACUACGAAUGUGCUGAGCAUGUAGGAUAGGAUAAAAGUUGAACAAAACAUACUAAGAAAUAAUAUAAUAUGAACAUGCUGGAAAAUACUGGAAACAUACUGAAAUAAGAUGAACUGAAUACAAUGACCAAGUACAUAACAUGCUAAAACUGAAUACUAAAGUACAACUGGAAAUCUGGUCAAAUAUAUUAAAGUCUGAUGGUGGGAGCUACUAAUAACCGACAUAAAACCACAUGAGCUAAACGUGGAGUCCGAUGUAUACGUCCCAUAGAGAGGACCCAAUAUACCUUGCCAAAGGUAUAGAGGCAUGUUUGGCGUGAUCACUAAAUGUAAUGCCAACAGAUGGGACUUAUAAACCUACGAGGCAUAUAGUUCUGGAACUAUACGGGUACGCUGAACCCUAGUCCACUCGAUCCAAGCCUACUCCCAACUAGAAAUGUGAACAAUAUAUCAUAAGAGAAUUAUACUGGAUAGCUCAAUAUUCUGACAAGCAAAUCUUAGAAUGCAACAUUUAUAACUAAACAUGAAACAUUCAAAAUUUGAGGUAUGCACAUCUGUUUAAGCUGACCUAACUAGUGUAAUUCAUGAACUAAACGAAUCUACACAAUUAGGGUUCUGAAUUUCAUGAAAGGAACUAAGCAACGGUGUUACAAAAACAUGAAAAAUCUGUUCUGGAACAUUCUAACAGCUAAAUCACAACAAGUUCUAAAGUUCAAGAAAACCCUAGGUCAAGAUAAUAUGAAGGGAAUCGAGAAUAUGACUGAAUUCUAGGGACCUAGUGCAUAAAAGGGAUCCACUAGUCAAUUACCACAUACAUGGUGACAAAUUUCACAGAGAAAUCUUUCGAUUUCGGUGCUUGAAGUGAUGAAACCUUGUUGCAUUUUUGGAAGGGCUUGGUCGACGCUCUUUCCUGUUUUCGCUCUAAGUAUGAUGAAUUUUUGGAGAAUGAUCGAUUAGGGAAGGAUCUGACUAAGUUACUAGGCUUAAACUGACCAAAAGUAUAUAGUUUAGGGGUUAAACAACGGAGUUUUGGUGCCCAACAGAUAGGUGAAAAGACCAAAACGACCCCAACAUAAAGGCUAUCGGGGACAAAGAUGGGCCUGACUGACACACCAUCGACCGACUAACGGUCCGUCCUAGCAGGCGUUGUUUGGCGUCUAGGGGUGGGGGCUGUGGACCAUGAUCCACAGACCUGGGCCACAUAUUGUGGUCCCACCUACGGUCCAUAGGCACUGGCCGUGGGUCGGGGUUUUUUGAGGUUUUCUGAGUGGAGUUAGGGUGGCCAACCACGGACACCACCUACGGUCUGUGGCUCAUCCUACGGUCUGUAGGUGGCACCCGUCGGUGGCAUCAACAACUUCUAAAAAUCUGUUGUUUGGUUUAUUUUUUGAUACGGGGUGUUACAUUAUCUCACCCUUGGGAACAUUCGCCCCUCUAAUUUAGUCUAGAGUAAUUGAAAAAAAAGGGGAAAGGAGUUGCACACCCUACCAUUAAGUACUAGAACCUGAUUUCUGACUGAACUGAGUUCCAAAAACAUGCAAAUACGCUGAAAAUGUAGGUAAAAUUGAGGGAACAUGAUAGUAAGACUGAAUUUACGCAAGAGUAAACUGAGAGACUGGGAGGAACUAUUACCUGAAUUUGAAAUGUAAUCAGAAAGAAAGAGAUGAGGAUACUCAUGGCUGCUUCUGCUUCCCAAGUAGCUCCGUGUAUGGACAGACUCCUCCACAAAACUUUCACUGAAAUGACCUUUUUAUUUAUCAACCUAUGAACCUGACGAUCAAAAAUUUCAACUGGCUCCUCUUCAUAGGUGAGACUGUCCUUAAUAACCACACUCUCUAAUGGCACUAUCGAUGCUGGAUCACCCACACACUUUUUCAACAAGGAAUUAUGAACGACCGGAUGGACUGCUGCUAGUUCUGCUGGCAACUCAACUCGUUUGCCACAUUUCCAACCCUUUUCAGGAUUCUGUAAGGACCUACAUACCUCGGACUGAGCUUACCUUUCUUGCCAAAUCUCAUAACCCCUUCAUAGGUUACACUUUUAGGAAAACCCAAUCAUUGACCUCGAAUUCUAAGUCUCUUCUCCUCACAUUUGCAUAGGACUUCUGAUGAAUCUAGGCUGUCUUUACCCUAUCUUUGAUGAGCUGAACUUUUUCCAUAGCUUUAUCAACCGAAUAUGGCUAAAUUAAUGCUUCUUCACCUACUUCAAACCAACCAACUACAGAGCUGCAUCUACGACCAUACACUGCCUCAUAAGGGGCCAUCUGAAUAAUGGAAUGAUAACUGUUGUUGUAGGCGAACUCUAUAAGAGGAAGGUGAUCAUCCCAACUACCCUUGAAAUUGAUCACGCAAGCUCUCAACAUGUCAUCUAAGGUCUGAAUGGAACGCUAUGCCUGACCAUCCGUCUGUUGAUGAAAUGUUGUGCUGAGAUUUACCUCGGUACCAAGAACUUUCUGAAAUGACUUUUAUAAAUAAGAGGUAAACUGAUACGCUAAAAUUACAGCUCUCUAAAGAAGCAUAAGGGAUCGUUACAGGUAAAGAACCCAACUUGUAGGUUGGGGUCGAUCCCACAAGGAAAAUGGUUUAAACUUCACUUUAACCAACAAUUAUAUUUAUUUAGUCAAAUUACUUCAAGAAACAAGUAAUUAAAGGGGGGGAGGUAUUCGUGAAACAAAUUGUAAGAAUUCAGUAAGUAAUCAGUAAAUAAAAGUCAUUUGGUUGUUAUCAAAAUGAGAGAAUUAACUAGGGUAUACGUGUUCCCCACAAGCUCAUAACGCAGCAAUCCUAGUAAUAGCAAUCCUUUCCUAGUGUACUACAUGCAAAGUGAUAUGCUAGGUAUCUCUAAAUCCUUGGUCCGUCAUCUAGAGAAUUUCACCCCGCACCUUGGUCCGGCUACGUGUGUAUAAUUUACUAACCCUUACCUUUACCUCAUAUUAGACAUCACAUCGAUGUUUGGCUUAGUUAUCACUUCACACCCAUCGACACUAGACUAUUAGAUAGUACCACACUAAAUCUAUGUUGAUAAUUCUUAUCUUGUUGAUUACCUCCUUGGUCCUGCAAGUACCAACAAGGGGAGUUCUAACAUUGCGCACCGUUAAAAAGUCUCUUAAACCAAAGAAUUAUCAAUGCAUGCAAAACACUAUUCAAGAAUUGCGUAUUUACUAUUGAUACUUUGUUAAUCGCUCAUGGUUCCUACAACCCUAGUUGUGGAGUUUAGUUACCCAUAAUCAUAUGAACACAAUUAAUUGUUUUAGAUGAAAGAAUUAUGAACUUACAUAAUUUAGAAUAGCAAACCCAAAAUUCCAACUUGAGUUUCAAUACCAAAAUCUUCAAAAUCAACUUAGGAAAUCAAGAAUUGCUAGGUUUGAAAAAAUUAAUCCCAAGUCACAAAGUAGAACUAAAGUAAUAAAGUCUAACCCCAAAAAUGAGGUUUACAUACCCUAUUUAUAGAAAACAUGUCCUAAUUAAAAAGGGAAACAAAAUAAGGAAAGUUUGUUGAGGCACGCGUCUUCAAUCCACGAUACUAACUCAUGGACCGUCAAUGGAUCUACCGUCCUUGAGUCCCUUCCGUCAGCCAGGACUUGGAAGAUAUUUAAGCUUCCAAAAAAUCAGUUUCUCUGAAGCAAACGAUGGAACACCAGUACGGACCGUAGAUCGAUCUACGGUCCAUCGAUCCAUCUCCGUAGAUCCAUACUUAGAAUUCUCCAAAAAUCAGGUACUGGAACCCUCACAGUCACAUUCUACGGUUCAACAGUAUGGUCCGUAGGUCAAUCUACGAACUGUCAAUGGUCACCGUGGUUCCACACUUAAUCAGAUUCCCUGAUUCUCCUUCCAUGCCUUGCACUGCUGAUCUACGGUCACCAUCUAUGGAGUGUCAAUGGACUUACGGUCCGUAGAUCACCUCCGUAGAUGCCCUUUUCUACACAUCUUUCAGUUGUCUCUUUAUUUCCGUGCCUGAACAUCUUUAUUGCAAAAUAUGAUAAAACCACAUAAAAAUCAAUACAAAAAGGCCCUAGAAACACACAACUCUUAAGUGAAAUGUAGUAAAAAUACCGUAAACUCACGGUAUAUCAACACCCUCAACUUAAAUUCGUUGUUUGUCCUCAAGUGACGCACUAAGACUCUAAACGACCGGGGUAUUGAAGCAAUCAAUUUAAGCUCAAGCAAUCACAUGGCUCUCUAUCCCAACUCUCUUUUCGGGUGCAAAAUCUGUUCUCUUAGAGUCGACAAGCUAAUUCUUGCGGAUUAAAAUAUGAUAAAUAUCAACUAACCAACACACAACAUAUACUGUUUCACUAUCACCAAGGUACCAACUUUCCGACAAUGUAACUAGUGCCCUGACUUCAAACGAAAUCCCUUUUCACAUAAUGAAUAUGAAUUUGAGUACAAGGAUUCACUCAACACUCACACUCAGAAGUAACUUCAAGUACUGUUAGUGAUCAAUACCAUAGGCUUGCCCUUAUUUUCACUGCUUAGACUCUCUAAACUAGAUUCUAGGAUCACUAUAGGACUUUCUUGGCUUGUAACGUAGGCUCAGGGGGUCAGGUGUGGUACAUUUGGGUACUUCUUAGUGAGUUUCUGUCCUCCUUGACAUUACACUAAGCUUUCAACCUCUUUUUACCCUAUUUUUGACAUCCUACCGUUUUACCUUCUUUCCCUUUAUUUUCUUCAACCAUGGAUGUGACUUUAGACUUUGUAGCUCUUGAAUAUUCACUUUCAUCUUUUUAUUACGUUUUAUUCUUUUCUUUUAGCUUUAAACAAGUCACAUCCUUUCCUCUCUUUUUCUUUUUCUCUUUUUCAACAUCAAACUCUUUUCAUACCCAUUUUUCUUUCGGUUUCCUCUUUCAUAGCCACACUCAACUUAUGAAUUUUCUAUUGGUUGAGAUGCACAAUACCCAAUGUCGGAUCAUGGCCAAGAUUGAAGUUACUUUUUACAUUAGCCACCCUCAACUUAGGCUUUUGGCCUAAGUCGAGAUGCACAUGUCCAAAGAGGGACCGGGGCCAACAUAGUAGAUUAUGGGAAGGUGAGUUAGGGGUUUAGAAAUAAAUGGUCUAAUUUAGGCUAAAAGCAUUUGGAUCAAAGGGAGCUUUUAUUACAUUUGGUUGGACUAUUCUUUUAGGCAAUUUGUUGACUUAUCAAAACAAGGGCCUAUGAUCACUUCCUAGCCUCUAGAGUAGAUUGUCUUAGUAGGACUAAUCGGGCAAGUUCUAGAUUGGGACAAAAACUGUUUGAACAAUCAACUAUUCUCACACACUCUUGGCACAUAGUUUCAUUAACAGAUUAUCAGAUUACCCAAUUCAAGUUUUAGCUUAAGUCAUGCCAUCAAGUUGAUUCAUUAUCAUGUCAUACUCAGAGCCAACACAUUUAACCUACCGUAAUCUACAAAUUCUAGCACACAUCACAAAAUUUGGACGGGUAUCAUUUUUCAUAAGCCAUCAUGCCCUAUUCUUUUUCAUGCUUCUACACAUACGAUCCUAACACAUGCUAGUUCAACAGAAAUUAAACAGUCUCUUGGGAGAAAAGAACACAGGCAAGAAAACCCCAAGAGAGGAUUACGAGUUGGGUUACUCAUACUUCACCAUAUCACACACAAUCUAUUUAGCCCAUCCCCAACAAAAAAAGGUGCACUUGUCCCCAAUGCACAAAAAAAAAGCAGUAAAAUGCCCUAGCAGCAGCCUCAAACGCCCUUUUUCUGGUGCAACUCCUCAUCUAAUAUCGAUGCUCUCUUAGCCUGCUCCUCCUCCUUACGCUCAUUUUUUCUAGUUCGAGCACCAUCAACGGUUUCAGAAGGGUGACUAGAGCGGUUCCUGUUUCCACGAGCACGGGUGGGAUCGGGCUGUGUCUCUGCGUCCACCCUGAAUAAGGCAUCCAGAACGGUAUUCUCAUACAAUACCAUCGGUGCAUGCUCUGGCUCAUUCACAUGCAUCUCAAGAAGGGCAUCCACAUCAGCUCAGAGAUUAGCAAACUACACACGGAUGGAGGAAAGAUCGGUGUCGGGGGUUGGUCGGGCCAUAACUAUCAACUCAAACGCAUCCAGGCAUUUAUGAACUGCCUGGAUCUGCUGCUCUGUCUGCUUUUCCACCCUUUGCUUCAUUCUGGCUUCAGACUUUGCUAUCGACUUUUGCAUCCAAGGAUGGAUGUGGUGCAACAGUAUGGCCAUCGGGACAACAGCAGCUCGUGACGAUAGUGUGGACCUGGAUGAGCUAGGAGCCCUAUUAAUGGCCUGAUAAGAGGAGGCUGGUAUAGUAUUGGUGUGGCCUGGUAUAAUGGGAUCACCGUCCAGUGCUUGCUCCACCGUGUCUGCAGGCUCUGUGCCCAAGGGAGGUACCUCAACCUGGGGCUCUCGACGUGGUGCCGCCACAUUUGCGUCAUCUCAAAUGAGGCCUAUAUCCAAAGUCCUAGUAGGGUUGAUCAACUUGUUACAGUGCCAGAUUGGCACUCUAGAAUCCCUGCACAACUGAAAAAUCAAACAUGGAAAGGGGUAAGUAGUGGAGGUCUUGAACGCCUUCUCGUGAAUCUCUGCCACCAGUAUGUGGGCAAAGUUAAUCUCCAAUCCUGCUACUAAUGCUGCAACCAUGACGGCUUUGUCCCAUGUGAGUUUGUUGUUUGCUUUUGUAGGCGACAACCUGUUACAGAACAACAACCAGAAGAACUUGGCCACAAAAUUUAAUGUGGCCUUUCAGAUACCCAACCGUGGUGCGGUGACCCACUCCGCACGCUCUUCAUCUGCAACAAUAUAUUUAGCCAACCAUAGUGUAAUAGCAACCCGCUGCUCCACAUUUCUCUGGAAAGCACCUCCCCGCAUGAUGUCCCAUCGAUAAUCAAACUCUGCUGUGUUCAGUGAGCUAGAGUGACCGGUGAUAGAACCAUAGAGAAAUCGGCUGAUAGUAGCCCAUGAAAUGUCUAUCGGACAACCUCGAACCAUGGUGUAAGUGAGAGGAUCCUGUUUUGUGGGCUUGGCCCGCUUGGAAAUCGCCCCUCGGAGAGUGGCAGCAUAGGAAGCAUAAAUCUCCUGCACAAUCACCUCGCUAUAUGUCCCAGGUGCUUGGGCCAUCUUGUCGCACUUGUGUAGGUUGAAAAACCAGUGUAUCUCUGGUACGGUGUGCAAUCUCCCAGUGAGGACUCUACGCUCCUCAGUGAUCAAUCGGGACAUCUUCUCCUUCUUGUUGAGCAUGUUGGUGUCACGAUAGAUCUGCCACUGCCCCUUAACACACCAUCUAUUUGGUUUGCCAUCCGCUGGAGUAGGGUUAUCAUUCUGUGGUGCUGGCACUGCCUCUGAGAUAGUGGCCUCAUCAGACGAGGCAUCGUUAUCAUGCGACCCUGAGCCUGUGGCGGAUCCAGAACCUGAGUCGAAAGCAUGGGCAGCCUAAGAGCUGAAAGCAGAGGCAGACUUUGAGACAGAAGUAGAACCAGCCUCAGAACCAGAAGCAGAACCAGCCGGUGACUCGAUCAGUGUAUUCUCCUCAUCAGACUAGGAGACAGUGACUACGUUAGUGACCACCUGUCGAGAUGCAUUCUGGGUAGCCUGAGAUGCAGUAGGGGAUGUCCUUGUGGUCAGUGAAGCAUAUGCAGGAUCCUUUUCUGCGUCCGUGUCUUCAUCAAUCAGCCUAAAAGUAGGUUAUUUGCCCCUUUUGGAGUAGGUCACUUGCUUCUUAGGCGCCAUGGUACCUGUGGAUGUGGAAUUAGUACCAAAAUAAACUCAUACCACACUCGAAAAGAUUUUAGAACUAAGAACGAACAAAAAUGAAAAACAGAAAAUAAUUCAGACAGUGGUUUCAGUGGCCACCUACCGUGGGCAUCUACGGUCCGUAGGCUGACCUACGGUCCGUGGAUCCCUUCCGUAGAUCAGAGGUACCAAAAAGUUCAUCUCUGAUGGGAACCACGAAUGUGCAGAAUGGUCCGUAGAAUGAUCUACGGAUCGUAGUCCACUUCAGUGGUUCCAUACUUGGUAAAAUUCCCAUGUGCCCCCAACCACGGACAUGAUCUACGGUCCGUAGAUUGAAUUACGGUCCGUAGACGGGGUCUCGUGGAUGGGAUCUGUGCCAGGUUUUAGGCAUCCUUCAAGUUGACCCCAAUUUGACCCAUUUCAAAAGUAUCCUAGUUUAACCAUGCUUUUCAACAUUCAAUCAUGCUAGUUCGUCAUUCUCGGGAUUCCAAUUAAUUAUUUUAACAAGUCUUUAAGACAAACUUUGGAACCCUAAGUCAAAACUUACAUUUAGACUAUAAUUACACACAUCUCAAACAAUAUUACGACACACAAUCACUAUCCAUCAUCCCAAGGGUGUUUGCAAGUCAAUUCAUAAAACACAUACCCAUUUCAAUUCUAUUACCUUACAAGCAACGAGGAGUGGUGGGAUUGUGUGAUAACACUAAGCUUUGCAAUACCACACUAAUCGCCUAGUUGCACCGGACCUUGUGGGGAGUUUUGGGGAUGAGUGCAGUUUUGGAGAUGAAAGGGAAUUUAGGAUUUUGGGGAAGAGAAAAGGAAGAUUAAUUGGGGAAUGAUGGAGUGAUUAUGGAGUGAUUUAAGGGAUCGGGGAGUUUAGAAACGGUUUGGGAAUAAAUGGAGGGAAGUGGGAAUGAUUUAAAAGGUGGGACUUUUAAAUAUGAGAGUCCAGGUUGGGUCAGUCCAACUUAGGGUUAGGACCUACGAGACCCCGUUUACGGUUCGUAAAUCGAUCUACGGUCCGUCAAUUCGGACCGUAGGACGAUCUACGGUCCGUCAAUUUGGACCGUAGAUCACCUUCACACUUAGAAAAAAUUAGACAUUUACAUGGGAUCUACGGACACCAUUCAUGGUCCGUGGAUGAAUUGACGGACCGUCGAUGGGGUUCGUAGACCUCUGCACCAGACAAUUUUUUGUAGAUUUUUCAUAGCGCGCCUGCACAUGUAGCAACCAUUAGGCUAUUCUUUUUACAUUUUCUUGACACUUUUUUAGACACGUACCCUAUGCUAAUUCUAGCCAACACUAAUACAAAACUAAAACACCUAUCUAAAUUAAUACAGAGAAUCAACUAAACAAAGAAAACUACUAGAUGGGAAACAAAAACCUAUAGUUGGCUAGAUUGUACAUCUUGGGUUGCCUCCCAAGCAGCGCUUAAUUUAACGUCGCGACACGGCGCAAGCUUCUUGAUUACUCAGACUUCAUCAAGAACAUAAGCCUCAACAACCUCUUGCACACUUUUUGCGCUUCCCAGAUAGAUCUUGAUCCUUUGCCCGUUUACCAUGAACCUUGUUCCAUCCUUUUUUUCAAGCUCAACCGCCCCAUGGGGGAACACUUUUGUGAGCAAAAAUGGCCCAGUCCAUUUGGACUUGAGUUUGCCUGGAAACAAGCGCAACCUAGAGUUGAAUAGAAGCACAAGAUCACCCACAACAAAUUCUCGCUUUUCAAUUCUUUGAUCAUGAUACCGUUUCAUCUUCUCUUUGUACAAGGCACAUCUUGGGUUGCCUCCCAAACAACGCUUGAUUUAACGUCGUGGCACGAUGCAAUUUUCUUGAUUACUCAGACUUCAUCAAGAUUGUAGGCCUCAAUCACUUCUUGCACAGUUUCAGCAUUUCCCAAGUAGAUCUUGAUCCUUUGCCCGUUUACCAUGAACCUUGUUCCUUCAAUGUUCUCAAGCCCAACCACUCCAUGGGGGAGCACUUUUGUGAACAAAAAUGGCCCGGUCCAUUUGGAUUUGAGUUUGCCCGGAAACAAGCGCAACCUNNNNNNNNNGAUCACCAACUACAAAUUCUCGCUUUUCAAUUCUUUGAUCAUGAUACCGUUUCAUCUUCUCUUUGUACAAGGCUGAACAUUCAUAAGCUUGUAGGAGAAAUUCAUCUAGCAUAUUCAAGUAAUUCAUUCUUUGAUUAGAUGCGGUGCCCCAAUCCAAAUUUAGCUUCUUCAUCGCCCACAAAGCCUUAUGCUCUAGCUCUACCGGUAAAUGGCAAGACUUCCCAUAUACAAGUUUGUAACGAGACAUACCUAUGGGAGUCUUAUAUGUUGUGCGAUAGGCCCAUAGAGCAUCAUCAAGCUUCCUUGACCAAUCCGUUCUAUUAGCAUUCAGUCUUUGCCAAAAUCUGUUUGAUCUCCAUGUUGGACACUUCAAAUUACCUACUAGUUUGUGGAUGGUAAGGAGUGGCUACAUUGUGGCGGACACAAUAUUUCUCAUGUAGCGCCUUGAACAACUUAUUACAGAAGUGGGAACCUCCAUCACUGAUAAUCACCCUCGGUGUACCAAAUCUGAAGAAGAUAUUCUUUUUCAAAAAUGUUGUGACACUUUUACCUUCAUUGUUGGGGAGCGCAACUGCUUCCACCCACUUUGAUACAUAAUCAACCGCAACAAGAAUAUACUUCAUCCAAUGUAAACUCACAAAUGGACCCAUAAAAUCAAUGCCCGAUACAUCAAACAACUCUAUCACCAAUAUAGGAUUCAUAGGAAGCUCUUGCCUCUUUGAAAUCUCUCCUUCUCUUUGGUAACGAUCACAAGACUUGGCGAAAUCAAGAGCAUCUUGGUGGAUGGUAAGCUAGUAGUACCCACACUGCAAAAUCUUGUGCGCAGUCCGAAUACCACUAUGAUGACCACCAACAGGCGAUGAAUGAUAUGCUUCAAGUACAUUCAACAUCUUAACCUCGGGCACACAACGACGAAUAAUCCCAUCAGCACAACUAUGAUACAAGUAAGGCUCAUCCCAAAAGAAUUUCUUCACAUCAUGCAUAAAACUUUUCCUUUCGUGAAAAGACAAAUCCAGGGGCACCAAAUCACUUGCUAAAUAAUUAUCAAAGUCUGCGAACCAAGGAAUCAGAUCAUGAAAAGCAGCCAAUACCUGUUCAUUUGGAAAAGCAUCAUUAAUUUCAGCCCUAUCACCAAGCUUUAGGAUAGCCUCUUCCUCUAAUUUGGACAAGUGAUCGGCAACUUGAUUUUCGGUCCCCUUUAUAUCUUUUACCACAAAAUCAAACUCUUGCAGCAACACUACCCAUCUAAUCAACCUCGGUUUUACAUCCUUCUUCGCCAUCAAAUACCUCAAUGCAGAAUGGUUAGUAUGCACGAUGACCUUGGUACCAAGAAAGUAGGAUAGAAAUUUCUCGAAUGCGAAAACCACCACAAGAAGUUCUUGUUCAGUCACAGUAUAAUUCUUCUAGGCCACAUUUUGAGCUUUGCUAGCAUAGUAAAUAGGGUGAAGAAUUUUCUCUCUCCUCUGUCCUAAUACUACACCAAGCGCCACUCCACUCGCAUCACACAUUACCUCAAACGGUUGUCCCCAAUACUGUGAAAUAAUGAUAGGUGCAGUAACCAACUUCUCUUUCAACUCUCCAAAUGCUCUCAGACAAGCAUUAUCAAAAUCAAACUUAUACUCCUUUUCGAGCAGUUUGCACAAUGGAUGUGCAAUUUUAGAGAAGUCCUUGAUGAACCUCCUCUAGAAACCUGCAUGCCAAAGAAAACUUCUAACACCUUUUAUAGAGAUCUGUGGUGGAAGCUUUUCUAUUACCUCUACUUUUGCUCUAUCAACCUCAAUGCCCUACUCAGAAAUCCGAUGACCCAGAACUAUCCCUUCCUUCACCAUAAAGUGGCACUUCUCCCAAUUUAGCACCAGAUUGCAGUCUUCACAUCUUUUAAGAACCUCAACCAGAUGAUCUAGACAUCGAUCAAAAGAGUCACCUACUACAGAGAAAUCAUCCAUGAACACUUCAAUAGUGUCCUCCACCAUAUCGGAAAAUAUCGACAUCAUACAGCGUUGGAAGGUCGUUGGAGCAUUGCACAACCCAAAUGGCAUCCGUUUAAAAGCAAAAUCCCAUAAGGGCAAGUGAAGGUGGUCUUCUCUUGAUCUUCCGGAGCUAUAGAAAUUUUAUUGUAGCCCGAAUCCCCAUCAAGAAGUCAAUACCAACCCUUUCCUGCAAGUCUAUUCAAUAUCUGGUCCAUGAAUGGUAUAGGAAAAUGGUCAUUCUCUGUCCACACAUUCAAUUUCCGGUAAUCCAUGCAGACUCUCCAUCCGGUCAUGGGCCGAAUUGGAACAAGCUCGUUUAUCUCAUUUGGAACCACAGUAAUACCACCCUUUUUAGGUACACACUGCACAGGACACACCCAAUUACUAUCUGCAAUGGGAUAAAUAACUCCGGCAUCCAACCACUUGAUGAUCUCCUUUUUAACUACCUGUUGCAUAGGUGGAUUUAAUCUUCUUUUGUGCUCGAUACUAGGCCUGUAAUCUGGCAUGAGUUGGAUUUUGUGAGAACAAAUACAUGGAGGAAUCCCAAUAAUAUCCGCAAUAGUCCACCCAAUAGCUCGCUUGAACCUUUUUAACACAGUCACCAAGCACUCUACUUGUCUCGCAUUUUAAUCUGCCGAAAUAAUGACCGGCAAAGUAUUAUCUCUACCCAAGAAUACAUACCUCAAAUGCGGUGGUAAAGCCUUAAGCACCAAUUUCGGUGACUCCACCACAGAUGGUCUCGCGGGUGGGAACUCACGAUUCUUCAUGUUUGACACAUACCUCUUUGGUUUUGACCGAUAUUCGCACCUAUCAAGUGCAACUACCAACCCAUCGUACUCUUCAAUACCAUCACUGUUGAAAUUCAUCAUAACUGUUGUUAGUGCCUCAACACCUAGUCGCUCUUCAAUUUGCACUUCUGUUUCACUCUCAACUCUGUAAGUUAUGAAAGAUACCGUUUGGAGCUCACCACUCUGCUUCAUGGACCUACACAUAUUAAAAGUUGCUUCUUCAAUGUUCAGUCUGAACUUCAUCUGCCCCUUCUCCAUAUCAACCAAAUGCAUGCCCUGUGGCAAGGAAUGGUAUCUCAAGAAUGAUGGGAACCUCAAAAUCAACCUCAAAGUCAAGAAUCACAAAAUCCGCCGGAAAGAUGAACGACUCCACUUUCACUAGCAUAUCAUGGAGUACACCAAUGGGCCUUUUCACGGUUUUAUUGACCAUAAGUAACCGCAUCGUAGUAGGCUUUGGAUCCCCUAGACCCAACUUCUUAUAAAUAGAGAAUGGCAUGAGGUUGAUGCUAGUACCAAGAUCACACAAUGCCUUAGCAAAGUGUAACAACCCUAUAAUACAUGGAAUCGUGAAAGCAUCAUGAUCUUCCUUCUUCUGCACAAGAGACCUUGUAGAAAUAGCACUACAAUGCUGCAAUUUAUCAUCAUCUUCAAAACUCACAGACAUUUUCUUCGUCACCAUAUCUUUCAUAAACUUUGCAUACCCAGACAUUUGCUCCAAAGCUUCUAUCAACGGAACGUUGAUGGAAAGCUGCUUCAACAUAGUAAUAAACCUGCAAUAUUUACCAUCUUCAGUCUUCUUCACUAACCUCUGUGCAAAAGGUGGUGGAGGUCUAGGUAUGGGGACCACUUUCUGAGAUAUCUCCGCUUCUUUCUCUGUCGCAUUCUCAAACUCUUCUCUAACAUCUACCUCAUCAUCGUCUUUUCUAAUCUCAACGUCCAUCCCUGACGGCAUAGGUUAUCAAUGGUGUACUUACCUCCUUGAGUUGUAACUGCCAUACAAUGACCAUCAUUCUUUGGAUUCUGGAUAGUGUUGCUAGGAAGAAUGCCAGGUUUAAGUGGGUUCACUAUAGUAGACAACUGAGUCAUCUGCUGCUCUAGAUGUUUUAUUGACACAGCAUGGGCAUCAACCUUUUAACCAAUACCAGACAAGUCGUUUCUCAUGUUCUUUACAUUCUCACCAGUUGCAUCAAACCUUCUCCUCAUCUUCUGCAUCAUAUCUUCAAUACGCGCCAAAUUGCCACCAGCUUUGCUAGUACCAGAUUCCUGAAUUUGAAGGGAAACAUAAGGUCCAACCUGAUCAUUUCUGUUUCCAUAGUUGUUCUAGUUAUAGUUAUUGUCGUGAUUGAAGUUCCCAUCCCGGACAUAUUGACCCUCUCGGUUGUAAUUGCCAUAGUUCCGACCUUGGUUCCUUGACCCUGGCGCCAAUUUUCCGUGUUGGAUCCUUGGGCGUUUGGUCGGAAACCCCCCUUCUGAUCAUUCACCGCAUAAGCAUCCUCUUCAUAGUAACACUCUUCAACUGGUGGUGGAGUUCUAGUCAAGUAAUUCACAACUUUUAGCUUUUCCGCACUUCCACUCACAUGCUUUAAUACCAACCCCAACUCGGUCCUUAUCUGAGCCGUCUCCUCACGAAUGUCAUCCACAGGCUGGUUGUUUGUAGCAUGAACGACAAAUGUGUUUCUCCUAGUAUCUGAUCUCCUAGUGGUCCAUGCUUUAUUGUUACCAGAGAUCUUCUCCAAUUUUUGUGCAAUCUGUGCGUAUGUGCACUCACCAUAUGAACCUCCCGCAAUAGUAUCAAGCACUGCUUUAUUGUUGUCAUCCCGAUCUCGAUAGAAAUAUUCCUUCAGCGAAUCAUCAUCAAUACGGUGAUUUAGAACACCUCUUAUGAAUGUAGUGAAUCUAUCCCAAGAGCUACUCACAGACUCUCCAGGUGGUGCCACAAAAUUGUUGACCUUAUCUUCGUGAUUGAUCUUCUUGGACACUGGAUAAUAUCUUGCUAAGAACACAUCAUUCAGUUGGUCCCAUGUAUAGAUUGAACUAUAAGGAAGCUCUGUGAACCAUACAGUAGCAUUGCAUGUCAGUGAUAGAGGGAACACUCGCAAUCCGAUGACAUCCAUAUCCAAGUUUGGUCGACCUACGCAGCUCUUGCAAUCCACUCUUAGCUUGGCUAUGUGAGCAUGUGGGUCCUCCGAUGGCAACCUUGAGAACAAGCCCCUCGCUGUAAGCAUAUGUAUCAAGCUACUGGUCGCUACAAAUGUGUGCCCCGGAGUAAAAGGGGGUAGGACAAGAGGUCCAUCAGAGUCAGCUAUAUUGACGUUACCCUAUAGUUUUCAUACAGUCGUGGGCCUGGUGGACCAUGCAUCCUCACUGCAUCUCCCAAUUGAUUUUCAGCUAGAACCUGGUUGUCCCCACCAACUACCCUCGGAGGUUGCAUUAAUUGCCUAGAUUGCUUCCUAUAGGAUUAACUUGAACUCCUUGAUUGUUCAUUCUUCGCAAAGUUCGGUUCAACUCUGGAUCGUAAGGAUUAAGUGCUUCACCCUGGCUCCGUGUACUUGGCAUACACUAGAGUCAGAACCUGAGAGAGACAAAAACAAAAAGAAAAAGUAAAAUUAGGAAAUAUUUGACUGAAGUUCAAUAAUGUAGUUAAAAUAAAUUUAAAAGCCAAAGUCCCCGACAGCUGUGCCAAAAUUUGAUAAGCUCAAAAUACACCUCCCUAAAGAAGCAUAAGCGAUCAUUAUCAAGUAAAGAACCCAACUUGUAGGUUGGGGUCGAUCCCACGAGGAAAAUGGUUUAGACUUCACUUUAACCAACAAUUAUAUUUGUUUAGUCAAAUUACUUCCAUAAACAAGUAAUUACGGGAGGGGGGGGAUUUGUGAAACAAAUUGUAAGAAUUCAGUAAAUAAUCAGUAAACAAAGGUCAAUUUUGGUUGUUAUCAAGAUGAGAGAAUUAACUAGGGUAUACGGGUUCCCGACAACCUCAUAACGCAGUAAUCCUAGUUUCCGAGUGUACUACAUGCCAAGUGAUAAGCUAGGUAUCUCUAAAUCCUUCAUCCUGCAUCUAGAGAAUUUCACCCCGCACCUUGGUCCGGCUACGUGUGUAUAAUUUACUAAUCCUUACCUUUACCUCAUAUUAGACAUCACAUCGAUGUUAGGCUUAGUUAUUACUUUGCACCAAUCGACACUAGACUAUUAGAUAGUAUCACACUAAAUCUAUGUUGAUAAUUCUUUUCUUGUUGACUACGUCCUUGGUCCGGCAAGUAACAACAAGGUGAGUUCUAACGUUGGGAACCGUUAAAAAGACUUUUAAACGAAAGAAUUAUCAAUGCAUACAAAACACUAUUCAAGAAUUGCUUAUUACUAUUCAUACUUUGUUAAUUGCUCAUGGUUCCCACAAGCCUAGAUGUGGAGUUUAGUUACCCAUAAUCAUGUGAACACAAUUCAUUGAUUUAGAUGAAAGAAUUAUGAACUUACAUAAUUUAGGAUAUAGAAAACCCAGAAUUUCAACUUGAGUUUCAAUACCAAAAUCUUCAAAAUCAACUUAGGAAAUCAAGAAUUGCUAGGUUUGUAAAAAGUAAACCAAACUCACAAAGUAGAACUAAUUUAAUAAAGUCCAACCCCAAAGAGGAUGUUUACAUACCCUAUUUAUAGAAAACAAGUCCUAAAUUAAAAGGGAAAAGUAUAAGGAAAGUUUGUUCAGGCACACGUCUUCAAUUCAUGAGACUGACUCACGGACCGUCAAUGGAUCUACGAUCCGUGAGUCCCUUCCGUUAGCUAGGACUUGGAAAAUAUUUCAACUUCCAAAAAAUCAGCUUCUCUGAAGCGAACGACGGAACAUCAGUACGGACCGUAGAUUGAUCUACGGUCCAUCGAUCCCUCUCUGUAGCUCCAUACUUAGAAUUCUCCAAAAAUCAGGUACUGGAACCCUCGCAGUCACAUUCUAUGUUUCAGUAGUACGAUCCGUAGAUCAAUCUACGGACCGUCAAUGGUCACCGUGGUUCCACACUUAGUCCGAUUCCUUGAUUCUCCUUCCAUGCCUUGCCCUGCUGAUCUACGGUCACCAUCUACAGAGUGUCAAUGGACCUACGGUCCGUAGAUCACCACUAUAGAUGCCUUUUUCUGCACAUCUUUCAGUUGUCUCUUUAUUUCUGUGCCUGAACAUCUUUCCUGCAAAACAUGAUAAAAAUCAAUACAAAAAGGCCCUAGACACACACAAAUCUUAAGUGAAAUAUAGUAAAAAUAUCGUAAACUCAAGGUAUAUCAUAAACUGAGGGCCUAUAUAUGAGAUGAUAGGAAAAGGAACCCCAUGCAACCUGACUAUAUCAUUAAUAUGAAUCUUGGCGUAGUCAUCUGCCGAAUAUGUAGUCUUGACAACCAAGAAGUGAGCGGACUUAGAAACUCUAUCUACUAUUAUCCAAAUAGAAUCAUGUUGUCUGCGGGGUUAACUUGUAAUGAAGUCCAUGUUUAUCACUUUCCACUUCCAUGUAGUAAUGUUUAUUUCUUAAGUCAUGCCUCCUGGUUUCUGAUGUUCUACCUUAACAUGUUGGCAAUUAGAACACUUAGCCACAAAAUCUGCUAUGUCUCUCUUCAUGUGGUUCCACCAAAAUACUUCUCGCAGAUUACGGUACAUCUUAGUGUCACCUGGAUGAAUAAAAUAUCUAGAAUUAUGAGCCUUUAUAAGGAUCUGUUGCCUCAAAUGACCCACCCUAGAACACAUAACCGACCCUGAUAACGAAGAACAUCAUCUUUCCCUUGGGAGAAAACCUCUACUUUCUGCUCGUGAACUGCACCUUUCAAAUGAAGCAAUAUAGGAUCACUAUCCUAUUUUUGCUUAACCUCAGCUACCAAUGAAGAUUAAGAGCUACUCUGGACUAUUACUCCCCCACCUAACGAGUCUACAAGACCAACUCCUAAACAAGCAUGCAUGUGAACAUCUUUUGCUAAUUCCUUCCUUUCUUCCUCAACAUGUGAUACACUACCCAUAGAUAAUAUUCUAAGAGCAUCAACUACUACAUUGUCUUUACCUAAAUGGUAAAUCACAUUCAUAUCAUAUUCCUUGAGGAAUUCAAGCCAUCUCCUUUGGUGAAUAUUUAACUCUUUCUAUGUGAACACAUACUGAAGGAUUUUAUGGUCUGUGAACACAUCUAUGUGAACACCAUACAAGUAAUGUCUCCAAAUCUUUAGGGCAAAUAAUACGGCUGCAAGCUCAAGGACAUGAGUCGGAUAAUUCAUCUCAUGCACCUUAAGAUGUCUAGAAGUAUAAGCUAUAACCUUACCUCGCUGCAUCAACACACAACCUAGGCCGACUCUGGAUGCAUCACAAUAGAUCACAUAACCAUUUGAACCCUCUGGUAGAGUUAAAACAGGAGUUGGAGUCAACCUAGUUUUUAGUUCUCCGAAGCCCUUCUCACACUUAUCAGACCACUGAAACUUUAACUUUUUUCUAAGUCAACUUAGUCAAUGGAGAAGCUAUGGAUGAAAAUCCUUCCACCAACCUUCUAUAAUAACCCGCUAGACCCAAGAAACUUCUGAUAUCUGUAGCAGAGGCAGGUCUGGGCCAUUGUUUCACUGCUUCUAUCUUCUGGGAAUCUACUCAAAUUCCUGAUAUCUGUAGUAGAGGUGGGUCAGGGCCAUUGCUUCACUGCCUCUAUUUUAUGAGAAUCCACUUGAAUCCCUUCGCUAGACACUAUAUGACCAAGAAAAGCAACUGAUUAUAACCAAAACUUGCAUUUGCUAAACUUAUCAAAUAACUGGCGAUUUUUGAGAGUUUGUAGGAAAUCCCUCCAAUGAGUAGCAUGUUCUUCGUCAUUGCCAGAGUAAAUAAGGAUAUCAUCAAUAGAUACGAUAACGAACAAGUCCAAAUACUUCUUGAAUACACUGUUCAUCAAAUUAAUGAAAGAUGGAGGGGCAGUGCUUAGUCCAAAAGACAUAACUACAAAUUCAUAAUAACCAUACCAAGUUUUGAAGGCUGUUAUCGGGAUAUCACUAUCUCUGACUCUGAGCUGAUGAUAACCAUAUCUCAGGUCUAUUUUCGUAAAUUGACUAGCACCUUGAAGUUGGUUGAACAAGUCAUCAAUCCUGGGAUAGGGUACUUAUUCUUGAUUGUGACUUUGUUCAACUGCCGAUAGUUAAUGCACAUCCUGAGAGAACCAUCUUUCUUUUACACGAACAACACUAGCGCACCCCAUGGGGAAAUACUAGGUCUGAUGAAGCCCUUAUCUAAAAUGUCUUUCAACUGUUAUUUCAAUUCCUUAAGGUCAACUGGAGCCAUUUGUAAGGAGGAAUAUAAAUAGGCUGGGUAUCUGGAAGGAGAUCAAUUCUGAAGUUGAUUCCUUUCGGGAGGAACUCCGGGAAGAUCUUCUGGAAAUACUUCUGCAAACUCGUUUACUACAGCAACUGACUCAAGAGUUGGGGUUUCGUAUCUUUAAUCCCUAACCCGAACUAGAUGAUAGAGAUACCCUUUAGAGAUCAUCUUUCGGGCCUUAAGGUAAGAGAUAAAUUGACCCAUAGGCACUGAGCUACUACCCUUCCAUUCUAAGAUUGGCUCUUUUGGAAACUGGAAAUGAACAAUCCUAGUUCUAUAAACGACUGAGGCAUAACAUGAAUGUAACCAAUCCAUGCCUACAAAGAUAUCAAAGUCUACCAUUUCUAACUCUACAAGAUCUGGUGAGUUGACUUUUUGAGAGACUGUGACAGGGCAAUUUCUGUAUAUCCAUUUAGCUAUAACUAGGUCACCAACUGGAGUAGAGACUGAGAAGGGUUCUGAAAGAGUUUCUGGACUGACACUGAAGUUGACUUCUAUAUAAGGAAUUACAAAGGAAAGAGUAGCUCCUAGAUCUAACAAAGCAUAUACAUCUAAGUUAAAGACUCGCAAAGUACCAGUGACCACGUCGGGAGAUUCUUCCUGAUCAUGGUGAGCAUGAAGAGCGUAUAACCUAUUCUGGCUUUGACUGCCAAUUGUACGAGAUGAAGCACCGUACUGGGUUGGGGGACCUGCUGGCUGUGCUGAAGCUGUGGACUAAGACUUAUUAUUGUUACCUCCUUACCCCUGCUUGGCAAAAGGGAAAUCCCUUAACCUAUGGCCAGACGGACCACAUCCGAAACACCCUUCUUUCCCUGCAAGACACUCGCCUGGAUAGUUCUUACCAAAUUUGGGACAAGUUGGAUAGGUCCUGCUACCUAGAGCACUGCCAUGGGACUUAGAGCAUGAUGCCCUACUUUUAUUAUCCUGUCUAAACCUGGGGGAUGGAGUAAUAACUGAUGAAGGUGCUGGGGUUGAAUUUUUUUCUGACACUAUGAGUAAUUUCCAUGACCCGAUAUCUGCUGAGAGUACUCAUAGUUACCUAUCCUUGCCUUCUUGUUAUCCUUAGCCAUUUCACUAAGUGUAUUUGUCUCAACCUGCUGAGCAUGAGUCAUGAGCCUAGAGAUAUUAAUUUCUUCUAACAACAUAGCAUUUCUCGACUACGUCUUCACUAAAUCGGACACACCAUACAAAAACUUAGACAUCUAUGCCCUCGAAUCAACAACCAUAUAUGGAGCUUACCAAGAGAAUUGGGUGAACUUAAGCCCGUACUCUUGGAAUGACAUAAAACCCUUCCUCAAAUUCAUGAACUCUUGAGCCUUAGCCUCCCUCAACUCCCUCGAGAAGGAUCUGUCCAAAAAAGCUCUAGUAAAGCAUUCGCAAGUCACAAGAGCUGCAUCAGUACCCUUAUUUUCCUUCCAUUGUGUAAACCAAAUGUGAGCUAGAUCCUUAAGCUGGUAAGAUGACAACUCUACCCUAUCAUUGAUUGAAUAACGUUAUCAAAGACACUUCAUCCUAUUCUAAGCAUCAAUGGUCGUAAAUCAGUAGGAUUGAAUGCCACAUGGAGCGGUACGUGUUUCAGAUUCAAUUGGGAAGUAUGAAAAUGUUCAAAUCAGUCAUAGAAAUAAAAGUUAUUAAAUGAAAACAUCAUUCAAAUCAGGGGUGACACGAAUGUCAAAUGGGGGAUUUUUGUUUUAAUUAUCAACUACAAAUAGCAGUAAACAAUACGAAAUAACGAUAAUGAGAUGGGUUCUUGGGAUGUGAUCGAUUAUAGGCUAAUAUAGACAAAUGUGUAAUUGCAACUAUUAGAAAAUAGCUAAAUAUUAGUGAGUAAGCUAGGCUAUAGAGGAGAUAAACUUUCUCUCGAACAAUUUACCCCGAAUCAAGUUGAUUUCUCUCGAACAUCAACAAGCAUGCAAAAUAAAAACAACCCACACCUUAGUCCAUUCACUCUCUCUCGCUAAAUGUGUGGAAAAGGGUUUAGGAUUCACUCUCUCGAGUAGAACCCAGGCCAACCCAAUACACACAGACCAUCACUCAAACACCUUAGUUCUAAAACCUCUCUCUUGAGCAAGCCUAGAACAUAAAGGUAGAACUGUAUUUGCAACUACAAUUCUUAAAUUAAACCACAAUAAAUGAUUGAACUCACUUUUAAAAAGCAGUUAAACUAACAAUUAGCAAUACCCAUAAGCUAAAUAAGCCCAUAAUGAUAUAAUCACACCCCAAGAAUUGGGGUUUUAGCUAGACAUUAUGAAAAGGUAAAAACAGUUGCCAAAUUGAUUAUCCAUCAACUGGGUAAGUGUAGAUUCCUCCUUACAAUACUCUAAUUCGAAGAAUCUCAAAGACCCACUUCCAAUUUCUCAAAACUGAAAAACUUGAAUUCUUCAAAGCUUAGGAAAAACUAGAGAAAUCUAUCUCCAAAGCUAAAGACAUAAUAGGAACUGGAAGUAUAUGAUCUAAGCUACAAAACUAAAUGUUAAAAAAUGUAUUUAUAGUUGUCAAAAAUGUGAUGCAAAGAGUCAGUCAGUGAAGUAAGUUGCGGUCGAUGAACCACUCGGUGAGCCACCCUUUGGUCACUUUAAUCGCCCUUCUGCCUUGGCAUUCAACAUCCUCAAGGUCUGUAACUUUGGGUGAUCUAACACUGCAUUGCGGAACCACUCGAUGAUCCACCAACUACUCCCUUUCUCACCAACUUGGUUCCUUUCCUUUAGGACUUGGCACACUGGAACUUUAGGCGGUCAAGUAGCCAUUCAAUGACUCGCCAAGUGGACUUGGCGAUCACCAAGCUUGCCUUUCUUCAUUCUUUCAGCUCACUUUGUUCCUUUUCACAAAAUAGUGUCCUUGCUUUGUUCCUAAAUCCAUAUACCUGGAAAUCAAGGGUUUUACAUCAGUUAUUGGCACCAAAUAAGCAUUUGAGGACACCAAAUCUAUAUAAAUAAAGCCUUAAAUGCGUCCAAAUCUCGGACACAUCAAUCAUUCCUAGUUACCUGCAUCAUUCUAAAUAUCUUUUUGACCUCAUCAAUGAAACUCUGUGGGUCCUCAUCAAACGUUGACCUUAGAAAUUCUAGUGGAUUCAUAUGGAAAAUUCUCGAACCCUGGCUGUUGCUGACCAAUUAUUAGCAUUAGUAGGAAUUAGGGCCUGCUGAUUAUUCUGGUUAGUCACACUCUGAGCCAAAAACUGAAUUGCAUUUCAAAACUCCACAUUCAAAACCUCCUGAUCUAGGACUGGAGGAGCUAUGUUAGCAUUUCUUGCGUUAGCUCUACGAGGAGGCAUGAUCUGAAAUGCAAAACGAUGAGUUAGAAAUGAAAAGUUGGAUCGUACCUUAUGCACGAUAAGAGUAGCAAAGAAAGUGAAGUUUUCCUAAAACACUUCGUAGCCUCCCCCUCAUCAGAUAUGGUGCACUUCACACCCAUGAAAGAGACUCUACUUAGUGCGGCUUUUCAGACAUGCUAGGACUUUUAAACCGAAUUCUCUGAUACCAAGUUUGUCACACCCUGAGGCUACCCCCUUGACAUAAACACGGGACCUUUGAUCACGAGUGACCCCAAGCUAACCCUGAGCAGACAUAUCAUAAGCAUUCUUAAACAACUAAACCAUAGAUAUUAUGCGGAAGCUUAAAACAUAAGAUAAAAUAUAUAGUGGGGAAUACCCAAUCUAAGUCUGAAUAUAUAAAUACUGAAAAAUAGUUUAGAAUACUGAACUAUAACUCAAAAGAUAAAGCUGAAUUUGUCUAUGUCUCGAAUAAGCCUCUAAUUGACUAGAGAUGCUAGGACAUUUCCCUUAGAAAACUCUAAUAAAACUGAAACUAAAAUGAAAGACUGAAUGUAAAUGAACAUGUCUAUCGUCCUCAAAGAAUGAGGACUCACCACUGAAGCUACUGAACUGGAGAUUGGGAUCUGAUCUAUGUGUUGUCUGGAUGCUGAGUACCUGAACCUAAAUUAUGAAAGAACGUAGCGCAGAGUAUGCGUCAGUACUUGGAAGGUACUGAGCAUGCAAGAUAGGAUAAAAGUUGAACAAAACAUACUAAGCAAUAAUAUAAUUUGAACAUACUGCAAAAUACAAGAAACCUACUGAAAUAAGCUGAACUGAAUACAAUGACCAAGUACAUAACAUGCUAAAACUGAAUACUAAAGUACAAUUGGAAACCUGGUCAAAUGCAUUAAAGUCUGAUGGUGGGAGCUACUGAUAACCGACAUAAAACCACGUGAGCUAAACGUAAAGUCCGAUGUAUACGACCCAUCGAGAGGACCCAAUAUAUCUUGCCAAGGGUAUAUAGGCAUGUCUGGCGGGAUCAGUAAAUGUAAUGCCCACAUAGGUGACUUAUACACCAAUGAGGCAUUCUGAGACUAGAAAUGUGAACAAUAUAUCAUAAGAGAAUAUACUGGAUAGCUCAAUAUUCUGACAUGCAAAUCUGAGAAUGCAACAUUUAUAACUGAACAUGAAACAUUCAAAAUUUGAGGCAUGAAUAUUUGUUUAAACUAACCUAGCUAGUGUAAUUCAUGAACUAAACGAAUCUACACAACUAGGGUUCUGAAUUGCAUGCAAGUAACUAAGAAACGGUGUUACAACAACAUGAAAAUCUUAUUUGGAAUAUGAUAACAGUUAAAUCACAACAACUUCUAAAGUUCAAGAAAACCCUAGGUCUAGAUAAUAUGAAGGAAAUCAAGAAUCUGACUGAAUUCUAGGGACCUAGUGGAUGAAAGGGAUCCACUAGUAAAAUCCCACAUACCUGGUGAUGAAUUUCACGGAGAAAUCUUUCAAUUUUUGAGCUGGAAUUGUUGAAACCUAGUAGCAUUCUUGAAGGGCUUGGUCGACUCUUUCUCCUCUCUUUGUUCUAAGUUUGAUGAUUUCUUGGAGAAUGAUCGAUUAAGGAAGGAUGUGACUAAGUUACUAGGCUUAAACUGACGAAAACUACAUAGUUUAGGUUUCUAACACAUAGGGAAAAACACUAAAAUGACCCUAGCUUAAAAUUUGUCGGGGCCAACGACGGGCCUGACCGACGGUCCAUCCUGGAAUGUAUCAUCUGGCGUCUGGGGUGGGGCUGCGGACCAUGAUCCACAGACCUGGACCACAGACUGUGGUCCCACCUACGGUCUGUAGGUCCUAGCCGUUGGUCGGGCUUUUCUGGUUUUUUUUUAGUAGAGUUGGGGUGGCUAACCAUGGAUACCACCUAUGGUCCGUGGCUCACCAUACGGUCCGUAUGUGGCACCCGUCGGUGGCACCUGCAACCUCUGAAAAUAUGUUGUUUGGUCUAUUUUUGGAUACAAGGUGUUACAUUAUUGCACCAUCAAUUCUGGUGAUCGUACCUAUUGGGUGAUCCGCCCUUUGCAAUAGGUGAUCACAAAAUCUAGAGUUUACACUUGUUUUCAUGUUUGGCCAUUCUUUCACCCAUUCAUCCUUGCCUUGUCCUUUAGCCUUCAUAGCUACAAAUGAUCAAAAUAUCAUUAAAAUAGGACAUAAUAAGGCAUCCAGGACACUAAUUGUUGAGCUUAAUAGGCCUCAAAUGAGUGUAAAUCUACCACUUAUCAAUAGUAUGCUCUAAUUGACCAUCAGUUUGUGGCUGGAAAGUUGUUCUAAGGUCAAUGCGAGUGCCUAAUUCCUCUUGAAAGGUUCUUUAAAAGUUAGAAGUGAACUUAGCAUCCGGAUCAUAUAUAAUAAAGACAAGCACACCAUGAAGACGAACAAUCUCUCGAAUGUAGAGAUGGGCCAACCUUUCGGUGCUGAAAGACGACUAAACAAGGAGGAACUAUGUUAACUUGGUCAAUCGAUCAAAGAUAACCCCUAUGCUAUCAAAACCUAUAGAAGUCUGAGGCAAACCUAAUACAAAGUCCAUAAUGAUGCAAUCCCACUUCAACUUUUGAAUGGGUAAUCUCUGAAACUGACCACUAGGUCUCAAAUGCUUGGUCUUGACGUACUAGCAAAUCAUUCAACGGAACACACAAUCUGUGAUAUCUAUCCUAAUGCCGCUCCACCAAUAAUGCUUCCUUAAAUAAAUAUACAUCUUCAUGGUGCCUGGACAGAUAGAGUAUCCAAAAUCAUAGGACUCGGGAUGUAUCACAUGGAUCAAACCCCCAAUCCUCAAAACACAAAUGCGACCAAUAAAAUUCAGUACCCCAUCUAAAUCUAAGGAAGCCUGACCGACCCACUAACACCUAAUCUCGAUAUGCCAACAAGGCCUCAUGAACAAACUGACAACUAUGAAUUCAAUGAAGCAAACAAGACUAAAUUCCCAAAUAGGCUAAGAUACACCUAUCUAAUUGAAUUAUAAGAUUAUCUAAGAAUUGAGUGUUUUAAGCUAAAAGCUGCUCCAUAGUAGAUAGGAAGGUUAGACUACCCAUACUCAUUGCCUUCCUGCUCAAGUUAUCCUCUACCAUAUUCGUAUUUCCCGGAUGGUAGAGGAUAGAGAGGUCAUAGUCCUUCAGAAGAUCAAUCCAAUAACGGUGCCUCAAAUUAACGUCUCUCUAGAUCAUAAUAUAUUGAAGACUCCUCUGAUAAGUGUAGAUCUCACAAUGAACUCCAUACAGGUAGCGCCUCUAGAUCUUAAGCGGAAAAACUACCACCGCUAACUUCAAGUCAUGAGUGGAGUAGUUGUUCUCCUGUAACCUAAGCUGCCUCGAUGCAUUAGCAAGAACCCAGCCCUGCUACAUAAAUACACAACCUAAACAAAUGCCAAAUGCAUCACAAUAGACCGUGAAGUCUCGCCCUCAAUUAGCAAAGUCAAUAUAGGAGAAUUAGUCAUCAACUCUUUAAACUUCCAAAAGCUCGACUAACACUCCUCAAACCACUCAAAGGGAACAUCAAGGUGAGUCAACCAGAUAAGAGGUGUUGCAAUAGUAGAGAAGCCCUUCACAAAGCGUUAGUAGUAGCCCGCUAAUCCGAUGAAGCUCCAAAACUUAGUAAUGUAAGUGGACCUAGCUUAGUCACGAAUAGCCUCGAUCUUUGUCGGAUCGACCAUGAUGUAAUUCAUGGAAACAAUGUUCCUCAAGAAUGCUAACAACUCAAGAAAAAACUAGGACUUUAAGAACUUGGCAUAAGGCAGGUGAUCUCUCCAAGUCUGGAGCAUAAUCCUCAAAUGUUACUUAUGAUCACUCAUGCUUUAUGACUUUACGAGAAUUUGAUCUAUGAACACAAUGAUGAUUGAAUCAAGAUACGACCUAAGAACUCGUUUCAUCAAGUCCAUAAAGGCGACAUGGGUAUUAACCCAAAAGACAUCCCUAAGAACAUGUAGUGCAAUAUCGAGUCCUCAAUGUGGUCUUAGGGAAUUUCCCUAAUCAUCAACUGAUGGUAACCCGACCCCAGAACAUCUUCAAAAACACUGUGGCACCCUGAAGCUUGUCAAACAAAUCAUCAAUCCUAGGUAUGGGGUAAUGGUUCUUUACCAUCACCGUAUUAAACUGCCUAUAGUCCAUACAUAUUUACAUCGUAGUAUCCUUUUUCUUCAUAAAAAGAACGGGAACACCCUAAGGUGAAACACUAGGACUAAUGAACCCCUUACCCAAGAGAUGUUGAAGUUGAACACUAAGCUCUUUGAGCUUUGUAAGAGCUACAUGUUAUGGCGGAAUACAAAUAGGCCGAGUACCCAGCUCAAGAUCAAUAAGGAAACCAAUAUCACGCUCUAGGUACGCAAGUUAGCUCUAUAUGAAAUACAUCUACAAAAUCACGGACAAGUAGAAUUGACUUGGCUAGAGAGACCUCCCUACUCAAUCACACCCAUAUGGAAAAUAUGACAAACACCCGUUAGCCACUAAUCUUCGAGCCCUAAAAAGAGAUAACCCCAAUCGAUGUGCUACUAAAGGAACCCUGCCACACCACUAGGGGAAUACUAGGCAUGGAUAAGGAAAUGGUCUUAGAGAAGCAGUCUAAGAUCGCAUGAUAGGGGGACUACCGGUCCAUGCCCAAAAUCUCAUCAAAAUAAUGUAUAUGAAGAAGUGUAAGGUUAGACCGGGUGUCACACCGCUAGAUAGUAACUAAGCAAGAUUGAAACACUUAAUCCAUUACUUAAGACUCACCCAUGAGGGUUGAAACAUGCAAUAGUGUUUCCAUAAACUUAGAACUCAAACCCAUACGAGAAUCAUAAUAAACAUACAUAUAAGAAUAGGUAGAGGUCAGAUCAAAAGAGUUGAGAUGAGCUGCUAGCAUAAGAGAAUCGUACCUGUGAUCACAUCGUCCGAUGCUUCAGUGUCUUCCCUCGUAGGAGCUGCAUAGAAAUGUCCUUCCACCUCUGCCCUAGAAAUCUUUCACACCACCUGAUCUACCUCCCUGAGGACCACCCUGAAUACCCUAAUGUCCACCACGAUGAAUCUAACCCUUAACUCGACAUAACUGGUAGUGUUGCUAGAGAAACUAGUAGAGUUGGUGGAGCUACCUAGGAAGUGAGAGAAAUCUGCAUAUGCAAAGGGAAAUCUCUAGCCAAGUGAUCCAACUCUCCACAAUCAAAACAACACCGAGAUGAUGGACUCCUAGAAGAACGACCACCACGACAUGAAGCACAAGACUGUGACCCAUGACUCUAAUCGAUGCCAACCUCUCUCUGGAUGUACCGCUCACCCUCUUAAGUCUACAAUGAGGCCUACGUAGGCUGAUUGGGCUGACACGACUGAAACCACUAUCAAGUCCUAUCAUCAGUGUCUUUGACCUAGAAUGGGACCCAAUGUAGCUACCCUUGUGUCAAGCUCUCUUGUCGCUACCUCUUGGGAAUCAUGAUGGAGCUGCUUAAUAGUAGAGGCUUGGUUAAAAACAUCAAUAAAGAAAUGACCCACAUAGACCAUAUAUUGACUCUUAAUAUGCAGUUAAAGCCUUAACCCACGGAUAAAACAUCAAACUUUAUCCUCCUUAGUAGGUAAAAUCAUAAAGCCAUGUCAAGAGAGCUCGUGGAACCUUGCCUCAUACUUUGAAACCAACAUGGAGUCCUGCUCCAACUUAGAGAAAUUAUCCUAGAGGUGAUCUAUAAUGCCCCGAAGGAUGAACUUGGCCAAAAAAGCCUCAGAAAGUUUUUCCAAGUAAUCUGAGGAGACCUAGCUUGUCUGGUCUAUAUAAAGGUAUGCCAUAUAUAUUUGGCUGGCCCAUCUAGUUGAUAAAUAGUUAAGUUGGCUCCUCUCAACUCCACAAAGACCAAUGUAUAAAGCAACUCCCGACAAGUAGUUAGCAACUCGUGGGUAUCCUCAACCAUAACCCUAGAAACCUCAAAGGUGAAAACCUAAGUAACUCUUCGAACAUCUUCUGAUCUUCCAGUAACAUAGAUACGGCCAUGAUCACGGGCUAGGCACCCGCAUGUGGUACCUGGGCUUGAGGUGCCUCUACUAGAGACUGAUCCUACUAACUUGGUGCAGGUACCGUUAGAGUUGCAACUGAUGUUGGGGCAUGCUGUAUGUCUCUGAACAUCGACGAAAGCUGAGUAGUGGCAUCUUGAAGAUCCGGAGCCCUGGCCAGUUCGGGUGGUGGCUAGGCUGGUUCAGGCCUUACCGGCUGAGCUGGAACCUGAGCUCUUGAAGGGUCCAUUACUCGCUCUGAGCCCCUCUCUCUAUCCUGGGUGAUGUUGCACCCAUCAAUGGCAUCAGAGGUCAGCCCUUACCCCGAGCCACUGUGUUGAGCGUAUGGGCUAUCUUGAGAUAAGAGUGCAAUAAGUGAUACUAACGUGAUACAAAAAGGGGAAAUUCCUAAAGAAAUCCUGUAACCUCCCAAAGAUAGGAUACAUGCGUCUCCACACGGAUCUAUAGGAAUCUACUAGGGAUUAAUUUUGUAUAAGUUAGACCAGUAAACUUAACUCUGAUACCAACUUGUCACAACAUGAUUCCUCGAUUCAUGAUGUCACCAACUAUAACCCACCAGUAAAAAAGCCAAACAAUACCCAUAACAACAAGUAAUGUGUGUAUGGGUAGGACUAAAAAGACUUAAUACUAGAAAAUAAAAGAAGACGGAAUCAAAAUCAAGCAAAAAUCUAUAUACAAGAGAAUCCCUUCAAGAACCUGGAACUCACAAGUACAUAAUUGUCUAAUAUAAAAAUACAAGUUCCAAAAGUAGACCACAACAAGCCGUCUCAAAGGCAAAAGACUAGCUAAACAUAUAUACAAAAGGAGACAUGUAGAUCCAGGACACCAAGUGCUUACCCACGUCUCUGAUCUGAAAAGCUUCUUAAGACGACAUGAACAAUCACCACCAACAACUAAUAGUAGGACUGUGACAACUCAGAGGUACCCCCUAGAUAUAACAUAGCAUAUAGAAUCCCGAAGGACUCCGUACAAGCCACUUAGCUAUCAUAACAUAAGAAAUAAAACAAUAAGAGUAAAACAAUAGCCCAUGUCCAAAACAAUUCUUAUAAAAUCAAAGCGGAAGUCUAAUACACUUGUCUCAUCAUAGCCAUCUAAUACAAUAUAAUGCAAUUGGGCCUAUCCCAUACAUCAUGUCCAAAAGAGAAAAUACAUGAAAGAGAGUGAAAACAAUAAAGUCCGUCCUCGAAUCAUGAGGACUCAGCAAAGCUUGGGAAUAAAUCAAAUCAUCCACUAGCAUUAGUACAAAACAAUGUACCAAGUAUGAUAGCCAUGCAUAAAACGUUUAAAUCAUACUAAAAUGGAUAUUUAAUUUCAUGACAUGCAAUUGACCAAGCUGAACAUGAUGUAAAAGAGUUAUAAAACAUAAGUCAUAAAAUAAUGGUCAAUGCAAGCUAACUUCAUCUUUAAAACCUUUGAACUCAUAUGUGAUACUUCUUGAAGUAACCUUAGUUCAUUAUUACUUAUGGUGAAUUAGCCUUAAAUGAAAGAGAAACCAUGGGAGCUAUAAUAUGAUCCUUUCGUGUCUUCCACACUGAAAAGGGUUGUCCUACUUGCCAAGGUAGAACCAUGAAAUUCUGGCUUAAGUGGAUCCACUAGCUAUUCAACCUAUGGAGGCACAUAGUUAACGGAUAAGGAGAUUGCUAUUAGAAACCCGACCUCUACUAACGGGGGAGCUUCCAUCUCAUGAGAUUGUUUCUAAUAACCUGGCCUCUACUAACGGGAGAGCUUCCUACUCAUCAUGAGUAUCCACUCGGUGCUAAGCAUAAAUCCUAUGAAAUAGUCAUUUCUUACUGGACUUCAUUAAUCAUGGAAAGGUGCCCUUGGAUAAUCAAACCAAGCUAGUUCAUUAGAAUAGCUCUUACUCUUUGAUUCAAUUAGGUGAGAAAGCCUUUCGAUCCAAAUAAUCCUUUAUAUGUGAGAAAACCUUUCACAUCAUGCUAGUUAAGUGCUUAGUGAGAAUAUCCUUUCACAACACAACAUCAUCAUUGGUACUUUACUCUCAAAGCACCCUUAAAACAUUUGCAUAUGUUUCAUAAAACAAUGCAUAAGUCCAUAAAUUACCUCUUGAGGUUGAAAACCCACUUUCAAUCAUCAAUAUUUAGAAAACAUGGAUUAGAUAUGGAUUUAAUCAUAAAUACAUGUAAAGCUUGCAAUACAUGCCUAAUUUCAUAAAACUCUUCCUUGAAGAUCAAAAUCCCACAUCAUAUGAUUCAUAACUUGAAAACUUGGGGAUUACAUGGGUUCAUGGUAAAAUCAUCAUGUAUCAUCAAUUCAUGCAAAAGAGAUCAUAAUUCAAUCAUUUAAAACAAUAAUGCAAAGAACACAUGAUAAUUAAAGAAAAUUCUAACUCAAUUAGGGAAUUCUAACAUUUAAAAUAGAGGAAUUUGGGAACUCCAUGGAUUAAAACUAUCAUACCUGAAUUCAAAAUCUAGCCUUCAAUGGAGGAAUUGAGACCUUGACGUGAAACCCUAGGAUGAAUCUUCCUCUUCUUCAAGUUUCUAGAGAGAAAUAUUUGGAAGGGAAUUUAGUUUUCUUUUGUGAAUUUGGAAGAAUGAAGUUAAUGGGUUAAUUUGGGGGUUGAAAAAGCUAAUACAGGGUCUUAGUGAUAGGUAAAACGGCGUAGUAUAUGAAAUAAUUAGUUAGGAAAAGACCCAACUACCCCUGAACUAACUGUCAGCUGUCACCGAACUACCAACCGACCCAGUCGAUGGACCGUGGAUUGACCCACGGCCUGUCCUGGUGGACCGUGGUUAGAUACUUUUGGCCUGACCUAUGUUUCAUGUACCAUGGACGUGGAGGAAUCGACGGUCCGUAGGCCCAACCAUGGUCCAUGGAACUGCUGAAAUCUGUUAUGGCACCCUCUUUCAGAUUCGGGGUGUUACAAUAUCACCCCCAUAGGAUCAUUCGUCCUCGAAUGAGAUUUAACCUAGUUCUAAAAUAGUAGGAGAGGAACUAACAACCCAACCUACAAUGCAAUGCAUGCAACCAAGGAGGAACUAUCGACUCCAAGCUAGGACGUUCUGAAAACAUUAUAAGAGGGGUGAAACUAACUCUAUUAGCCCAUUAUGAAUACAAUGCACAUAAACAAGGAGGAAACAUUAACUCCUAGCUAAUCAUACUCAAAAGCAUAAUAAGGGAGUAAAAACUACAUUUAGAAACCCACUAUGCAUUAAAUGUACAAAUUAGCGAUUUUCAAAGAGGAACUGCCUUCUGGAAGCUAAAGGCAUGCUCAACACAAUUUCAUGGAGCUCAUAUGCAAUUCAAUCUCAAAAAGCAUAUCUAAAGCAUGUUGAUCAAUUCAUCUCAUAAAGUCUAUAGGAAACUCAUACUCAAUGCACAACAACAUGAGGAAAAUCAAGCAUGUAAACUCAUUUUAUUUAUAAAGACAAGUUUACAUGAACAUGCAUCACAUAAGGAAAUCAUGAAAACACAUAAACACACAUAACUCCCAAAACAAGGACAAACCAACAGGAAUUCAUUACCUCAAGCUAGAAAAUGAGUAGAAGGAAAGAGAUGAGGAUAUCGAGACAUCAUAUCGGCCUCAGCCUCCCAAGUAGCACCCUCAACUAACUGAAUCCUCCACAACACUUCCACAAAAGCUAUUUCCUUGUUUCUCAACUUCUUAACUUUCCGGUCCAAAAUCUCAACCGAAACUUCCUCAUAAAAGAGUCUUUCAUCAACUCCCAACCCUUCUAGGGGAACUAUGGACGUCGAAUUUUCGACACACUUCUUAAGCAUAGAGACAUGAAAAAUAGGAUGCAAUGUUGCCAACUCAUUUGGCAAAUCUAACUCAUACGCAACCUUGCCAAUAUGCCUCAAAAUCUUAUAUGGGCCUACCUACCAAGGACUAAACUUCCCCUUCUUACCAAACCUCAUUACACCCUUCAUGGGUGAGAUUUUCAAGUAAUCCCAAUAGUUAACGUCAAACUCUAGAUCCCUUCUUCUCAUAUUGACAUACGAGCCAUUUCCUAACUUUACCUUAUAAGCCGAAAUUUUUCCAUGGCUUAUUGUACCAAUUUGGGGCCUAUUAGGGAAAAUUAACCAACCUCAAACCAUCCUAUAUGAGACCUACACCUCCUACCAUAUAAGGCCCCAAAUGGAGACAUAUCUAGACUUGAGUGAUAAUUGGUGUUAUUGUAAGCAAACUCAAUCAAUGGCAAAUGGUCAUCCCAAUUUCCCUUAAAAUCAAACACACAAGCCCUUAAUAUAUCUUCCAAAGUUUGGAUAGUACGCUCUCUUGGCCAUCGGUUUGGGGAUGAAGAGUCAUGCUAAGCUCAACCUUAGUGCCAAGACCCUUUUGGAAUGACUUCCAAACCUGAGAAGUUAAUUGGGUACCACGAUCGGAAAUAAUCGACAAGGUCACUCCAUGCAACGUUACCAUUUCUCUCCAGUACAACUUGACAUAGUCCUCCUCCGAAUAAGAAACCUUGAUGGGAAGGAAAUUAGCCAUUUUCAUUUACCAAUUUACUAUCACCCAAAUCGAGUCAAGUUAUCACCGGGUGCGAGGUGAACCAACUAUAAAGUCCAUAUUCAAGUCCUCCCACUUCCAAGUAGGAAUAUUAAUAUGUGGGACAAAUCUCCCUGUUUCUGAUACUUAACCUUUACUUGUUUGCAAUUUGGACACUUAGCCACAAAUCCCGCAAUAUCCUUCUUCAUCCCAUUCCACCAAUAGACCUCACAUCAUCACGUUACAUCUUGGUGGCUACCGGGUGAAUAUAAUAUCGCGAACUAUGGGCUUCUAUCAAAAUUUUCUGCCUCAAGUCAUCGACAUUUGGAACACAUAACUGACCUUGGUAUCUAAGUACACCAUCUCCACCUUCGGAGAAAGCCUCAACGGAUUUCUUGAGCACUGCCUCUUUAAAUUCAACCAAAAUUGGAUCAAGACCUUGCUUGGUUUUCACAUCCGCCACAAAAGAUGAUUCGGAAUCAUUGUGAACCAUAACACCACCCUUGGUGGAUUCCACUAGUUGAAUUCCAAAUCGAGCCAAUCUAUGAACAUCUCGAACAAAAAUUUUCUUUUCUCUUCAAUAUGAGCAGCACUACACAUAGAUAGUCUACUAAGAGCAUCCGCCACCAUAUUAGCUUUAUCGGGGUGAUAAAGAACACUCAUGUCAUAAUCUUUCAAUAAAUCUGAUAUACCAUGAGUUUAAGAUAUUUUUAAUAUAUUUCACUUAAGAGUUGUGUGUUUCUAGGGCCAUUUUGUAUUAGAAAUAAUGUGUUUUGUAUCUUGUUUGCAGGAAAUAGGCUUGGACGUGGUAAAGUGAGAUGACAACUGAAAAUCUGCAGAAGUGGCCACCCACGAAAGGACCUACAGAUCGUAGGUCCUAUGACGGUCCGUCGAUGGUGGGCGUAGAUAAAAGAUUUAGGGAAGUCUGACCAAGUGUGGAACAACGAAGAAACCUACGGAUCGUAGGUCGACCUAUGGGCCGUCCUGCACGUCCAUAGAAGAUGAACUGUGAGUCAAAGUUCCAGCACCUGAUGAAAAUCCUAAGUGUAGAGCCACGGAAGAGGACCGACCUACAGUCCAUCUUUCAUGUCCGUCAGUGAUGAACAAGGAGUUGAAGGUUCCAGGUACUGCAGAAAAAGUCUAAGUGUUGACCAACGGAGGGGACCUACGGAUCGUAGGUCGACCCACGGUUCGUAGGUCGAGUCGUCAAUCAUAGCCGCGUCCAGAAAGUUUAUUUCCUUAUUUUGGUUUUUUAGGACAUGUUUUUCUAUAAAUAGGAUAUGUAAACCUCGUUUUUGGGGGUUAGACAUUAUUUUUCACUUUUAGUUUUUGAUAUUUUCUUGGGAAUUAACUUGGAAAUUUUUGCAAUUUAAUUUCCGGAUUUCGAUUUAUAAGAUUUUUUCUUUGAAAUUCAGUUCAAGAUUACGGGUUUCUUCUACUCUAAACGUAAGUUCAUGAAUUCUUCUUAUCAAAACAUGAAUAGUGUUCUUUCAAGCAUGAGUAGCGAAAUCCACAACUAGGGUUGUUGGAACCAUGAGCAAUUAACAACGUAUGAAUAAUAACUAAGUAAUUCUUGAAUAGUGUUUAUGCAUGUAUUUGUAAUUCUUUCGCAUAGAAGUCUUUUUAACGAAUGCACGUGUUAGAACUAGCCUUGUUGCUACUUGUCUAACCAAUGAGGUAGUUUAUAAGAAAAUAAUUAUCAACAGAGAUUUAGUGUGAUACUAUCUAAUAGUCUAAUGUCAAUUGGUGCUAGGGUAGAAACUAAGCCAUACAUUGAUGUGAUGUCUAAUCUGAGGUACAGGUAAGGGUUAGUAAAUUAUACACACAUAGCUGGACCAAGGUGCAGAGUGAAAUUCCCUAUUUGGAGGACCAAUAACUUAGGGAUACCUAUCUUACCAACUUUGCAUGUAAAACACUAAGAAAUGAUUACUAUUAUUAGGAUUACCGCAUUAAGAGCUCAUGGGGAACACAUACCCCCUAGUUUCUUUCUCCUAUUGAUAACAACAAAGUUUGAAUCUUGCUUACUUGUUACUUAACAAUCAACAAUCUGUUAUUUGUUUACACAAAACCCCCCUUUAAUUACUUGUUUUUGGAAAUCGUUGGACUAAACAAAAAUAAUUGUUAAUUAAGUUUAAGUCUAAACCAUAUUUCUCGUGGGAUCGACCCCAACCUACAAGUUGGGUUCUUUACUUGAUAACGAUCGCUUAUACUUCUUUAGGGAGGUGUCAUUUGAGCGUAUCAAAUUUUGGAAGAGAUCGUUAUCAAGGAAGGAGUUUCUACAUCGUGAUGAACUCCAUAUUUCUCUAGCAACACCUUGAACAACUUAUUACAAAAGUGGGAACCUCCAUCGCUGAUAAUCACCCUAGGUGUACCAAAUCUGUAGAAGAUAUUCUUUUUUAGGAAUGCGGUGACACUUUUCCCUUCAUUGUUUUAAAGCAGAAUUGCUUCCACCCAUUUUGAUACAUAAUCAAGUGCAACAAGAAUAUACUUCAUCCCAUGUGAGCUCACAAAUGGACUCAUAAAGUCAAGGCCCCAAACAUCAAACAACUCUAUCACAGAUAUCAGACUCAUAGGUAGCUCUUGCCUCUUUGAAACUCAUCCUUUAAUUUGGGAACAAUCACAAGAGUUGGUGAAAUCAUGAGCAUCUUGGUGGAUGGUGGGCCAUUAAUACCCAUACUGCAAGAUUUUAUGAGCAGUCUGAAUACCACUAUGAUGCCCACCAACAAGCGAACAAUGACACACCUCUAGUACACUCAUCAUGUCAACCUCGGGCACACAGUGACAAAUAAUCCCAUCAGCACAAAUACGAAACAAGUAAGGGUCAUCCCAAAAGAACUUCUUCACAUCUUGCAUAAAAAAAUUCCUUUGGUGAAAAGACAAAUCCGAUGGAUCUAGAUCAGUUGUCAAGUAGUUAGCAAAGUCUGCGAACCAAUGAAUAAAAUCAAGAGAAGCUGCCAAUACCUGUUACUUUGGAAAAACAUUAUUAAUUUCAGCCCCAUCUCCUAGCUUGAGCAUAGCUUCCUCCUCUAAUCUGGACCAAUGAUCAGCAACUUGAUUUUAUGUCCCCUUUCUAUCUUUCACCUCAAAAUCGAACUCUUGUAGCAACAAUACCCAUCUAAUCAACCUCGGUUUUGCAUCUUUCUUAGCCAUCGAUACCUCAAUGCAGAAUGGUCAGUAUGCACUAUGACCUUAGUACCAAGCAAGUAGGAUUUAAAUAUAUCGAAUGUGAAAACCACAGCAAGGAGUUCUUGUUAAAUCACCGUGUAGUUAUUUUGAGCCACAUUUAGAGCUUUGUUGGCAUAGUAAAUAGGAUGAAGAAUCUUCUUUCCCCUUUGUCUCAAUACCACACCAAGCGCUACUCCACUCGCAUCACACAUCACUUCAAAUAGUUGCCCCUAAUCUGGUCAAAUAAUGAUAGGUGCAGAAGAGAGUAAAUGGACUAAGGUGUGGGCUGUUCUUAUUUUGCAUGCUUGUUGAUGUUCGAGAGAAAUUAACUUGAUUCGGGGUAAAUUGUUCGAGAGAAAGUUUAUCUCCUCUAUAGCCUAGCUUACUCACUAAUAUUUAGCCAUUUUCUAAUUGUUGCAAUUACCCAUUUGUCUAUAAUUUCCAAUACUCGAAUUACAACCCAAAAACCUGUCUCAUUAUUGUUAUUUCGUAUUGUUUGUUGAUGUUUGUAGUUGAUAAUUUCAAAACCAAAACCCCCAUUUGUCAUUCUUGUCACCCCUUGAUUUGAAUGAUGUCUUUGUUCGACAAGUUUUAUUCCUAUGACUGAUUUGAACUUGUUCAGACUUCCCUAUUGAAUCUUAAACAUGUACCGCUCCCUUUGGAUUCGACCCCAACUCAUUUAGUUGGUUUUUAUACUGAUUCACGACCGUUGAUGCUUAGAAUUGGAUGAUGUGUGUUUGAAACAUCAUUAAUCAAAAUGGCGCCACAGCCGGGGAGUGAUGUUGUUUGAAAUUCUUUCGGUAAAGUUGAAUUUUGUUCUUUUCAGUCAGAGUUGAAUCGAUUAUUUUUAGUUUUGGUUUGUGUGUUGUUUAAAAAUAGAGGAAAUGAGUGUCAACGAAAGCAAUGGUAGCCAAGUGGGCCACCAAGAUGACAUCAAAAAUCUUAAAGAUGUCAAUGAGUUGAAUGUUAAUGACCCUAAUUUUGUUGGCAGAGUUGGUGCCAUUCUCUUUCCUCUGGCUGAAGGGAAUGUUGUGUUCCACAUUACAAGCACUAUGUUGCAGCUCUUACAAUUGAAAUAGUUGUUUGGUGGGCUGGCUCAUGAGGAUCCCCAUGAGAAUAUAAGGCACUUUGUUGAUAUUUUCGGGCUGUUCUCCUUCAAGAACAUAUCCCAAGAGCCGGUUUGGUUGAGGUUGUUCCCAUUUUCUCUAAUAGUAGAAGCGUGUAAGUGGUUGUCGAGUUACCAAGACAUUCUAUCACUUCGUGGGAAGAACUUGUCACCGCAUUCCAAGUGCAAUUUUUCCCUCCUUCGAACAUGAUGACACUUAGGGACAUCAUCCAAAACUUCAAGUGUUUGGAGUGUGAGCCAAUCCAUUUGACUUGGCUAAGAUUUAAGAAAUUGGUGUUGUAAUGCCCAACUCAUGGUUUACCCGAAAACAUUUUGCUGCAAUAUUUUAACCGAAGGCUUGAUUCGGUGAACAAGGGAGUAGCUGAUCAACUUUCUCUGGGAGGUUUGAUGCAACAAGCUUACAUUAUAGUAGCCCAACUCUUGGAUGGUAUGACCAAAAUUAACAAGGCAUGGUACACCCGUGAAGAUCAAGUCUUCCCUCUAACUUUUAAAUUGACAUAGGAGCAGCUUGAAAAAGAUCAAGAGAAGGACCAGAACAUGGUAGAGAUAAUGACCUAACUUGACAUUUUAGCCAAGAAUGUCAUGGGGGUUAGUUCUAGGAGUGUCAAUGAUGUGGGUGUGGGUUCUGUGAACCCUGAUAAGGCAAUGUUUGAAGCGUUGUACAAUGAGGAAGUGAACUUCCUAACCAACCAAUGAGGAGGUUAUUGUGCUAACUACCCAAGGAAGGGUGGUAACCAAGGUUGGAACAUGGACGACGGCUGGAGAGAUCGUGAUAGGGAGUGUAGGGAUCGUAACCCACUUAGAAGGAAAGGGAUGGGGAGAAGGAUAGGUAUGUUCCUCCCCACGAGCGACAAAGGCCCAAAGAUUCUGAGGGUGGUCGGUCGGAGGAUAUGCUCUCUCAUAAUCUCAAUAAGGUUGAAGGGUCCGAUAAAAUUUUGAAAGAAAUCAAGAAAGAUGUAUCGACCCUUAACCAAACGGUGACUUCUCAUUUCGUCUCUAUCAAGCAGGUGGAGACCCAAAUGUGUCAAAUUGCUUCUCAUUUAAACCCGAGACAAUAAUGGGGGUUGCCUAGUGAUACUAUGGAAAACACCAAAAAUGAAGUUUGAGCGAGGACUUGCAUCAUGCCACGACGUUAACUAAGGUGCUGCUUGGGAGGCAACCCAACUUUUAUUUACUUUCUAUUUGAAUUUCAGAAUAACAUGUGUUGAUUGUGCAGGUGAAAAAGUAGAAUGUGUUUGAAAAGUGCAGGUUGGCCAGCAAGAUGUCCAGUCGGCGUCUCGCCGAAGUGGUCGGUGAGCAUAAGUUGUAUCGCUGUUGGGCUUAAGAAAUUACGAAUAUGGAGUCUGUAAAACUCGACGGGCUUAUGGACAAGUGGGCGCCUCACCAAACAGGUCGGCGAUCCCGACCUUGUUCGCCGUUUGGACCCCCACAUUAAAUAGAGGUCAUGUAAAACUUGGUAAGAUAAUUAACCACUUGGCGUGUCGCCGAGUGGUUCGGCAAAGAAAAAUAAUCUCGCUGAAUGAGCGUGAACUGGACGGUUUCUAAAAGGUGAAAGGUUUUAAAUUUCAACUGUUUCACAUUCCCUCACUUUUCAACUUCAUACAAUCACACACGCACUCUAUAUCUCCCAUAUUUUUGCAUUUUUCCGCUCUUUAGUUGUUGAUCCUGUGUUCAGAGUUGUAUACUUUGCCACCUAGCUUUACAAAUUCAUAUAUUCGGUAUUAAAGGUUGGUUUUCCGAACCCCAAAUUCGUUAUUAGCAGUUAUACUCAUUUGCAACCGUAUUGUUGUUAUUAAUAUGUGUUGGGACUCUCUGAAAGCGUAUAUGUCUGCUUGUGUACGUGUUUUAAUUUCAAUAUCAUGCCUUAAUGGUCUAAAUUGUUGAUUUCCCAAAUUGCAUGCCAUAAAAUUUAUCAAAAUAUUGUGGGUUGUGCUUAUUUGUUGUUGAGUCUAGCUGGGUGAAGUCAUAGUAACCCAAAUUUUUGUUAGAUUACAAACUUUUCCAAAUAAUGGAGCGUUUGACGCCAUUCCUAAGGUCAAUAGUAGUCAAAUAGCCAAUUUUGGCCUAACCGAGGGAAGUCUAAGUACCCCCGUGGCAUGGGUCUAGUGGGUCUGAGCCUAAUUGAAUAUGUAUGUGGUUUGAUUUUAUUUUCGGGGGCUGCGAGGUUGAAUUUGAAAUUGGCACAUUGGGCAGUUUGGCGAGUUGGGUCGAGCUCUCUGAACCACUCGGCGAUUCGCCAAAGGCCCCCAGAUCACCUUUAAUUUCAUGGUUUGAGUGGGUUUGGUACUAGAACUUUCGGUGAGAAUCUUGAGUUCGCCAAGUGCACUCGGCGACUUACUGAAAGUCUUCCUUGAUCGCCCUUUCUACGCCCCUAACCCCUAAAAUACAUUGUACCUUUCGGCGGGCUUGUUUGUGCUCGCCGAAUGAUGUCAACGAUUUUCUGAAAGGCCCUUCUCAUCGCCGACAUGCCAUUUUUCUAGAAUUUAUUUGAGCUAAUACUUUCGGUGAGCCCGAUCUGGCUAACCAAAGUGAUUCGGCGAGUCUUUCUGUAACAUGAUUUUUGCAAAUUUUCUUGGAUUAACUCUAACAUUCUACAUUGUUUUUGCAGAUAUGGCUAGAACAAACUUAGACAUGCCGCUGCGGAAAAGAGCAUAGGGCAUAGCUAUUAAUGAGGGGGCAGCUAACCCUCCUAAAAAGGGAAAGCCGACACCUCCCAAGGGAGGAAAAGGCAAUGACAAGGCGCCCGAAGUUGAGAGAUCAGAGCGCGAUGCCGGCAGUAUGAGGAUUCAUUUUCCUCCUAGGCUGCAUUCUUCUAGCCUGAUGAUCACCAGCCUCUACAGUCCCAGCGAGCAGAAAUUCGGCCUAGGUCUUGCCAAGAUGCAUCUAGGGUUCUAGAGGCCACACCUCCUGCGGCAGAUACAGCGCCAGCUCCGGCACAGACGGUGGUUCCAGCGCCACCUGCUCAGGGUCCUCCUCCUCGGCUACUUAACAGAUUAAAAGCUGAAGGACUGAGUACGAUUCUAGAAGAGAAGUUGUUGUCCACAGAGGGCCUAGAGGGCAGAUAUUCCAGGGUGAGGGAAACACUCCAGUACCACCGCUUCGAGCAGUUUACCAGACCCUGAGGCCUAUACAUCCCUACAUGGGUAUAGGAGUUUUACUCAUUAUAUGGUGACCUAGUCCCUAAGGGCAAGAAGAAAGCAGUGCUUUCAGACCGGUAGGGUCCAUCAUGGUACGAGGGACAGUAGUGCACUACAGCCGUGAUCAUAUCAACAUUGUAUUUGAUAGAGGGUCCAUUUUUUACUACCCAAAUUUGGCUACCACUACGACACCUUUAGAUGAUCUCAUGGGCUGGCGUGCCUCCCUCAUUUCUGGUACUACCCAGAGGUGGAUUAUGGCAGGAGCUCCAAUAGAGAAGAAGGACAUGAUUGUAGCUGAACGGUACUGGUUGGAUUCAUCAGCAGCUUCAUCACGCCUUCACAAAAAGAGACUAUCCUCUGCCACCAAAAGAUGGCCUACCUUGGGUAAAUCAUAGCCUGGAAAAGCAGUAACAUGAGACUAAUCAUUGAGAAAGAGGUGGUCAUGAGGGCCAAACAGCGCCAGACGUCCCUUUCGUUUCUAGUCCUGAUCACAGAGUUAUGCCGGCGUGUGCGAGUUUCUCGUGAUGAGAUGAGGCACAUCGAUGUCACCCCAUAUCCUCCAUAAACAUCUGACAUAUAGAGGCCGAGUACACUCGGGAGAAGGCAGACAUGAGGAGAGCAGUGAUGCUUAUCGUGACCAAUGACACUAACCUACUGUACGAGUGUCUAGAAUCGUCGAUAGUAUAGUAACCCAGCUAAAGGUUGGGGUCAUGUCCUAAGUGAGUGGUUUUGAGAAUUGAUAGAAAAAUAAAAUUUAGUUCUAAUUAGUCAUAGAUAAAGACAUUAACGAACAAAAACAUUUAGUAAAUUAAAGGAGGUGACACAAAAGUGUCAAAUAUCAAUUGGGGGUUUUGUCACAAGUAGCAAAAACAACAAAAGUAAACAAGAAAAUCAAUUAUGGGAGAAAGUUCUUGGGGUGUGACCGCAAUACAAGUUGAGAUAAAUAGUUGGGUACAUGCCUUUGACAAGAAAUUUGUAAGAUAAUAGUGACUACGCUAAGCUUUAAAUAGAAAUAAGUUCCCUCUCGGGCAACUUACUUUGUUUCAAAUGCGUUCCUCUCGGACACCCAUUUGCCGCAUGAAGACCAGCCUACGCCUUACCCCACUAACUCCCUCGAGCUGAGUGUUAGGAUAUGGGACUAGGGUAAACCCUCUCAGGCUGAACCUCAUGUCGACCCACUCAUUAGGCCAUCAGUCUAAUGGUCUUGGUUUCGCGACCUCCCUCUCGGGCUAGCCAAAAACACAUGAGUGGCUUUGUAUUUGCAACUACAAACCCUUUAGAAUAAACCACAACCACUAGGUGAAAUCACCAUUAAACUACAUCCAAACUAUCAACAAGAAAGACCCAACAAUAAUAUCAACACAUAUUUCCUAAAUCACACCCCAAGAAUGGGGGUUUUAGCCACACAUCAAGAGACAACAAAAUACACCUAAAAUGAUAGUAAAAUCAAAUGGGUAUAGGAAAUUAAACCUUAAUUUAAGAAAAGGAAGAAGAAUAGAGAAGACCCACUUCCAACUUGGGGAAGAUGAACUCCUUUCUUCAAGUUCCCAAAAACCCUCUCCAAACUUGAGAGAAAAUAUCUAAAAAGUACUAUUCUAUUCUGGAAAUUAAAAAUAAAAGUUCCACACUUAAAAAUAAUAAUAUGUUCAGUAUUUAUAGACUUCAGAAUAUAGUACUGGAGGAUCUUUCGGUGAAGUUGGUCGAUGUCGCCGAAUGACUUUGGCGAUUCGCCCUUUGGCUGUCUCAUUGCCGUUUCGCGCUUGCCUUCAGCACCUUCACAUUCUGGACCAUUGAGCGGUAUAGUACUUCUUUGCAGAACUAUUCGGCGAAGCGCCAACUGCUCCUUUCAUCGCCUCUUUGAUCCUUCUCCUUCAGGGCUUCGUGUAUUGGAAAAAAGGGCGGAGUAAAUCCCUUCGGCGAAUCGCCAAGUGUGCUUGGCGAUGCUCGGGUUUCAGUUUCAUCGUUCUUUUCAACCUUUUUGUUCCUUUUUGCGCAUAAGUGUCCAUGCUUUCACUAACACUUCAAAUACCUGAAACUUAAGAGUUUUCAUCAGAUAUUUAGACAAAAUAAACAUUCGAUGACACUAUUCUUAUCAAAAUAAAGCCCUAAAUGAGUCCAAUUUUUGGACUCAUCAAAACCCCCAACUUAGACUGUUGCUUGUCCUCAAGCAAACUCAAGUUCAGCCGUUCAAAAAGGGUGUCUCAAACAGUGUUGCACAAGACUCAAUCAUGAAUAUACACAACAAGAUUCAAAUUACUUAUGCAAAGAUCAACUGUGCAUUCAAAGAUUCAAGUUGUGACACACCAUUACCAGAGAAUCGCAUUCUCGCAAUACCUCCUACUUGUGCGAGUUCACCUAGACAAAAAGUAUCUAAAUUCCCUCACAUGAAGAUGAUUCCAUAUUCACACACAGAGGUUAAUCAAUUCAAGAUCAGGAAUCAGAUACAAUGCUCACACUCAAAAAGAGGAACACAAUGCAUGUUUUCACACAUAGGUUUGCCCUUACUUUCCAAUCCACUUUUGAUUCGGCUUACUCAAGAUCAAAAAGGUCUUUCUAAAGCUUGUAAUGAGGGUGAGUGCAACGGUAUGGUCAUUUAGGCUCAAUGGCUCUUUCCUCGUGGGAUGUGGUGUUCUCAAGGCAUUCCCUUCUCCUCCUUUAUCAAUUAUUUUUCUAAUGCUUCAAAAUCACCUGUUUAUUCAUUUUCAUGGAUUGCUUGGAAACCAGAUAUCCUUCGUACCUUAUUCCACUUCUUUUUUUUAAUUGAAGGGGUUUCCACUGUUCUACAACACGAUGGGUUAAGGGGGACUUUUCCUGCACUUCUUGACUUCUCCUUUUCCUUUUCACCACACCCCUAGGUUAGGCUUUUGGCCUAAUUUGGCUAUUCACUAAACCACAAAUUAAGAGGGUUAUAAGUAGUGUGUUAAGUGAGGUCUAGGGUUCAUCAAGGUUCUUCCAAAGAAAGGUAAGGCUCGAAAGGUGUGCAAAAGAAUUUCACACACUCACGGGUAAGCCAGAAAAGAGGUAUAUGUCAAAUUUGGCUUACACUCUUAAAAGUUACCUAAGAUCAUAUCAAGAGGACACCUUUCUAAAUCAAUCAAACUAACAGGGCAAAUUCUAGGUUUAUUCAUGCAUGGUUCAAAUCAAGCUAAUCACAUAAGGCAUCGACACUUAAGUUAAGCAAGACCACACAUUUUUGCUAGUGUGCAACGGUCAUAACAAGAGAAUCAAUUCGAUAAAUGACUAGUCACAACGAGAUGCAAAGAGUUCACAUAUUGUUUAUCCAACUUCAUUUGGCCUCAUUGUAGCCAUACAUUCAUGUUCUUUCAACUGAGAGCACUAUUCAAGUCAUCGGUAUUGAUCGAAACUGAGACUUAAAUUUUUUCAAAAGAACAACCACAUUCAACUCACGAAGGGUGGCAGAAAUAUGUGAACAAUUUAAAUUUUUUCGAAAGGGUCAAAAUCAUUUUGCAAUUAAAAGUAAAUGGAGCCACAAGCUCAAACAUCCACAGAAAAAGCAGUAUUUAACACAAUUAUAAACAGACAACCCAAAUGUAUUCAAAACAUAAAUAUCUGAAACAAGCAAAACAAGGUGGGCCUCACCCCACGACAAAUACGAUCAUUUGUCCUCAAAUGCAAGUAAUAGGAAUCCAAAAGUAGAAAAUAUAAUAAGACAGAGCGGGAGGUAAAGAGGUGAUCCUGGCUAAUAGAUUGCUUCAUCUGUCUGGGCAUCAAUACCCGGAGUAUUGUUUGCCUCUGCCUUGGCCUCUGCAGCAAGAUUAGCUGCAAUCAUCUGAUCUAUCUCCUGAGCUACUCUGAAGGCCCGUAUUGCAUUAACAAAACUUCGAGCCCAUGAAGGCACAUUAGGGUCGACGGGAAUGCUUCUAUUUGCUCUAGCUUGAUUGGUAUAUUUCCUUUGUCUGGCUAGCUCUUCUCUCUUUUCUUAUUUCUUGAACUCUCGUGCCCUUAUGUGACUGGGUGGAUCAUUUCUCCCUGCGACUUUUGUUCCAGCCAUUACUGCAAACACUUCAAGGAUAAGUUAGAUAGCAUUUCAAACCGGAGAGAAAGGGUGUUUGUUGGUGUGAAAUCACUUUGCCAGGCUAGUUGGCGAAGUACUUAUCCUAUUAGGCCAAUCGUUGAAAGUGAUGUACAAUAGAUACAAGGGUGCAGACAAAGGGCGAGGAAGGGGUCUUUUGGCGAGUCGUCGAAUACAUUUUGCGAAUUAAACUGACCGCCGAAAGUCACAGAUUGAUUAAUACAUAAAGUAUUCAGCUAAAGGAAAAAGGGGAGUGUUAAGCCAACCGCCGAGCAGUUCGACGGAAUUUCUUCAUGUUGCCGAUCAGCCCAACGUGUCUGGUUUUAACUCAUCCUUUCAAAUUUCACCCCACAACCCCAGAUAGUGCAACUUACGCUUAUAUAACUUGAUUUCAAUGAAAACCCAAAGAAACUUAUAUUCUCACCGCUAAACAGUUCACUUCAAAGCAAAGUGAAGUGGUAGUCCCUUAAAUCAUGUAGAAAGUAUCAAGUCUUAAUCGAUAAUACAUCCAAUCCUAGUGACUAAGAGACUCAAUAGAGAUUUUCUACUGUCAGGGAUUAUGCAAAUGAGUAAAAAGUCUAAUCAAAUAUCUGAGGAGUUUGAUUACCAAUCUUUGAUGUCGAAUUAGAUAGUACUGGAUUUCUAGGAAGCAAUGUGAUCUUAAUUCAGGCACAAUUUGACACGUAAAAUACUCUAAAAAUGCGAGAAAUAUAACUGCUAAAGUGUGAGUGUGAGUUUGUGAAAAGGCUCAAAGUGAAAGAAAGUGAAUGAAGUGGAUCUUUUAAACUUGUGGCUUGUGACCGUCCAGUUUCUGCUCAUUCGGGGAUGUCAAUUGAUCUCGCUCAAUCACUCGGUGAAAUGCCGAAUAUCUAACGUCCUCGCUGAAUAUAACAGAGUUUUUAGUUAAGAUGAGCAAAGCAUUGGCGGUCUUUAUCGAGAUCGCCAAUUGGAUUGGCGAUGCGCCGACAAAAUUCAUACUCCGCUGAGUUUUACAGACUCAACCUUUAAGAUGUAUUGCGUCAAAUGGUAGGACUAAUUUGGUGCGCCAUACUCGUCGGCGAUCCGCCAAGCUGAACUGUUGCUCGCCUCCAUACAUCUUUUCAAGCACUUUCCUUACUCAAUCCGUACAAACAACACACUAUUAUUUUAUCAAGAUAAAAAAAAUAAAAAAAAUGAGUAAAUGGUUUUGGGUUGCCUCCUAAAUAGCGCCUUAGUUAACGUCACGGCACGACGCAAGUUAAAAUUUAGACCCCACUCUUUUGUUUAGCCAUGGUGUCACUAGGCAAACCUCCUUGUUCUCUCGGAUUGAGAUGAGAUGAGAUAUGACCCAUUUGGGUCUCUAACUGUUUGAUUGAAACUGAAUGAGAGGGGACAGUCUGGCUGAGGGUAGACACGUCUUCUUUCAUACCUUUUAGCAUAUUGUCUGACCCUUCAACUUUGUUUAGGAUACGCGAGAGCAUAUCCUCAGACCUACCACCUUCUGAAUCCUUGGGCUUCUUACGCUCGUGGGGAGGCACAUAUCUAUCCUUCUACCCAACCUUCCAAUAUGGAUUAUGGUCCCUCCAUUCACGGUUUCGAUCCUUCCAGCCUUCGUCUCUAACCCAUCCUUGAUUACCACACUGCCUUGGAUAGUUUGAACGGUAGCCCCCGCCUUGGUUAGCUAGGAAAUUUACUUCUUCGUCAUACAUGGCUUCACACGUCAUCUCCUCAGGAUUCGCAUCCCCGACUCCUACAACAUUGAAACCACGAGCACCAGCCCCCAUUACAUUUUUAGAUAAAAUGUCAAGUUGUGUCAUGAUCUUCACCAUGUUUUUGUCUCUCUCAUUAUCCUUUUCAACAUGCUCCUUGGAUAGCUAAAAUGUGACCGGUGAGACCUAGUUCUCGCGAGUGUACUAUGCCCUAUUGAUGGUUGUCAUCCCAUCGAGAAGUUGAGCUGCUACUGCGUAUGGUUGUUGCAUUAAGCCUCCGGGCGAGAGUUGGUCAGCUACACCUUUGUUCACUAAGUUUAGCCUCCGGUAAAAGUAUUGAAGGAGCACAUUAUCAGGUAGACCAUGGGUCGGGCACUGUAGCACCAAUUUCUUAAACCAGAGCCAAGUUUCGUGAAGAGGCUCUCCAUUCAGACGUUUGAAGCUUUGGAUGUUAUCCCGAAUAGUCAUCAUUUCGAGGCGGGAAAAAUCUCACAUUAAAUGCGGUGACCAGCUCUCCCAUGAAGUGAUUGAAUUUCGUGGUAAUUCAGCUAGCCACUUGCAAGCCUCCCCCAUCAAUGAGAAAGGGAAUAGUCUUAAUCAAACUGGUUCCUGAGAGAUGUUCUUGAAUGAGAAAGGUCCACGUACAUCCACGAAGUUUCGAAGAUGCUCAUGUGGGUCCUCAUGAGCCAAUCCACUGAAAAGUCCUUUUAGUUGCAAAGUUGCAACAUGGUGCUUGUUAUGUGGAACACCGCAUUUCCCUCUGCUGGAGGUAGACGGAUGGCUCCGACACCUCCCAUGAGAUGUGGAUCAUUGAUGUUGGGCUCUUGGACAUCGUUGAGGUUACCAUUAUCGUCCUGAUGGCCCAUUUGGCUCCUGUUACUACCGUUAACAGUCAUGCUUUCUGAAAUGUUUACACAAUCAACAAAACAAAACUAAAAAUUAAAUUAGUGAACUAUAACUAAGAAGAUAAAAAUUCUAUUAAUCUAAAAAUUCUCAAAUAACACCAUUCCCCGGCAGUGGCGCCAUUUUGAUGCUUAUCGUGACCAACAACACUAACCUAUGGUAAGAGUGUCUACGAUCGUCAAUAGUAUAGUGACCCAACUAAAGGUUGGGGUCAUGUCCCAAGGGAGUGGUUUUGAGAUUUGAUAGAAAAAUAAAAUUUAGUUCUAAAUAGUCAUAGCUAAAGACAUUAACGAACAAAAAUACUGUAAAUUACAGGGGGUGACAAAAAAGUGUCAAAUAUCAAUUGGGGGUUUUGUCAGAAGUAGCAAAAAUAGCAAAAGUAAACAAGAAAAUCAAGUAUGGGAGAAAGUUCUUGGGGUGUGACCGCAAUACAAGUUGAGAUAAAUAGUUGGGUGCAUGGUUUUGACAUGAAAUUUGUAAGAUAAUAGUGACUAGACUAAGAUUUAGAUGGAAAUAAGUUCCUUCUCGGGCAACUUAGCCCGUUUAAAAUGUGUUCCUCUCAGACACCCAUUUGCCGCAUGAAGACCAGCCUACUACUUACCCCACUCACUCUCUCGAGUUUAGUGUUAGGAUAUGGGACUAAGGCACACCCUCUCGGGCUGAACCUCAUGUCGGCCCACUACUGAGGCCAUCAGUCUAGUGGUCUUGGUUUUGCGACCUCCCUCUCGGGCAACCCGAACACAGAUCACUGGUUUUGUAUUUGCAACUAAAAACCCUUUAGAUUAACCCACAACCACUAGGUGAAAUCACCAUUAAACUACAUCUAACCUAUCAGCAAGCAAGACCCAACAAUAAUAUCAACACAUAUUUGCUAAAUCACACCCCAAGAAUGGGGUUUUUAGCCACACAUUAAGAAAUAACAAAAUACACCUAAAAUGAUAGUAAAAUCAAAUGGGUAUAAGAAAUGAAACCUUAAUUUAAAAAUGGAAGAAGAAUAUAGAAUACCGACUUCCAAUUUGGGAAAGAUGAACUCCUUUCUUCAAGUUCCCAAAAACUCUCUCCAAACUUGAGAGAAAAUAUCUAAAAAGUACUAUUCUAUUCUGGAAAUUAAAAAUAAAAGUUCCACACUUAAAAAUAAUAAUAAGUUCAGUAUUUAUAGACUUCAGAAAAUAGUGUUGGCUGAUCUUUCGGCGAAGUUAGUCGAUGUCGCCGAAUGACUUCGGCGAUUUGCCCUUCGUCUGUCUCAUCGCCGUUUCAUGCUUACCCUUAGCACCCUCAUGUUCUGGACCAUUGGGCGGUAUAGUACUACUUUGCAAAACUAUUCGGCGAAGAGCCAACUGCUCCUUUCAUCGCCUUUUUUAUCCUUCUCCUUCAGGGCUUCACGUACUCAAACAAAGGGCGGAGUAAAUCCCUUCGGCGAAUCGCCAAGUUUGCUUGGCGAUGCUCGGGCUCCAGCUUCAUCAUUAUUUUCAGCUCUUUUGUUCCUUUUUGUGCCUAAGUGUCCAUUCUUUCACUAAAACUUCAAAUACCUGAAACUUAAGAGUUUUCAUCAGAUAUUUAGACAAAAUAAGCAUUCAAAGACACUAAUUCUUAUCAAAAUAAAGCCCUUAAUGAGUCCAAUUUGUGGACUCAUCAAGCAGCUCCGGUGGACACAUCCCCGAAGUUAGAUGUUGAGACGAUACCUAUAGAGGCAUCUUUUCCUACUCCGGCCUGCGGGACUUCAGGUACACCUGCUUUCACUUCCUUCCAGGAUCCUGGUGUUUCUACUACUUCCCAGCUCACCAGGAUUACUCGGGCCAUGAUCCUGAAGAUGGGGCAUUUACCCCAUUCUACCGAUGUACGGGCUACCCGGUUGGAGGCAGCGGUACAGUGGAUGAUUGAGAGCACCAUUCUAGCUGCAUUGACACCCUUCCAGACAUAUAUUGUCACUCUCACGGUGAGAGUAGAGACUUGCGAGUGUCGCCAGGGGGCUACUUCAAUGGUUACGGCUUUGAAAGUUGAGGUUGCAGACCUGAGGAAGGAUGUGGACUAUCUAAAGUCUACAUAAUUCAAUUCAAUAUUUGAGGCAGCCGAGAAUGAGGGUGUCCCGGGCAGUUAUGAGAUUUCUUUGGCUACCACCAGAGAUGUACCUAUGGAGGAUGUCGCAGCUGAUGCAUCAAAGGUGGAGACUGAUGAGGAGCAGCUUGGGGAGCGAGAAGUUGCCGUAUAUGAUGAUCUGGUCGACCUAGGGGAUGCGAUGUUUGAGACUGCCCGCAAGUCAUCCUUGAGAGACACCACCAUGGUUGGAUUUAGUGGAACCGGUACUACUGAUGUGACCUCAGGCACUGAUGCCCAUACAGUUGGAGCGAUUCUGUAUACAUGACCUUCCUUUACCCCUCUCUCUGUUAUUUUUAUUAACUUUUGGAUAUUUUUAUUGCAUUUGAGGACAAGUGCUUUUUGUUUGUGGUGGGGUGAGGUAUUUCCAUACCUACCUCUUCUGAUUAACUUGUAUAUAUAUUAUUGGGUUUUUGUGCUUAAAAUGUGUUUUGAUAUAUUGUGUUGUGAAUGUUUGAGCUAAUGUCUCUUUGUUUUGAAUGCAAAUUGAUUUCGACACUUUCUAAAUAAUUUGCCACCUCUUAUGUGUGAUUGUGGUUGUUCUUGUGCAAAUUUGAGUAUCGGUCAUGAUCAAUAUCGAUGACUUGAAUAGUGCUCUUAAUCCAACAAAUAUGAAUGCGCGGCUACGAUGAGGCCAAAUGAAGUUGCAUAGACAAUAUGUGGACUUUUUGCAUCUCAUUGUAACUAGCCAAUUAUCGAAUGAGUCUUUUGUGAUUAUCAUUCCACACUAGAGAAAAUGUGGAGUCUUGUUUGAUAUUGGUGCCAAUGCCUUGUGUGAUGAGCUUACUGUGAACCACCUUGAAUUUUCCCCAUUGGUCCGGUUGACUAAGUGAUGCAAACUAUUGAAAUGAUCUUAGGCCACAAUUUUAAAAAGUGAAACAAUUUGACAAUAUACCUCAUUUGUGGCCAACCUUGUGAGAUGUGUGAAUCUUGCUUGAACCCCUUUGUGCCUGGUCCUUUACUUGGAAGAAACUUGAUGAAAUUGUAACCGCUCUUUAUCCAUUCACCCAUAAUCCUUAUGAAAGUGUGGUGUGCUUGAAUAGCCAACUUAGGCCAAAAGCCUAAGUUGGGGGUGUGGCGAAAAUAGAAGGAAAAUCAAGAAGUGUGAAGAAGUCCCCCUUGAUCCAUGGACUUGAAAAAGAUGGAACCUCUCCAUACAAAAUAAAAGAGAGAAAUAAAAGAAGAAAGAAAAAGAAUGAAAAAAAUUGUGAAAUAAAGUGGUGAAAGUCGUAAAAGAAUUGGGGUGUCCGAUAGUCCAUGAGAAAUGAAUAAUGGGGUGAAUUUUGAGCAUCAAUUAAAAUGUUGAAAUAAAGGAAGGAAAGUUGUUCAUACCACAUUUCUUAAGGAUAGCAGCCACUGAGCCAAAAUGACCAUACCUUUACACUUAGCCCCGUUACAAGCCUUGAAAAGACAUUUUUGAUCUUGAGUGAGCUGAAACAAAUGUUGGCUGGAAAAUAACGGCAAACCUAUGGGUGAAGUCAUGCAUGUGUUCAUCUUUUUGAGUGUGAGAGUUGUGUAUUAUUUCGGAGCUAUAAAGUGUUGAACAAUUGUGUGUGAAUAUGGAAUCAUCUUUGUUGUAAGGGCAUUUGAGUACCUUUGUUGAGCUUGAACUUGCAUUUGAAGCAGGUAUUGUGAACUUGAGAAUCUUUGAUAAUGGUAAGUCACAACUUGAAUCUUUGAGUGCACAACUGAUCCUUGUAUGAGUACAUUGAGUCUUGUAGUGUGCAUUCAUGAUUGAGUCUUUUGUAGCACUAUUUGAGACAUCCUUUUUGAACUGAUGAACUUGAGUUUUACUUGAGGAAAAGCAAAAGUUUAAGUUGGGGUGUUGAUGAGUCCGAGAUUUGGACUCAUUUAAGGCUUUAUUUAUAUAGGUUUAGUGUCCUCAAAUGCUUAUUUUUUGCCAAUAACUGAUGUAAAACCAUUGAUUUUCAGGAUUAUGGAUUGAGGAACAAAGAAAGGACACUAAGUGGCGAAAAGGAACAAAUUGAGCUGAAAGAAUGAAGAAAAGAGAGCCUAGUGAUCGCCAAGACCACUUGGCGAGUCACCAAAUGGCUAUUUGACCGCCUAAAGUUCAAGUGUGCCAAAAUCUAAGGGAAGAAAUCAAGUUAGCGAGAAAAAAAAAUUGUCAACAGAUCGUCGAGUGGUUCUGCGAUGGAGUAUGGGAUCGCCCAAAGUUACAGACCUUGACGAUGUUGAAGGCCAAGGCAGAAGGGCGAUUGAAGUGCCCAAAGGGUGGCUCGCCGAGUGGUUCAGUUAGCCUGACUUACUUCACCGAGUGAAUCUUCCCUACACAUCUUUGGCCAAUAAAAAUAUGUUUUUGAACAAUUUGUUUAGUAAUCAAUGAUUCAAUUAGGAAUCUGAAUUCAUAAUUUGAGUCUAUUAUUGAGUUCUGAACAGGAGAGACAGUUUUCUCUAGUUUUUCCUAAGCUUUAUAGAAUUGUAGUUUUUCACUUUUGAGAAAUUGGAAGUGGGUCUUUGAUAUUCUUCGAAUUGGAGCAUUGUAAGGACGAAUCUAUACUUACCCGGUUGAUGGAUACUCAAUUUGGUAGCUAUUUUUACCUUCUUAUGAUGUCUAAUUAAAACCCCAAUUCUUGGGGUGUGAUUAUAUGAUUAUGGGCUGAUUUAGCUUAUGGGUGUUGCUAAUUGUUAGUUUAAUUACAAUUUAAAAGUGAGUUCAAUAAUUUAUUGUGGGUUAAUUUAAGAAUUGUAGUUGCAAAUACGAUUAUACCUUUGUGUUCUUAACUUGCUCAAGAGAGAGGUUUUAGAACUAAGGUGUUUGAUUGAUGGUCUGUGGGUAUUGGGUUGACCUGGGUUCAACUUGAGAGAGUGAAUCCUAAACCCUUUUCCACACAUUCAGCUAGAGAGAGUGAAUGGACUAAGGUGUGGGGGUGUUCUUAUUUCGCAUGCUUGUUGAUAUUCGAGAGAAAUCAACUAGAUUCAGGGUAAAUUGUUCAAGAGAAAGUUUAUCUCUUCUAUAGACUAGCUUACUCACUAAUAUUUAGCCAUUUUCUAAUAGUUGCAAUUACCCAUUUGUCUAUAAUAGCCUAUAAUCAAAUCACAUACCAAGAACCUGUCUCAUUAUUGUUAUUUCAUAUUGUUUGCUGCUGUUUGUAGUUGAUAAUUUCAAAACCAAAACCCCCAUUUGACAUUCUUGUCAUCCCCUGAUUUGAAUGAUGUCUUUGUUCAACAAUUUUUUUUCCUAUGACUGAUUUGAACUUGUUCAUACUUCCCUAUUGAAUCUUAAACACGUACCACUCCCUGCGGGAUUCGAUCCCAACUCAUUUAGUUGGGUUUUAUACUGAUUAAUGACCGUUGAUGCUUAGAAUUAGAUGGAGUGUCUUUGAAAUGUCAUUAAUCAUCCUCUUUUUUCUUGCCUGUGUUCUUUUCCCCUAAGAAACUGUUUAAUUUCUGUUGAACCUGCAUGUUUAGGAAUGUAUGUGUAGGAGUAAGUAGAAAAAUGAAAGCAUGAUGGCAUGAAAAGCAUGAAAAGAAUGAUCCCUAUCAAAAAAUGUUGAAUUGUGCUAGAUCUAUAGUCUUGAUGAGUUGAAUGUGUUGGAUCUCAAUGUGAUAUGAUAAGAACCGACUUGACGUCAUGACUUAAGCUAAAAGUUGAACUGGGUAAUCUGAUAAUGAAACAAUGUGCCAAGAGUGUGUGAGAAAAGUUAAAUGUUUAGACAGUAUGUGCCAAUCUAGAACUUGCCCCAUUCGUCUUACUAAGAUGAUAUAGGGUAGAAGUUGGGAAGUGAUCAUAGGGGCUUGUUCAAAUUAGUCCACCUAAGCCUAAAUGAUCCAACCAAAUGCAAUCAAUGUUCCCUUUGAUCCAAAUAUUUGACCCUAAAAUAGACCAUUUCUUUUGAUUCACCAAACUUACCUUCCCUUAAAUAAUUGUUUUGCCCCCGGUCCUUCCUUGGACAUGUACACCUUGACUUAGGCCAAAAGCCUAAGUUGAAGGUGGCUAAUGGAAACGUUACCUAGAUCUUGGCCCUAGUCCAAGAUCGGAUAUUGUGCACGUCAACUAAUGCAAAUCCAUAAGUUGAGGGUGGCUAUGAAAAAGGAAACUGAAAUAAAAAAGGGUAUGAAUAGAGUUUGUGUUGAAAAGGGAAAAGAAAAGAUAGAAGAGGAUAUGCCUUUGUGCAAAAGAAGCAAAAAAAAGAUGAUAAAUAAAAGUGCUGAAAGAAAUAAAGAAAAAUAAAGUGAAAGAAAAACAAGAAACUGAAAAAUAAGAGCCACAAAGUCUUAAUUAGACCAUUUCUUUCCAAACCCCUAACUCACCAUCCCAUAAUCUACUGUGUUGGCCCAAACCCCUCCUUCGACAUGUGCACCUUGACUUAGGGCAAAAUCCUAAGUUGAGGGUGGCUAUUGAAGAAAGUGACCUCAAUCUUGGCCCUGAUUAGACAUCGGGUAUUGUGCACCUCAAGCAAUGGAAAAUCCAUAAGUUGAGGGUAGCUAUGAAAAAAGGAAACCGAAUGAAAAAUGGGUAUGAAAAGAGUUUGGUGUUGCAAAAAAGAAAAGAGAUGAAAGGAUGUAAAUUUGUGCAAAAGAAGGCGAACAAAAGUGUUGAAAGCGAAAGAAAUGAAUAAACUCAAGAAAAAGAAGAAAGUGAAAAAAAUAAAGAGCUACAAAGUCCAAAGUCACAUCCAUGGUUGAAGAAAAUCAAAGGAAAGAAGGUAAAACGGUAGGAUGUCAAGAAUAGGGCAAAAAGAAGUAGAAAGCCUAAUGUAAUGUCAAGGAGGGCACAAAGUCACUAAAGAGUAUCCAAAUGUAUGUCACUUGACCCUGAGACUACGUUACAAGCCAAAGAAGUCCUAUAGUGAUCCUAGAAACUAGUUUAGAGAGUCUAGGCAAUGAAAAUAAGAGCAAGCCUAUGGUAUUGAGCACUAACUGUACUUGAAGUCACUUCUGAGCGUGAGUGUUGAAUGAACCCUAAAGCGCAAAAUUCAUAUCUUCUGUGUGAAAAGGAUUUCAUUUGAAGUGAGGGCACUACUUAUAUUGUCGGAAAGUUGGUACCUUGGUGAAUGUGAAAAGUUUAUGUUGUGGUGUCUAUUGGUCGAUCUUUAUCAUCUUGAUCCGCAUGAGUUAGCUUGUUGAGUCUAAUAGAAGAUUUGUACUCAAAAAGAUAGUCGGGAUAGAAAGCCAUGUGAUUGCUUGUACUUGAAUGUCUACUUCUAUACAUGUGUCGUUUAGAGUCUUAGUGCGUCGCUUGAGGACAAACAAGUUUAUGUUGUGGUGUCUAUUGGUCGAUCUUUAUCAUCUUGAUCCGCAUGAGUUAGCUUGUUGAGUCUAAUAAAAAUGAUUUCCACUAAGAAGAUGGAAUGGGUUGACAUAGUCAUGUGAUUGCUGAGUUUGUAUAUAUGCUUCUACAAAAGUGUCAUUUAGAGUGUUAGUGUGUCGCUUGAGGACAAACAACAUGUUUAAGUUGAGGAUGUUGAUAUACCGUGAGUUUACGGUAUUUUUAAUACAUUUCACUUAAGAGUUGUGUGUGUCUAGGGCCAUUGUGUAUUGGAAAUAAUGUUUUGUGUCAUGUUUGCAGGAUAAUAAUGUGUUUUGUAUCAUGUUUGAAAGAAAUAGGCUUGGCGUGGUAAAGUGAGAUGACAGCUGAAAAUCUGCAGAAAUGGCCACCCAUGGAGGGACCUAUGGACCGUAGGUCCUAUGAUGGUCCGUCAAUGGUGGGCGUAGAUAGGAGCUUCAGGGAAGUCUGAUGAAGUGUGGAACAACGAAUCAACCUACGGGCCGUCCAGCAUGUCCGUAGGAGAUGAACUGGGAGUCAAAGUUUCAGUACCUGAUGAUAAUCCUAUAUGUGGAGCCACGGAAGAGGAGCCACGGACCGUAGGUCAACCUACGGUCCAUCCUGCAUGUCCGUCAGUGAUGAACUAGGAGUUGAAGGUUCCAGGCCUUGCAAAAAAAGUCUAACUAUUGACCAACGGAGGGGACCUAUGGACCGUAGGUCGACCCACGGUCCGUAGGUCGAGUCGUCGAUCAAAGCCGCGUCCAGAAAGUUUAUCUCCUCAUUUUGUUUCCUUUUUGUUUAGGAUAUGUUUUUCUAUAAAUAGGGUAUGUAAACCUUAUUUUUUGGGGUUAGACAUUAUUGUAUACUUUUAGUUCUUGAUAUUUUCAUGGGAAUUAACUGGUAAAUUUUGGCAUUUUGAUUUCUGGAUUUCGAUUUAUAAGAUUUUUUCUUUGAAAUUCAUUUCGAGAUUACGGGUUUCUUCUACUCUAAACAUAAGUUCAUGAAUUAUUCUUAUCAAAAUAUGAAUUGUGUUCUUUCAAGCAUGAGUAGCUAAAUCCACAACUAGGGUUGUGGGAACCAUGAGAAAUUAACAACGUAUGAAUAAUAAUUAAGUAAUUCUGGAAUAGUUUUGAUGUAUGUAUUGGUAAUUCUUUUGCUUAGAAGUGUUUUUAACGAGUGCACACGUUAGAACUGGCCUUGUUGCUUCUUGUCGGACCAAGGAGGUAGUUAAUAAGAAAAUAAUNNNNNNNNNNNNNNNNNNNNNNNNNNNNNNNNNNNNNNNNNNNNNNNNNNNNNNNNNNNNNNNNNNNNNNNNNNNNNNNNNNNNNNNNNNNNNNNNNNNNAUGAUUACUAUUAUUAGGAUUACCACGUUAAGAGCUCGUGGGGAACACAUACACCCUAGUUUCUAUCUCCUAUUGAUAACAACAAAGUUUGAAUCUUGCCUACUUGUUACAUAACAAUCAACAAUCUGUUACUUGUUUACACAACAGCCACCCCCCCCCUCUUUAAUUACUUGUUUUCGGAAAUAGUUUGAAUAAACGAAAAUAAUCGUUAGUUAAGUUUAAGUCUGAACCAUAUUCCUCGUGCGAUCAACUCCAACCUACAAGUUGCGUUCUUUACUUAAUAACAAUCGCUUAUACUUGUUUAGGGAGGUGUAAUUUGAGCGUAUCAAAAUCAAGCCAUAUUUUUUAGCGAAUAGUCAAAUCUUUUUGAUUAAACACAUAUUGCAAACUCUUGUGGUCGGUAAACACAUCUACAUGUACACCAUACAAAUAGUGUCUCCAAAUCAUUAGAGCAAAAACGACCGCCGCUAACUCAAGAUUGUGUGUAGGAUAAUUCUUCUCAUGGAUUUUAAAUUACCUUGAGGCAUAGGCAAUAACUUUCCCAUUUUGCAUAAGCAGACACCCUAGCCAUAUUAUCGAGGCAUCACAAUACACCACAAAACCAUUGGUCCCUUCCGGUAAAGUCAACACCGAAGUGAAAGUAAGUCUAUCUUUCAACUCUUGUAAACUCCUUUCACACACUUCGGACCAUGUGAACUUAGCCUUCUUUUGAUUUAUGGCCGUCAAAAGAGAGGCUAUUAAAGAGAAUCCCUCAACAAACCUUCUAUAGUAGCCGGCUAAACCCAAGAAACUUAUAAUAUCUGAGGGAGUUAGAGGUCUAGGCUUGACCGCAUUUUCCUUCGUAGGAUCUACCUAUACCCUUACUCGAAACAAUAAGACCAAGGAAAGCUACGAACCUUAACCAAAAUUCGCAUUUGCUAAGCUUUGCAAAAAGUUGUUGGUCCUUAUGAAUUUGCAGCACGGUCCUGAAAUGAUCAAUAUGCUCAUCCUUACAUGCCUAAUUUCAUAAAACUCUUCUUUGAAGAUCAAAAUCCCACAUCAUAUUAUUCAUAACUUGAAAACACGGGGAUUACAUGGGCUCAUGGGGAAAUCUUCAUAAAAUCAUUAUGUAUCAUCAAUUCACAUAUAAGAGAUCAUAAUUCAAUCAUUUAAAAUAAUAAUGCAAACAACCCAUGAUAAUUGAAGAAAACCCUAACUUAAUUGGGAAAUUCAACCAUUUGAAAUAGAGAAAUUUGGGAACUCCAUGGAUGGAAGGAAUUCAUGGAUGAAAACUAUCAUACCUUGAAUAAAAAAACUAUCAUUCAAUAGAGGAAUUGAGACCUUGACAUGAAACCCUAGGAUGAAUCUUCUUCUUCUUCAAGUUUCUAGAGAGAGAAAUAUUUGGGGAGGGAUUUUGGAAAAAUAAAGUGAAUGGGUUAAUUAGGGGGUUGAAAAAGUUUAAAUAGGGGUCUUAGUGAGGGGUAAACGACGUAGUAUAAAAACUAAUUCAUUAGAAAAAGAUCCAACCACCCCUGAACUAACUGUCAGCUGUCACCGACCUACCAAUCGACGGACCCAGUCGACGGACCGUGGUCUAACCCAUGGCCCAUCCGGGUGGACCGUUGUUGGUGGUCAGAGAGUUUUGGCCUGACCUACGGUUCCUUGACCAUGGACCGUAGACCCAUUAUAGGUUCGUAGGUCCAGGCGUGGUCCAUGGCCUGGAAAAUUUUGAGUGGCCAAUCCACCGACCUACCUAUGAUCCAUGGUCGAACCCAGGUGCUUUAGUUGGACAAUGUGGAUGGCACCUGCAACUAUUGAAAUCUAUUAUGGUGCCCUCUUUCGGAUUCGGGGUUCUACAAGGACCUGCAUCACAAAACAUAUGCAUAAUAUUGCAUGAGUAUCAAAACAAAGGUACUCACGAGGCAUCAUAGGUUGAGUGAGCAAGAAAGGUAAAGACAAUAAGAAAUGAUAGAAUCUAGACACAAAUAGAGGUCAAAGAAGAUAUAAAAGAAAGCACACGAGCAUACCAAUAAGUAAAUCUAAGGAAAUCUAACUAAACCUAACCAGACCCCAUAAGCCCAAAAGAUAAGAUUGUACACACGUUUAAAUAAAAUCCGAACAGACCCUAUAAGCCCGACAUGUACACAUUAUAGAUAAGUCUACUAAAAUAAGAAAGCCAUGAAGAAAAAGUCAGGUUCCCAGCCCAAGUAACCAUCAUAUCUAGCAAACUCACAUGCCAGUUACGAAGAGUGACAAUAAAUCUAGGGUGCUAAGCCUGCCAAUUCACUCUAGCCCAACUAGAGAGAGUGACAUGGAUGCGUGUCGACUUCGAAAAUGAUCUUAUAAAUUAAUGCCGCCCAGCAGCUAGUCCACUCCUAGGGGCGUUAGCCGCCCAGUGAGAAAGAAUGACCCAAGGGCGUGUCGACUCCAGAGAAGUCAAAUAUUAGUACCAAGUCACUAUGGAAUGACGUCUACCCACAAAGAAUCAACUAAAUGCCCCAAGCCUACAACAAUCCAAUCACAUGUCGGCGCGAAAGCAAAUAACCUUUGUUAACAUAUUGGAGGCGCAAAAAUAUAGUAAUAGAACAUAAGAUCUAACAAGCUGUGAAAUCGCCCUAACUAUGGUUCAUGCUAUGAGACUCAAGUAUUCUAUUUAUAUCUACAAGGAUCUAGUCCAUCUGAAAUGAUGUCAUAGACAAAACAAGGCUAAGGAUUGCAACUCUAAGACAACACUCAUAUACCCCUAAACUAAGGCCAAACAUGGUCAUUACCAAAAUAGUAACACAAUUAAUACAUAACAACAUGCAACAACACACAUAAAAACCAACUAGCAUGGUACUAAACCCAAAAUAAUGCGGAUUAAUCCUAAAUCAUGGUAUCUAAGAAGAGAAAUAAGAAUAACUAGGUACCUGCCCCCAAUUUACUCUAAUCAGCAUGCCUUUAUGCAUUCAAGCUCAAUCAAAAUAGAAAGGAAGUCGUAGCCUACAUGUAAGCCAAACGUGUGCGCUCCAAAUAACAAGUACAAAGCUAUUCAUUUACGAACGACCUUCAAAGUUUGCCACACUAUCAAUUAGAUAAUCACAAUGUAUGUACGUUCGUUUAGACCACAAAAACACAUAAAAUGGAAAUGAACCAAUUUCAGAGUAAAAUGAGAUUUGUGGGACCUGCAGCAAAUUUUUUGAAAUUGACUUCAUCAAAGAGUCCUAAACAAUACCUCGAACUUGUGUUUUAAAAUAGAACACAAUUUGGGGCUCAAAACAACAAAAUCAACAAAUAGGCAGAUUACAACAUUAACAAGUCAAGGCAACUUAUAAACUUGCAAAAUUUAUCUUAAACAAAGGUUCUCCAAAAAUUUUCAGUCACAAAACUAAGUAGCCAGAACCAAUAUGAUCACCCAAAACAUCGAGUUAUUGAAAUUGGAGUAUGGAGGAGAAAUUGACAAUUUAAUAACCAACUAAUGUUUGAAUUCACAUCCAAAAUUGAAAUAAAAGCUGGCAAAUGACCGCUUAAGCGGUCACUAACGUUUUUAAGCGACAUGCCUCAAAGUGGCGGGCCUCGCUUUUGGAAGCUCCUGGCCACAAAAAUGUGUCUCACUUAUGUGAGUCCUAGAAGCAAAGUGGUUGCCACUUAAGCGAACCCAGUGCUUCUUAAAAGGGUACCAGCUGACUAGCUAGCCUAACUUAAGUAGAGCCUUGGUCGCAAGAGUGACUUUCUCUUAAGAGAAUCCAAGGGCGCAAAAGCGGCCUGCACGAACAUCAAGAGACUCAGAAAGUCUCCCGAGCUCUGCCCGGGAACUCCGAAAGUGUUCAGAACCCCGUGCAUGCAAAUGAGAUAUGCAAACCAAUAAAAUUUGAUUGUUCUAACUCAACAUAGCAAUCUGAAUUUCCAUACGAGGACGUUUUGGCAGAAUAUGGGUCCCACACCUAACUCUAUUUAAAGAAAAAAUCCACAAGGGUGCUUAGAAAAUGCUCGAAAGUCUCGGUAUCCGAACAAAGGAUCGUUCUAGACCAAACACAACAUUUCAGAGUUAACAAAACUGACAUAAUUCUCAUUUGAACUUGUUUACUAAGAAUGAUUACUAAAUUCAAACUUAGGCCUCAACUUGAAAGUAAAAAUGCCUAAUCUAGAGACUUGCACUAGAAGCCUCGAGAGUCAUGCCUACCAGAUUACUAGACAAAAAUGACCCUUCCAGAGCUGAUGAAAUAGUCAGAAUUUUAUUUUGAGGCCAUCUUCUUGAACUUUUAAUAAAAAAUAACCAUUCAAGGUUCAAAAGCUUGGAAGCAUGAAAACACGCAUAAAAACCAAAUUAACGACUAGGUGACCAAACUGUCAGUCCUAGCAAGUCAUAAAUAACUUGAGGUCACUAUAGAUAUUCUGUAAACAAUGAACAGGAUGUGAAAACAUAGAAAUAACUUGAAGGGUCAUUAUAAUUUUAUGUCUAAUAACAUGUAUCAACUAUGCUUCAUUUUUAUUUAAAAAAUCAAUUAUGUUUAUAUUUUUUAACAUUAAGAAAAUUUCUUUAAAAUGAAUCACGAUAUACAUCAUUAAAAUAGUAUCACAUAAACACAGAUGAAUAUUAAAUAACUGCAUAUAAUUUGAAUCAGGUUUCGCACAAACAUUUUAUUAAACAAUACAAGAAAUUAGCCUUUUCGUGAAAUUUGAUUCACCACAAAAAAAUUAACUGCUAGGAUAUACUGAUUUCAAAAGUUAUUAAUUAUUAAUUAACAUUAAAGAGCCAGAAACUUGAACCCAUGAAUAAACCUCGAAAUGUAACUUAGUUUUCAGAACAAACACAUUUUUUCCUUUUCACAGUUUUUUUCUUUUCUCUUCCUUCUCAUAUUUUUCUUUUUCCUCAUGUUCUUUUUUGUUUGUUUGUUUUAUUUAUCCUCCCCGUAUAUUUAUGUGCUUGUGGCUUUAAAAAAUGUGCAUUUGUAUGCAGAUGACGAGCCAAGAAAAGAAAAAAAAGAUCACGUCUUGUGUGCACGUGAGUGGGAUUAUGGGGUGACUUUAGGAUUAGUUAUUUUUAUUUUAUUUUUGAUAAAUAUAUUUUAUUGAUAAAAGUAUUGGUUAGUUAUUUUGAAUCAACAAAAAUAAAAGAUAGUUAAAUAACUAAUCUAAAAACAUAAUUAAGAAACACUGGUUUUUUUAUUUAUCUUCGAUGAAAAGAAAGCAUAUAUUUUUUGUAAUUGUAUUUGUUUUGAAAAAUCAAAAUUACCCUAAAAUGCGAUUCUAUUUUUAUUGUUUUCAAUUCUUUUAUAAUAAACAUACUAAAAUAAAAUAUAAAAUCAAAAUAUUGAAUUUUAAAUCUAAAGAAAUAUGUCAGUAAUAAAAUAGUGUAAAAUGUUAUAUUCGGUCAAAAAUUAGGUGUUCACACUUACAAUUCUAAUUUUAUAAGAGUCUCUUCUUCUCCUCAAUUUUUUCUCUAAUGUUUAGGGAAUAAUUGGGUUGUUUUUUCUUGAUUGAAAUGAUAAAUAUUUGUGUUAUUUGCUUGUUGAUAAUGUGUUUGAGAGUGAGCAUUAUUUAAAUUAACAAUUGAGGAAGUCUUGAGUACCCAUAACCUAUUCUAAUGUUGUAGAAAGGGUAUUCCCAUUAACUACUUGAUGAAGGAUCUAAUAAAAUCAUCGAAGAAAUUCUUUAACAUUCAUUGAUUUGAUAUUGUAUUUGAAGUAUCCUUCAUGAUUUUGAGUGUCAAGCUGGAUCAAACGUCUGUAUCGAAAGUAUUUGUACAAAUAAUUUUAGUUUUUGGGUCAAAGUGGGUAUGUUGGAAAAUAAAGUUUCAUAUUAGUAGAUCCUCUAUUGCUUUUUUGGUCAUCACAUUAGCAGUGAGAGGGCCACUUUAACAACUCCUGAGAAAUUCUUCUGAUACCUCAAUUGUUGACAUUUUAUCACUUUUGCGGUGACCAUAAUUAUGAUUUGACCACAAAUGCGGUAUCUGAGGCAAAAUUCUGACAAGCUCAAACAUGGCAACUUUAUGCAGAUCACUCAGAAUAAAUUUUGGAUUAAAUUUUUUUUUUCUUAGAUGAAUCACAAUGAACUGUAUUACAUGCUUAUAUAGAGUAUUCAAAUUUAUAAGAUAGGUUUAGGUAUCAAAAGUAAAAAUUCAAUGCUAACUCAGGUUAAGCAAUGUAUGAGGACCCUUUGGAAUUUGAGGAUGAAUAUGUUCACACUCAAUUUAUUUCUGAAAUGUGAGAGAUGCUAUUACUCUGACUUUGCUAAAAAGAAGUUGUUCCCUAAAAGAGAUAUUGGACUUGAUCGAGUGGCUAAAGCUCUUCCUAACUUUUAUCAAUUUUUGGUAUCUAUGGGAUGCAUGUUUUCAAGCUGACGCUUGUAAGGGUAAUGAAUAAUGAGUAAUAUAAUAUUACACAAACCUCAAAGAGGUUAGAUUUGCAACACCAAUUAUUAAAAUAAAAGGUAAAAUGAUAAAUAUUGGAGCCGAAGCAAUCAAUAGGUUCUAUCAAUUAUAAAAUCCUGACAUCACAUUGUUUAGACCACAAAAUUGUGCUCCAGAUAAUUAGUUGGUGUGUAAUAUAUGUCCGAACAAUAUGGGAUCUUAAGUUAUCACAAAGAGAGACAACACCUUCAGAGAGUUCAUUGCAAAUCAAAGAAUUGAAUACACCUUAUUUUCAGCUGAGUCUCCUCAUGGAAAUGUAUUCAAUAUCACAGUAUUGAGAGCCUAAGUGGUUGCUUGCAUUCUUGACAACAUUCUGCUGAAUAUUGCUCACAUGAUUUUCUAGGAGUUCAAGGAGUAUUUGAAGAACUUAUGUUUUCUUCUCUUAUUACUAGGUUGUGCAAUCUCACUGGGGUAGAAAUAAACAAGUAAGAUAAUUGAGUAGAUCAAGCAAAGUCAAUUAUUCCAUUGAAAAAAAUGAAGAGUUGAUUAUGUCACCAAAAUAAAAACAGAGAAAGGUAGCGGCAGGAAAUUAAUUUCAGAUUGAGGCUAACACUAAUAGACCAUAAGCUACUUGACCAUUUGUUUUGUUGUGAAAUGAGAUGAAGGAAAUUUCAUAGUCAGCAUCUAAACUUUCGGAAAGAUCAUGUGAAACAUCUCAUGUCCCCUCCACAUUUGUUGUCACAAUCCAAAGUACACCCUAGACGUGAUAUGACGUAUUAAACCCCGAGAGACCUACACAAGACACGUGACAUACAUAUACACAAUAUAAUAAAAAUAAGAUAGUUCAUAUCAAAGUAUAGCAUUUAACAUAUAAGCGGAAUUCUAACAUAUUUUUGACAAGUCAUCUAUUACAUCAAAGAAGUGGUCGAGAUGUAACCAAUACACCACGUACAAUGUUAGAAAACUAAAUCCUAAUGACAAUGAUAUAUAGGAAACAUGGUCCUCGGAAUAUGAGGACUCACCAGCUCUUGAACAACAAAGGGGAAAGUCAACUAACCAUGAGCAGGAGUAGGAAGAUCAAUAGACCCUACAAUAGUGAAACAAUGUAGGCACAAGUAUGCACUACUACAUGAAAUGCACUAAGUAUGAGAGAUAUGCUUGAAAAGGUAAAAUAUGAUCAUAAGAGGCUCAAAUUUAAUCAUGAAAUGCAUGACAAAGCUAAGCAUAAUAAAACCUUUAAAGAAAAAUCAUAAAUCAUAAACAAGGUCAACACAAAUUUUAAAUCCUAAGGAAAGCUUCAUUAAAAUAUUGAUAUAAAAACAUCGAUCAUUUUGUAGGGUAUUAACUUUGACCGACAAUAGACCAUGUGAGUUACAACAUAGAAUCCGACUUAACUCCAUUAUCGAGAAGGGAAAGUCUACUUUCAAAGGUAGAACUGCGUAUCAUAUCAUAAGCUAUAUGUGUAUUUACUAGCUAGGCCAUUUAAGGCAAUCCUACAGAUGCACAUAGUUAUGAACUAGAGGGGACAACUAGAGACUACCCUAUUUGAGCCUCCACCUCAAAGUUGUCUCGGUGCUAUGCUAAACCCCAACGGAAUAGUCAAUUCAUUGACAUAUCAUCAUCCAUGGGAAACUACAAUUCAAAUACUUGCCCAAGCUUAAACAUCAUAAAGUAGCUUCUUGAAUCAAGCAUGUGUGAGAACAACUUUCACAAUUUUAUUCAUGGUCAUCUUAAAGAAACCUAAUUCAUAAGACAUUUAUUUUUCAUAAAUCAUGCAUAACUUCAUGACAACAUCAAAUAAUAGAUUCACAGCUUCUUCAUAAAUUCACAUCUUUUAGGGUUCAUAGUAAAAAUUAUGAUCACUGCAUUGUUUCAUGUGAUUUUAAUUGGAAAUAAUGUAAUUGAGUUAAAACAAUCAUAACAAGAUCAAAUUCAAGCAAUUGGAUCAGCAUAAAUAGAACCCAUGAAGAAUUGAAUGGAAACCUAAUCAAUUUGAUUGAAAUUGAUAUGAAGAACUAGAUAAACCUUUGGGGCUCAAUGGGUAAAUGAAACCCAUUGAUUAAGACUUACAUACCCUACUAUUCAAAUCCCAAAAGCAAUGGAGGAAUAAGGAUACUUGAAGCUUGAACCCUAUAUUUCUCCAUUGAAGCUUGAGAAGAUUUGGAGGGGAUAUAUUUGGAUGGGAUUUGGGGAUUUUAGAGAAUGAGAGGGUUUGGGUAUAUUUAGGAGUUUAAAGGUAGUUAUACCCUUGAAGCUUGAGAGGAUUUGGAGGGGAUAUAUUUGGAUGGGAUUUGGGGAUUUUAGAGAAUGAGAGGGUUUGGGUAUAUUCAGGGGUUUAAAGGUAGUUAUAGCACUUUGAAUAUAUAAUAUAUGUAUUAGGUGCAUAGGAAAAGAUUCAAAUACCCUUAAAAAUAACUGUUGGAUGGUUCCUAAGGUCUGUAGGAAUUUCUACGGCCCGUCCUAGCCAACCGUGGAACAAAAUUUAAAAAGUCAAAAUUCAAUCAUUUCCCGUUAGACCUUUCUACGGUCCAUUAUAUUUUCUAUGUUCUAUAGACCCCAUAUGUAGAACCCAACUUUUGGUUAAAAUGUUUAAUAAAUCUGGAACCUUUCUAUGAAAGAAAUCUAUGACUCGUCGUAAUUCCUACUGUUCAUCCUAUUCAUUCAUAGGUCAAAUUUGAGAAACUUGAUUUUCUAAAACUCAAUACUAGGUCCUACGAUUCCAUUUAUACUGCUUGUUGGAAUUCCUACUAGACCUAGGUCUGUCUCGUAGACCAUUGCCUCAGAGAAAUUCUACACCUUUCUUUCCUUUCUCAUCUUUCUCAUCUUUCAACUUCUGAGGUGUUACAAUAUCUUCUCUUUGGGAACAUUCGUCCUCGAAUGCAACUCAAGCUAGCAUGAAUAGAGUAGCGGAGAAACUAACAACACAACAUGAAUUCAAAUUUCAUCAAAAUGGACAUAAAACAUGGAUAAUCACUUUAAGCUAAAUCAUAACAUCAAAACCUAGUUUUUCAUGAAUAUUCAUGCAUAUGGAAACAUUCGAAUUACUCAAACACAUGGAUCCGAAACAAUGAACCACUAGGAACUAGUACCUCAACGUAGAACAUAAGCGGAGGUUAAGAGAUAAGGAUACCGGAAAAUCAUAUCGGUUUCGGCCUCCCAAGUAUCCCCCUCAACUAAUGGAUUUUCCCAUAGAACCUUCGCGGAAGAAACUUCCUUAUUUCUGAACUUCUAAACUUGUUGGUCUAAAAUCUCAAUCGGAACCUCUUCAUAUGAAAGAUUUUCCUUGACUCCUAAACCUUCUAAAGGCACAAUAGAUGUACGAUCUCCAACACACUUCUUCAUCAAAGAGACAUGGAAUACGGGAUGUAGCGAUGCUAAAUCAUUAUCCAACUUAAGUUCAUAAGCAACUUUUACAAUACGCCUCAAAAUAUUAAAUGGGCCAAUAUAGCUCGGACUAAGCUUCCCUUUCUUUGAAAAUCUCAUUACACCCUUCAUAGGUGAAAUAUUAAAGUAGACCCAAUCAUCAACUUCCAACUGAAGAUCUCUUCUUCUAACAUCGAAAUAGGACUUUUGUCGCUUUGAGCCAUUUACAACCUCUCGCGAAUAAGUUAAACCUUUUCCAUAGCCUCAUGCAUACACCUGAGCCCUAUUAAUGUAACCUCAAUUACUUCAAACCAAUCUAUAGGAGACCUAUACCUACUACCAUAAAUUACCUGAAACGGUGCCAUCCUAAUGCUAGAGUGAUAGCUAUUAUUAUAAGCAAAUUCAAUCAAAGGCAAAUGAUCAUGCAAAUUUACGUUGAAAUCAAUCACACAAGCUCUUAACAUAACCUCUAAGGUAUGAAUGGUACAUUCGGCUUGUCCAUCGGUCUAGGGAUGGUAAGUCAUGCCAUUUUACUUGUGUACCAAGACCUUUCUAAAACAACUUCCAAAACUGAGAUGUAAAAUGAAUACCACAAUUAGAGAUAAUGGACAAAGGCACUCCAUGCAACCUUACUGUUUCCCGAAUCUAAAGCUUGGAGCAAUAUUUCAAUUAGAAUGAAGUUUUAACAUGAAGGAAGUGAGCCAUUUUUGUCAUUUGGUCCAGAUUAACCCAAAUCAAAUAAAAUUGUCGAUGAGUGCGAGGUAAACCCGUAAUGAAGUCCAUAUUUAAAUCUUCCCAUUUCCAUGUAAGAAUGCUAAUGUCUUGAGCUUUACCACCUAGGUUUUGAUGUUCAACUGUCACUUGUUCACAAUUCAGACAUUUAGCCAUAAAUUCUGCAAAAUCCUUCUUUAUCCGAUUCCACCAAUAAACUACCUGUAAAUCACGGUACAUGUUCGUGGCUCCCAGGUGAAUAGAAAACUAAGAACUAUGAGCUUUUGUCAAAAUCUAAUUUCUCAACUCAUAAACAUUCGGAACACAUAACCAACCUUGAUAUCAAAGGAUUCUUUGUCCUCGUUAGGUAAAAAUGCGUCAAUGGAUUUUUCAUAGACCGACUUCUUUAAGUAAACCAAUGCAUGAUCAAGAUCUUGUCUAGCCUUCACAUCCAAAAAAAAAGAUGAUUUGAAACCAUUAUGAACAAUUACAACACCUUCAUUGGAAUCAACCAAGCAAAAACUCACUCGGUCCAAUCUAUGAACAUCAUAAAUUAAAUCAUUCUUAUCAUCCUCAACAUGAGCAACACUUUCCAUUGAUAGUCGGCUAAGAUAAUCCGCCACCACAUUCGCCUUUCUAGGAUGAUGGAGGACACUCAUGUCAUAAUCAUACAAUAACUCAAGAAAGCUCCUUUGGAGAAGAUUCAAAUCCUUUUGAGUAUGCAAAUAUUUCAAACUCGUGUGGUCCGUUACCACAUCUACAUGAACACAAUAUAAGUAAUGUCUCAAAUUAUUAAGGGCAAACACUACUGCCGCUAACUCAAAAUCAUGAGUCAAAUAUUUCUUUUUAUGCACCUUCAAUAUCCUUGAAGCAUAUGCAAUGACUUUCCCAUGUUGCAUCAAAACAAACUCAAGACCAAUUCGAGAAGCAUCACAAUAUACAACAAAACCAUCCGACCAUUCUCGUGAUGUCAAAAUAGGUGUUGAACUGAGUCUAUCUUUCAAUUAUUAGAAACUCUUCUCAUAAGCUUUUGACCAUAAGAAUUGCACCUUGUUUUGAGUUAAUGUAUUCAAAAGCGAAGCAAUAGAGAAAAAUCCGUCCACAAACCUUCUACAGUAACAUGCCAAACCCAAGAAACUACGUAUAUUUGAAGUGGACAAAGGUCUAGCCAAUUCAUAAAAACCUUAGUUUUAUUAGGAUUGACUUGAAUACCUUCAGCGGAGAUAAUAUGACUAAGGAAAGCAACAUACCUCAACCAAAACUCACAUUUUUCAAAAUUAGUAUACAAUUCACGAUCCUUAAAAAUCUGCAUUACUAUCCUCAAAUGCUCAACAUGCUCAUCCUCACUUCGUGAGUAAAUCAAAAUGUCAUCAAUAAACACAAUAAAAAACAUGUUAAGAUAUUUCUUAAAGACCUUAUUCAUCAAACCAAUAAAUGUUACCGUGGCAUUAGUCAAACAAAAAGACAUCCCCAAAAACUCAAAAGACCAUACCGAGUUUGAAAAGCCAUCUUCAGAAUGUCACUCUCCUUCACCCUUAAUUGGUGAUAACCCGAUCGGAGGUCAAUCUUAGAGAAGUAACUCACUCGUUGGAGUGGAUUAAAAAAAUCAUUAAUCCAUACAAGAGGAUACUCAUUCUUAAUCAUAUCUUUGUUCAAUUCAUGAUGGUAGAUGCACAUUUGAAGAGAACCAUCAUUCUUUUGAUCAAACAACACUGGAGCUACCCAUGAUGAAAUACUCAGUUUAAUAAAACCCUUAUCCAACAAGUAUUAUAGUUUGUCCUUUAAAUCUUUAUGUUUUGUCAGGGCCAUAUGAUAAGGAGGAAUAGAGAUAAGCUCUGUUUAUGGGAAAAGGUUAAUUUUGAAGUCUAUUUCCUUUUGGGAGGGAUACUAAGAAGAUCGUUGGGGAAUACUUUUGGAAACUAAUUUACAAUAGAAGCUGACUCAAGAGUAGGGGCUUUAGAUUCUGUAGCCCUAGCUCAAACUAGAUGAUAAAUGCAACCUUUAGAAAUCAAUUUCCUAGCCUUUAGACAAGAAACACAUUGAACCUUACGCCUGGAAUUUCCCCUUCCCAUUAAAUGAUAUAUUCUUUCGGAACCUUGAAUGUGACCAAUCGGGUCCUAUAAUCUAUGUAAUCAUAACACGCAUGAAGCAAUUCCAUCCCAAGAAUAACAUCCAAAUCCAACAUAUCAAGCUCUACAAGAUCAACUUGAGUGACUCCAUGAGAAAUUGAAAUAUGAUAGUUUCUAUAAACUCUCUUAGGUACUAUAGAAUCACCAAGGGGAUAGAGACAUGAAGCCGAUUAGAAAGGACUUCAGGACCAACAUCAAAUAUCAUCACCACAUAGGGAGUAGAAAAAUACAAGGUAGCACCCAGAUCAAGUAAAGCAUAAACAUCAAGGCAAAAAACAUUUAUUAUACUGGUAACCACAUCUGGGGAACCCUUGGGAUCCUCUCAAUUAUGAAGAGUAUAGUACCUAUUCUAAUGAGAAUCAUCGAAACAUGAACCACUAGGCUGAGUUUGGGUACCAUCCUUAACCUUGCUAGUUUGAAAUGGACAAUCCUUUAAUUUGUGGCCACUCUUUAUACAACUAAAGCAACCAUUUAUAUCAACUAGAAACUUAAAAUCAAGUUUCUUUUCACAGCUUGUGCAAGCGGGAAUAGAAGACCCAUUACAAAUUCCUGGCCGGAAAACUUUUUUUGAAACUAAGAACGACCUUGUCCACCGGACCUAGAAUAAGAAAUGUCACCCUCACCGGUCCUUGACCUCUUGGACUCUGUAGCCCUUUCCUUGAGUUUUUCCUCUUCAAUUUGUUUUGCAUAUACAAUGAAACAAGAUAUGUCCGUCUCCUUAAUCAAGAUGGAGGUAUGACACUCAUUAACCACUAUAUUAGACAAAUUGGACAUGAACUUACUCAUCCUUGACCUAGAGUCAGCAAUCAUAUUCAGAGCAUACUUAGACAAUUGAGUAAACUUCAAAGAAUUCUCCUUCACACUCAUGUUCCCUUGAUGGAUAUGAACUAAAUCACUUUCACUUCUCUCUUCUCAAGAGGAAAGAAAUGAUCAAGAAAAACUCCUAUGAAUUUCACUCAAUAGAGAUUACCCACAUUAACCACCUUCUCACUUUUCCAUUCUUCAAACAACUCUUGAGAUACAUCCUUAAGUUGAUAAGUGGCCAAUUCCGCCUUCCCAACCGUAGACAAUCUCAUAAUUCCCACUAUCAUGUAGAGCUUAUCAACGAACACUUGAACAUACUCAUUAACUAUAGAACCAUGGAAUUCCAGAGGAUUGAUCAUAGUGAAGUCCCUUAUCCAUUUCCCUGUCGUACCCACAUUUCGGUUCAUGGGAGCAAUGACUUCUCUAUAUUUUGGGCCAUCAUGCUUGAGCGUACGAUUGAAAAAUGACUCACAAUACACCAGAGUCAUUUGCUCAGCCAAAGGGUCAGCUAGAAAUUGAGGAACCUUGGGCUCCACAUUCUCCCUCACAUUUCUUCUCACAUAAGCUCUUCAAGGGGCCAAAUCCUAAAAAUGAUCCAGCACAAUUUAGGAGAAGAAUCUUUAUAGAGAUAGACUAUAUGUAAUGACUUUAGAGUAAUGAAAUAAGUGAAGUGUUCUAUAUGCCUUGUAACCUCCUAUUCAUAAAUUUGGAACACUUCACACUCGUGAAAACGACUCUACUCAAUGCAGCUUGUCAGGCAUACUAGGAACUUUUCUAAAGACUUGUGUUCUAAAUAUGAUAUUUUUCAUGAACCAAAGUACACCCUAGAUGUCACAUGUUGUAUAAGACCAUGAGAGAACCUACAUAAGCCACUACAAAUAUAUACACUACAGAAUAAUCAAGAAAAAAUAUAAUAUCAUAUUGACAAGACAUCUUGGCCACGAUGCAACCCGUACACCAUAUACAAUGUGUAAAAACUAAAACAUAACGACAGUGAAGUAAAGGUAACAUGGUCUUUUGAACAUGAGCACUCACCAACUCUUGAAUUUAAAAGGGGCAAGUCGACUAACCACAAACGGGAGGACGAAGAUUGGUGGAGUCUAUAUUAGGAAAAAAUAUAGUCACAAGUAUGCAUUAGUACAUGGAAUGUAAUAAGUAAGCGGGAUAUGCAUGAAAAUGUAAAACAUGGUCAUAAGAGGACAUAAUAGAAACAUGAAAUGGAUGACAAAGCUAAGCAUAGUAAAACCUUUAAAGAAAUAUCAUAAAUUGUGAACAUGGUCAAUUCAUAUUUAAAAAUAAUAAGGAAAGCUUCAUUAAAAUCAUGAUAUAAAACAUAGAUCAUUUUUUUGGAUAUUAGGUUUAACCGACAAAACACCAUGUGAGCUAUAACAUGGAAUCUGAUGUAACUCCCACAUCGAGUAGGGAGAGUGUACUUUCCAAGGUAGAACUCUGUAUAAUAUCAUGUGAUAUAUGUAGAUCCACUCGCUAGGCCAUUUAAGGCAAUCUUGCAGGUGCCCGUAGUAUGGGAUUAGAGGUUGCUACUAAAGACUAUCCUAUUUGAGCCUCCACUUCAAAGUUCCCUCGGUGCUAAGUUCAAUCCCAAUGGAAUUGUCAAUUUAAUAAACAUAUAAUAAUCCAUGGGAAGGUACGAUUCAAAUACUAGUCCAAGUUUAAAAAUCAAAGAGUAGCUCAUAAAUUUUUUAAUCAAGGAUGUGUGAGUAAACCUUUUUACCAAUCCAUGAUUCCUUAAUGUGAGAAAACCUUUUACAAUUUUGGUGAUGCUCAUCAUAAGUCAACCUAAUUCAUAAUACAUUCUUUUUUCAUAAAUCAUGCAUAACAGAAUGAAAACAUGAAAACCUAGAUUCAUAGUUUCUUCAUAAAUUCACAUAUUUUAGGGUUCAUAGUUAAAAUCAUGAUCAAUGGAUGGGUUCAUGUGAUUUAAAUUGAAAAGCAUGUAAUUGAGCUAAAACAAUUAUACUAAUAUCAAAUUCAAGCAGUUGGAUCAACACAAAUAGAAUGCGUGAUGAUUUGAAUUAAAACCUAAUCAAUUUGAUCAAAAAUGUAUUGGAGAAAACAUUGGAGAUCAAUGGGUGAAUGAAACCCAUUGAUGAAGCCCUACAUACCUUGAAAUUCAAAGCCCAAAAGCUAUGGAGGAAUACAGAUCUUGAAGGUUGAACCCUAGAUUUCUCUCUUGAAGCUUGAGAGGAUCUUCUUUCACCCUCAAUUGGUGAUAACCCGAUCUAAGGUCAAUCUUAGAGAAGUAACUUGCACCUUAGAUUGGUCAAACAAAUCAUAUAUCCUUGGAAGUGGAUACUUAUUCUUAAUGGUCACCUUAUUCAACUAUUGAUAGUCAAUACAAAUUCAGAGUGAACCAUUCAUGAUUUAGUCUUGCAUAAAUAAAUUGAGUCUUGUUGUGUGCAUUCAUGAUUUAGUCUUGUGUAGCACUGUUUGAGGCACCCUAUUUGAACUGCUGAACUUGAGUUUGCUUGAGGACAAGCAAAAGUUUAAGUUGGGGGUGUUGAUGAGUCCACAAAUUGGACUUAUUUAGGGCUUUAUUUUAAUAGAAAUAGUGUCCUCGAAUGCUUGUUUUAUCUCAAUACCUGUUUAAAUUGCUUAAGUUUCAGGUAUUUGAAAUUUUACUGGAAGCAUAGACACUUAGGCGCAAAAAGGGGCUGCAAAGAAAAAGAAAUGAGAGUCUGCGGAUUGCCGAGGCCAACUUGGCGACUCGCCGAAUUGACAUGCACCGCCCUUUGUUCCAGUACGCGAAGACUUGAAGAAAGUGGAUCAAAAGGCAAGGAAAGGAGCAGUCGGCGUGUCGCUGAUUAGUUUCGCAAAGCAGUACUAUACCACCCAAUGAUCCAUUGUACGAGGAUGCUAAAGGCAAGACACUGAAGGCGAUGAGCUGAUUAAAGGGCGGAUCGCCGAGUUCAUCGGCGAUCACGACUAAUGUCGCCGAACGAUCCUCCACAGCACAAUCUGUGAAAACCAUAAAUUCUAGUUAGAGUAGCAGUCUUAGUGUGGAACAUUUUAGAGUAAAAAUUAUUAUUAGUCUAUAGUAUUUUUUCUUUCAAGUUUGGAGAGGGUUUUGUGGAGACUUCCCCAAGUUGGAAGUGGUUCUUCUUUAUUCUUCUUCUAUAGCUUAAUUCAAUGUUUAAAUUCUUAUACCUAGUUGAUUUCUUUAUCAUGUUAGGUAUAAUUUCUUCUUUCUUGAUAUGUGGCUAAAACCCCCAUUCUUGGGGUGUGAUUUUGCAAAUAUGGGUUGAUAUUCUUGUUGGGUCUUGCUUGCUGAUAGGUUAGAUUUAUUUUAAUGGUGAUUUCAUCUAGUGGUUGUUGUUUAAUCUAAAAGGUUUGUACUUGAAAAUACAAAGCCAUUCAUGUAUUUUCGGCUUGCCUGAGAGGUAGGUCGUGAAACCAAAACCAGUAGACUGAUGGCCUAAGGAGUGGGUCGACAUGAGGUUCAGCCCAAGAGGGUGAAGUCCCAUAUCCUAACACUCAGCUCGAGAGAGUGAGUGGGGUAAGGCGUAGGUUGAUCUUCCUGCGGCAAAUGGGUGUUCGAGAGGAACGCAGCAUUUGAAAAAUGGUAAAUUUCCCGAGAGGGAACUUAUUUCCAUUUAAAGCUUAGCAUAGUCACUAUUGUGUUACAAAUUUCCUAUUGAAAGCAUGUACACAACGAUUUAUCUCAACUUGUAUUGCGGUCACAUCCCAAGAAUCUUCCCCAUACUUGAUUUUCUUGUUUAUUUUGUUGUUUUACUAUUUGUGACAAAGCCCCCAUUUGAUAUUUGUCACAUUCGUGUCACCCCGUUUAAUUUACUACAAUUUUGUUCGUUAAUAUCUUUAGCUAUGACUAGUUAGAAUGUAAUUUUAUUUUCUAUCAAUUCUCAAAACUGCUCCCUUAGGACAUGACCCCAACCCUUGGUUGGGUUACUAUAUUAUCGACGAUCGUAGACACUCAUACCGUAGGAUAGUGUCGUUGGUCACGAUAAGCAUUAAAAUGGCGCCGCUGCCAGGGACUGGUGUUUUUUGAGAAUUUUUACUUUAAUAGAAUUGUUGUUCUUAUUAGUAGUAGUUUACUUACCUAACUCUUAGUUUUAUUUUUCUUUGAGUUUUUGAUUGUAUGUAAUCCCAAGGAUCAUUGGCAAGAAUUUAUGUUUUCCUUUGUUUUAGAUUUACUAAUCUUAGUUGUAGUUUUGCUUUGCUUGAUUGAACAUCACAACAGGGAACAAACGAUGGAUGAUGUAACGACCCUCAAAAUAAAGUAGGAUAAAGUAGAGUCUCACAUGGGUUUUAUGCAUUUAUAACUUGUUAAAAUAAUGAAGAAUAGUCUUUUUAGUCAGCUUUAAAGAGUUUGGAAGUCAAACGUCAAGGGAUGACCAAGACGUUCGAGAACUAGUCUUUUACGUGUUGGUGUGUUCUAGUAUGUUGUUCAUAUUUUUAUGUGUUGUUCGGAGUCUAAAAUCAGUGGAGGUGACCCUAGUCUCUUAAUAAAUGUUUCUAGGGUCAAAACGUUCGGAUACGACACCCCGUGGGCCACCCUAAGGGUCCCCGAGGAGGACCCCAACCUUGGGCAAGCAAGCUGCCAAGGCAGCUUGAAGUUGAGCUUGGAGGGAACAUGUCCACGUCGCGGACUAGCUCCACCAUGGGCCAAAAGUUUGGUCCACAUCGCGGACUCUACUGUCUCGAAUUUAAUUUCCAGAAAACUUGUGGGAACACGUCCGCGUCGCAAACUUGUUCCCGACGAAAUCUACGAAAAUAAAACUCAAGUUUGACUUGUUUAAAAAGGUCUAACUAAGUGAUAGGUAGUUUGGGUACUUUGGGGAAUUAUUAUAAAUGGUUAUUCUACCUAUUGUAGGGUAUUUUAAGUUGGUUAAAACCCCAAAACCUAAAAUUAGACCCCAUUCUUCAAAUUGACUCUUCCCUCUCAAAAUAUGUUCUCUCAAAAACUCCAUUUAAGACCUUGAUGAACCUCAAUCUAGAAAAUGGGUUUUCGACUGAUUUCUUCUUCAAUUUCAUGGGUUUUGAAUAAUUAAGGUAUGGUGACUCUUGAUUCUUGAAUAACCUCUCAUUCAAGGAGUUCUAUCAAAGAUUUUCAAAAAAGUGAUUCAAAGACCAAAAUUCCAAAUUUUCAAUCUAAACAUGGGUGCCUUGUCAAAUGAUUUUCUAAAUCAUUGUAUUGAUGAAUUAAUGUGGAAUUAAUGUUUUUAAUACAAUUUUCAAAGGAAUUCUUGAAGAACCCAUGAUCCCCAAAUUCUCGAAAAUUGGCCUAUGAUGUGGGUCUUUGUGAAUAUGAUCUCUAUAGGUAAAAUUAUGUUUAGAUUAAACUAAGUGUUAGGUAAGUAAACUACUACUAAUAAGAACAACAAUUCUAUUAACCUAAGAAUUGUUAAAUAACACCAGUCCCCGACAGCGGCACCAAUUUGAUGUUUAUCGUGACCAACGACACUACCCUACGGUAUGAGUGUCUACGAUCAUCGAUAAUAUAGUAACCUCACCAAGGGUUGGGGUCGUGUCCCAAGGGAGCGGUUUUGAGAAUUGAUAGAAAAAUAAAAUUACAUUAUAACUAGUCGUAGCUAAAGAUAUUAACGAACAAAAACAUACUAAAUUAAAGGGGGUGACACGAAAGUGUCAAAUAUCAAAUGGGGGUUUUGUUACAAAUAGUAAAACAGCAAAAUAAACAAGAAAAUCGAGUAUGGGGAAGGUUCUUGGGAUGUGACCGCAAUACAAGUUGAGAUAAAUCGUUGGGUACAUGCUUUCAAUAGGAAAUUUGCAACACAAUAGUGACUAGGCUAAGCUUUAAAUGGAAAUAAGUUCCCUCUCGAGCAACUUACCCCAUUUCAAAUGCGUUGCUCUCGGACACCCAUUUGUCGCAUGAAGACCAGCCUACGCCUUACCCCACUAACUCUCUCGAGCUGAGUGUUAGGAUAUGGGACAAGGGCUCACCCUCUCGGGCUGAACCUCAUGUCGACCUACUCCUUAGGAUAUCAGUCUAGCGGUUUUUGUUUCGCGACCUCCCUCUCGGGCAAGUUGAAAACACAUGAGUGGCUUUGUAUUUUUAACUACAAACCCUUUAUAUUAAACCACAACCACUAGGUGAAAUCACCAUUAAAAUACAUCUAACUUAUCAGCAAGCAAGACCCAACAAGAAUAUCAACCCAUAUUUGCUAAAUCACUCCCCAAGAAUGGGGGUUUUUAGCCAGACAUCAAGAAAUAAGAAAUUAUACCUAACAUGAUAAGGAAUCAACUGGGUAUAAGAAAUUAAACCUUGAAUUAGGCUACGGAAGAAGAAUAAAGAAGAUCCACUUCCAACUUGGGGAAGAUGAACUCCUUUCUUCAAGUUUCCACAAAACCCCUUCCAAACUUGAGAGAAAAAAUACAUAAAAAUACUAUAGACUAAUAAUAAUUUUUACUCCGAAAUGUUUCACACUAAGACUACAACUCUAACUAGUAUUUAUAGUUUGCACAGAUUGUGAUACGGAGGAUCGCUCGGCGACAUUAGUCGAGAUCGCCGAUGAACUCAGCGAUCCGCUCUUUAAUCAGCUCAUCUCCUUUAGUGUCUUGCCUUCAACAUCCUCAUUUUCUUGAUCAUUGGGUGGUACAGUACUGCUUCGCUGAACUAAUCGGCGACUGGCCGACUACUUAUUUCCGCACCCUUCGAUCCACUUCCUUCAAUGCUUCUUGUACUGGAACAAAGGAUGGUGCAUGUCAAUUCGGUGACUCACCAAGUUGAACUCGGCGAUCCGCAGACUUUCAUUUCUUGUUCUUUUCAGCCCUUUUUUGUGCCUAAUUGUCCAUGCUUCCAGUAAAACUUCAAAUACCUGAAACUUAAGCAUUUUAAUCAGGUAUUGAGAUAAAACAAGCAUUCGAGGACACUAUUUCUAAUAAAAUAAAGCCCUAAAUGAGUCCAAUUUGUGGACUCAUCACAUACAUAAUGCCAGGUUCUAUAGAUCAGUCUACGACUCAUAGAAUGGCCUAUAGUCCGUAGAAUGCUGUCUUAGAAAUGAUCUUGAGAAAUUAGAAAAUGUCAAGUUUCAUUAGUUGACCUACGAAUGAACAGGACAAGUCAUAAUAUGGUCUAUGUGUCUUAGGUGUGAUUCGUAGAAGUUAUCCAUACUUGGUGAAAUUUUCUUAAACUUGGACUCUAAGGAAGGGGUUCUACUGACCGUAGAGUUGUUGACGGUCUGUAGGAAUUUCUAAUAGGAAUGGUUCAGAAAAUUGUGCCCAAGUAGCAAGUUCUAUGGUUGACCAAGACAGUCCAAAGAAUUCUACGGAUGGUCGUUGAAACUAUAGAACCCAUCUAAUAGGUUUCAAUUAAGGGUGUUUUGGUAUUUUCAAACCCAGAUAACCCCUAAACUAAAUCGGUUUAGUUUUACUCCUAAGACUAAGCAUAAAUUUUCUCAUUGACGCAAUUCUCCUAAAUUUUCAAGUCUUCUUCUCCAAAAACUCUCAAGAUGGAAGUUAGUGUUUCAUGCUUCAAGUUUUUAAAUCCAAGAGUGUCACGACCCAAAGUAUAUCCUAGGUGUAACCUAGCAUAAAGAACCCUGAAAGGCUCUACACAAGCCACCUAAAUUCCUCAUUCGUUACUUGUUUAGACAAAGGGUUGGCCAGAGCUUGAGGAGGAGCUUCUUGUUCUACAUUCUCCCUCACAUUCCUUCUAGCAUAUGCUCUUCGAGUAGCCAUAUUAUGUAGAGAAUCGGUUAAGGAUUAGGAGAGACACAUGGUAGAGUUAAACUCUAUCACACGACUUUGAGUUAUGAGAGAAGUGCAGUUUCCUAGAUAUCUUGUAGCCUCUCAUUCAUAAAUGCGGCGCGCUUCACACUCCCGAACAAGACAUUACUCGACGUGGCUUAUAAGCCUUCCUAUGACCUUUUAAACCUUGUGCUCUAAUUAUCAAGUUUACCACGACCCAAGCUAGCCCCUUGGCGUAUAAGACCCCAAGGGCCCCCAUACAAGACAAUUUGCAUUCAUCAUACAAGGGAUAUAUUAACAGAGAUAAAGAGAAAUAUUUCAACUCCAAAAAUAUUACAAAAGUAAAGUGGAAGUCUAAUACAUUGUCUCAAAGCCAUCUAGAACAUAUGAAUAAAUCUGGGCAUAGCCCGUACAUCAUUUUCCAAAACUGACAGUGAAGUAAGAAAAACUUAAAAUAAUGAAAAUCCAUUCUGGAAUCAUGAGGACUCUUCAAGGCUCAAAAUAUCCAUAACAAACUCUAGCCACGAAACUGAGAACCCUAACUGUCGGACACUACAUUUGGGGAAAUAUAGGCAGCAGGAUGCGUUAGUACAAAAUAUGUACCCAGUAUGAUAUCCAUGCAUGAAAACAUAUAAAGUAAUUCUAAAAAGGGACAUUUUCAUGAGCAUGCAAGGAUCAAGCUAAAACAUGAGAUAAGAGUUAGAGAAAUGAGUCAUAAAACAUGAUCAAUGCAAGUAAACAUCAUCUUAAAACAUGUAUGAGAUAAUUCCUUGAAGUAACCUUGGUUAAGCUUAACUUGCUUGUGCAAAGUACCUUAACCGAAAUAUAAGACCAUGUGAGCUAUCAACAUGGAAUUUUGGUGUCUCCCACACCGUAAAUAGUUAUCCUACCUGCCAAGAUAAGGACCAUGAACAUCUAGCUUAUGUGGAUCCACUAGCUAAUGUCUAUCUAUAAAAUCCUAUGUAGGCACAUAGUUUAUGGGACAUGGGUAAUCGCCACUUUUCUACUCCGUACUACACUUUACUUCCACGGAAUGGUUCUUAAUCAUAUUCAUCUUAGCUCAUAAAUGAACAUGGGUAAUCACCUCUUUUCCUUAUAUCAUAUGACAUGGGCAAUCACCUCUUGAAAUUCAAUUAGAGAGUAUUGGUAAUUGCCUCUUGCCUCAACAUUAUAGUAGCUCCUUAACAUUGGUUCAUUUUAUAUGAGAAGAACUUUCAACCCUAUUAACCCUUGUUAUGUGAGAAAACCUUUCACAAUCAUGCUUUCAUGUGUAUAUGAGAAAUACUUUCAACAACACAACAACAACAAAAUCAUUGAUACUUAACUCUCAAAGAAUCCUUAAAACAUUUACAUAACUUUCAUGACAACAUGCUUGAUUUCAUAAACUCUUCUUUCAUAAACCAAAACUCACAUUAUAUAAUCAUAACUUGGAAAAUAUGGGAAUCACAUUGGUUCAUGGGGGAUCAUCAUAAAAAAUGAUAUUAACUCAAUUCAUACAUAAGAAAUCAUAAAUCAAUCAAUGAAAUCAAUAAUCAAGAGAGCCCAUAACAUAAAAUAAAACCCCUUACUCAAUUGGGGAUUUCUAACUUUGAAAAUUGGAGAAGUUUGGAACUCCAUGGAUGAAAGGGUUCCAUGGAUGAAAACUAUUAUACCUCAAUGCCAAUUUCUUAACUUCAAUUGUACAAUUGACUUGACUUGAAGUACUAGGUUGAACUCUUCGUCUUCCAGCUUUCUAGAGAGAAAAAUAUUUGGGAGUGAAAAACUUGCUCUUCUUUUUGGUAGUUUUAAAGAAUGACUUGAAUAGGUUAAAUUUUGGGUUAAAAACACUUAUAUAGGUGUUCUAGGUAACGGAAAAAUGACAUAGUAUCAAGAUAAAAUAUUUAGGAAAAGACCUAAUUGCCCUGACUUACAACGAGCCGUUUGGGCAGUCAUGAACCUAGACCAGUGGCUUGGGAAGGACCCUUGAACCUUUUCCCACCUCACGACCAGCUUCACGGGUCAUUUUCCCCGUCACGACCCGUAUAGGGGUCUGUGAGAAGGGGCUGGCCUUUGGGUUAGUUCUGCUUCCCCUCAAUGACCACCACCACGGUGCGUGAGGCUCACCAAAACUUUCUAAGGGCUCAUGGGAAGGGAGUCCCUCUUGUCCAUGGUGCCCUUCACGGCCCAUCAAGGGCUCCAUGAAGUGUGCCAUGGCUUGGUUAUGGGCUAGUGACCUCCCACUUGGCCUAUUUUCUAAACUUCAUGAUUCUGAGGUAUUACUGUGGUGUAUGGGUAACUUCCCAACCACACAUUUUGAUGCUUAGAGGGCUUAUUGAGACUAUGUUAGACUUUUGUAUGUCAAACUCUUUCAUGAUAUAAGAUUGCUACUUUUGAAAUUUGGAAUUCUAUUAUCUUAUAUGAUGUAUGCUAAGUGGCUUUUGGAGGAACUUUUUGGAGUUCUAUAUUCUAUGUUACACAUAGGGUUUACUUAGGGUCGUGGCAAACUUGGUAUUCAGAGCACAAGGUUUAGAAAGGUCGUAGAAUGUCUCAAAAACCACGUCGAGUAGAGUCUUGUUCAGUAGUUUAAAGUGCGACACACAUUUGAAUAGGAGGAUAUAAGAUGCUUAGGAAAUUCCACUUCUUUCAUCAUUCUAAGGUGGUAUUAUAGAGUGUAAAUCUAUAUAUUUCUCUCAUAAUCCUUAUUCAGUGCUUUUCAAGAUAUGAUGCCGAGAAAAGCAUAUUUUAGAAGAAAUGAAGGUGAGGAUGUGGAAAAUAAGCUCCUAAAGUUUUGGUUGAUCCUUUGAUGAAGGAAGUGACUCAUGACGAAUGCCAAGCUCAUUUCCAUGUAUUGGCUCAAGCAAUGACCACUCAAGCUAAUAGAGAGGAUAAUGUUUCCAGGAACCCAAAUGUGGGUACAAUGGCGACAACGAUAAUGGACUUUAGUGCGAUGAAUCCUCAUAUGGUUCCAAGGUAGAUGAGGAUCCUGAAGAGUUCAUUGAUCAGGUUUACAUGAUAGUGUGAAUUAUUGGAGUGACUACGGUUGAGAAAGUAGUGUUGGCCACUUUUCAACUUAAGGGUGUUUAUCAAGUUUGGUUUAACAAAUGGAAGGAAGAAAGCGUGGUUGAUGCGGGUCCUUUUUAUUAGAAGAACAUUAAGGUUGAUUUCGUUGAUUUGUUCUUUCCCACUGAGAUGAGGGAGACAAAGGUACUUGAAUUUAUCAACCAUCAUCAAGGAAAUAUGACUGUGAAAGAGAUUUCUUUAAAUGUCACACAAUUGGCUAGGUAUGCUCAAACUAUGGUUGUUGACUUUAGGGCAAAGAUGAGUAAGUUUCUAACUGUAUGCCUCAAUGAGUAAAUAGUGGUGGAAAUUGAGCUUCGAUUCUUUUAGGCAAAAACUGUGGCAAGAGUCAUUUGGGAAAGCGUUUGAUCGGUACGGAUAAUUGUUUUGGUUGUGGUAAAAAUGGUCACCGCUUGAGAUAUUUUCCAUCUUGAAUCGACAAAGGGAUGGAUGGAAGGCAAGCUACGCUUAGUGGUUCAGUUUCAAGUGCUCGAAAACAAAAGUGAUUUUAUGCACUUCAAACUCAGCCUGAUCAAGAUGGUUCUCCUAAUGAUUUUACCUGUAUAUUAAUAUUCUUUCAACUUGAUGUUUAUGCUUUGGUUGAUCCCAGUGCUACUUUGUCUUUUGUGAUGCAAUAUGUGGCUAUGCAUUUUGAUGUUUUUAUGGAUGUGUUGUUAGACCCUUUUUAUGUGUCUGCGCCUAUUGGUGAAUCUAUUGUGGCUAAGAGCGUCUAUAAAAAUUGUCUCAUCUCAUUAUCCUAGAGAGUCACUCAUGUUGAUCUUGUAGAGCUUGAUAUGUUGGACUUCAAUGUUAUUCCUUGUAUGGAUUGGCUCCAUUCUUUUUAUGCUUUUGUUGAUUGUAGAACCUUUGUGGUUAAGUUUAUGUUUCCUAAUGAACCCUUCCUAGAGUUGAAAAAGGGAAAAUAUAUUCCUAAAGGUUUGUUUGUUUCUUGUCUUAAUGAUAGUAAAAUGAUUUCUAAGGGUUGCAUAUAUCUUCUUAUUCGGGUUAGGCAUAUAGAUUCUAAAACCCUUAAUCUUGUGUCAGUCCCCAUUGUAAAUGAGUUUCCAGAGUUUUUCCCAAUGAUCUCCCGGUGUUGCUCUCUAGAAGGAAAUAGACUUCAGUGUUGAUCUUCUCCAAGAUAGACAACCUAUCUCCAUCCCCCCUUACUGUAUGACUCCAACAUAACUUAAUGAUUUAAAGGAGCAAUUGAAAGAUUUGUUAGAUAAGGGUUUCAUCCGACUUAAUAUCUCUCAAUGAUGAGCUGCAAUUUUGUUUUUACGUAAGAAGGAUGGUUCAUGGUUCACUUCGCAUGUGUAUUGAUUACCAGAAAUCGAACAAGUUUACAAUCAAGAAUAAGUAUUCUCUUCCAAGGAUUGAUGAUUUCUUUGAUCAACUCCAAAGAGUAAUUUAUUUAUCUAAUAUUGACCUCCAAUUGGAUUAUCAUCAAUUGAGGGUAAAAGGGAGUGACAUUAGAAAGAUGACUUUUCAAACUCAGUUUGGUUACUAUGAAUUCUCAGUGAUGUCAUUUAGUUCGACUAAAUUUCUGGUUGUAUUCAUGGAUUUGAUGAAUAAAGUGUUUAGACAAUAUCUUGAUAUGUUUGUGAUAGUGUUUAUCGAUGAUACAUUCAUUUACUCUGGGAGUGAGGAUGAGCAUGAAAAUCAUUUAAGGAUUGUGCUGCAAAUUCUUAAGGAUCGUGAGUUAUAUGUUAUGUUUUAUAAAUGCAAUUUUUUGUUGAGUUCUGUGUCAUUUCUUGGGCACAUUGUUUCUGGUGAGCGAAUUAAGGUAGAUCCUAAGAAGACAUAAGUGUUUAAAAAUUGUCCUAGACCUCUAUCUCCUUUGGACAUUUGAUAUUUCUUUGGUUUGGCCAUUUAUUAUAAGGUUUGUUGAAGGGUUUUCUUCAAUUUCCUCUCUAUGGAUGACAUUGACACAAAAUAAGGUUAAGUAAUUAUGCUCCAAAGCAUGUGAAAAGAGUUUUCAAGAGUUGAAAGAUAGGCUUACCUAUGCUUCGGUGUUGACUUUACCGGAAGGCUCUGCUCGGUUCAUUGUUCAUUGUGAUUAGUGCAACGAUUGGGCUAGGGUGUGUUCUUAUGCAAAAUGGGAAUGUUAUUGCUUAUGCUUCAAGCCAACUUAAGUUUGACGAAAAGAACUAACUUACCCAUGAUUUGGAAUUAGCGGCGGUUGUUUUUUCCUUAAAUAUUUGGAAGCAUUAUUUGUAUGGUGUCCAUGUUGAUGUCUUUACCAACCAAAAAUGUUUUCUAUAUGUGUUCAAGCAAGAUGAUCUAAAUCUUUUCCAAAGGAGGUGGCCUAAGUUGUUAAAGGAUUAAGAAAUGAAAUGAGUUUCCUCUAUCACCUUGGUAAGGGGAAUGUAGUGGAGGAUGAUCAUAGUCGACUAUCAAUGGGUAGUGUUGCACAUUUUGAAGAAGAUAAGAAUAUGAUGGUUUGUUAUGUUCAUAGAUUUGAUCGAUUGGGUAUUCGAUUGGUUGAUUCUAAUGAAGGUGAUGUAGUUGUUUGAAAUGAUUCAAAAUCAUCUUUUGUAUUAGAUGUAAGAGCUAAGCAUAGUCUUGAUCCAGUUGUUGUCGAAUUGAAGAAAGUAGUGCUUAAGAAUUUCGGUGAGGCUUUCUACCAAAGGGAAGAUGGUGUACUUUUAUAUUAAGGUCGUUUGUAUGUUCAUAAUGUUAAUGAUUUGAGGGAGAAAACUUUAUCAGAAGUCCAUAGUACUUGAUUUAUAGUUCAUCCAAGUGAAACAAAGAUGUACCGUGACUUGCGGGAGGUCUAUUAGUGGAAUGGAAUGAAGAAGGAUAAUUCGAAAUUCGUGGCUAAGUGUCCUAACUGUCAAAAAUUAAAAGUUGAACAUCAAAAGAUAGAGGCUUGUCCAAAGAUAUUCAUAUUCCUAGUUGCAAGUGGGAAGAUUUGAAUAUGAACUUUAUGGUUUGUUUAUUCAACACGGCGGCAACAUGACUCAAUUUGGGUUAUUGUUGAUCAUAUGACGAAAUCAUCUCAUUGCUCUCUCGUAAAGGUUUCUCAUUCGAUUGAAGUUUAUGCUAAGUUAUAUCUAUAGAAACUAGUUAGGUUGUAUGGGGUGCCCCUAUUCAUUACUUCUGACUGUGGUACCAAAUUUACUUCUGAAUUUUUGAAGUCUUUCCAAAAAGGUCUUGGUACCAAUGUCAAGCUUAGUACGACCUUUCAUCCUGAAACUGUUGGAUAAAUAGAGCGUAGAUUCCAAACAUUGGAAGAUAUGUUGAGAGCUUGUGUUAUUGAUUUCAAGGGUAAUUGGGAUGAUCACUUCCCUUUGAUUGAGUUUGCAUAUAAUAAUAGUUUUUAUUUAAGUAUUGGUAUUACUCCAUAUAAAUCUAUUUAGGAUAGGAUGUGUUGAUCCCCGAUAGGUUGAUUUGAUUUGGAUGAGGUUGCUUUGAUAGGUCAUGAGUUGGUACAUGAGGGUACGGAGAAUGUUCGGCUUAUUAGAGAAAGGUUGAAAAUAUCUAAAAGUUGACAAAAAUCCUAUCCCUAUGUUAGAAGAAUAGAUCUUCAGUUUGAUAUUAACGAUUGGGUUUACCUGAAAAUUUCACCAAUGAAGGGUGUAAUGAUGUUUGGUAAGAAAGUGAAGCUUAGUACAUGUUAUGUUGGUCCUUAUCAAGUGUUGCAGGGGAUAGGCAAGGUGACUUAUGAAUUAGACUUGCCCUCCAAAUUAUCGUCGGUGCAUGCGAUAUUCUAUAUAUCUUUAUUGGAAAGAACUAUUGGUGAUCCGACAUCAAUUGUACCAUUAGAGAGUUUAUAUAAAGGAAAACGUUUCUUUUGAAGAAGUUUUGGCUGAGAUUUUGGACCGCCAAGUUAGAAAGUUGAUGAAUAAAGAAGUUGCAUACUUGAUGAUGUUUUGGAGGAAUCAAAUGGGGGAGGGUGCCACUUGGGAGGCUGAGGCCGAUAUGAUGUCCUAAUAUCGUCAUCUCUUUCCCUCUAAUCCUACUCUAACUUGAGGUAUUCAGCCCGUCAUGAUUCAUUCUUGUGGAUUCACGUGUUCUACUCAGUCUCAUAUUUCCUUAUGCAUGCAUGUAUGUUUUUUGGAAAAAUGUUGUAGGAUUUAUGUUAGCUUGGAGUUGAUUUUCCCUUCGAUUAUAUGCAUUUAUAUGAUUGCAUGAAUGUUUGGUUGUUAGAUAUCUUCCCCUCACCUCUUAAUGUUUCCCUUAGUACUAUAUGAGGAUGAAUGUUCCCACGGGAGAGAUAUUAUAAUACCUUGAGUUUCGGAAGAUGGAAAAGGUUGCAUGAAUGUUGUUUGCUGGUUCAGAUCUACGAGAAUAGUCUACAAUUCUUAGAACUUAUAAGAGGUCGUAGACCAAUCUCGUAAAAAGGGAAUUUUUUUAAAAGUCAAGUUUCUAUACUUUUCUACGAGUCAGUAGGAUGGUCUGUCGAAUGAUAUACGAGUCAUAGAUAUGUCUCGUAGGAAGGUCCCAAACUAACUGAAAUUUAAGGGUCAAAGUUGAUUUCUAUGGUUGGGGUUUGCGGAACAUAGGUCCAAACCGUAGAAGGGUUCGACAAUUAUUUUAAGGGGUUUUUGGGUCUUUUCCGAAAUAUUUUAAGCCUAUGAUAUGUCGUUUUACCCUCUAUACUAAGAACUGUAUAAACUUUUAAGCCCUAAAUCUACCCACUUUACACCCAUUGUCCUAUUUUUCCCAAAACCCAACAAAAUUCAUUCUCCCAAAUUCCUCUCAACCUAAGAAAGAAGUAAAAGCUAGGAUUCACUCUAAGGUCUUCAAUUCAUAAUUCAUCUUGGGCUUUGAGUAGAAAUGUGUCGGUAUUCACUCAUGGAGUCCGUUUCAUGGAGUCCCCAAGGUUUUCAAUUUCUCAAUUUAAUUUCAAUUGAUCAGAUUUGGGCUCCUCUUAAUUCUCCAUGGGUUCUAUUCAAAUAUUAUUUUAUUUUUGUUUUUCAAGAUUCUAUUUGUCACGACCCGAGCCUACACCCUGGAAGCGAUACGGUGUACUCGACCCCGAAGGGGUCUCAUAGAAGCCUCAGAGCAUAUUUAUUGCAAAAAUACUUAGAAAUAGUGCGGAAUUUGAAACUUUUCUUUUAGAAAUCCAACAUUCGAAAACAUUAAAAGCAAGUGGAAUUCUAUCAUCUCACAUGGCCUUCUAAAUAACAUACUUGAAACAAAAUAGGGUCACGACCCCUUACAAUCGAAGUCUUAACAAUAGUCUAUUACAUGAAAAGAAAGGAAACAUCAACUACUUGUCCUUGAUCUAUGAGGACAUACCACUUAGUCUUAGGGAACUCAAAUCCAAGAUUUACUAGAGAAAUCCACUCAAUUACCGGAACCUACAGUUGUAGUAAACAUAGAAGAAGAAUGGGUUAGCACAAUUAAGUACUAAGUACGAUAGCCAUGCAAAAACAUGCUUAAAAUGGACAUUUUAUUUGUGAAAGUCAUGGUUUAUGCCAUUUUGAUAAAACAUCAUGAACAUGAGCAUAAGAGGCAUAAUAUUUAACCAUAACCAACAUACAAGUAAUUUAAACACAUUAGUACAUAAUCACAUAUAAACCAUUACCUUCACAUUAAGCCUUCACCUCAAGUAACCCUCAAGCUAUACUUUGUUAUCCCAUACCACCAUCAACACCAAAGUACCACCUUAAGGCUACCAAAAGUGAACUUACCAUUCAACCUUUCCAUCCUUACAAAAUACUCAUACAUAAGAGACAAAAACAUUACAUAAGCCAUAUCAUCACAUAAGGACCAUCACCUAAGACAACUCUAAGUCAUACUUGUGCAAUGUAUGAGUAGCAUCCCAUACUACUACUCACAAUAAGUACUCCUUGAAGCAACCAUAAAGAAGACAAAUUCAUAUUCAUGAUAACGGAAGUAACUUAUAAUACAAUCCAAGUAUAGAAUGCAUCAUCUCAUUCAAGCAUAAGGCACAUUCUUCAUUAGCUUCAUUUCAUUAAGAGAACCUUCAUUCAUUUAGACAUUAGAUUAACAUGCUUCAUUAACAUCAUUAUAAGAGCACAUUCAUUACACUUAACAUUAUAAAGGAACACACCACAACCUCUCUCAAAGCCUACCUGUGCAAUGCAUAGAUGGCGUCACAUAACACCACCAACACUAAGUAGUGCAUUCUUAAGAAGACAUAGUUCAUUAACAUUCUUUGUUGGGGAAAGCCUUAACCAACAUAGACAAUGUGAGCAAUUCAUGGAAUCCCGGUGUCACCCUCACCGGAUAAGGGAUUCCUACUUGCCUAAGGUAGGACCAUCGUUUUAUAGCUUAAGUGGAUCCACUAACUAGACCUAUGUGGGAAUAUAGUUAUGGGUUAGGGAGAUUGCUACUAGAUAGCCCACCUCAACUCAUGGAUGAGCAUCCAUCUCAAAAGGUUUCUACUAGAUACCCCGCCUCAACUCACGGAUGAGCAUCCACCCCAAGUCAUAUCCACUCGGUGCUUAGUAUUAUUCCUCACGGAGUACUUGACAUUCAUUACAUUAGUUUAUUAUGGGAUAACAGAUUGUUACGAGAUACCCCGCCUCAACUCAUGGAUGAGUAUCCAUCUCAAACCCAAUAUUCAUUCCUUGGAAAGCUUGUAGAUUCAAGGAUGAGAGUAGCCUUUCACCUAAGAUUCCCCUUAUUGUGACAAUGUCCUUUCACAACAAGUCAUUAUCAUUCAUUAAAUUAGAAUUGAGAAUAUCCUUUCAAUAAGUACUUCAUCGUUAACAUAAUCAUAGAACUUCAUUCAUUAUUCAUUCAUGAGUGUGUGUGAGAAUAACCUUUCAAAUAUAGUAUCAUCAUUCACAACACAAUUAGAUUCUAAACAUGAUCACAUUAAGCUCAUUAGAUUCACAUUCAUAUACAAGACAUCAUGAUAAUAACUCAAUUCCUCAUACUAUGCCCUUCAAGGCCAUGAGUCUCCAAUCACCAACACACCAAUAAUUUACUACAUUUAAGGCAUGGGUAAUUAUAUAAUUCAACAAUCUAAAUCAAUUUUGGCAUAAUCCAUCAACAUUCAUUCAUAAUCAACAAACCCACUUCAUAAAGGCACAAUUUAGAAAUUGAAAGAAUUCAUGGGUUCAUAGAGUAUUUUUAUCAUAAAUCAUCAAUUAAACACUAAUACAAUCAUAAUAUGUCAUUAGAAACAAUUCAAAAAUGUUUGAUGAAAGACCCCAUGAGAUUGAGUAAAACCCUAGAGUUUUUAUUCUUGAAAUAACCUUUGGAAUUGGCUCCUUGAAUAAAAAGUUAAACAAGGAUGAAUACUACCAUACCUUGCUAUUGAAUCCCCACGAAAUUUGAGUAAGAAACACCUUGAAUCCACAAACCCUAGCUUCAAUGGCUCCCUUCUUCUUCUUGAAUUUUAGACAAAGAUAUUUUUGAGAGUAGAUCGGUCUUCUUUUAAUUCUAUUUGGACUGACUUAAUUGAAAGAAUUCAAGUCAAAAAGGGUUAUAUAGUUACUAGGAAAGGAAUAGAAUAAUGAGGACCCAACUUUCGAAAGAACUGAGGACCCACAAAGUUUAAACUUAAAAUUCUGCACCCUACCCGACUAAGCUCGCCCUUUGGACCUCAUGGCUCGCUAAGGGCGCUACGCGACUCGCCAAGUGCACCCUUGGCUCACCCAUUUUCCCAGUAGGCUCACUAAAUGGGCAGUUUACUAGGAGAUCUAGGGGGCUAAUGAGUGAUUCCCCAACCUGGUUGGCGAGCUACGACUUAGCUCGCCCUUUGUUCCAGAAUCUAGGCCUAAGGGACAGGCCCCUAGGCAACCCCAAGUGCACUUUGGUGCAUCGCCAAUUCACUUGGACGAUCAAGUAGUCCCCAUCACCAAAAGGUCCAUCAAAGAACAAGGCUUCUUUCACUCUAUAUUGCUGGCAUAGGUCCUUACUUGCACCCUAGAAUUUUUCCUUGCUAAAUUAAGUUCUAAAACAGCCUAGACAUCCAGUUAAGGUUACACUAACUCACACGAUGAGGCUCUAGUUCAACCUAUCAUUUCGCGAGUCGUUACAUUAUCCCCCACUUAGGACCAUUCGCCCUCGAAUUACACUUAAUACACAUUAAGGUUAACGACUGAUGACUAGCAUCCCAUCAUGCGUGCAACAUCAUAAACAAUGCACAAAACUAGGAGGAAACAUCAACUCCAUAUCAAAAAUCUCAAUGCAACAUAAGAAAGUAGGAACUACUUCUACAAACUUAUUAUGCAACAUGACUUCAACAUUUCUCAUUACAUUGAAGGAAUCACCUUCUCCAACUCACAUCAUGCUCAUCCCAACAUUAUUAAGAACACUAUGCAUUUUCUUCGUAAAAGCACAUUAGGCAUGUUCAACAAUUCCACCUCAUGAAGCAUAUAGACAAGCCAUACUAAAUGCAUAUCAAUAAGAGGAACAUAGUUCAUAAAAAUACAUUUUCUCAGCCAAACAUAAACUCAUUAAGAACAUGCAUAACAUUAGGAAACCAUGGAAACACAUAUUCACAUAUGACUCCAAAACAUGAAACAAGCUACAAGGAACUCUUGGUCUCAAGUUUGAAUAAGAAUAGAAGGAAAGAGAUAAGGGUUUCAAAACUCUCAACAACCUUACUAUUCAACAUACUAUCCCCCACUUAGGAGAAAACCCAACUAAGGCUAACAUGAAAAACAACAUAAGAACCUUAACAAGACAUUCACAACCAAAAGGAACUAUCAUUUAUUACACUACUAAAAAAACAGCGUUUAGCGACAGAUAUUAGUGACGAACAAUAUUUCGUUACUAUAUAACGACGGAUUUGCGACGGAAUAACCAUUUUGUUACAAAAUUACAAAAUUGUUUUUUGAUUUAUAAUAUAGCAACAUAUUUGCAACGGAAUAUUUAAUCCGUCGCUAAAUAUUAGCGCAAAAAUUUGGCGCCUAAUUUUCCCUACGGAUUUAGUAACAAAGUAGUGGUGAAAAAAUUUUAAUUAACAUUGGCGACGGAAUUAGUGACCAAAAAAAGGUUGCUAAAACUAUUUAAAAUAUAUUUUUUAUAAAAAAUUUAUAUUAUAUAGUGACGAAAAUAUCCGUCAAUAUAAUUUUUUCUAAAUAUAUAUAUUUUUUUUAAAGGAACGGAUGUUGGAAUCCGUCACUAAGUCCGUUGCAAACUCCAAUUUCAGAUUUUAAUUACUCUCAUUUAAUCUCAUCCGUCCAUCAUGAUUCAUCAAACUCCAAGAGUCAAUUUCAUCCGCUCAUCCAAAUUUGAUCAAUGGUCCUAAUUUAAGACCCUUGCUUUCCUAUUUUAUACAAAAGACCCAAAACCCUUAAUUUUUUUUCAUUCUCCUCCUCUCCUCUCCUCUCCAAAUCCGCCGCCCAGACCCCUUUUGCCCUCAUCUCCGUCUUUCUUUCUGGCCAGUUCAGCCUGGAGAACGAGCAGCGAACAACAAUGGAGAGCUUCGGCAGGCGCGCGAAGACCACCAGUGAACCUCCAUCGCUGGCAGCAGGUCCAAAUGGUGAGCAACCAGACGACUAGGCGGUCUCCGUCCGGCAACAAAAGCAACACAAAGAUGGUGCCACCGGUUGCCUCUCUCUCCGGCAAAAAACGACAGCAACAUCAGCUACACUCAGCAAGCAGCGAUGGUGAGCACCGACAGCAGCCAGCUCCAGCGAGCAACAUCAGCAAACGCCAGCGACACCCAGGAAAAGAUAACGACGCAGUUCCAAACGAACAGCAGCCGCUGCCUCCGCCUUCUCUUUUUUCCGGCCGGCAACAACGACUCCAUGCGAGUUUGAGGAGGAUAACGGCAAGAGAAUUAAAGCUCCGGCCAACAACUAUGAAUACGAAGAAACAAGUUAAAAGCUCUAGUAAAUUUUCUGAAUUAAGCUAAGGAUCCAUCCAUGUAGGUCCCUUUAAUGUCAUUCUGUUAACGCUUACUUGUUUAUAUACAUUUUAUGUUAAAGUUUAAUUUAUUUGUGUAAGACUGCUUACUGUUAUCUUGUUACUCAUAUGCUUGACUGAUUAUUGCUAUCUAUUCAUUCAUUUUGGCGAUGGUCCGCUUUAAAUCCAUUUUUGUUAAUCAACCUCUUCUUUAUUCAAAUUAGAAAUAAUUUGUACGCAUAAUUUAAUCAUUGAUUUUUUUUGUUAAUUGAUAUGUUUGAUUUUGGAAAAUAAUUGGAGUAACUAGCUGAUUAUUAUUAGAAAAUGGCUUAAUUAUGGUAUAAUUUGAGUGAUUAAUGGAUUUGUUCAAAAAUUGGUAUAUGAUUAUAAAUGGCAUAUGAUAUGCAUAUAUUUGUGUUUCCUUCUUUUAGUUGGACAAUUUGGUCAUAAGUUGUAUAAUAGCUAGUUAUUUAUAGUAGUAUGAUUGGAUUUUGAUUCUUCUAACCAGCUUAUGGUAAGGUUUUAAGACUUCCAUUUUGAGAUAAAUUCCAGCUUAAUUAGGUAGGAAAUUAGGAGUAAUUUGUUAAUUUAUUGUAUUACCUUGUUAGCUUGCCUGCCAACUAAUAUGUUAUGAUUUAAUGACUUUAUUGAUAGCAUCUUGUAUGCCAAUUAUCUCGUUCUGCCUAAUGUGGUAUAAGAUGAUCGGAUAAAGCCUACGAAACAGUAGUAAUCUUUCAUGACAUCAAGUUUGUGAAUAAUUGUAAGUGGUGCUUAUAGUUAUACUUCCUUUGGGAAAGUCGUUUACUAGAAAAAUUAGCACUUCAAUGAUAAGUCUUUCACAUGUACAUAUUAAUUCCUAUUUUCAUUUUUCACCUGUUAAUGAUCCAUUUUUCAAAAGAUUAUAGCAGGAAACUUCCAAUAUAAUAUUCUUGUAACCAUGCUGUAAACACCAAUCAAUGUCAUGAGUAGCUGCCUGAGUUUCAUAAUGUUGUAGAAUAGUGAAUGCAUAAAUCAUCUAUUUUACUUCUCUGAUGUUGUAGCUGUAAUGAGGGGUGAUUUUUUUUUGCCUUUUGUCUAGUAAAGCUGAUAAAUUCCUCCAGAUUGUAGGGCACCACUUUCUAUAAAUUAAUGUUCUUUUUUAUCUAUGAAUCUCGCUUUUCUCUUGUUGUAAUUUCCUUUAAGUGCUUGGUGUCAUCUCCUCUGCAUAGUGAGAAUGUUGAAUUAGCUGUUAUGUUUUCCAAAUUUGACAUUUGAUUUUGUACUCACCUAAAAAAAAUAGAAAAGCUAAAUGAACCAUGUUCAUCAGUUUCACCUUGCACCACACCAGUUUGCCAUUCUUUCAGCAAAUUAUCAACUAUGUCCCCAGCAGGAAGGUUAUGAAAAAUUGGUAUCUGUUAAACACAUUUGGUAACAUCCAUUUAGAAUGUAAUCCUGUCCAAAGCAUGAUUCCAUUUACACCUGGAUGUGAAAAUCCCUCUAUCAAAACCAUCUCUACAUAUUUAGUCUGUCAUCAUAUUCACAAAAAACUAUUAUCAUCAGAUCAUUAAUAAUACUUCCUCUGUAUCAAUGUGUUUGUCUGGUUUUGAUUUGACAUGUAGUUUAAGAAAGUAAAAAAAACUUUUGAACCGAUUUUAUUGUUAUUGUAGGUGAAGUACCCUGAUCUGAAUUUCUUUAUCAAGAUUCUUGCUGAUAUCAACUUCUGUAAGCCAUAUAGGAAGUUUAAGUAUAGCCAAUUUGUCUAACACUGCUCUGAUAAGUGGAGGAUUUGGUACUGUAAAAUGUCCUUCUAGGCCAAUUCCUUCCAUUAUAAUUUUAUUCCUAAUCUUUAAUGUUUUCUCUUUAUCUUAAUUUAUUAUAGGAAAAAUAUGAAGAAAUAUUACGGGAAAAAACAACCUCUCAAUUUGAUAUUGAUCAAUGUGAAGCAUACUAUCAAGAUGCCGGGGGAGAAAAGAGCGAAGAAUAUACGGUCUUGAAUCUGAAGCAAGAACUUACUACAGGCAGAAUCUUUUUGCCUCGUCAUUUGUAGAACCUUCAGUUUCUCAAUCAACAUCGACAAGAAAUAUGGAUGUGUUUGUAAAGCAAAUGAUUUAUGCCCUUACUAAUCAUUUUCUUCUGGUUCUGAAGGAGCGGGUACAUCAAGCGCUUACUCCCAUUGAUUAGUCUUCUAUUUUUAUGUUGUCUGUCUUUUUGAAAAGUAUAAAUUGUGCGCUAACAAUAGUUGAUGAAUGUAGGUUCUCUUGAGAAUAGUUGACAGAUUGCUUUUGAUGUUUUCCACCAAAAGUAUGUGAUUUAGAUUUUGAACCCUCUAAUUAUUAUUUUAUAUGAAUGUUUGUUAUUUUAGAGGUAUUUAGUAAUUUUUAUUUAAUUUAUUUUACAAGAAAAUUAUUAGCAACAAAUUUAAUGACGAUUUGGUCGUUGCUAUAAAAAAAUAUUGGCGACAAAUUAGCAACGAAACAUUUUAGUGGCAAAUAUGCUAGCUCAAAUAACAGAAUAUUUUGUGACGGAUUAGUGACAGAAAUUUUGUCACGAAUUUAUUUGAAAUGACGAAAUUAAUUAUGAAAUUAGCAACGAACUAUAUAAAUAUAAUGACGGAUCAGUCCGUCACUAAUAAAUGGCGAUGAAUAUCAUUCGUCUCUGAUACGUCGCUAAACUUGCGACGGAACUCAUUUUUUGUCGCUAAGAGAUUACUAACGAGCGAAAUAGCAACAGCCAAAAAUCCGUCGCAAAUUCGGCUUAGCGACGAAAAAUCAUAGAUUAGCGACGGAUUUCGUCAGUCGUUAAAUGCUAUUUUUUUUGUAGUGUCAGUACCUUCAUCCGGAUUAGCUCAUUUGUCCUUGUUAGCUUGAAGAGUAUAGAAAUGGUUCCACUUUAGAACAUGAAGAUCCGGGCCUUUAAGAGAAGCUUGUUUGGUCUCUCUCCAUUUCGCCAAGAGUGUUGGGCAAUCUCUAAUCUUAUAACCCUUCUUUCCACACCCAAAGCACCCAUCUGUGCCGGCAAGACACUUACCCAAAUGUUUUUUCCCACACUUGGCACAUCUAGGCCUCUCAAAAUAAGAACCACUUCCAUUUCCUCCUUGAUAAUUAGUGUUAGACACCCUAUUCUUGUUCACCAUUUAAGAAUCUUGGUUGGAGAACCUCUUUUUGGACCUUUGUUGACUUUGGUCAUCGGACCUAGACCUCUUCAUCUCUUUACUCUUCCUCUAAAGUUUGGACUCCUCAAUAGAUUGAGCAUACACAGUGAGUCUAAAAAUGUUCAUAUCAUCAUGAAGCAUCGCCGUAUGACACUCUUCCUUAACAAGGUCGGAUACACUGGUAACAAAGCGACUCAUCUCAUAUCUAGGGUUGGACACCAAAGAUGGAGCAUACUUAGACAAUAGGGUAAACUUCAAGGAAUACUAUUCCACACUCAUGCUCCCUUGCCUAAGGUUGAUAAAUUCUUCCACCUUAACCUCCUUCUUCUCACGGGGAAAGUACCUACUAAGGAAAGCUCUCUCAAACUCCUACCAUUCUAUAGGACCCGCUUCUAUAGGCCUAUAGUUUUCCAUUGAGUGAACCAAAUUUGGGAAACAUCUUUAAAUUCGUAGGAAACUAGUUCCGCCUUUUCUCUAGAAGUCACCCCCAUAGCAUUGACUAUCUUAUACACCUCAUCCAAAAACUCUUGGGGAUCCUCUCCCACCUCAGAACCUAGGAAAAUCGGAGGAUUAAUCUUCACAAAGUCCCUCAACCUAGAAGUCAUAGUACUCUCAAUAGCAUUAACUCUAAGACCCACAUCUCUAUUCACUUGAGCCGUCAUGGCUUGUGUUAAGGUUAGAAAAUCCAACCUAAUCUCUUCAUUAGUCAUGUCCAGAGCAUUAACCAGAACUAUUUUCCUUGAGGAACUUGGCCACCUUGAGGACCUUGGGGAGGAACUCCCUCAUUCACGAUCUCCUCUUCCAGUCUUCUUGUGGGCAUCCUUCUUGUAUUCAUCUCCUAUAAACACAAGAGAAGGAUUAGGAAAAGGACACUUAUAGAGCUAAACUCUAAGGCACGACUUAAGUAUGAAAGAAGUGUAACUUCCUAACGUCCUAUAGCCUGUCACUCAUAUAUGUGUCGCGACUCACACUGAUGAACAAGACUCUACUAGACGUGGCCUGUGAGACAUCAAUCCUAAGACCAUUCUCAAAACUUUGUGCUAUGAAACCAUGUUUGUCACGACCCGAGCCUAUACCCCGGAAGCGACACAACGUACUCGACCCCGAAGGGGUCUCAUACAAGCCUCAUAGCAUAUUCAUUGCAAAAGAUACUUAGAAAUAGUGGGGAAUUUAAAAAAAUUUCUUCUAUAAAUCCAACAUUUGAAAACAUUAAAAACAAUCGGAAGUCUAUCAUCUCACAUAGCGAUCUAAACAACAUACUUGAAACAAAAUAAGGUCACGGCCCUUCACAUUCGAAGUCUUAACAAUAGUCUAUUACAUGAAAAGAAAGGAAACAUCAACUACUUAUCCUCGAUCUAUGAGGACAUACCACUUAGUCUUGGGGAACUCAAAUCCAAGCUUUACUAGAGAAAUCCACUCAAUUUCUGGAACCUACACUUGUAGUAAACAUAGAAGAAGAAUGGGUUAGCUCAAUUAAGAACUAAGUAUGAUAGCCAUGCAAAAACAUGCUUUAAACGGACAUUUUGUUUUUGAAGGUCAUGGUAUAUGCCAUUUUGAUAAAACUUCAUGAACAUGAGCAUAAGAGGCAUAAUAUUCAACCAUAACAAACAUACAAGUCAUUUAACCACAUUAGAACAUAAUCACAUAUAAACCAUUACCUUCACAUUAAGCCUUCACCUCAAGUAACCCUCAAGCUAUACUUUGUGCAAUGUAUGGAUAGCGUCUCAUACCACCAUCCACACCAAAGUACCACCUUAAGAUCACCAAACUGGAAAUUACCAUUCAACCUUCCCAUCCUUACACAAUACUCAUACAUAAGAGACAUAAACAUUACAUAAACCAUAUCAUCACAUAAGGACCAUCACCUAAGACAACUCUAAGUCAUAUUUGUGCAAUGUAUGAGUAGCAUCACAUACUACUACUCACACUAAGUACUCCUUGAAGCCACCAUAGAGAAGACAUAUUCAUAUUCAUUAAGUCAUGACAAGGAAGUAACUCUUAAUACAAUCCAAGUAUAGCAUGCAUCAUCUCAUUCAAGCAUAAGUCACAUUCUUCAUUAGCUUCAUUUCAUUAAGAGCACGUUUAUUAAUUUAGACAUUAGAUCAACAUUCUUCAUUAAUAUUAUCAUAAGAGCAUAUUCAUUACACUUAACAUUAUAAAGGAACACACCACAACCUCUCUGAAAGCCUACUUGUGCAAUGCAUAGAUGGCGUCCCAUACCACCACCCACACUAAGUAGUGCAUUCUUAAGAAACCAUAGUUCUUUAACAUUCAUUGUGGGGGUAAACCUUAAACGACAUAUUACCUGUGAGCAAUUUCAUGGAAUAUCGGUGUCACCCUUAUCGGAUAAGGAAUUCGUACUUGCCUAAGGGAGGACCAUUGUUUUAAAGCUUAAGUGGAUCAACUAGCUAGACCUAUGUGGGCAUAUAGUUAUGGGAUAGGGAGAUUGCUACUAGAUACCCCGCCUCAACUCACGGAUGAGCUUCCAUUUCAAGAGGUUCCUACUAGAUACCCCGCCUCAACUCACGGAUGAACAUCCACACCAAUUCGUAUCCACUCGGUGCUUAACAUUAUUCCCCACAGAGUACAUGACAUUCAUUACAUUAGUUAAUUAUGGGAUAAGAUAUUGUUACUAGAUACCCCACCUCAACUCAUAUAUGAAUAUCCAUCUCAUACCCAACAUUCAUUCCUUGGAAAGAUCAUAAAUUCAAAGAUUAGAAUAGCCUUUCACCUAAGAAUCACCUUAUUGUGAGAAAUUCCUUUCACUACAAGUCAUUAUUAUUCAUUAGAGUACAAUUGAGAAUAGCCUUUCAAUAAGUACUUCAUCAUUAACAUAAUCAUAGAACUUCAUUCAUUAUUCAUUUAUGAGUGUGUGUGUGAGUAUGUGAGAAUAACCUUUCACAUACAAUAUCAUCAUUCACAUCAUAAUUAAAUUCUAAACAUGAUCACAUUAACCUCAUUAGAUUCACAUUCAUAUACAAGACAUCAUGAUAAUAACUCAAUCCUCAUAAUAUGCACUUCAAGGCCAUGAGUCUCCAAUCACCAACACACAAACAAUUCACUACAAUUAAGGGAUGGGUAAUGAUUCAAUUCAAUAAUCUAAAUCAAUUUAGGCAUAAUCCAUCAACAUUCAUUUAUAAUCAACAAACCCACUUCAUAAAGAUACAAUUUAGAAAUUUAGAGAAUUCAUGGGUUCAUAGAGUAUUUUCAUCAUGAAUAAUCAAUUAAACACUAAUACAAUCAUAAUAUGUCAUUAGAAACCAUUUGAAAACGUUUGAUGAAAGACCUCAUGAGAUUGUGUAAAGCCCUAGGUUUUUUAUUAUUGAAAUCACCUUUGGAACUGGCUCCUUGAAUAAAAAGUUAAACAAGGAUGAAUACAACCAUACCUAGAUAUUGAAUCCCCAUGAAAUUUGAGGAAGAAACACCUUGAAUCCACAAACCCUAGCUUCAAUGGCUCCCUUCUUCUUCUUGAGUUUUAGAGAGAGAAAUAUUUGAGAGUAGAUGGGUCUUCUUUUACUUCUAUUUGGAGUGACUUAAUUGAAAGAAUUCAAAUAAAAAAGGGUUAUAUAGUAACUAGGAAAGGAAUAGAAUAAUGAGAACCCAACUUUGGAAAAGAACUAAGGACUCACAAAGUUUAAACAUAAAGUUUUGCACCUUACCCGACAAAGCUCGCCCUUUGGACCUCAUGGCUUGCCAAGGGCACUAGGCGACUCGCCAAGUGCACCCUUGGCUCGCCCAUUUUUCAGUAGGCACAAAAUGUGCAGUUCACUAGGCGAUCUAGGGGGCUAAUGGCCGAUUCGCCAACCUGGUUGGCGAGCUACGACUUAGCUCGCCCUUGGUUCCAGAACCUAGUCCUAAGGGACAACCCACUAGGCGACCCCAAGUGCACUUUGGUGCAUUGCCAAGUCACUUGGGUGAUCAAGUAGUCCCCAUCGCCAAAAGGUCCAUCAAAGAACAACGUUUCUUUCACUCUAUCUUGCUAGCAUAGGUCCUUACUUGUACCCUAGAUUUCUUCCUUGCUCAAUUAAGUUCUAAAAUAGCCUAGACAUCCACUUAAGGUUACAUUAACCCAUACGAUGAGGCUCUAGUUCAACCUAUCAUUUUGCGAGUAGUUACACUAUUGCAUGGUUUAAUGUUAUUACAUGAUAUUGAGUUGAACUCAUAUGAACCUGUACAUGAUCCUUGCUUUUUAACUAUAAACUUGUGAAGAACUCAUGAACCUAUGAACUACGAAUUUUUAAGGAUGAUGCAUGUGUUAUAAAAAUGAUAUUUAUGAUGAUAGGGUGCCUUACGAUGAAAGUAUCAAUGUUAUGGGAAAAGUUUUUCUCACAUAUGAAUAUGAUCAUGAUUAUAAAAUGUAUUUCUCACAUAUAGAUUCACAUUGGUGUAAGGUUUUCUCACAUACACUUGAAUUGAUUUUUAAAGAGCUAUUCUAUGUUUUAAUAUUAAUGAUGUAGAUAGGUAUUAUUCAUUUCCUUUCCUAUGUUAUAAUGAUAUUUGACUUUUAUCUAUUCCGUUGGGAUUUAGACUUAGCACCUAGAGGAUUUGAGGUGGAAGUUCAAAUAGGGUGGUCUCUAGAAGAAACUUCUAGUCCCUACCUAUGUGCCCCAGUAGGAUUGUCUUAAAUAACAUAGCUAGAUGAUCCACUUUAGCAAAAGAUGAUGUGUGCGGAUGCUACCUUAGCAAGUAGAAUCCCCUUCUUUGGUAUAAGGGAUAUACCAGAUUACAUAGCUAUCAUGGUCUUAUUGUCAAAUAAAGCUAAUAUCCCACAAAACGAGUAUAUUUAUUCAAAGAUUUCCUAUAUGUCUUCUUUUAAAUGUGUUGACUAUAUUACAUGAGUUAUGUGUUAUUGCUUCUUUAAGGCUUCCAAAUUUUCAAAUAUUGGUAAUGUACUACAUGCUUAGGCUAGUUAUGUCAUCAUGUAUAUUUAUGCAUGUUUCCUCAUACUUAGUUCAUUCCAUUUACUAAUGCGUACAUGUGCCUACAUUGUUUCACUAAUGUAGGGACCAAUGCUCGUACCUCUCACACUCGUGGCUAGUUGAUUAUUCUACUGGAUUUAAGAGUUGGUGAGUCCUCAUGUUCUGAGGACCGAGACACAUUUACUUGCUUUAUAAAUUUCUAGUUUAAGGAUGAUGUAUGUGGUGUAUGGGUUACGUACCGACCACUCAUUUUGAUGUUUAGAUGGUUUUUUGAGACUAUGUUAGACUUCCGCUUUGUGAAACUCUUUUAUGAUAUAAGAUUCCAAUUUUUCAAUUCAUUAAUUCCAUUAUCUUGCAUGAUGUAUGCUAAGUGUCUUGUGUAGGACCUUUCAGAUUUAUUUACGCCAUGUUACAACUAGGCUAUACUUUGGGUCGUGACACACAGACAUCCCGAGGAUUAUAUGGUUCUAGCUAAGGUGUCCAUAAUAGAUCAUAUUGUUCACAUCAACAGUCAUUCACACCAAUGUUUUGUUUUGGAGGUGGAGAUAUAGAUCAUAUGAUUCAGUGAUUUCUUCUAAAGACACACUCAGGACCCCAACAUACAUAUUCAACUGCUCCAACUAUAUAUUUGGUGCCUCCGGCUAUAGGUUCAGGCAGAGGUCAGUCUGAUAGGGGUGGUAGGACUUCUGGUAGGGGUGUUAUAUCUCCAUAGAGUAACGUUAGGGUUCCUACUUAGACUACAAGCGGUUGAGAGGGAAAGUGUUAUACUUUUCCAGGGAGGCCUGACGCCAAGACUUCUAAUGUUGUGAUUACAUGUGUCGUCCCAAUUUUUCAUUGACAUGCAUCUAUAUUAUUUGAUCCGCAGUCUACUUCUUCGUAUGUGUGUACUCAUUUGGUUGCAGUAUUUUAUAUGAUUUUUAAUGGCUUGCAUAUGCCUAUUCAUGUUUCUACAACAGUGGAUGGGUCAUUAGUGAUGGAUUAAGUUUAUCGAUCAUUUCUUGUUUCUUUGAAUGGGUAUGAUACUCUGGCUGACUUGAUCAUUUUGGGGAAGGUAGACUUUGAUUUUAUCAUGGUAUAUAUAACACCCCGUAUCCAAAAACAGACCAAAUAGCAGAUUUUCAGAAGUUGCAGGGGCCAUCGACGGGUGCCACCUUUGGACCGUAGGGUGAGUCAGGGACCGUAGGUUGUGUCCGUGGUUGCCCAUCCCAACUCCACCCAGAAAACCCCGACCUAUAGCCAGGAUCUACGGAUCGUAGGUGGGACCAUGGUACGUGUCUAGGUUCAUGGAUUGUGGUCCGCAGACCCCACCCCUAGGAGCCAAACGACGCCUGCCAGGACGGACCGUCGGUCAGGCCCGUAGUUGGCCCCAACAGCUUUUAAGUUGGGGUAGUUUUGGUCUUUUCCCCUAUGCGUUGGGAACAUAAACUACAUCAUUUAACCCCUAAAGUACAUAGUUUUGGUCAGUUUAAGCCUAAUAACUUAGUCAUAACCAUCCCUAAUCGAUCAUUCUCCAAAAAUUCAUCAAACGUAGAACGAAGAGAGGAGAAAGAGUUGACCAAGCCCUUCCAUUAACGCAAUAAGGUUUCAUCAGUUCCAACUCCAAAAUCUAAAGAUUUCUCCAUGAAUUUUGUCACCAUCUAUGUAAGAUUUCACUAGUGGAUUCCUUUCAUCCACUAGGUCCCUAGAAUUCAUUCAGAUUCUCGAUUCCUUUCAUAUUAUCUACACCUACGGUUUUCUUGAACUUUAGAAAUUGUUGUGAUUUAGCUGUUAAAAUGUUCCAAAUCAGAUUUUCAUGUUCUUAUAACACCGUUGCUUAGUUGCUUGCAUGAAAUUCAGAACCCUAGUUGUGUUGAUUCGUUUAGUUCAUGAAUUACACUAGAUAGGUCAGUUUAAACAGAUAUACGUGACUCUAAUUUCGAAUGUUUCAUGUUCAGUUAUAAAUGUUGCAUUCUCAUAUUUGCAUGUCAGAAUAUUGAGCUAUCCAGUAUAAUUAUCUUAUGAUAUAUUGUUCAAAUUUCUAGUUGGAAGUAGUCUAAGACCUAGUGGACUAGGGUUCAGCGUACCCGUAUAGUCCCAGAACUAUGUGCCCCGUAGAAUUAUAAGUCCCCUAUGUGGGCAUUACAUUUAGUAAUCACGCUAGACAUGCCUUUAUACCCUUGGCAAGGUAUAUUGGGUCCUCUCGAUGGAGCGUAUAAAUCGGACUCCACAUUUAGAUCACAUGGUUUUAUGUCAGUUAUUAGUAGCUCCCACCGUCAGACUUUAGUGCAUUUGACCAGGUUUCCAGUUGUACUUCAGUAUUAGGUUUUAGCAUGUUAUGUACUUGGUCAUUGUAUUCAAUUCAACUUAUUUCAGUAUGUUUCCAGUAUUUUCCAGCAUGUUCAGAUUAUAGUAUUGCUUAGUAUGUUUUGUUCAGAUUUUAUCCUAUCCUGCAUGGUCAGUACAUUCCAAGUACUCACACAUACUCUGCGCUACAUCCUUUCAUUAUGUAGGUUUAAGUAGUUGACAUCUAGACCAUGCAUAGAUCGGAUCUCGAUCUCCAAUUCAACAACUUCAGUGGUGAGUCCUUAUUCUUCGUGGAUGAUAGACAUGUUCCUUUACAUUCAGUCUUUCAUUUUAGUUUUAGUUUUACUUGUGUUAGCUAGGGGCAUGUCCUAGCAUCUCUAGUCAGUUAAAGGUUUAUUUCAGACAUAGACAGAUUCAACUUUAGCUUUUGAGUUAUAAUUCAGUAAUCUAAACUCUUUUUCAGUAAUUAUAUAUUCAAACUUAGAUUGGGUAUUCCCUAUCAUGUAGUUUAUCCCAUGUUUUAAUAUUCCGCAUAAUAUCUAUCGUUUAGUAUUUUAAGUAUGCUUAUGAAAUGCUAGCUCAAGGAUAGCUUGGGGUCACUCGUGAUCCUAGGUUCUGUGUUUACAUCCAGGGGCAGCCUUGGGGCGUGACAAACUUGGUAUUAAAGCAUCAGUUUUAAGAUUCAUAGGAUGUCUGAAAUGCCGCACUAAGUAGAGUCUCUUUCAUGGGUGUGAACUGCACCACAUCUGAUGAGAGGGAGGCUACGAAGUGUUUUAGGAAAAUUUCACUUUCUUUGCAACUCUUAUAGUGCGUAAGGUAUGAUCCAACUUCUCCCUUCUAACUAAUCGUUAUGUGUUUCACAUCAUGCCUCCUAAUGGAGCUAACAAAAGGAAUGAUAACGCAGCUCCUCAGGUCCUAGAUCAGGAGGUUUCGAAUGUAGAGUUUCGAAAUGCAUUUCAACUUUUGGCUUAGAGUGUGACUAACCAGAAUAAUCAGUAGUCCCCAGUUCUUACUAAUGCUAAUAAUGGGUCAGGAACAACCAGGGUUCAAGACUUUAUUCGGAUAAAUCCACCAGAAUUUCUAGGGUCAAGGGGUGAUGAGGACCCACAGAGUUUCAUUGAUGAGGUCAAUUUUUUUUUUGGAGUGAUGCAAGUAAGUGGGAAUGAUAGGGUAGAGUUGGCAUCUUACCAACUCAAGGAUAUAGCUCACAUUUGGUAUACUCAAUGGAAGGAAUACAGGGAUACUGAAGAAGCUCCUGUGACUUAGGAAUGCUUUACUAGAGCUAUUCUGGAUAGAUUCUUCCCGAGAAAGUUGAGGGAGGCUAAGGCUCAGGAGUUUACGAAUUUCAGGAAGGGUUUCAUAUUAGUCCAAGAGUACGGGCUUGAGUUCAACUAACUCUCUAGGUAUGCUCCAGAUAUGGUUGCUAAUUCGAGGGCACAAAUGUCUAAGGUUUUGUAUGGUGUGUCCGAUUUAGUGAAGACAAAGAGCAGGAAUACUAUGUUGUCAGAGAAAAGGAACAUCUCUAGACUCAUGACUCAUGCUCAGUAGGUUGAGGGAGAUAAUCUUAUGAAAAUGGCUAAGGAUAACAAGAAGGCUAGGACAAGUAACUAUGAGUACUCUCAACAGAAAUCGGGUGGUGAAUCACUCGCAGUUUCAGCAAAAAAAAUUUAGCCCUCACACCUUCAUCAGCUAGUGCUCCACCCCCAGGUUUAGACAGGAUCAAAAAGGUUGUGCAUCAGGUUCUAUAUCCCAUGGGAGUGCUCCAGGUAGCAGGACAUAUCCAACUUAUCACAAAUGUGGUUAGAACAAUCGGGUAAGUGUCUUUCAUGGAAAGAAGGGUGUUUUAGAUGUGGUCAGUCUGGCUAUAGAUUGAGGGAUUGCCCUUUUGCUAAGCAGAGGCAAUGAGGUAACAAUAAUAGGUCUUCAGGAUCAGGAAGAUUUUCCCGAUGUGGUCACUGGUACACUGCGAGUCCUUCACUUCGAUAGAUAUGCUUUGCUAGAUCCAGGGGAUACUCUUUCCUUUAUAACUCCUUAUAUAUAAGUGAACUUCGGUGUUGGUCCAAAAAAUCCUUCAUAACCCUUCACAAUUUCUACCCUAGUUGGUUACCAGUUAGAGCUAGACGGUUAUAGAGAAACUGCCAUGUCAUAGUCUCUCAGAAAGUCACCUCAACAAAUCUUUUAGAGUUUGAAAUGGUCGACUUUGAUGUCAUUAUAGGCAUGGAUUGGUUACAUUCUUGUUAUGCCUCACUCGAUUGUAGAACUAGGAUCGUUCGUUUCCAUUUUCUAGAUGAGCCAAUCAUAGAAUUGAAGGGUAGUAGCCCAGUGCUUAUGGGUCGAUUUAUCUCUUACCUUAAGUCCAGAAAUAUGAUCUCUAAAGGGUAUCUCUAUCAUCUAGUUUGGGUUAUGGAUUCAAGCUCCGAAACCCCAACUCAUGAGUCAGUUCCUGUAGUAAACGAGUUUCCAGAAAUAUUUCCAGAAGAUAUUCUCAGAGUUCCUCCCAAAAGUUAAAUCGACUUCAGAAUUGAUCUCCUUCAAGAUAUCUAACAUAUUUAUAUUCCUCCUUACAUAAUGGCUCCAGCUUAGCUUAAGGAAUUGAAAGAGCAGUUGAAUAACCUUCUAGAUAAGGGAUCCAUCAGACCCAGUAUUUCCCCAUGGGGUGGCCAGUGUUGUUCGUGAAGAAUAAAGAUGGUUCUCUCAGGAUGUGCAUUGACUAUCAGAAGUUGAACAAAGUCACAAUCAAGAAUAACUACUCUAUCCCCAGGAUUGAUGAGUUGUUCGACCAACUUAAGAGUUCUAGUUAAUUUGUGAAAAUAGACCUCAGAUCUGGUUAUCAUCAGCUCAGAGUCAGAGAUAGUGACAUCCUGAAAAUAGCCUUUAGAACUCGGUAUAGUUAUUAUGAAUUUGUAGUUAUGUCUAUUGGACUAACCAAUACUCCUACAACUUUCAUGUAUUUGAUGAACAGUGUUUUCAAGUACUAUUUAGACUUGUUUGUUAUCGUAUUUAUUGAUGAUAUCCCAUUUACUCUAGGAAUGAGGAAGAACAUGUGACUCAUUUGAGGGUUGUCCGAUAAACUCUCAAAGAUCGUCAGUUAUUUGCUAAGUCUAGCAAAUGUGAGUUUUGGUUACAAUCAGUUGCUUUCCUUGGUCAUAUAAUAUAUAGCGAAGUGAUCUGAGUGGAUUCUCAGAAAAUAGAGGUAGUGAAGCAAUGGCCCAGACCCACCUCUUCUACUGAUAUCAUAAGUUUCUUGGGUUUUGCUGGUUAUUACAGAAGGUUCAUGGAAGGAUUUUCAUCGAUAUCUUCUCCAAUGAAUAAGUUGACUCAGAAAAGGUUAAGUUUUAGUGGUCAGAUGAGUAUGAGAAGAGCUUCGCAGAACUAAAAACUAGGUUGACUACAACUCCUAUUUUGACUCUACCAUAGGGUUCACACGGUUAUGCGAUCUAUUGUGAUGCAUCUAGAGUCGGCCUAGGUUGUGUGUUGAUGCACGAGGGUAAGGCUAUAGCUUAUGCUUCUAGAUAGCUUAAGGUGCAUGAGAAGAAUUAUCCGACUCAUGAACUCGAGCUUGCAGCCGUAGCAUUUUCCCUAAAUAUUUGGAGACAUUACUUGUAUGGUGUUCACGUAUAUCUGUUCAUAGACAAUAAAAGCCUUCAGUAUGUGUUCACCUAGAAAGAGUUAAAUGUUCACUAGAGGAGAUGGCUUGAAUUCUUCAAGGACUAUGAUAUGAAUGUGCUUUACCAUCUUGGUAAAGACAAUGUCGUAGCUGAUGCUCUUAGCAGACUAUCUAUGGGUAGUGUAGCACAUGUUGAAAAAGAAAGAAAGGAACUAGCAAAAGAUGUACACGGACUAUCUCGCUUAGGAGUUCGUCUUAUGAGUAUGUCAUAUGGUGGGAUAUAGUGGUUGAUUCUCUCAAUAACUAUUUAUGGGUAGUGUAGCACAUGUUGAGGAAGAAUUGAAGGAAUUAGCAAAAGAUGUUCACCAGCUUGCUAGCUUAAUAGUUGGUCUUGCAGACUCGUCAGAUGGUAGAGUAAUAGUCCAGAUUAGAUCUGAAUCUUCAUUGGUAGCGGAGGUUAAGGAAAAUAGGCUACUGAUCCUAUAUUUCUUCAUUUGAAAGGUGUAGUUCACCAGUAGAAAGUAGAGGUUUUCUACCAAGGGGGAGAUGGUGUGCUUCGUUAUCAAGGUUACUUAUGUGUUCCUAAGGUGGGUGAGUUACGGCAGCACAUCCUUACAGAAGCUUACAAUUCCAAAUAUUCUAUUCAUGUAGGUGCGCCACUAAGAUGUACCGUAUUUGGCGGGAAGUCUUUUGGUGGAACGGCAUGAAGAGAGACAUAGCAGAUUUUGUGGCUAACUAUCCUAAUUGCCAAUAGGUUAAGGUAGAACAUCAUAAACAAGGAGGUAUGACUCAAGAAAUCAACAUUCCUACAGGGAAGUGGGAAGUGAUAAACAUGGACUUCAUGACAGGUUUACUCCAUAUUCACAGACAACAUGAUUCCACUUGGGUAAUAGUAGACAGAGUUACUAAGUCUACUCACUUCUUGUCUAUCAAGACUAUAGAUUCAGCGGAGGAAUACACCAAGCUUUACAUUAAUGAGAUAGUAAAGUUUCAUGGGGUUACUUUGUCUAUCAUCUCAGAUAGAGGCCCUCAGUUUACCUCUCAUUUCUGGAAGUCGUUACAGAAAUGUCUUUCCACCCAGGUAAAUCUCAGCACAACAUUUCAUCCACAGAUGGGUGGUUAGGAAGAGCAUACCAUUCAGACCUUAGAGGACAUCUUGAGUGCUUUUGUGAUCGACUUGAAAGGUAGUUGGGAUGAUCACCUUCUUCUUGUAGAGUUCACCUACAACAACAGUUACCAUUCCUAUAUUCAGAUGACCCCUUUUGAGGCAUUAUGUGGUCGUAGAUGCAAAUCUCCAGUUGUGUUGGUUUGAAGUAGGUGAGGCAGCAUUGAUUGGGCUAGAUUUGGUUCAUGAAGCUAUGGAAAAAUUUCAGCUCAUCAGAGAUAGGCUAAAGAUAGCACAAACUCGUCAGAAGUCCUAUGCAGAUGUGAGAAGAAGAGACUUAUAAUUUGAGGUCGAUGAUUGGGUUUUCUUGAAAGUGUCCCUUAUGAAGGAGGUGAUGAGAUUUUGCACUAAAGGAAAACUCAGUCCGAGGUAUGUAGGUCCUUACAGAAUCCUGAAGAGGGUUGGAAAUAUGGCAUACGAGUUGGAGUUGCCAGCACAACUAGCAGCAGUCCAUCCGGUCUUUCAUAUUUCCAUGUUGAGAAAGUGUGUAGGUUAUCCAGCAUCGAUAGUGACAUUAGAGAGUGUGGCUGUGAAGGACAGUCUCACCUAUGAAGAAGAGCCAGUUGAAAUUCUUGAUCGUCAGGUUCGUAGGUUGAGAAAUAAAGAGGUCACUUCGGUGAAUGUUUUGUGCAAGAGUCAGUCCGUAGAGGGAGCUACUUAGGAAAUGAAGCAGCCAUGAAUGCCAAGUAUCCUCAUCUCUUUCCUUCCCAUUUUGUUUUAACUUUAGGUAAUAGCUCCUCUCCAGUCUGUCAGUUUACUCUUGCUUAAAAUCAGUCUCACUAUCAUAUUCCCUCAGUUUUACCUGCAUUUUUAGCGUAUUUGCAUGUUUUUGGAACUCAGUUCAGUCAGAAAUCAGGUUCUAGUACUUAGUGGUAAGGUGUACAGCUCCUUUCCCUCUUUUUCAGCUAGUUUCGACUUCAUUCGAGGAUGAAUGUUACCAAGGGGGAGAUAAUGUAACACCCUCUAUAAAAAAAAAGACCAAACAACAAAUUUUCAGAAGUUGCAGAUGCCACCUACAGACCGUAGAGUGAGCCACGGACCUUUGGUGGUGUCCGUGGUUUGACAGCCCAACUCCACUCAGAGAACCCCGACCCAUGGCCAGGACCUACACACCGUAGGUGGAACCACUGUCUAUGGUCCACAUCCGUGGAUUUUGGUCCGCAGCCCCCACCCUCAGACACCAAAUGAUACCUACCGGGAUGGACCGUUGGUCAGGCCCGUCGUUGGCCUCGAUAGCUUUUAAGUUGGGGUCAUUUUGUUCUUUUCUUGUAUGCGUUGGGCACCUAAACUACGUUGUUUAAUCCCUAAUCUAUGUUGUUUAACCCUAAACUACAUAGUUCUGGCUAGUUUAAGCCUAGAACUUAGUCAGAUCUUUCCCUAAUCAAUCAUUCUCCAAAAUUUCAUCAAACUUAGAACGAAGAGAUGAGAAAGAGUCGACCAAGUCCUUCCAUGAACGAAGAAAUUUCUCUGUGAAAUUCGUCACAAGGUAUGUGAUAUUUCAAAUAGUUGAUUAUUUUCAUCCACUAGGUUUUUAGAAUUCAGUCAGAUUCUUGAUUCCCUUAAUAUUAUCUAUACCUCUGGUUAUCUUGAAUAUUAGAAAUUGUUGUGAUUUAGUUGUUAGAAUGUUCCAAAUCAGAAUUUCAUGUUGUUGUAAAACCGUUGCUUAGUUGCUUGCAUGAAAUUUAAAACCAUAGUUGUCUAGAUUUGUUUAGUUCAUGAAUUACAUUAGCUAAGUCAGUUUAAAGAGAUAUACAUGACUCAGAUUUCGAAUUUUUCAUGUUCUGUUAUAAAUGUUGCAUUCUCAUAAUUGCAUUUCAGAAUAUUAAGCUAUCCAGUAUAAAUCUCAUAUGAUAUAUUGUUCACAUUUCUAGUUAGGCGUAGGCUUAGAUCGAGUGGACUAAGGUUCAGCAUCCCCAUAUAAUCCCAGAACUUCGUGCCCCAUAGGUUUAUAAGUCCACUCAAUGGGAAUUACAUUUAGUGAUCACGCCAGACAUGCCUCUAUACCCUUGGAAAGGUAUAUUGGGUACUCUCAAUGGGGCUAUACAUAGGACUCCCCGUUUAGCUCAUGUAGUUUUAUAUCGGUUAUUAAUAGCUCCCACUAUCAGACUUUAAUGAAUUUGACCAGGUUUCAGUUGUACUUCAGUAUUCAGUUUUAACAUGUUAUGUACUUGGUUAUUGUAUUCAGUUCACCUUAUUUAAGUAUGUUUCAAGUAUUUUCCAGCAUGUUCAGAUUAUAUUAUUGCUUAGUAUGUUUUGUUCAGCUAUUAUCAUAUUCUGCAAGCUCAAUACAUUCCAUGUACUGACGCAUACUAUGCGCUACAUCAUUUCAUGAUGUAGGUUCAGGUACUGAGCAACCAGACCACGCAUUGAUCAUAUCCCGAUCUCUAGUUCAACAGCAUCAGUGGUGAAUCCUCAUUCUUCAAGGACGAUAGACAUGUUCUUUUACAUUCAGUAUUUCAAUUUAGUUUCAGAUUUUCUAGAGUUAGCUAGGGCAUGUCCUAGCAUCUCUAGUCAGUUAAAGGCUUAUUUCAAAAAUAGACAGAUUUCGCUUUAGCUGUUGAGUUAUAGUUGAGUAUUCUAAACUCUUUUUCAGUAUUUAUAUAUUCAGACUUAGAUUGGGUAUUCCCUAUCACGUAGUUUAUCUCAUGUUUUAAGUUUCCGCAAAAUAUCGAUGGUUUAGUUAUUUAAGUAUGCUUAUGAUAUGCCAACUCAUGUUUAGUUUGGUGUCACUCGUGAUCCUAGGUCCCGUGUUUACGUCAAGGGGGUAGCCUCGGGGAGUGACAAUAUAGAUUGGCCCUCCCACGAUUAUGUUAUUCUUCAUUGUUAUGUAAAGACUAUUUCUUAGCGGUGCCAGGUGUCUUGAGAGUUAAGUGGAUGGGAGUUAGUGGUUCUUAUUAUAGCAAGGUUGUCUCAUUUAUUUGAGCUCAAAUAUUUGUUUAUAGAGGGUGUUGUUUCUAUUUGGCAUUCAUUUGCGAUAGUACUAGUGUUGAACCAUAUCCCAUUAAUUUUGUGCAUGUGGUUUAAGAGUAUUUUUAUCUCUUUCCAAAUGAUCUUCCAGGUUUUUCUCUUGAUAGGGAUAUUGAUUUUUCUAUUGACAUGAAGCCGGGUACCGAUCCCUUCUCUAUUCCUAUUUGUUUCAUGGCUUCAUUAGAGUUAAAAGAAUUGAAGGAUCAGUUGCAGGACUUAUUGAGCAAGGGAUUCAUUCACACUAGUGUUUUUCCAUGGGGUGAUCCUGUUUUAUUAUUUAGCAAAAAGGAUGUUAACAUGAGUAUGUUUAUUGUAGUUUAACAAACUGACAGAGAAGAACAAAUUUCCUCUUACUCAUAUUGAUGAGUUAUUUGAUCAGCUUCAGUGGAUAUCUUUAUUUUCUAAGAUUGAUUUUAGGUAUGUCUAUCAUCACCUAAUGAUUAAGGCAUCAGAUAUCCCUAAGACAUCUUUCAAGACUCGAUAUGGGUAAUAUGAGUUUUUUGUAAUGUAUUUAGGCUUGAGUAAUGCCCUUGCAGUUUUCGUGGAGUUAAUUAACAUGAUGUUCUGACAUUAUUUGUAUUCUUUUGUGAUUGUCUUCAUUGAUGACAUCUUCGUAUACUCCAAGACUGAAGAGGAUCAUGAUUGACAUUUGAUAAUUGUAUUCUCAAAAUUGAGGGAAUAUAAGUUAUAUGCAUAGUUCUUGAAGUGUGAGUUUUUGCUAGAUUCAUUUGCAUUUUUGGGACAUGUGAUGUCCAAUGAAGGUAUUCAGGUGGGUCUAGCCAAGAUUGAGGUAGUUUGAGGUUCUACCGGGCCUUCUUCAGUUACGGAGAUUCAGAGUUUUAUGGGUGUAGCAAGUUAUCAUAGGAAAUUUGCUCAGAGUUUCUCCACUAUCACAUCUCCUUUGACUAAAGAGAGUGUUAGCGUCUAGUAGUAUGAUGAGUGUGAGGAGAGCUUUCAAAAGACAAAUGACUUGUUGACUUAUGCUCUUACUUCGACUAUAACCAAGAAAGGUGUAGACUUUACCUUUUAUUGUUAUGUUUCUGGAGUCGGGUUGGGUGUUGUUUUGAUGCUGAUGGGGUAAAUAAUAACCUAUGCUUCUACACAGUUAAAGACCCAUGAGAAGAACGACCCUACUGAUGAUUUAAAGGUGGCUGUUGUAGUGUUUGUUCUUAAGCUAUGGCAGAAUUAUUUGUAUGGGGUACAUUCUGAGGUUUUUAUUGACCACAAAAGUCUUUAGUACAUCUUCAAUAAGAGGGAUCUAAACUUGAGGCAGCAUAGGUGGCUUGAGCUACUAAAGGAAUAUGAUAUUCGCAUCUUGUAUUACCCAAGAUAGGACAAAGUGGUGGUCGAUGCCUUGCGUAUGAAGAUUUUAAUUAUGGAGAGUCUUGUCGCUAUCAGUGUCAAAUAGAGACUAUUUGCUAGAGAUGUUUAGAUGUUGGCCAAAUUUUUGAGGAUCCUCAACUUUGAUUGCUUUUUAGUGUCUCGUUCUUCCUUGGUUGAGAAGAUUCAGGAGAACAAGUUUGAUGAUUAGAAGUUGUGUCUCAUUUAAGACAAAGUUUUGAGAUGUGAAACUAAGGAGGUUGUGCUUAAUUUUGAUGGUGUCUUUAGGAUCAGAGGUAGAAUUUACAUUCCCAAGACAGGUGACUUUAUUAGAUUGGUUCUUGAUGAAUCCCAUUUUUCUCGAUAUUUUAUUCAUCCAGGAGAAGCAAAGAUGUCAUGACCGGAGCCAGCACUACAUGUUAUGUGAUAUAAAGAGGGAUAUUACAGAAUUUUUUCAAGGUGCUUGACUUGCCAACAUGUCAAGUGUGAGCACCAGCGUUCUAGAGGUAUAACUCAGAAGAGCCUUUUCCUACUUGGAAGUGGAACUGGAUAACUAUGGACUUUGUUAUUUAUCUACCUACCACCGUGGGUGGUUGUGAAUAAAUUUGAAUGUUUUUUAUAGGCAGGCCAAUUUCACUCAUUUCAUCCCUGUUGGGGUGAAGUAUACACCUGAGAAGUUAGCCAGACUCUAUAUAUUAGUCAGAUUUUGAGAUUACAUAGAGUUCUUACUUCUAUUAUCCCUAAUCAAGGGUUUUUGGUCGCAACCCAUUUAUGGAAGGCUUUAUAAUGUGGUUUCAGUACUCGAUUAGAUGUGAGUACAACCUUCUACCUUCAGACAUAAGGUUAGUUUUAGUAGAUAAUUCAGGUGUUGAAAAAUAUUUGUCGGGCUUGUGUAUUUGGUUUUUGUUCUAGAUGGAAUUACUAUUGGCCCCGAAAAGAGUUUGCCUACAAUUAUAUUUAUCGUUCCAAUAUUAAGAUGGCCUCAUUUGAGGCAUUGUAUGGAAAUAGGUGUAGAUCUCUGAUCGAAGUGUUUGAUUCAGCUAAGAUAUAACCUUUGGAUACAAACAUACUUAGAGAUGCUAUGGAGCAAGUUCGUAUUAUUCAGGGUAGACUAAUGACAGACUAGAGUCGGCAGAAGAGUUGUGUGAACCAGAGACUUUGAGCCAUAGUGUUUAUUGAGGGUGAUGAUGUUUGGCUAUGUGUGUCACUUAUGAAAUGUGUGAUGAAGAUCAGAAAGAAGGGAAAGCUUAGCCCUAGAUUCAUUGGACCUUUUGAGAUUUUUAGCGGAGUGGGAGAGUUUGUCUAUAACUUUUCCUUGCCACCUAGCUUGUUAGCUAUGCAUCUUGUGUUUCAUGUCUCAAUGCUUCUGAAGUAUGUGCUAUAUGACUCCUAUGUGGUUUCUCUUCAUUUAUAUUUAUUUGGUUCAUACUUAUCUUUUGAGGAAGAACCUUUAGCCAUCUGGCAUAGGUAGGUUCGAAAGUUUAGGAUUAAGGAGAUUGAUUUAGUGAAGGUACAACUAAAGCACCCUUAUGUUUGUAAGGCGACUUGGGAGACAUUGUCUUUCAUGCGUGGCAGAUGACUUCAGCUUUUUGAGGCUUCAUGUACUUUUACUUACUUUAUGUUUGAUGAGGAAGAUUGAUUUUAAUUUUGGAUAAUGUAAUGACCAGAAGGUCAUUUUGGAAAUUUUAAUAAUAUUACCAUUUUACCCAUUUGAUAUUGGCCCCGAGUAAUUUUCAAAUGAGUUUUGAAAUUUGUUUCAAGUUUUGAGUUAAAAGUUUUAAAUUUUGAGAUUUUUUGGAUUUUGAAAAGUGAAAGUUGCUAAAAAAAGGUUUUCAAUGUCUUUUAGAGUUUAUAGUGUUGGAAUGGAAUUCCAUUAAUUCCAUUUGCCCCGGAUAAGAAAAUUUGUUGAAGAGAGUUGUCGGUUAUAGAUUUGAAGUCUUUUGAGAAUUUAAGUUCCUACUUUCGAAAAUUAUGGAAUUUUAGACUUUAGAUUAAAUUUGGUAAACAUUUGGAGUUUUAAUGCUCAGAUCAGAAUUUUAAGAGUUUUGUUAGAUUCAGGGGAUAAUUUUAGGCCUAGGUAAGGUCUCGGUUGAAUUUUUAGAGGUCACGAUAUUGUAUUAGCCUUUUUAGGUGUUUUGUUCAUUUAUUGUAACUUUCAUGGAUUUUGGGUCAAGAGGAAGUGGGAUUUGUAUUUAAACAGUUGCAUUAAGUCUCGAACGUCGAUAAUAGUCGAUUUGCAUAUAUGGAUUGUGUGAAUGGGAUUAUGAAUGAAUUUCGAGGGUCCUUUCGAUAUAUGAGAGUUAGCUGAUAUUUUGUGGUGUUUGUGUGCUUCGUUUUAGCGAUGGACAACUAGGUUUAGCGAAAAAUCGGUCAAAUUCACGAGAGGUUUGUACCCUUGACCUUUGCGAUCGUGAUAGGGUGUGUUGUGAUCAUAGCCUUCUCUUUAGAGAAAGUUUGUUUGUGAUAGGAAAGGUCGAAUUUUAUCGGGGGUUCACUUUUGCGAAACAGUGGUCAAUUUUGGGACAUCUGAGGGGGUUUUAGAACUUCAAUUUUUGGGGUCUUCGCCAUUUUUCCCAUUUUGAGCUUUGUAAAACCCUUAGAGGUAAUUUUGAAGAGAUUUAUUUUGCUAAUUCAUUUGGGUAAGCUUUUGUGACCCUAAAAUUUACUUCAUUUACCUUUAUCUAUUUAUUGAUUUUAGCAUCAAAGUUUGGGAUUUUGAUUAAAAAAUGGCAAGGUUUUUCAAGAACAUGAAGUCAGAAGUGAAAUGUUGAUUGUGAAUUGAUUUUAACUCCUUUUUCUGAAAUGGUUUUUACCAAUGAUUUCCAAAUCCCUUUAGUAAUGUUUUCAUGACUUUUUGAUUCAAACCUUAUUUUCCCAGUUGGGGUGUUGAGUUUAUUGAUCUAUUUUUCAAAAUGUAUGAAUCUGCAGCUGUUAUUUCUUAAAUCAUAUUGUGAUCGCUUCAUUGAACUACAUUUUGUGGCAUUGGAUAUUCUUUUAAUGUGGAAGACCAAACCUUGAUUUCGCGUUGAUUGAAUUAAGAAAAGUGAUUUCCUAAACCUUGUAAAUCUAGUUGAUUCGUGUAUUUCCCUUCAUUAUGUGUAUUGGGGUGUAAUGGGAAUGAGGUGAAUGGUUCAUUGUUCCACUUGUUUAAUAUUAAUGAAUAAAGAGGGGAUUAAAUAAAAGGCAAUGUGUUCAUCAUGAUACUUGUGAAUUUGUCUUGAUUUGAGCCCUAAAGUAUUCAUUGAUGAAAUGCUUUAAUGGCAUUUUUAUGACUUUAAUUAUUAUCUCUUCUUUUGGUGUGAGAUUGCUCAUUUCAAUUAAUUUCUAUUCACUGUGAUGAGACAUGUGGCGGUAAUUGAUGUUGACGCCAUUUCUAACUAGGUCAUUGAUGCCAAGGUUAUUUCUGGCACAUUUUAUUGAUGUCGAGGUCAUUUUUGACAUGGGUUAUUGAUGCCGAUGUCAUUUCCGGUGACGAAUACGGAUGUCAAGGUCAUUACUGGUGGGUUCAAGAACUAUGAAUGGUUCCCAUGAAUUCUGAUUGACAUUGUGCGUGAUAAAUCUUGAAAUAUUAUGUUCCUUGUACUUUAUUAAUGUGUUUUGAUGAACUCGAUUAUUGUGAAUGAUUUACUUGAAACUUGAUGACGAUUAGAUUUUAACUGUUGGAUUAUGAUUAUGAGAACCUGUGAGUUGUGUAUUGUGAACUUUUAGGUUGGGCUGGUUUCUAUACAAGUUGUAGCUUGAGAAGGUUAGGUUAGGAUGAAAGGAGUACUCGUUUUCUAGGUUGUUUUGCCUUGUUUACUUGGUUACUUUUUGAAUACCGUGUUGGUUGGUACUCACAUUUUGCUUCUACAUUUUUGUAGGUUUCAAGCACGAUACCGUGUGAUUGCUCUAUGUUUAUUUUCUCAGGAUUUUGAAGGACAUUGAGAGGUAGUUGUCUCACACCCCGGUGUGUUUUCUUGGUCUUAUUUUAUGCUUUGUUCUAUUCUAGAAUCAAAGACAUUGAGACUUGUAUUUAUAUUUCAUUUUGGCAUUUUAUGCAUUAGUCUUUUACACGUGACAACCUGGUUUUGGAGCUAUAAUACAGUGAAUAAGCUUUCCGCUUUUAUGUUAUUCUUGAUUUACUUUUCGCAUUUCUUUUGUGGUUUUGGGUUGAGGUUGACUUUUCUUGGUGGGAAAUUAAAAGAGCAAUCACAUCCGUUUUGGUUCUUGACAUGGAGAUUUUCAAUCACUUUAGAAAUUUUCACUUGUCCAACACAUCAAUCCAUAUUUACACAAAUCAAUUUUUUUGUAUUCAAGUAUUAUUUUCAAGCAUAAACACUAUUCAAAAUAUUUUGAAGAAAAUUUAUAAUUCAACAUAACUCUAUCUUUAACUCCAACUCUAGUAGAAAUAAUAGAACAUAUUGCUAGUUUUUUUAUAGGAACAUAAUCCUUUUAAUUUCUUGCUCCCUUCAUUCACAAUUUCUAAACGAAGAAAUGCCUAAUAAAGAAAAUUUAAGAAAGUAUCAAUAACAGACAAAACUUCACUGUUUCGACCGUUUUAUUUCAUGUUUGUAUCGCCACUGCCACCUGCAUGACAUGCAAAUUUCAAUCCAACACAUGUUCUCACACUCUCACUGUAUAAUACUCAAACAAACAUAACUUCCUAGCUAUCAAAGAUUCUAAAAACACGUAACAAUUCUUGGUCAAUUUCUUCAUUCUUGUGCUCACUUCUGAUCUAAUUUUAUCUUUUUCAAUUCUCUUCGCUAUCCUAUUACACUUUUUGAUGUGAUAUCUCUACGUGACAUGUUAGUUUCUAGACACUAAUAUUAUAUAUGUCUAGAUUCUUAUGAUUAAGGUCUAAAUUUAGGUUUUGAGCAAUCUUUAAACUUUCUUUGAUGAAUAUAUGGCUUAUUAAUUUUUCAGUUUAUAUAUAUUGGAGGAGCCGGAGCAAAAAUAAAAAUUUAUGGAAGCAUGUGCUUGUGCUUUGUGAUAGUUUAAGCAAAUCUUGAAAUAAAUAUGUCUUUCAAGAAACUUAAUUAUGAAUAUAUUUUUUACAGUUGAACUAUGAUAGAUAUAUACUGAUAUGUAUGUAUUGUUAUACAAAUAGAUAUAUAUGAUACGUGAAUCUUGAAUUCAGGGAUUUUGUUUUUAAUUUGAUUGUGAGUUUCAUUUACUAUUUGCAUUCCCUCUAGAAACUUAUAAAGAAUGAUGGUACAACAUUACCUCGUAUUAUAAAAUGUUCUAUGACUAUUAUAUAUAUAUAUAUAUAUAGAAAUAAAAACUAUUUCUUAAUAUAAAGAAGUUACAAGGUUUGUAACGCUCUUUGUUGUUCUCUGUUAUUGUAAUGUCUUAACAUCCAAGAAAAUGCAUCACCAAAAGAAGGUCAUCAUAAAGUCACCCAAAAAAGAUUCUACUAGAAACUCGUUUGUUUGAGUUGGAGGAAGUUCCUUUGUCUAGACCAACCCCAUAGGAAUUUACUUCUAUGGUAGCAAUCUCAUCAUGAAUCCGUCUCAUAUGGAUGUGGGGAAGACCAUAAGAGAGAAGGCAGAGCAACAUAAAAUAGUCAUGUCAAAAGAAAAUCAUCGUCCAGAAUAAAAAUAUUGAUUUAAUUUCAAUGGAAAAUUUCAAAUAUAAUGAAAUCAAGGCACCAAAAGAAAAUGUGAAAAACAACACAUGAGUUUUUCUUGUGGUAGCUUAAUUUCACAUUUUUUGCGGUCACUUAAUUUCUCUUUUUGGAAUUUCCCAUUGAAAGUACAUCAUGGUUUUAUGCUUAAUGAUGAUUUUCUUUUGAUGCGCCUUUUUUAUGUCGCUCUGACUUCUAUCAUAUGGCCUUCCCUUUAUCUAUAUUAGGCAGGUUCAUGAUGAGAUCACAACCCCAUAAGUAAAUUUCUAUAGGAUUGGGCAAGAUAGAGGAACUUCCUCCGACUCAAGUAGACAUUUUCCAGAAGAAUCAUUUUGGAAGACUAUCUGAUGACCUUCUUUUGGUUUUGCAUUUUCUUGUAUGUUAUGGCAUUAUGAAAAGAAAAAACAACAGAUAACGUUACAAAUGUGUUAACUUCUUUAUGAUUUGAAAUUCUUAUAUAUAUAUAAAUAUAUAUAUUCAUCGAACAUUUUAUUAAUACGAGGUAAAGGUGUAUGCUAAUUCUUUGUAAAUUCCUAGAGUGAAUGUAAAGUAAAUUGAACAAACAAACAAAUUAAAAUUAAAAUCCCAAACUUCAAGAAUCAUGUAUCAAAUAUGUAUCUAUUUGUAUAAAAACAGGUAUCUACACAUUUGUAUCUAUCUAAGUUAAAAUCUAUAAAUUUAUCAUAAUUAAGUUUCUGUAAAGACAUAUUUAUGUCAAUCUUUGCAUCAACUAUCACAAAACACAAGCACAAGCCCACAUAAAAUUUUAGAUUGUCUUCUCUCCAACUGUCCUCUAGUGUGUUUAAAUAGAAAAACAAAAGAAGUCAUACAAAUGCUAUAAAUAGGACGUAUACAAAAAGCAUCACAACAACAGAUAAAUAAAGAAUAAUCCAACAAAAGUAAGGACGAGAAUGAUGUACUCAAGGUGUUGGUGAUGAUUUCAAGUAACUUAAAAACAUCUUAUAACAUAAUUAUAUCAGUCAUUGUGCGGGAAGAUAAGACCAUCACAAUAUCCAUAGCAUAAGAGAUACAAGAAAAAUAAACAAUGGCCGAUAACGUCAUCAUGCUUCUACAAAACAACCUAGAUUUUCAGACUACUAAGAAUACAGUUUCUGAUUGGGAUGAGAACUAGACCUAUCUAUCACGAUCUAAAAACUCGAGUCAUGAUGACAAUUACCAUAAUCUACCAGUAGGUAAGCCAACUCAUAUCCCAAAAUGACAAGUAGCAAGCAUAUUGGGAUGGAUCAACAACCAAUGAGAAUGUAAAAGUUAUAUAUUAAGGAAAACACAAUAAAAAUGAGGAAUAAAUCAAUAAAUAAAAACAAGUGUAUAAGAUCCCAUUCCAUGAGCUGGUCGACAAGAGUUCUAAGCUCCUAUAAGAGUACAAGUUCAAAAUAUUGACCAAAGUGUAAAGACUUCUCUUGAAUAUAGAAGAUUAGUCAAAACAAUAUACAUCUACAUAUAAGUCGAACUAUGUCAUGACCCCGAACCACACUAAACAAGUCGGUGAGAGAACCAAAUUCUAAACCCGAAUGUACCCAAAACCAUCAGAACAAAAACAAGUUUAGAAUAUAAAAAAGAAAAAAAAUAGUUUAGUUACUAAAGAAUUAAGUCACCAUAAAAUCAACCUGAUAGUUUUAAAACAUUCAAUGCGGAUAUACCCAUACGAAAGAAAAGUCAUCAUACGCAAAACUCUAACACAGUCAUCUUGGGAGUGCAACCCCGAAAACAAACAUAAGCUGAAAUAUAUAAGUCGAUGUCCAAACAAAUAGACAAGAAGAUGCAAAAGAAUCCAUUGUAGCCUGAUCAACGAAGCUCACCCUUGUACUCGAAAUCAGGCAUUGCUCGACUGAUGUAUCGGAUCAGCCACCAGAAGAUGUCAUGUACUCAACAAGGAAAAGAACAGGUGCAUUAUCAGUCCACAAAUCAUUGUGUACUUGUAGGAUCACGUUACAAGUCUAAGUUAUAAAUGUAAACAGUCACCACAAGACUGUAACACAAAAUAAUGCAUAGCAUACAUUAAUCAUCAACCACAUAUAUUAUUCAUCACAUAUCAUGAAAUAACCACACUUGGGUCAAACAAUGCAUAACUACAUGUCCCACGUGAUCACAAUGCAAAUAUCGGGUCCUCUUAUGGAACCACAAUAAGAUUCCUAGUCCUUUCAUGGCACAUAAACCCAAGUUGUUAGUAUACCAACGUUGUACCUGAUGUAACAGCUCAUAUUAUGCAUAUUCUUGUUCUAUUCUUAUGAUACUUCACAUAGCCUUAUAGUAUAGGCGAGGGACCAUAUUUCUUAUAUGAGUAGCGUUGGUUUAAACUAACUCGGAAGGUGAUGUGAUGCCUUGCACGUUUCAGCAUGUGUACUGCAAGUUAACUCCAACGGGAGUAUUUAAAGAGACAGUAAGGUGGUAAUUGAGCUUAAAGUUGAAAGUUAAGUGCUAAGUUAAAGCAAAAGGGAUUAAUAUUUAGAAAAUGGAAUAAAAUAAGUGAGAUGCUUGCUUGACUUAACUAAGCUAGCAGGUGACAACUAGGUCCAUCACCUAGUUUGACCUUUUGAGCUGCUUGAUGUACAUAAGCAGGUGUAUCACCUACUUGACCAAUUAGUGGCUGAAAAUGNNNNNNNNNNNNNNNNNNNNNNNNNNNNNNNNNNNNNNNNNNNNNNNNNNNNNNNNNNNNNNNNNNNNNNNNNNNNNNNNNNNNNNNNNNNNNNNNNNNNNNNNNNNNNNNNNNNNNNNNNNNNNNNNNNNNNNNNNNNNNNNNNNNNNNNNNNNNNNNNNNNNNNNNNNNNNNNNNNNNNNNNNNNNNNNNNNNNNNNNNNNNNNNNNNNNNNNNNNNNNNNNNNNNNNNNNNNNNNNNNNNNNNNNNNNNNNNNNNNNNNNNNNNNNNNNNNNNNNNNNNNNNNNNNNNNNNNNNNNNNNNNNNNNNNNNNNNNNNNNNNNNNNNNNNNNNNNNNNNNNNNNNNNNNNNNNNNNNNNNNNNNNNNNNNNNNNNNNNNNNNNNNNNNNNNNNNNNNNNNNNNNNNNNNNNNNNNNNNNNNNNNNNNNNNNNNNNNNNNNNNNNNNNNNNNNNNNNNNNNNNNNNNNNNNNNNNNNNNNNNNNNNNNNNNNNNNNNNNNNNNNNNNNNNNNNNNNNNNNNNNNNNNNNNNNNNNNNNNNNNNNNNNNNNNNNNNNNNNNNNNNNNNNNNNNNNNNNNNNNNNNNNNNNNNNNNNNNNNNNNNNNNNNNNNNNNNNNNNNNNNNNNNNNNNNNNNNNNNNNNNNNNNNNNNNNNNNNNNNNNNNNNNNNNNNNNNNNNNNNNNNNNNNNNNNNNNNNNNNNNNNNNNNNNNNNNNNNNNNNNNNNNNNNNNNNNNNNNNNNNNNNNNNNNNNNNNNNNNNNNNNNNNNNNNNNNNNNNNNNNNNNNNNNNNNNNNNNNNNNNNNNNNNNNNNNNNNNNNNNNNNNNNNNNNNNNNNNNNNNNNNNNNNNNNNNNNNNNNNNNNNNNNNNNNNNNNNNNNNNNNNNNNNNNNNNNNNNNNNNNCAAAUUUGCCAAGGCCCAAUAUAUUUAAGCCCAAGUGAAAAUUACUAGGUCCAUCACCUAGUUUGACCUUUUGAGCUGCUUGAUGUACAUAAGCAGGUGUAUCACCUACUUGACCAAUUAGUGGCUGAAAAUGAAGCUUUCUAGAGGAUAUUCUUAAAGGUGAAGAAAGCUCAAUAUAAAAAUAUAUUGGCUACUAUUCUCACUCAUUUUUAACACAUAAUAUUGAGGACUAACUCCAGCUCUCUCUCUCUUUUUCUCUUAAGGAUUAAAACAACAGCCUUAAAGUUCUUCUAGGGUUCUUGAAGAAACCCUCAUCUCUGCAAGAAAAGGUAAGUGAAAACACUUAUGGGCUUAGCUUAAUUCUCCCAUGGAAGACUAGAAAACAUGUUAUUCAUGCUCAAUUAUAAGUAGAAGGCAGAAGUUCCCACAAGCUACAACUCACUUUCCUUAAUUAUUAAGUUACUUUUCUCUUCUUCUUUAGUUUAAGUGUGAAGGGAAGUUGAAGUUCUAGAGGAAUUCAAGUUAUAAGGAGAAGUUGCAGAAAUUGAGGUAAGGUGACUGCUCCAUUUUCUUCCUCCUUAUGUAUGAGUUUGAGUGACGAAUUAUGGGUGUGUUGUCAUAAAGAACUCAAGGGGGUGGUGAGUUCAAUAAUUGGUUGUAUGAUAAAGAAUAUUUGAGGCUGUUUUAUGUGUAUUGUUGUUGGUGCAGCUUGGGUAAUCUUGGAAAAGGAUAUAUAAUGUAUGUAUUGGGCAGAGAAGGAGGGUGUGGUGAUACACAUUAUUUUAAGGGUUGUAUGGACUUAUUAUCCGUCAAUGUUAGCUACUGUUUUACAGGGCUCACGGUGUGAUGGCUGCUAAUUUUAGUUUAUCAUGACUUAUAUUGUAGAUUAAAACCUAAAAUGGGAGGCUGAAUCCUGAUAGCUGUAUUGGUCAGAGGAUAAGGUAUGUAAGGCUAUUCGAUUCAAUAUUUUUCGGCAUGAAAUCUGAUACUUGCAAUCAAUAUCAAUAAGGGAAUUUCCCAAGUUCUAUUCCUAGUAAAAGAAACAUAGUGGCAGCGUACGAUCUCCAAAUAGCUGACAAUAUUUCCCCCUCUCCUUAGUGUAUAGAAUUACUUCAUUAUAUGUUCAUUAUUCUAUACUUGUGUAAUUAUCCUCCUAUGUGCUGGUAUAGAAAUGGUAUUUGCAAAAGCAAGUUUGGUGAAUGCUCCUCUUAGUCAGUUGAAGUUGAUUCUGUCAUUUAAGCGCACAAGUAAAGCAUUGAUGUUACAUAGCUCCUUAUGUCAUUGUUGCUGCCUUAAAAUAUUAUUUUCAUGUCUUCUACUAUUGGUUCAUAGUCCCAAAUAUCAAAAAUGAUUAUGACCACCAAAACAAUAAUCUCAAAGAUUAACGAAUCUAAGUAAAGCAAUCUGUAUAAUUAAGGGUGGCAGCUCAGGGACGAAAGCCUAGCAUGGGCCAAUCCCAAUUGGUAUAGAAGGGUGGUAGCUCAGGGGCGAAAGCCUAGCAUGGACCGAUCCCAAUUUGUGUAAUUAUGAGGACCGCAUCCCAGGGGUUAAAAUGCCUAGUAUGGGUAAUCCUUUUCUACCACUGAUCAGCUGGUCAUUCGUAUCACAUGCCUUAUAAAGAUCAUAACACACAGAAAGGUAAAAACAAGAAUGUAACGUACAUGAUUCCACAAGGGUUAACAAAGGUGGUCUUCUGUUCUGAUUUAUGCACACAUAUAUUUAUACCUGGUUUCAUCCGAACUCUUAUUUAUAUAUGUUAUUGCCUUACAUAUUCAGUACAUUUUCUCGUACUGACGUCCUUUGCGGGGGACGCUACAUUUCAUGUUGCAGGCAUAGGUACUUCAGCUAGUAGACCUCCUCAGUAGGAGCACAAGACACUCAGCUACUUUUGGUGAGCUCCGGAUUGAUUCCGAGCUUUACUGAGUCCUUAGUAGAUUCAUUUUGGUAAUGUAUCGUAGUUAAGAGUAAGGCGGGGUAUGUCCCGACUACUCUAAGGUUUUCUAUAUUUUAGAGGCUUUGUAGACUUAUGUAUAUGGUUCAAUUGCGUCUUAACAAGUUGUGGCCUCAACGGCCAAGUCUUGUAUAUAAGUUUUGGGUCUACUAAUGUUGGUUCAUAUCGCUGCAUCCUAUGUGAACUUGUUACAAGAUUGUCAUAGUUAUAUGCAUAGUAAGCACAGGUUACAUGUUGGUUCUCUCGGGCCUUUAGGGCAUCGGGUGCCUGUCCGUCUUAAUGGGAUUUGAGGCGUGACACCUGAGUCAUCCACAGUUAGUGUACCGGCAUAGUACCCGAGCCUUCCAUAGUUAGCAUACUAGAGCGGUACCUAAGUAAAUAUACAAUCAGAAACAAACAUGCACAAUCACAUAGCACAAUGAAUGAGACCAUUUGGAAACCACAAGUCACAAUCACAAGUUCAUUGCAUGAGAUUACCUAUAUGAUGUCAUUUCAUAUGUCUUCAUACCAUGCAUUGUACAAAUGAUACUCGAACUAGUCGACAUGCAUAAAUACAUAAAUCAGAUAUAUACAAUAGUCAGACCUCGAAUUAAAACUAUUUGAAACAUUAAAUAACACAGGUUUUCCCCCUGCACAGUUCCUUGGUUUAUUAUUAGUCUAAAACAAACAAUAUAAACAACAAUAAAUCACUAUUAGCUUAUUAAUUAAUACCUGAAAUAUUUAAAAAUCCUAACCUCAAAAGAAAUAUGAUCAUCGACCCCAACUUAAGGCUCUUUCCCACCAUGGAAUCAAGUAAAAACGUUUCCUCAAUAGUAAUAACCUAGAUUCUAAGGCUUAAGAAUCAAUUUACAAGGUUGGGGAGUAGAAUCCUUACCUUUAACGAUGAAUUCCAUAAGAAAACUGAUGAAAACUGCCCAAAAUCGCCCCUACACAAUUGAAAAAUUCAAAUUGUAGAAAAUAGGAAGUUUGGGUUGUUUUCCUCAUAAAAUCCCGAUUUUGUCGCUACAUUUGCCCUAAUCUUGCAAUAGCAGCGCCACUACAGCAGUAACUUAUCUCGCUAUAGCAGUCUGCCCACUCCGUUAUAGUGGCACCCCAUCUACUAUAGCAUUCUUGAUGCAACUUCAGAAACCUCAACUCCAGAGAAAAAACUCCUUUUUUAACACAAUUACUUCCCUUGACGUUCUAACACAUACCAUUCACGCCAAGUUCAAUUCCGGAAGUUCUACUUAGCUGAAUUUUAUUUUGAAAGUCUCUGUGGACUUCGUACUGUCUUGUUUACAAGAAAAUAAAAGACAAACCUUAAAAUUACACCCCAUCUAAUCCCGAAUAUCCCUAGACCUCACCUAGCCUAGAAUCCAUCUAAGACUAGCCUAGCCAAAAAAAUCAAGUGAAUAACAAGAAUGUUUUAUAGCCCAAUUUCUUUCCUUAUAGACCUACCCAUAUAAAUCAGGUCAAUUCGUUACAACUAGGAUUCCAUUAACAUACCCUCUAUCUCUGAAGAUCUCCACAACAUGCUCUAAUCAUGGUUGUUAGUUGGUGCUUAGAUCCACAUCAGCAAAAUAGAUGCAAAGUAUAACAUGGGUACAAAAACAGGACGUAACCAAUAGGCAUCAUAGGCCGAGUGAACUUGGGAAGUAAAAACAUAUGAAAACUGAGGAAAUAAAUAGUGACAAGAGGUUAUAUUAACAAAGCAACAACAGAGAAUCUAACUAAAAAGCUCAUGAGUGAAAAAAUUAUUGAAGUAGUAUGUAAAGUAGCUAUCGUUAACCUAACUGGAAUCCCAUAACCUUAGAAGGUACACUUGUGCAAAAUUUAAAGUAAAUAACUAAAAUGGAUCUCCAUAUGCCCGAUGAUUAUACAGAAGAGCUAAAGAUAACACUAGCAAGACCCAAGUAUCCCUAGACCUCACCUAGCCUUGAAGUAUUAUUUUCAUGUCUUCUACUAUUGGUUCAUAGUCCCACAUAUUAAAAAUGAUUAUGACCACCAAAACAGCAAUCUCAAAGAUUAAAGAAUCAAAGUAAAGCAAUCUGUAUAAUUAAGGGUGGCAGCUCAGGGGCGAAAGCCUAGCAUGGGCCGAUCCCAAUUUGUAUAGAAGGGUGGCAGCUCAUGGGCGAAAGCCUAGCAUGGGUUGAUCCCAAUUAGUAUAGAAGGGUGGCAGCUCAGGGGCGAAAGCCUAGCAUGGGCCGAUCCCAAUUUGUAUAGAAGGGUGGCAGCUCAUGGGCGAAAGCCUAGCAUGGGUUGAUCCCAAUUAGUAUAGAAGGGUGGCAGCUCAGGGGCGAAAGCCUAGCAUGGGCCGAUCCCAAUUUGUAUAGAAGGGUGGCAGCUCAUGGGCGAAAGCCUAGCAUGGGUUGAUCCCAAUUAGUAUAGAAGGGUGGCAGCUCAGGGGCGAAAGCCUAGCAUGGGCCGAUCCCAAUUUGUAUAGAAGGGUGGCAGCUCAUGGGCGAAAGCCUAGCAUGGGUUGAUCCCAAUUAGUAUAGAAGGGUGGCAGCUCAGGGGCGAAAGCCUAGCAUGGGCCGAUCCCAAUUUGUAUAGAAGGGUGGCAGCUCAUGGGCGAAAGCCUAGCAUGGGUUGAUCCCAAUUAGUAUAGAAGGGUGGCAGCUCAGGGGCGAAAGCCUAGCAUGGGCCGAUCCCAAUUUGUAUAGAAGGGUGGCAGCUCAUGGGCGAAAGCCUAGCAUGGGUUGAUCCCAAUUAGUAUAGAAGGGUGGCAGCUCAGGGGCGAAAGCCUAGCAUGGGCUGAUCCCAAAUUGUGUAAUUAUGAGGACCGCAUCCCAGGGGUUAAAAUGCCUAGCAUGGGUCAUCCUCUUCUACAACUGAUCAGCUAGUCAUUCGUAUCACAUGCCUUAUAAAUAUCAUAACACAUAGAAAGGUAAAAACAAGAAUGUAACAUACAUGAUUCCACAAGAGUUAACAAAGGUGGUCUUCUGUUCUGAUUUAUGCACACAUAUAUUGAUACCUGGUUUCAUUCAAACUCUUAUUUAUACAUGUUAUUGCCUUACAUAUUCAGUACAUUUUCUCGUACUGACGUCUUUCACGGGGGACGCUACAUUUCAUGCUGUAGGCACAGGUACUUCAGCUAGUAGACCUCCUCAGUAAGAGCACACGACACUCAGCUACUUUUGGUGAGCUCCAGAUUGAUUCAGAGCUUUACUGAGUCCUUAAUAGAUUCAUUUUGGUAUUGUAUCUUAGUUAAGAGUAAGGCGGCGUCUGUCCUGACCUACUCUAAGGUUUUCUAUCUUUUAGAGGCUUUGUAGACUUAUGUAUAUGGUUCAGUUACGUCUUAACAAGUUGUGGCCUCAAUGGCCAAGUCUUGUAUAUUAGUUUUGGGUCUACUUAUGCUGGUUCGUAUCGCUGCAUCCUAUGUGAACUUUUUACAAGAUUGUCAUAGUUAUAUGCAUAGUAAGCACGGGUUACAUGUUGGUUCUCAUGGUAGACCUAAUGUUGGUAGCCUUUCGUGAAUGAACGAAUGAUAAAGUAUUCAAGGCUAAACCUUUGAUUGGUAGACCUAAUGGUGGUGGCCCAUUUUGAGGAGUCUAGGAACUAAUGUGAUGUAAACCUUGGAUCGGUAUACCUAAUUCUUGUGGCUCUUCCUUGUGUUAAAUGAUAAACCUUGUAUCGGUACAUCUAAUGUUAGUAGCCCUUCUUGAAAAGUCAAUGAGCUAUCCUUAAUGUACUUUGAAUCGGUAGAACUAGUGUAGGUUCCCCUUUCUUGUGUAAUGUACCUUGGGUCGGUAGGCCUAAUGUUGGUGGCCCUCUCUAGUACAAUAAUGUUGAUGAAAAUGUAAUACUCUUUGUGAAUGGAGGCUAAGCACCUAAAGGAUAUGAUUAGAUGGAGGUUCUCCCUACAUUAGGCCGAAUUUCAAUGAACAUCUUUCAUAUCCCAUAACAAUGUGCCCAGAUAGGAUAUUAGCUUGUGGAUUUCAUCCAAGUUAAAAUGUUAGUAGUUCUACCUUAGGCAAGGAGAACACCUUUUUACGGUGUGGGGUCAUAUGACACUGAAUUUAUAUUUAGCUCUCAUGGUCUAUGUCGGUUAAUGAGUAUUACCAUCAUGUGAGAUGUGCAUUAUGGUUUCUUGAUGAGUUCUAUGAAGUGUGGUUGGUGGUUGGGGAUGCUAUCCAUGCAUUGCACGAGUAGGCUUUGAGAGGGUCAUAGUGAGUUCUCAAAGUCUUAAUGGCUAAUGUAUGAAUGUCCUCUUAUGAUAAAGUUAAUGAGAAUGAUGAUCUAAUGUCUAAUGUAUGAAAGUCCUCUAAAUGAAGGUAAUGAAGAAUGUUGACCCUUAUAUGCUUAAAUGUAAUGAUGCAUGCUAUACUUGGAUUGUAUUAUGAGUUAGUUCCUUGUCAUGAGGUAUUGAGUAUUAAUGUGCCUUGUCUCUGGUGGCUUCAAAAGAGUACUUAGUGUGGUAGUAGUAUGGGAUGCUACUCAUACAUUGCACAAGUAUGACUUAGGGUUGCCUUAGAUGAUGGUCCUUAUGUGAUGAUAUGACUUUGGUAAUGUUUAUGUCUCUUAUGUAUGAGUAUUUUAUGAAUAUGAAAAGGUUGAAUGGUAAGUUCUCUUUUGGUGACCUUAAUGUGGUACUUUAGCGUGGAUGGUGCUAUGGGAUGUUAUCCAUACAUUGCACAAGGUAUAGUAAUGUUUUACAUGUUUGAUUAUGUUGUAAUGUGGUUAAAUGACUUGUACGUUGGUUAUUUUUGAAUAUUAUCCCUCUUAUGCUUAUGUUCAUGAAGUUUUAUCAAAAUGGCAUACAAGCAUGACUUCCAAAUAAAAUGUUUGUUUUAAGCAUGGUUUUUGCAUGGCUUCCAUACUUACUACUUAAUUGUGCCAACCCAUAUUUCUCCAUUUUUACCAAAGUGUAGGGUUGUGGAGAUUUGGUGUUCUUUACUUGAGAAUAGGUUUCUAAGGAGCUUAGAGAUGAAGACUUGGUGAGUCCUCAUAGUUUCGAAGACAAAAUCCACUAUGUUUCCUUUAUGUAUUUUAGUUUAUGUUAAAGUUUUUGUAAGGGCUAAGUCCCAAUGUUGUAUUCAAAGUAUUAGAUGGUUUGAGACAGUCUAGAAAGUCUUCCGCUUGUUUUUUAAUGAAAAAUGUCUUCGAUUGUAAAGGAAAGUUUUUAUUAUUCUCUAUUUUCCUAUGUUCUUAUGUUCAAGAAUGCUAUGAGGAUUGUAUGAGACCCUUUGGGGUCGAGUACGCGGUGUCACGUCUAGGGGGUAGCCUUGGGUCGUGAAAAAUAUGGUAUCAGAGCACAAGAUUUUUAAAUGGUGUUAGGAUUUCUCAAACCACAUCUAAUAGAGUCUUGUUCAUAAUGUGAAGCGCACCACAUUAUGAAUAAGAGGCUAUUGGGUGUUAAGAAAGUCUCACUUCUUCAUUCUUCAAUUCGUGUCAUAGAGUUUAACUCUAUAAUGUAUCUCUCUUAUUCCUUAUUCGAUGGUCUUUAGGGUAUGACUACUUCAAAGGAGUAUGCUAGAUAGUGUGAGGGAGGAAGGUUGGUUGUGAUGCCAAUUAUCGCUAUGUGACUUGAUAGAUUGUGAUGUUGACUUUAGUAUGAAUUGGUUGCUUUAUGCUUAUGUGUGUUGUUGGUAGAAUCUGACUUAGUUAUGAUGAGUUUUGAGGUAUGUUGCAAGAGUUGAUGAAAUGUGGUGUUUUAGAAUCAUCUUGUGUGAUGAGGGUGGAGGUUUAGUGAUGACUUGCUCCGGCCAUAGAAUUGAAAGAAGUGAUGUUGUAAAGAGUUUGUAUAGGCUUACACCUAUGUGGGGGAUAGUAUGUUGAAUAGUAUGGCUGUUGAGAGUUAUGAUAUCCUUAUCUCUUUCUUUCUAUGCCUAUUUAUGCCUAAGACAAAGAGUUCCUUUUUGUCUUGUUUCAUGUUUUGUAAUCAUGUAUGAAUAUGUGUUUUCAGGGUCUCCUUAUGUUAUGCAUGUUCUAGUUGAAUUCUUAUUUAUAUGAGAAAAAGAGUUUUCAUUAAUUAUGUUCCUCAUGUUAAUGUGCAUUUAGUAUGAGUUGUCUAUAUGCUUCAUGAGGAUAAAUAUUGAAUAUGCCUAAAUGUAUUUUUGAGUGCAAUUGCAUAAUGUGCUUAAUGAUUUCAUGACGAGCAUGAUAUGAGUUUGAGAAGGUAAUUCCUCCAAUGUAAUUAGAAAUGUUAAAGUUAUGAUGCAUAAUGAGUUUGUAGAUGUAGUUCCUACUUUCUUGCAUUGCAUUGAGCUUUUUGAUGUGGAGUUGAUGUUUCCUCCUAGUUUUGUUCAUUGGUUAUAAUGUUGCAUGGAUGAUGGGCUGCUAGUGUUGAGUCGUUAAUCCCUUAAUGUGUUUAAAAGUGUCAUUAGAGGACGAAUGUUCCUAAGUGGGGGAUAAUGUAACGACCCGUAAAAUGAAUAAGUGAAACUAGAGCCUAGCAUGUGUGUAUUUGAGUUGAUGUGAGGUUUCAGGGUGUAUAAUGUUGUCCAGAGCUAUGGUUGAAGGGGUUGGCGGUUAAAUGUCAAGGUACGAAUCCCCAAGGACCACCCUAGGGUCCUUGAGGAGGACCCUUAGCCUAAACCCAAGGCUGCCCCAAAUAGAGAAUAGUUGCCAAAACAUGGUUACCUAGGGAAGGGGAUCACGCCCCGUAGGUCCAUCCACGCUCCGUGGAUGCCCUCCGUAGGUCAUGGCCCCCAAAACCAAGCCACAGCCCCAAACCACACUUGACAAGGACGGGGUGUGAACCAGACCAUGGUCCGUUGUUUGGUGUCGUGAGUCCCCACCUUUGUUGCUGGUUUGGUUCGGCCAAGGUGAGGGUCUUUUGGUAAAAUCAUUUUAAGUUGAGUUAAGUUGCGGGGAUGGUUAAUUUAGGUUAAUUAAAGUAUUUUAGGAGUAUUAAAAGUAUUAAACUCUAUUUUUCAACUCAUUAUUCAAAAUCACAAAAUAAAACCCACUUCUCUUCUCAAAAGUUCUCUCUCUAGAAACCUCCAUUGGAGGUGAAGAUUUCAAGCUUCCAAGGUCAAGACUUCAAGUUUUUCAAGGGAUUUUCAUGGGAUUCUUCCAUAAACGGUAUGGUGGUCUUCAUCCUUGACUUAUUAUCUUUCAAGGAACCAAUUUCAAAAGUCAUUUCAAAUCUCCAAUGUUUACCCAAAAACCCUAGUUUUCAAUCUUAGCAUGGGUUCGAUUCUUAACGAUUUUCAAAGGCAUUAUUGCAUUGAAUUAUGAAUUAAUUGUGGAUUUAAAUAUGAAUUAAUAUGAUUUCAUCCUAGAACCCAUGUUUUUCCCCAAAUUCCUAAAUUGUGAUUUGCGAUUUGGAUUUGGUUGAUUAUGAAGUAUGUGGGUUGUUUAUGUGUAUAUGGAUAUAGAAUGUUGAAAUUAUGUUAUUGCUCUUGCCAAAUUGUAUUGAUCUAAGGUUUGUGGGUGAAUGUGAUCCAUGAGCCUUGAAGGGCAAGUUAUGAUCCAAUUACAUAUUGAAGUAGAAUUGUGCUUGAUCUAUUGAUCCACUUGAAAGGUGGAGGUGUUUACUUACUAUGUAUAUUGUGGUAUUGAAUUGACGGAUAUCUUCCUUGUACCUCUAUAUAUGAAGGAUCUAUAUAUGAUCAUGAUGCAAAUUAGAUGUGUGUGAUUUCAGUGAAUGUAUAAUGAACAUGUUUAGAAUGUAAUUGUGUUAUUGUUGAUAGUGUAUUCUCAAUUAACACUCAUGAAUGAUGACGAUAGAAUGUGAAGGGUUCUAUAAUGUCAUGUUAUUCUUGAAUUGGUAGGCUUAGGCAUCCUCUUCUUAUCUAAUAAAUGUAUAUUGUCUUAAUCUCUUAAUGUCUUGAAUCGGUAGACCUAAUGUUGGUAGCCUUUCAUGAAUGAAUGAAUGAUAAAGUAUUCUAGGCUAAACCUUGGAUCGGUAGACCUAAUGGUGGUGGCCCUUCAUGAGGAGUCUAGGAACUAAUGUGAUGUAAACCUUGAAUCGGUAGACCAAAUGGUGGUGACUCUUCGUUGUCUGAAAUGAUGAACCUUGUAUUGGUAGACCUAAUGUUCGUGGCCCUUCUUGAAAAGGCAAUGAGCUAUCAUUAAUGUACUUCUAAUCGAUAGACCUAAUGGGGUGGCCCUUUCUUGUGUAAUAUACCUUGGGUCGGUAGGCCUAAUGUUGGUGGCCCUAUCAAGUACAAUAAUGUUUAUGAAAAUGAAAUACUUUAUGGGAAUGGAGGCUAAGCACCGAGAGGAUAUGGUUAGAUGGAGGUUCUCCCUAGGUUAUGCCGGAUUUCAAUGAACAUCUUUCAUAUCCCAUAACAAUGUGCCCACAUAGGAUAUUAGCUAGUGAAUUUCAUCCAAGCUAAAAUGUUACUAGUUCUACCUUAGGCAAGUAGAACACCUUUUUACGGUGUGGGAUCAUAUGACACCGGAUUCCAUGAUUUUGCUCUCAUCGUUUAUGUCAGUUAAUGCCUAUUCCCAUCAUGUGAGAUGUGAAUUAUGGUUUCUUGAUGAGUUCUAUGGAGUGUGGGUGGUAGUAUGGGGUGCCAUCCAUGCAUUGCACGAGUAGGCUUUGAGAGGGUCAUAGUGAGUUCUCAAAGUCUUAAUGGCUAAUGUAUGAAUGUCCUCUUAUGAUAAAGUUAAUGAGAAUAAUGAUAUAAUGUCUAAUGUAUGAAAAUCCUCUAAAUGAAGCUAAUGAAGAAUGUUGACUCUCAUAUGCUUAAAUGUAAUGAUGCAUGCUAUACUUGGAUUGUAUUAUGAGUUGCUUCCUUGUCAUGAUGUAUUGAGUAUGAAUGUGCCUUGUCUAUGGUGGCUUCAAAGGAGUUCUUGGUGUGAGUAGUAGUAUGGGAUUCUACCCAUACAUUGCACAAGUAUGACUUAGGGUUGCCUUAGAUGAUGGUCCUUAUGUGAUGAUAUGACUUAGGUAAUGUUUAUGUCUCUUAAGUAUGAGUAUUGUAUGAAGAUGAAAAGGUUGAAUGGUAAGUUCAAUUUUGGUGACCUUAAGGUAGUUCUUUAGUGUGGAUGGUGGUAUGGGACGCUAUCCAUACAUAGCACAAGGUAUAGCUUGAGGAUUACUUGAGGUGAAGGCAUAAUGUGAAGGUAAUGGUUUACAUGUUUGAUUAUGUUCUAAUGCGGUUAAAUUACUUGUAAGUGGGUUAUGUUUGAAUAUUAUGCCUCUUAUGCUUAUGUUCAUGAAGUUUUAUCAAAAUGGCAUACAAGCAUGACUUUCAAAUGAAAUGUCCGUUUUAAGCAUGGUUUUUGCAUGGCUUCCAUACUUACUACUUAAUUGUGCUAACCCAUAUUUCUCCAUUUUUACCAAAGUGUAGGGUUGCGCAGAUUUCGUGUUCCUUACUUGAAGAAUAGGUUUCUAAGGAGCUUGGAGAUGAAGACUUGGUGAGUCCUCAUAGUUUCAAGGACAAAAUCCUCUUUGUUCCCUUUAUGUCUUCUAGUUUAUGUUAAAGAUUUUGUAUGGGCUAAGUCGCAAUGUUGUAUUCAAAGUAUUAGAUGGUUUGAGACAAAGUUUAGAAAGUCUUCCGCUUAAUUUUUAAUGAAAAAUAUCUUUGAAUGUAAAUGAAAGUUUCAAUUCUUCUCUAUUUUCCUAUGUUCUUAUGUUCAAGAAUGCUAUGAGGCUUGUAUGAGACCCCUUCACGGUCGAGUACGCCGUGUCACGUUUAGGGGUAGUCUUGGGUUGUGACAGUCUGACCCUAGACUGGAACUGUGUUGAAGGAACCCCAAAUACCUCAAUAGAACCACCAUGUCGGAGCUUGAACACGACUAACAGAAGUGCGUCUCGACAAAAAAUGAGGCUAAUAGAGAUGGGCCAAAGCCUCGAACCAUGGCAAAAAGAAGAUAUUCUAUGACAUCAUAUUGUGGCUAGAAGACUAUGAAUGCCUCCAAAUCAAACACUCUUCUUCAUGCGCAAAUAAAGUGUAUAGAGAUAAAAGUUUCAAAGUCAGUGAAGACCCACAAGGACUGAAAUCGCAAAAGAGAUACCUUAGGCCCAAAACAUAAGGAAAGUAUGAAUCUACGGUCACACGAGCUGAGUUGUCACCUAGCUAACGAUUCAUACUAUCAAACCAAAGUAUGCUAUAUCAGUUUACAAGGAGCUUAGUCGGUAAAAGUGACAUCAGAGGAUUUCUAAGGCCUCUCGACACCAAAUCACAAGUCUAAGGCAGAUACUAGCCUACACAUAAGAUAAUACAAAGAACAAGACACAAUUAUCAAUACGAUCAACCAUAAAGAUAAACAAGGCUUGAUACAAUUGCAAACAAAGGUAGACAUGCUCGAUUUUCGGAAAUUACCCAAAAAGAAGGCUAAGGCAUGUGUUCGACAAACUAAGCAUGGUACAUACUAGAAACCUUUCCAAAAAUUAGUUAAACAAUGUGAAUUUAUCAGCACAUGCUUAAUCUAAGAUCUUUAAGUCAUAGCCUACCUCAAACUGAGUGUGAGCACUCCAAAAUCCACUAAGGUGGAUUUUUUUCUUUAUGAACCGCCUUCAACACCUCCAUGUUAUGAGAUAAAAUGUUACAACAUAAAUACAAAUAUUUUAACACCCUAAUUGCGAUAAUUGAAGGCAAGACUAAAAUUUAGUAUAAAACAAAAUUAUGGGAUCCAAUCCAGGAAUACUAAAAAUGACUUUGUCAAUUGAUCCCCUUGGACUCAAGGAGCGUGUGCCAAAAAAUGGGCAAAUCCGAGCCCCGGACAUAGAAUAAACAAAUCAUACAAUAAGAAGAACUAGAUGUCACAAUUAAAGCUAAAAUAGAGGAGAAGAAGGGUAAUUGAUAGGUUAAAGUGCACAAUUAACUAUCCUAUAACAAUCCCACAACCACCCUCAACAACUCCAAGCAACAACAAGAAACUCCACCAGAAUUUUGAGUUCUUAAAGAGAAUUAUAUGAACAAGGACUUAUGAAAAAUGAGCCUACAAAUAGAUAUGACUACCAACUAGUGUCUCAAAAGCGUUCACUUAGGCGGCCUAAGUUGUCUCACUAAAGUUUUCCACCUAUUUCUAAAGCGGCUAAGCCUAACUAGCUGAUAAGCUAAAGAAGCUCCCUGGCCGCUUAAGUGAGGCCAGGGCCACUAAUGCGACUACCUAUAGCUGGUGAGCCUUGCUUAAGAGACAUCCUAGCCUCUAGAGCGGCUACUGCUUAAGCAGUUCCACGUCCUCUUAAGCGGCUGCAUCUGUCAGAACUUUUCUUUUUCGAAUCUAACGGUUUUGAAAAAUAAAAUUAAAGAGACAAGAUAUCCGAUAAGGAAUUAUGUUGACCGAGGGAAGGUAUGAGGCACCCCCCUCCCCCAGAUUCUCAUGGUUUCAGUACUAUCACUUUAUUGACUCAUGUCUUGCUAAAAAUAAUUUUGGAUAAGACAAAUUUAUGUUAGUCACUGAUUUAACAAACAUAGAUUUGUGAAAUGUCAUAGCUUAGGGGUGUACCACACAAGACCUCGUCAUUUUUAAAAGAAAAAAAAUAAACACUAAGGAUCAUAAUUGAACACAUGGUGGUACAUAAUUUUAAAAAAUCAAAAAAUAAAUUACAGAAUCAAUAAACUUGUUGUAAAAUAUAAACAUAAAAGGAUUUUUUUUUUCAUAUUUGUUUAAAAGGAAAUUAAUCAUUCCUUAUUUACUUUAAAAUUUACAAUCGUUCUAUAAGACGAAUUUAAGAAAAUAGAAGAAAGAAUAAAUACAUAUUUUUAUCAAAAAAAAAUUAAAGAAAAUAUACAACUUCUUAAACAUAAGUAUUAUGCUCUCUUCAUUUUUCAAAAUAAUAACCGACCUUCUUUGAAAAAAAUUAAAAAGGAAGUGAAAGAAAUUCAUUUUAAUUAAUUUCUUUCAAAAAAUAAGUUGAUACAACGCGAGAAAUGACAAAACUUAUAAAACUUUCAAGCUAACAAAAUUAAUCACAUUGCUCCCUUUAAAAAGAAAAUUGCAAAAAAUAUAUUAAAAUUAUCUAAUAUUUAAAAAAUUAACAAAAACACAGCAGAAUUUACAUUUUUGCUUAAAUAACCAUUAUUACAUAUUUAUUUAAGAGAAAUAAAAAUUAAUAAUAUUUUUUUUAAAAAAAACCAAAAUUUGCAAAAAUGGCUAGUUCUGCAUUGUUGCAAAAAUUUACAAAUUUUUCUCCCUUUUGAACUAUUUCUUUAGCAAACCAUACAUCUAAGUAUUAACUCCAUAAUUGAAAAAAAAAUACAACAAAUCGCCCUAAACUCUGCAGCAAAACUUAGUUUAGCACUUUAACUACACGGGCAUAUAAAUACCUCCCUUAACAAAUUUAAAGUGAAUUAAAUAUCACCCUGGAUUAUAAUACCACUCUCACCUACACAUCAAAGCCAUGUAAGUUCCACAAUUUAUCCAUCUCAGCACCACGUCAUCAAUUUUAUUUAUUUCUUUUUGGUUACUCACUAUAUUUUCUUUAGCACUUUUUAAAAUUAAUUUCCACUACUUUAUUAAUUAAAAAUUUAUUCUAAAAUAAAAAAAUAAAAUGUCGACCUACUUAUAUUCCCCCUCCCCCACUUCUUCAUUCUUAUUCUCCAUUUCCAGCCCUUCACUACUCAUUGUUUCCUCUUCACCAUUAUAUUUAAGAAAUAACUUUUGAAAAGAACCAUCACCAUAUAACAUUAUCUUCUUCGAAUUCCUCCUCCCCCCUCUUAAUAUACCUUAUGGAAAUUAAAAAAUUCAAAUGAUUUACUCAAAAAAUUCAAGAAAAGUUAAAAUAACUGUAGAGAAGACAGUACUAAAAAACUACCGAAAAAAGACGGCCAAAAGCGAUGGACAGCGUCGCUUUUUUGGUCAAAUUCGACAAAAAAGCGACGCAGUCAUGUUCGUUGCUUUUCAAAAAAGAACAAACAACGUCGGAAAAAGCGAUGGACUGCAUCGCUUUCUAAAUUUUGCAAAAAAAAAACAUUUAAAAAGCAACGGAUUAUUUUUUUUAAUUUCCAAAAAGUAACGCAGUUCGUCGCUUUUCUGGAAAUUUAAAUUUUGAAACUCCCAGAAAAGCGACAGACUAAAGGACCAUGUCCAUCGCUUUUCUGGAUAUUAAUUUUUUGAAAAACCCAGAAAAGCGACGGACUAAAGGACCCUGUAUGUCGCUUUUGUGGAUUUAUUUGAAAAAAAUUAUGAAAAAAAGAGACGGACAAAACCACCUUGUCCGUCACUUUUUUCUUCAUUUUUUUGACGCCAGUUUCUGUUGCCUACCUGUAAAUAUAAACCCAUUCAAUUCAAUUUUAACCAUCCCAAUCAAACAAAAUACAUUCUAAACAUCCCAAAAGAUAUUAAACAACAAAUUUAAAUCAAUCUUCAAAAAUAUCUAAAUAACAAUACAAAAACUUAUAAAGUCAUUCAAAAAUUGUUUCCAAAAUAAAAAAAUAGUUCAAAAACUAAAGCAAUAGAAGAUAAUCAAGGAGUACAAUCUAUAUAAUCAUUAUCCUCCUCACUGUCGUCGUCAGUGCCCUCGGCAGGAGAUGAUGUAAAUGUAGGUCGACGAGCGAGGUUGAAGACUUGUUCUUUGAUUUGCUGAACUGUCGCACUCAAGCUUUCUUGUUCAGCUACUCUUUUUCGCUCCGACUCUUGCAGUGCUUCUGUCAAAUUUUCUAUUUGUACUGACAUAGCAGCUAUAUAAACGUCGUCUAUUGUCUCGGCUUGAGAAAAUGAUCCAAUACCUUCUAAGCCUGACACGAGUCAUCGUACAUAAUUUCGAGAGCCUUGACCAUAAACAAUAUGUUUAUGAUAUGUCAGCUCAGGUUUAGCUUGGGGUCAAUCGUGAUUCUAGGUCUCGUGUUUACGUCAAGGGGUAGCCUCGAAGCGUGACAAUAUAGAUUGGCUUUCCCUCGAUUAUGCUAUUCUUCAUUGUUAUGUAAAGACUUUGUCUUAGUUAUGUCGGGUGUCUUGCGAGUUAAGUGGAUGGGAGUUAGUGGUUGUUAUUUUAGCAAGGUUGUCUCAUUCGUUUGAUAUCAAAUAUUUGUUUAUAGAAGGUGUUGUUUCUAUUUUGCCUUCAUUUGUUAUAGUACUAGUGUUGAACCAUAUCCCAUAGAUUUUAUGCCUAUGGUUCAAGAGUUUUUUUUAUCUCUUUCCUAAUGAUCUUCCUGGUUUUCCUUUUGAUAGGGAUAUUGAUUUUGCUAUUGACAUGAUGCCGGUCACUGAUCCCUUCUAUAUUCCUCUUUAUUUCAUGGCUUCAUUAGAGUUAAAAGAAUUGAAGGAUCAGUUGCAGGAAUUAUUGAACAACGGAUUCAUUCACACUAGUGUUUUUUCAUAGGGUGCUCCUGUUUUGUUAUUUAGGAAAAAUGAUGGUACCAUGAGGAUGUUUAUUGUAGUUUAACUAAGUGACAGUGAAGAACAAAUAUCCUCUUCCUAUUAUUGAUGACUUAUUUGAUCCGCUUCAGUGGAUAUAUUUAUUGCUUAAGAUUGAUUUGAGGUACGUCUAUUAUCACCUAAUUAUUAAGGCAUCAGAUAUCCCUAAGACAUCUUUCAAGACUCGAUAUGGGCACUACGAGUUUCUUGUAAUGUCUUUAGGCUUGACUAAUACCCUUGCAGUUUUUGUGGAGUUAAUGAACAGGAUGUUCCGACCUUAUUUGGAUUAUUUUGUGAUAGUCUUCAUUGAUGACAUCUUGUUAUAAUCCAAGACUGAGGAGGAUAAUGAUUGACAUUUGAUAAUUGUAAUCUCGAUAUUGAGGGAAUAGAAGUUAUAUGCAAAGUCUUGAAGUGUGAGUUUUUACUUGAUUCAUUUGCAUUUUGGGACAUGUGAUGUCCAAUGAAGGUAUUCAGGUGGUUCUAGCCAAGAUUAAGAUAGUUUGAGGUUCUACCGGGCAUUUUUCAGUUACCAAGAUUUAGAGUUUUAUGGGUGUAGUAGGUUAUCAUAGGCAGUUUGUUCAGAUUUUCUCCAGUAACACAUCUCCUUCGACUAAAGAGAAUGUGAGCUUCUAUUAGUAUGAUAACUGUGCGGACAACUUUCAAAAGCUCAAUGACUUGUUGACUUCAGUUUCUACUUUGACUAUAACCAAGAAAGGUGUAGACUUUACCUUUUAUUGUUAUUUUUCUGGAGUCGAGUUGGGUGUUGUUUUGAUGAUGAUGGGGGAAAUAAUCACCUAUGCUUCUACACAGUUGAAGAACCAUGAGAAGAACUACCCUCCUUAUGAUUAAAAGUUGGCUGUUGUAGCGUUUGUUCUUAAGCUAUGCGGAAUUAUUUAUAUGUAGUACAUUGUGAGGUCUUUAUUGACCAUAGAAGUCUUAAGUACAUCUUUAAUCAGAGGGAUCUGAACUUGAGGUAGCGUAAGUGGCUUGAGCUACUGAAGGAAUAUGAUAUUACCAUUUCAUAUUACCCAAGAUAGGUCAAUGUGGUGGUCGAUGCCUUGAGUAUGAAGACUUUAAUUAUGGAGAGUCUUGCCGCUAUCAGUGUCAAAGAGAGACUAUUUGCUAGAGAUGUUUAGAGGUUAGCCAAUAGUCUUAUCCGAUUGCAAAUUUUUGAGGAGCCUUAGGUUUUAUUGCUAUUAUAGUGGCCCGUUCUUCCUUGAUUUAGAACAUUAAUGAGAACUAGUUUGAUGAUUAGAAGUUGUGUCUCAUUUAACACAAUGUUUUUAGACGGGAAGCUAAAGAGGUUAUCCUUGAUUUUGAUGGUGCCUUGAGGAUGAGAGGUUGACUUUUUGUUCCCAAGACGAGUGACUUUAUUAGAUUGGUUCUUGAUGAAUCCCAUUUUUCUAGAUAUUUUAUUCAUCCAGGAGCAGCGAAGAUGUCAUGACCGGAGCCAUCACUACAUGUUAUGUGAUAUAGAGUGGGAUAUUACGGAUUUUGUUUCAAGGUGCUUGACUUGCCAACAUGUCAUGUUUGAGCACCAGCGGCCCAGAGGUAUAUCUCAGAAGAGCCUUUUCCUACUUGGAAGUGGAAAUGGAUAACUAUGGACUUUGUUAUUUAUCUACCUACCACCGUGGGUGGUUGUGAAUCAAUUUGGAUGGUUUUUGAUAGGCACGCCAAUUUCGCUCAUUUUAUCCCUGUUCAUGUAAAGAUUACUCAUGAGAAGUUAGCCAAACUUUAUAUUUUAGUCAUAUUAUGAGAUUACAUGGAGUUCUUAUUUCUAUUAUCCCUAAUCAAGGGUUUUUGUUCACAACCCAUUUAUGGAAGGCUUUAUAACGUGGUUUCGAUACUCGAUUAGAUGUGAGUACAACCCUCAACCUUCAGACAUAUGGUUAGUUCGAGUAGAUGAUUCAAGUGUUGAAAAAUAUUCGUCGGGCUUGUGUAAUUGGUUUUUGUUCUAGGUGGAAUAAUUAUUGGCCCCGGAAAGAGUUUUCCUACAAUAAAAUUUAUCAUUCUAGUAUUAAGAUGGCCUCAUUUGAGGCAUUGUAUGGAAGAAGGUAUAGAUUUCUGAUCGAUGUGUUUGAUUCAACUAAGAUAUAACGUUUGGAUACAAACCUGCUUAGAAAUGCUAUGGAGCAAGUUUGUAUUAUUCAGGGCAGACUAUGGACAGCCUAGAGUCGGCAGAAGAGUUGUGCGAACCAGAGAGUUCGAGCCAUUGUGUUUAUGGAGGGUGAUCAUGUUUGGCUAUGUGUGUCACCCAUGAAGGGUGUGAUGUGUAUCAGAAAGAAAGGCAAGCUUAGCACUAGAUUCAUUGGACCUUUUGAGAUUUUUAGCGGAGUGGGAGAGUUUGCCUAUAAUUUUUCCAUGCCACCUAGCUUGUUAGUUGUGCAUCCUAUGUUUCAUGUCUCAAUGCUUCUAAAGUACGUGCUAUAUGAGUCCUAUGUUGUUUCUCUUGAUUUAUUUUUAUUGGGUUCAUACUUAUCUUUUGAGGAAGAAGCUAUAGCCAUCUGGCAUAGGUAGGUUCGAAAGUUUAGGACUAAGGAGAUUGAUUUAGUUAAGGCACAACUAAAGCACCGUUCUAUUUGUAAGGCGACUUAGGGAGACAUUGUCUUUCACGUGUGGCAGAUGACUUCAACUUUUCGAGGCUUCAUGUACUUUUACUUACUUUAUGUUUGACGAGGAACAUUGUUUUUUGUUGUGGAUAAUGUAAUGACCAGAAGGUCAUUUUGAAAAUUUUCAUAAUAUUACCAUUGUUCCCAUCUCGAUAUUGGCCCUGAGUAAUUUUCUAAUGUUUUUUGAAAUUUGUUUCAUGUUUUGAGUUAAAAGUUUAAAAUUUUGACAAUUUUUGUAUUUUGAAAGGCUAAAAUUGCUAAAAAGUGGAUUUCAAUGUCUUUUAGAGUUUAUAGUGUUGGAAUGGAAUUCCAUCAAUUUCAUUAGCCCCAGAAAUGAAAAUUUGUUCAAGAGAGUUGUCGGUUAUAGAUUUGAAGUCUUUUGAGAAUUUAAGGUCCUACGUUGGAAAAUUAUUGAAUUUAUACUUUAGAUUAAAUUUGGUAAACAUUUGGGGUUUUAAUGCUCGGAUCAUAAUUUUAAGAAUUUUGUUGGAUUCAGGGGAUAAUUUUAGACCUAGGUAAGGUCUUGGUUAAAUUUUUAGAGGUCACGAUCUUGUAUUAGCCUUUUUAAGUGUUAUGUUCAUUUAUUGUAACUUUCAUGGAUUUCAGGUCAAAAAGAACUGGGAUUCGUAAUACAACAGUUCCAUUGAGUCUCGAAUGUAGAUUAUAGUCGAUUUGCAUAUAUUGAUUGUGUGAAUGGGAUUAUGAAUGAAUUACGAGGGUCCUUUUGAUGAUGUGAGAGUUAGCUGAUAUUUUCUGGUGUUUGUGUGCUUCGCUUUAGCGAUGGACAACUCGAUUUAGCGAUGAAUCGGUAACAUUCACGAGAGGUCUGUACCCUUGACCUUUGCGAUCAUGAUAGGGUGUGUUGCAAUCACAACCUUCUCUUUAGCGAAAGUUUGUUUGUGAUAGAGAGGGUCAAAUUUUAUCGGGGGAUCACUUUUACGAACCAUUGGUCAAUAUUGCGACAUCUGAGGGGGUUUUAGACCUUCCAUUUUUGGGGUCUUAGCCAUUUUUCCAAUUUUGAGCUUUGUAAAGCACUUGGAGGCAAUUUUGAAGAAAUUUCUUGUGCUAAUUCAUUUGGGUAAGCUUUUAUGACCCUAAUAUUUACUUCAAUUACCUUUAUCUAUUUAUUGAUUUUCACAUCAAAGUUUGGAAUUUUGAUUAGGAGAUGGCAAGGUUUUUCAAGAACUCGAGUUCUAAAGUAAAAUGUUGGUUGGGAAUUGAUUUUAACUCCUUUUCAUAAAUGAUUUUUACCAAUGACUUCCAAAUGCCUUUAGUAAUGUUUUGAUGACUUUUGGACUCAAACCUUAUUUUCCCAAUUGGGGUGUUAAGUUGAUUGAUCUAGUUUUCAAAAUGUAUGAAUCUGCAGUUGUUAUUUCAUAAAUCUUAUUGUGAUUGCUUCAUUGAACUAGAUUUUGCGGCAUUGGAUAUUUUUCUAAUGUGGAAGACCAAGCCUUGAUUUGGUGUUGAUUAAAUUAAGACAAGUGAUUUCGUAAACUUUGUAAAUCUAGUUGAUUCGUGUAUUUCCCUUCAUUAUGUGUGUUGGGGUGUAAUGGGAAUGAGGUGAAUGGUUCAUUGUUCCACUUGUUUAAUAUUAAUGAAUAAAGAGGGGAUUAAAUAAAAGGCAACGUGUUGAUCAUGAUACUUGUGAAUUUGUCUUGAUUUGAGCCCUAAAGUGUUCAUUGAUGAAAUGCUUUAAUGGCAUUUUUAUGGAAAUGAAAUAUUAUCUCUUCUUGUGGUGUGAGAUUGCUCAUUUCAAUUGAUUUUUAUGAACGGUGAUGAGACAUGUGGCGGUAAUUGAUGUCGAGGUCAUUUCUAACUAGGGUUAUUGAUGCCAAAGUUAUUUCUCGCAUGUUAUAUUGAUGCCGAAUUCAUUUCCGGUGAGGGAUAUGGAUGUCGAGGUCAUUACUGGUGAGUUCAUGAACUAUGAAUGGUUCCCAUGAAUUGUGAUUGACAUUGUGCGUGAAAAAUCUUGAAAUAUUAUGUUCCUUGUACUUUAUUAAUGUGCUUUGAUGAACUAUAUAAUUGUGAUUGAUUUACUUGAAACUUGUUAUAUUCAUAUUGGAUACUUGAUGACAUUUUGAAUGUUACUAUUGGAUUAUGAAUAUGAGAACUUGUGAGUUGUGUAUUGUGAACUUUUAGGUUGUGCUGGUUUCUAUACAGGUUGUAGCUUGAGAAGGUUAGGUUAGGAUCAAAGGAGUAUUCGUUUUCUAGGUUGUUUUACCUUGUUUACUUGGUUCCUUAUUGAAUACCGUGUUGGUUGGUACUCACUCCUUGCUUCUACACUUUUGUAGGUUUCAAGCAUGAUACCGUGUGAUUGCUCUAUGUUUAUUUUUUGAGGGUUUUGAAGGAAAUUGAGAGGUAGUUGUCUCUCAUCCCGGUGGAUUCUCUUGGACUUAUUUUAUGCUUUGUUCUAUUCUAGAAGCAAAGACAUUGAGACUUUUAUUUAUAUUUCAAUUUCGCAUUUUAUGCAUUAGUCUUUUACACAUCACAACAUGGUUUUGGAGCUAUAAUUGAAUGAAUAAGCUUUCCGCUUUUAUGUUAUUCUUGAUUUACUUUUCACAUUUCUUUUGUGGUUUUAGGUUGAGGUUGACUUUUCUUGCUGGGAAAUGAAAAGUUUCAUCAUAUCAAUUUUGGUUCUUGACAUGGAGAUUUUCAAUCACUCUAGAAAUUUUCACUUGUCCAACACAUCCAUCCAUAUUUAGAAAAAUCAAUUUAUUUGUAUUCAAGUAUUAUAUUUAAGCAUAAACAUUAUUCAAAAUAUUUUUAACAAAAUUUAUAAUUCAACAUAACCCUAUGUUUAACUCCAACUUUACUAGAAAUAAUAGAACAUAUUGCUAUUUUUUUUUUACAUGAACAUAAUCCUUUUAAUUUAUUGCUCCCUUCAUUCACAAUUUCUAAACAAAGAAAUGCCUAAUAAAUAAAUUUAAGUAAAUAUCAAUAACAGACAAAACUUCACUGUUGCGGCCGUUUUAUUUCAUGUUUGUAUCGCCACUGCCACCUGCAUGACAUGCAAAUUUCAAUCCAACACAUGUCCUCACACUCUCUCUAUAUAAUACUCAAACAGACAACUUCCUAGCUAUCAAAGAUUCUAAAAACAUGUAACAAUUAUUGGUCAGUUUCUUCAUUUUUGUGCUCACUUCUGUUCUAAUUUAUCUUUUUCAUUUUUCUUCGCUAUCCAAUUGCACUUUUUGAUGUGAUAUAUCUAUGUGACAUGUGAGUUUCUAGACACAAUUAUUAUAUAUAUCUAGAUUCUUAUGAUUAAGGUCUAAAUUGAGGUUUUAAGCAAUCUUUAAACUUUCUUUGAUGAAUUUAUGACAUAUUUAUUUUUCUGUUUAUAUAUACUAGAGGAGCCGAAGUAGAAAUAAAAAUUUAUAUAAGCUUGUGCUUGUGCUUUGUGAUAGUUUAGGCAAAUCUUGAAAUAAAUAUGUCUUUGAAGAAACUUAAUUAUGAAUAUAUUUUUUAGAGUUGAACGAUGAUAGAUAUAUACGGAUACAUAGGUGUUGUUAUACAAAUAGAUAUAUAUGAUACGUGAAUGUUGAAUUCAGGUAUUUUGUUUUUAAUUUGAUUGUGAGUUUCAUUUACUAUUUGCAUUCCCUCUAGAAACCUAUAAAGAAUGAUGGUAUAACAUUAUCUCGUAUUAUAAAAUGUUCUAUGACUAUUUAUACAUAUAGAAGUUAUCAGAUUUGUAACGCUCUUUGUUGUUUUCUCUUAUCGUAAUGUCUUAACUUCCAAGAAAAUGCAUCACCAAAAGAAGGUCAUCAUAAAGUCACCCAAAAAAAAUUCUACUGGAAACUCGUUUGUUUAGGUUGGAGGAAGAUCCUUUGUCGAGACCAACUCCACAGGAAUUUACUUCUACGGUAGCAAUCUCAUCAUGAAUCCAUCUAAUAUGGAUGUGGGGAAGACCAUAAGAGAGAAGGCAGAGCAACAUAAAAUAGUCAUGUCAAAAGAAAAUCAUCGUCAAGAAUAAAAUUAUUGAUUCAAUUUCAAUGGAAAAUUUCAAAGAUAAUGAAAUCAAGGUACCAAAAGAAAAUGUGAAAAACAACACAUGAGUUUUUCUUGUCGUAGCUGAAUUUCACAUUUUUUUGCUGUGGCUUAAUUUCUCUCUUUGGAAUUUCCCAUUCAAAUUACAUCAUGGUUCUAUGCUUAAUGAUGAUUUUCUUUUGACGUGCCUUUUUUAUGUCGCUCUGACUUCUAUCAUAUGGCCUUCCCUUCAUCUAUAUUAGGCAGGUUCAUGAUGAGAUCACAACCCCAUAAGUAAAUUUCUAUAGGGUUGGGCAAGAUAGAGGAACUUCUUCCGACUCAAGUAGAUGAUUUUCCAGAAGAAUCAUUUUGGAAGACUUUCUGAUGACCUUCUUUUGGUUUUGCAUUUUCUUGUAUGUUAUAGCAUUAUGAAAAGAGAAAACAACAGAUAACGUUACAAAUGUGUUAACUUCUUUUUGAUAUGAAAUUCUUUUUUUUAUAUAUAUAUAUAUAUAUAUAUUCAUCGCAAAUUUUAUUAAUACGAGGUAAUGGUGUUCGCUAAUUCUUUGUAAUUCCUAGAGGGAAUGUAAAGUAAAUUGAACAAACAAACAAAUUAAAAUGAAAAGCCCAAACUUCAAGAAUCAUGUAUCAAAUAUGUAUUUGUUUGUGUAAAAAUAGGUAUCUACCCAUUUGUAUCUAUCUUCAUUCAACUCUAUAAAAUCUAUCAUAAUUAAGUUGCUAUAAAGAUAUAUUUAUGUCAAUCUUUGCAUCAACUUUCACAAAACACAAGCACAUGCCCACAUAAAAUUUUAGAUUGUCUUCUGUCCAACUGUCCUCUAGUGUGUUUAAAUAGAAAAACAAAAGAAGUCAUACAAAUGCUAUACAUAGGACGUACACCAAAAACAUCACAACAACAGAUAAAUAAAGAAUAAUCCAACAUAACUAAGGACGAGAAUACUGUACUCAAGGUGUUGUUGAUGAUUUCAACUAACUCAAAAUCAUCUUAUAACAUAAUCAUAUCAGUCAUUCUGGGGGAAGACAAGACCGCCACAAUAUCCAUAACAUAAGAGAUACAAGAAAGACAAACAAUGGCCGAUAACGUCAUCAUGCAUGUUUCUACAAAACAACCUAGAAUUUCAAAAUUCUAAGAGUAUAAUUUCUGAUUGGGACAAGAACUACACCUAUCUAUCACGAUCUAAAAACUUGAGUCUUGAUGACACUUAUAAUAAUAUACCAGUAGGUAAACCAACUCAUAUCCAAAAAUGACAAGUAGCAACCAUAUUGGGAUGAAUCAACAACCAAUGAGAAUGUAAAAGUAAUAUAUUAAGGAAAACACAACAAAAAUGAGGAAUAAAUCAAUAAAUAUAAACAAGUGUACAAGACCCCAUUCCAUGACCUGGUCGACAAGAGUUCAAAGCUACUAUAAGAGUACAAGUCCAAAAUAUUGACCAAAAUGUAAAGACUUGUCUCAAAUACAAAAGAUUAGUCAAAACUAUAUACAUAUAUAUAUAAUUCGAACUAUGUCAUGACCCCGAACCAUACUAAACCAGUCGGUGAGAGAACCAAAUACUAACCCGAAUGUACCCAAAAUCAUCAGUACAUAAACAUGUUUAGAAUAUAAAAAAGAAAAAAAAUAGUUUCUUUACUAAAGAAUUAAGUCACCAUAAACUCAACUCGGUAGUUUAAAAACAUUCAAUGCGGAUAUACCCAUACGAAAGGAAAGUCAUCAUACGCAAAACUCUAACACAAUAAACUUGGGAGUGCGACCCCGAAACCAAACAUAAACUAAAGUAUAUAAGUCAAUGUCCAAACAAAUAGACAAGAAGGUGCCGAAGAAUCCAUUGUAGCCUAAUCAACGAAGCUCACCCUUGUACUCGAAAUCAUGCAUCGCUCGAUUGAUGUCUCAGAUCAGCCACCGGAAGAUGCCCUGUACUCAACAGGGAAAAGAACAGGUGCAUUAUGAGUACACAAACCACUGUGUACUCGUAGGAUCACGUGACAAGUCUAAGUUAUAAAUGUAAACAGUCACCACAACACUGUAACACAACAAUGCAUAACAUACAAUAAUCAUAAACCACAUAUAUUCUUCAUCACAUAUCAUGAAAUAACCACACUUGGGUCAAACAAUGCAUAACUACAUGUCCCACAUGAUCACAAUGCAAAUAUCGGGUCCUCUUAUGUAACCACAAUAGCAUACCUAGUCCUCUCAUGGAACCAAAUCCCAAGUUGUUAGUGUACCAACGUAGUACCUGAGUCAUCAACAGUUAGUGUACUGGCGUGCUACCUGAGCCUUCCAUAGUUAGCAUACUAUAGUGGUACCUGAGUCAAUAAACAAUCACAAAUAGACAUGCACAAUCACAUAGCACAAUGAAUGAGACCACUUGAAAACCAUAAGUCACAAUCACAAGUUCAUUGCAUAAGAUUACCUAUAUUAUGUCAUUUCAUAUGUCUCCAUACCAUGCAUUGCACAAAUGAUACUCAAACUAGUACACAUGCAUAAAUCAUAAACUAGAAAUAUACGAUCGUCAGGCCACAAAUUAAAUCAAUUUGAAACACUAAAUAACCCGAGUUUUCCCCUUGCACAGCAUUGGCUUAUUCUUAGUCUAAAACAAAAAAUAUAAACAACAAUAAAUCACUAUUAGCUUAUUAAUUAACACCUGAAAUAUUUAAAAUCCUAACCCCAUAAGAAAUAUGAUCAUCAACCCAAACUUAAGGCUCUUUCCCACCAUGGCAUCAUGUAAAACGUUUUCUCAAUAGUAAUAACCUAGAUUCUAAGGCUUAAGAAUUAAUGUACAAGGUUGGGGAGUAGAAUCCUUACCUUUAACGAUGAAUUCCAUAAGGAAACUGAUGCAAACUGCCCAAAAUCGCCCCUCCACAAUUGAACAAUUCAAAUUGUAGAAAAUAGGGGUUUUGGGUUGUUUUCCUCAUAAAAUCCCGAUUUUGUCGCUACAUUUACCCUAAUCUUGCAAUAGCAGCGCAGCUAUAGCAGUAACUUACCUCGCUAUAGUUGUAUGUCCACUCCGUUAUAGUGGGACCCCAUCGGCUAUAGCAAUCUUGAUGCAACUUCAGAAACCUCAACUCCAGAAAAAGGAUAUUUUUAUAACACAAUCACUUCCCUUGACGUUCUGACACAUACCAUUCACGCCAAGUUCAAUUACGGAAGUUAUACCUAAUCGAAUUUUAUUCCGAAAGGCUCUAUGAACUUUGUAAUGAUUUUUUUACAAGAAAAUAAAAGCCAUACCUUAAAAUUACACCCCAUCUAUUCCAGAAUAUCCCUAGAUCGAUCUCACCCAACCUAGAUUCCAUCUAAGACUAGUUUAGCCAAAAAAAUUAGGUUAAUAACAGGAAUGUUUUCUAGCCCAAUUUCUUUCCCUAUAGACCUACCCAUAUAAAUUAGGUCAACUCUUUAAAAAUUAGGAUUCAAUUAACAUUCUAGUGUGAUUUCCAAUUCCAUAUCAACUUGUUGCUGAACAAUUGCAACCUCAUUUUGGUACAUCACAUCUAAAGGACCCUGUCGGUCGCUUAUCUGGAAAUUAAUUUGUUUGAAAAACCUAGAAAAGUGACGGACUAAAGGACCAUGUCCGUCGCUUUUCGUGAUUUAUUGAAAAAAUAUUAUGCAAAUUUUUUUCUACAUUUUUUUACGCCAGUUUUUGUUGCCCACCUGUAUAUAUAAAUCCAUUCAAUUCAAUUUUAACCAGCCAAUCAAACAAAAUACAAUCUAAACAUCUCACACAAGAUAUAAAACAACAAAAUUAAAUCAAUCUUCAAAAAUAUAUAAAUCAUAAUACAAAAACUUAUAAAGUCAUUCAAAAUUUGUUUCAAAAAUAAAAAAAAGAAGUUAAAAUACUAAAGCAAUAGAAGAUAAUCAAGGAGUGCAAUCUAUAUAAUCAUUAUCCUCCUCACUGUCAUCGUCAGUGCCCUUGGCAGGAGACGAUGUAGAUAUAGGUUGACGAGCAAGGUUGAACACUUGAUCUUUGAUUUACUGAACUGUCGCACACAUGCUUUCAUUUUCAUCUACUCUUUUCCGCUCAGACUCUUGUAGUGCUGCUACGAAUUGUUUUAUCUGUGCCGACAUAGCAGCGAUUUGAACACCGUUAAUUGUGUCGGCUUGACUUGACGAUCCAAUACCUUCUAAGCCUAACACGAGUAGUCGUACAUCAUUUCAAGAGCCUCGACCAUAGACUCUACGCUUCUGUGUCCCCCCAACCACUUUUUCUGUCCAAAUUUGACUGGACAGUUAAGGUGUCAUUUGGACCGAACUAUCUAGAUUUUCAUUCACGUACUGAUGAUAUGAGCCCUGUAUAAUAAAAAUAAAAAUUAACAUCAAUAUACAUAUAUUCACUAUUUAUACUAAUUAUUCAUAUUAAUUAAAUAACUUACAAAAGUUUAUUUAGCCCUUUUCUGCACCCACAUAUCUGGAUCUUACUCAUUUUCUUUCUUCAGUAUAUGAGUCUUCUUAAAAACCUCCAGUACAAGGGGAGUGCACCCCAUUUAUUUUUUCUAUAAAAUAAAUGAAAUUUAUAUUAUAACGAUAUUAAUCAACCAAUUAUUUAUUUAAAAGUUUGAAUUAGAACUUACCAUCUCUCUUGUAUUUGCUCCAACGCUCUUUGCACCUCCAGUAUGUAAUGAGCCACCCUUAAGACUGCCUCUAGUCUUUUUGAAUUGUUCGGAAAUUGCCUUGAACUUAUAUGUGUUCUAAUAUUUGUUCAAUUCAUCCAACACAUGAGGAAACAUUCAACUCAAACACUUAUCAGUAUCCCGGGCUUUCUUUAGCCAACUAGACAGUCUUGCGGAUGCCCUCCUCUCAAAUGUGGUCACAAUGACCAUAUUAAAUCUUGAUUCCCAAGUACCCAAUGUCUGAAAAAAAUGAAUAUUGUUAGAUAACUAAAAAAAGUAAAGUACACUAAAAUUAUUAAACUUAACUAAAAAAUUGUUUACCUUAAACUCAUUUAACAUCGCCUGACGUAUGCCGUUUGGGAUCUGACUCCAAGAGUGAUAAGCCUGUGUAAAAAGUCUCCUCACAGAGUCUAUUAAAGCUAGGGCAGCAUCCUUUGCAGGAUUCCACCUGCAAAAGAAAUAAUAAACAUGUAAGUUCAUGAAUAAUAUAUUAAAAAUGCCACAAUAAGUAAAAUAAAGUAACAAAUAGAUGAUAAAACAAACUUACGAUGACCCAUUCGAUUCAAUCAUGACUGUGCAAAUCCUGUCCCUCUGUCCUGGUGCUAGAUCAGAUGUUUCAUCUAGUGUAGCACUGGGUGUAGGUGUUGGUGAUACACCAAGAUGCACAUAGUGCUGAGUCAAUCUAGGUGUACCGGCCAUAACAUCUGACUGUUCACUACUAGAAUCUCUAAUCCUCGUGGCAGAUAGUUGCAGAGAUAUACCUGUGGGAGAUUGACAGGGAGAUGGAGUACCAGCCAAAGACCUAGCUGCCGAUAAUGUUCAUGCUCGAUGAAUAGCGUGUAAAGAUAGGUCCUCAUAGUGUUGUGGAGGCAAUGACUGUGAAGUAGAGGAAGCACCGAUUGGUUGACUGUAUUUAGGAUAAUAUGCUCGAGGAUCCACCGUACCAAAUGGAACAGCCAAUAAAUGGCUAUCAUGAGUAAUGCGCUCCAGGUUAGAAGAAUGAAAUCUUGGAAUAUAUGGGUCUCCUAGACUUUUUCUUUUUGGUCUUAUUAGGCUAGCUAGCUCCAAGAUGCUCGCGAGAUCUAUCACCUCACCCCUAAUGACAUCUGUAUACAAAUUUACAUUAAUAAUAUAUAAAAAUCAUAAAUUAAAUAAAAUUAGUAUUAUAAAAAUAAAUAACUUACAAACUAGCUAUAUAGUCUAUCAUUCUACUGAUCAUUCCUCCUCACUUGUUUGAAUUCCAUCAGUCUCCCAUUCUUCCUCCUCAGUUGUUUUAUUUUCAUUAUCAUAUUCUUCGUCAUCAUAUGAAUAAUUUUCCUCAUCCUCAUUUACGUCUUCCUUAACAUUUAUUAGUAUCUUAUCAUUAGAUAGUUCUUCUAAUAUGUGUUGAGGAUGUUCUAGUGUCGUUUCCAAUUCCACAUCAACUUGUUGUUGAACAAUUGCAACCUCAUUUUGGUACACCACAUCUAAGACAUUGUAAAUUCCAUUUCUUCCCAUAGGUUUUGUCUUUAUGACAACCCACCAAUCAACUUUGUCUCUAUGCAAUGAAUAUGGAGUUUAAUACACUUGUUUAGCAUUUUGUGCAAUGAUGAAAGGUUCAUAACUUCUGUAUUUUCUAGUGUGCUUAGCUUCAAUUAUAUUAUGUUGUUGGUCCACUUUUGUGCCUCUUCGUGAUGGGUCAAACCACUUUCACCGAAAUAAUACGAUCUUCUUUUUAGGACAACCUGAAUACCUUACUUCAAUAAUCUCAUGAAUGAUACCAUAAUAUUCAAUAGUUUGGCCAGUACCAUCAACAUCACCUUGUAUGAAGACACCGCUAUUAUUUGUUUUAUUAUUCCUAGAAACUGCUUUAGUUUAAAACUUAAAACCAUUGACACAAUACUUAUUCAUUGUCUAAAUUUGAGAUUCAGGUCCUAGUGCAACUUCCUUCACUAAUUGCAAAUGUUUGACAUUUGAGUAUUCAUCGUAAACCUAUAUAUUUUUGUUUAAAAUAAUAUAAUUUAGUAUAAAAUCAAUACAUUAAUAAAUACUUAUUGAUUCAAUGUAAGCUUGCAUACUUACAUAUUUUGUUAGCUAUUUGGAAAAUUCUGUAUAGAUGGCUUCAUUACCCCAUGUGUUUACGAACAAGCGGAUCACUAUAUAUUCAGAUAUUUUGUUAGUUAAUGAACACUUAUUAGUAUGCAUGUAAUUUGAUAAUAUUUUUUUUAACACUUACUUGAGAUAUGGUUGAAUCGUUGGACAAUUAAGAAAAAUAUGUGUCACAACUGAUUGCAUUUCCAUACUAGUGAAUCUUCGCUUUCCAUGUAUUUUAGAUCCUCGACCAUUUUGAUUAAAAAAUAAUAUCGGUGGAAAUAAAGGGUCAAUAUCACCUUCAUCAUUGCGAUUGGGCCUGUUUCUCCUACAUGGCACAUCAUUUCUAAAGUAAUAAGAAUAAAAAUUACUAGUUUGUCUAGAAAUAUAACCUUGAACAACUGAUCCUUCGAUCUUUCCCCUUUACUUAAUUGUUUGCUUGGAACUGCCAAUUUUUCUGCAUGUAUAUAUUUAUAUAUCCUAAAAAAAGAAAAAAAAACUUAAUGAUUAACUAUUUUACUUAGUUAAUAUUUCAAUGUUACCUCUCAAAUAGAUACAUCCAUCUUGUUUGAACUGGACCUCCAAGGCGGGCCUCUUGUACAAGGUGAAUAGGAAGAUGCUCCAUCACAUCAAAUAAACCACAUGGAAAGAUAUUCUCCAACUUAGUAGUAAUAACAGGAACAUUUUCUUCCAUCCUAUCUAAACUCUUCUCCAACAACAUUCAAGAACAUAGAUCUUUAAAGAAAAGACUUAUCUCUGUGAUUGGUUUUCAUAUCCUUUCAGGUAGAUGCCUAAAAGUGAUAAGAAUUAAAGUUUUCAUGAAUACAUGACAAUCAUGACUUUUCAUACCUAUCAUUUUUCCUUCAUUCAUAUCCGCCCGCUUUCCUAAAUUCUAAGCAUAGCCCUCCGGUGUCCUCAAAUUUUUAACCCACUCACAAAUUUCCCGUUUUUCAUCCAAUGAGAAUGAAAAACUGGCUUUAGGCUUAACUAUUUUACCAUUUUGUAAUUCCUGCAGCCAUAACUCUCUUCUCCUACAAUAUUCCUUUAUGUCCAUUCUAGCUUUUGAAUUGUCUUUUGUAUUUCCCUUAAUAUCCAUCAGUGUGUUAAACAAAUUGUCAAAAUAAAUCUUUUCAAUGUGCAUCACAUCAAGAUUAUGUCGUAGCAGAUUGCCCUUCCAAUUUGGCAACUCUCAAAAUAUGCUUUGUUUGGUUCAAUUAUGUUCAACACCAUAUCUAGGAAGCCUAGAAGGUGAAGCUUCUGUAACUUUAGGUAAUUGAGAAACUCUCUCAAAAAUUUGAUGCCCUGUGAGUAAUGGAGGUGGGGGGGGGGGUCACUUUCAAUCUUAUUUUUCCUGAAUGCAUUUUUCAUCUUUCCAAACUCAUGGUCCAUUGGCAAGUACUGGUGAUGAUAAUCACACCAUGUAUCUUUUUCUUCCAUAUUUUAAAGUGAAUGCCUUCCUAAUAUCCAUGCAAUAUGGACAUGGUAGCUUUCCAGCUGUCAUCCAACCAGACAACAUCCCGUAUGCAGGAAAAUCAUUAAUAGUCCACAUUAAAGAAGCACACAUAACGAAAUUCUACUUAGUUGAUAUAUCAUAAGUCAAAAUCCUUCAACUCACAAUUGUUUGAGCUAAUCUAUCAAUGGUUGUAAAUAGACAUUAAUCAAGCUUUUUGGAUUACGAGGACCUGGAAUAACACAACUUAGAAAGAUGUAGGACUGGUCAUGCACAUUUAAGGAGGAAGAUUAUACGGAGUAAGAAAUACUAGCCCGUAUGAAUAAGGGGAAGCAACAUUAGAGAAUUGUGUGAAGCCAUCUGUACACAACCCCAAUCUAACAUUUCUUGGUUCACUAGCAAAAUCAGGAUAUACAUUAUCAAAAUGCUUCCAUGCUUCACCAUCAGAUGGAUGAGAUAAGACACCCGGUGGCCUUCUAUAUUUACGAUGCCAUCUCAUAUGUGGGGCCGACCUCAUCGAUGCAUACAACCUCUUUAACCUAGGAAUACGAGGUAGAUAUUGCAUCGCCUUAACUGGGACUAUCUUUCAAGUCGGAGUCCUCUUAUAACGAGAAUGUCCACAAAAUUUACAAUUUUCUAAUUCACUAUCAGUCUUGUAAAACAACAUUCAACUCUUAACACAACAAUGAAUUCAAUCAUAGAUCAAUCCUAACUUGAAAAUCAAACGCUUUGCCUGAUAGAAGUUCUUAGGUAUGUUAAACUCCAGAUUAACUAGUCCACCCAAAAGAUCAACCAUUGAGUCCAUAGCCGCAUUAUGAACAUUCCAAUCUGAUUUAAUAUUCAUUAAUCUAAUCGCAACUGACAAGGCAGAAUGUGGACUCCCUUCACAUAGUGCACGACUAGACUUUUCUACUUGAUCAUAGAAGCGUCUUGCUUUUUCAUUAGGAGCUUCAUCAAAAUAUUGUUCUGGUUCCAUCCCACCUUGAACUCUGAAAGCAUUAUUGAUCAUUUCAUGAAUCCUAUCAUGUUCAACCUUAUCAUCAUGUUCAACUAAUUUGGCCAUGUGGUGCAAGAAUAUUAUAUUCAUCCACAUGCAUCGAAUUAUAAAACAUACCAUUCAAUCCAUCUCUUUCUCCAUGAUCAAUCCAUGCAAAAUAUCUAAGCUUAAAUCCAUUACGAUACAAAUGAACCAUGACUGUAUGUGGUUAAAAAAAAAAUUAAACACCUACAUGAACUACAAGGACACCUAACAAAUCCAUUAUUCUUGAAAAUAUCAAGUGUCAUUCUAUGUUCAAUAAAAUAUCUAACAUCAUAAAAAAACUCAGGUUUCAAACCAGCACCAGUUUCAUAAUGCAUAUUAUACAUCCGCAAACGAUGAUCCAUCUACAAAAAUAUAGAUAUUCAAUUAUAUUAUAAAUUAAAUUGAAUAAUAGUUUUACUACAUUAAACUAAUUUAUAUUGUUAAUAUAAAUACUACAUUUCAUGAUCUACAAAGGUAAAGCUUAAUUAAUUAAGAAUACUAAUUAAUUAAGUUCAAGUUCUAGUUAAGUUCAAAGUUAAGUUUAUAUUCCUAAUUAACUUUUCAAAUUAUUAUAAAUUAAUUAAGGUCAACAAGAUUUCAAGCUCAUAUUACUAAUUAGGUUCAAGUUAUAGUAAAUUCAAUUUAUAAUUAAUUAUAAGUUUUAAUUAAGUUGUAAUUCAAAUCCCUAAAAUUCCAAAUUCAAACUAGCUACUCCUAUAAUCCCAAAUUUAAACAAUUAUUCUUAAAAUCUCAAAUAUAAUUCAAACAAGUCCUAAAUUCUAAAUUCAAACUAGUCUUAAAAUCACGAAUCCAAACUAGUCCUAAAAUCCCAAAAUCAAACUAGUGCUAAAAUCCCAAAUUCAAACUAGCUAGUCCUAGUAAAUCCCAAAUUCAAACUCUUAGUCCUAAACUCUCAAAUAUAAUUCAAACUAUUCCUAAAUUUCAAAUUCAAACUAGUCUUAAAAUAACAAAUUCAAACAUGUCCUAAAAUUUCAAAAUCAAAUACUGCUAAAAUUCCAAAUUCAACUAGAUAGUCCUAAUCCCAAAUUCAAACUAUUAGUCCUAAAAUCCAAAAAUCAAACUAACUCAAAUAAUACCCAAAUUCAAACAACUCCUUAAAUACCCUAAUUCAAACUAGUCAUAAAAUCCCAAAAUAAAACCGAUUAACUCAAGAAAUACCCAAUUUCAAACAAAUCCUAGGAUACCCUAAUUCAAACUAACCCUAACAUUAUAUAUUUCAAUUCACUCACUAUCUAAUAAUCCCUAAUUCAAACUAACAAUCAAUAAACAACAAAAUCAAUAAACUAAUGAUAUUUAAAUAACUAACAAAAUCAAAUAUAUCUCAAUUUGAUUUUUUUUGGGAUAAAUUUAAGCCUAACCUUAAAGGAGAAGGAGAGAAUGAUGAGAGAGGGUAAGGUGGCGGCGGCGGCUCCGGCAGGUACAUGCUCGCAGCGGAUCCAACAGAUCUUGAUGACUCGAACCAGCGGCAACAAUGAACGGAGGGACAUCGGCGGCGGUGAGGAGUGGAGAGAAGGAGGAGAGAAUGGGAAAUGUGCAAUGGGGGAAAUCGCGUCUGUAUCUAUCAGAUAUAUAAUGAAAAGCGAUGGACAACGUCUCUAUGUCCAUCACUUUUUUAAAAAUAGUUUACCAACAUUUUGACCAAAAAGUGACGGAAAAAGAGACACUGUCCGUCGCUUAUUUAAAAUAUUUUGACCAAGAAGCGACGGACCUAACGAAGUCGUCCGUCUCUUUCAUAAUUUUUUUUAUUAAAAUAAAAUAUAUUAAAAGCGGCGGACGAUAUGGCUAUUGUUUAAUUUAUAUAUAAUUAUUUUUAUUUAAAAGCGACAGACAACAUUUAUAUCUAUAUUAAAUAAAUAGUUAUUAAUUAUAUAUAUAUGGCGCAAAAAUCUGUGAAAAAAGCGACGGACUAAGAGAUGCCGUCCGUCGCUUUUUGUAAAAUUCUUUAAAAAGUAAUUCUUUUUAUUAAAAACUGACGGACAGUGUGGAAAAUGGAGUCGCUUUUUGGAGCGACCCCGUCCGUUGUUUUUUAGCAGUUUUUUUAGUAGUGAGAAACUACUACAAUACCACAUUAUCUUCUUCGUGAAAGUUAAGAAAAAUAUUAUAUGUGAAAGUAAGAUGUUGGUGUUAUGUAUGUGUAUUACUAAAGGGCUGGUGAAAUGGAAAUAGUUUACAAAGUUGAAGGGAUGAUUUGUAGUAUCUAAAAAAGCUGGAGAGUUCUGCUUAAAAGUCAAAAUAGAUGGGCGAAGUGAAGAUUUAGUCGGUGAUUCACUAACAAAGUAUGUGAGCAAUAGCUAUCUCGCCAAAAGGUUUUGGGUGUUUCGCUACAUAUCAAGAAAAUAUGGGUGAGCAGAGGUAUUACUGUGCGACUCGCCGACUGUGAAUGGUGAUGGGCAUCAGGAUUGCUAACGGAUGGUUAAAACACCCGAAGCCUAAAGUUAUGGAAGGAAAAGGGAGAAUAUAUGUUAGUCGGUGACUCGCCGAGUAAGUCACUGAGCCCGACUAACAUAGUUGAUUGAGUCUGGAAACAAAAUUGGUACUAACUAUUGAGAAGAGAGAGAAAACUCAUCUUCGAUUCUCUAAAUUAGAGUACACAAGAACCUUCUAAAGAAUUUCUAGUUUUAGAAAUCUACAAAGUGAAUAUUAUGGGUUUUGUCAUUGGGUUUUCUUGAAUUUGAAGUUUGAUCCAUGCAAUUCAAAUGGAGAACAACUAUUUUGAUAUGAUUUGUUUAAUUUUCAAUAUGAGUAGCUAAAACACCUAAUCUUGGGGUGUGCUAAUAAAAAUCGGUUUUUUAUUAGAAUAAUGGGUAGUUGUGAAUUACUUGAAUUUAUAUUAAUUUCACUGAGUUAAGUUUAGUUACUAUGUUUGAAUUAAUUAUUUUAUAUUGCAAAUUCUAGGUUAGAUUAUAUCUUCAUGUUUUUCUUGAUAAAAAUUGCAUGAAAUGGAUAAUUAGAUUGAUAAGUAUAUAGUUGCUAUGUUUGCUUGAGAAACCUAUUUAGGCUUUAUAGUCAAAUGCUAGAUUUACUUGAGAAAGAAAUAUAUGUUAAGGUCUUUGAUUGCCUUGGCAUUGUUUGCACUAGAGGUUUAAGAAAGCUCUUGUGAAAAAUAAGUUGUGAUUAAGAAAUGCAUCUCCUAUUUUCGAUUGAUCUAGCCUACUGACUAGGAUUUAAUAUUAUUAUGAAAUUGUAUUUACCCAUGUUCGUAAUCGAUUCCCCAUUGCAUCACUUCUAGACUCACUUCAAUGUUGUUAAACACUCUUGUCUACUUGCCUUUGGAAAUCGAUUAUUAUCUAAACUCUUUUAAUUUUAAAAUUUGUGACAUCUAAGACAUGUAUUGUGUCAAACAUUGGUUGUUACCUUCCUACAAAAUAUUAGCUAACAAAUUCAACUUCGUAAUUGAAGUCUAACAAAGACCACUCCCUAUGAGAUACGACCCUAACCUUGUUAGGUUCUUUAUGAUCAAUGGUUGCUUACUCACUGAUUUCUAAGAUGGGUAAUUGUGCGUCAUCAAAAGGGUGCCGCUUCUAGGGAUUGUUCCUAAAAAUUCAUUUAGUGCAGUUCUUUUGUGAACUGAUUUGUUUCUAGUCAAACCCUCUUACCAUUACUUUCCGUGUUGUGUUCUCAAUAGGUGAAGAUGAGCGUCAUUGGUAGAAAUGUUGCUAUCAACCAUGGAAUGAUGGAUGACGUAUAAAACUUUAUUUGAACGUGGAAGAUCAUGGCGUACAAGAGCUAUUUUCUUUCCCCCAACUGGCGGCAACGCCAUAUUCAAUGUGACCGAGACUAUGCUUCAACCACUCCAAAUGGAAGGGCUAUUUGGAGGUGUAGCUACUGAAGAUCCUCAUGAAUACAUUCAAAACAUUUUGGAUGUAUGCGGUCCAUUUAAUUUCUUAAAAAUCACACAAGAAUCCGUCUGGCUGAGGUUGAAGCGACAAAGUGGUUAGCGGACUUGCCAAUGGAUUCACUCACCUCAUUAAAGGUGCCCACCAAAACAUUAUUUGAAAGAUUCUUUUCCGUGUCAAAAAAUUUUAAGCUUAGGGAUAGUAAUAAAAAAUCCAAAAAAAUUGACAGUGACCCAAUACAUGAAACGUUGCUGAGGUACCAAAAAAGUUGUUAUAAUGACCCACUCACGGGAUACGAGAUAAUGUCUUGCUACAAUACUUGUACCGGAGCAUUUUGUCUCAACCCCAGACUAUCCCCAAGUCAUAACACAGUGCUUAGAGUUACAAGUGAUCCCAAGCUAACCCUUGAUACUCACAUAGUCAUAAGCAACUAAGUAUGAACAGGUUAUAGAAUUAAAAAGACUUGAACGAAAGCAUAAUUAUGGAACACUUGUUCAAUAUAUUUUGUAACAAACUUUUAUAUACAACAACUAUAAUAAAAAAGAAUGUGGAAUAAAAUAGACAUAAUACAACAACUCUAACUAAGUAUAUAUAAAGCCUCUUCUAAUAUAGUUUAUAGGAAGCCAAGACAUGACCCUUGCUCCAUUUAAUUAGUACAUGUUAAUAGAAAUAACAUACCAGUAGUAUAAACUGACUUGAGUGCUAGAAAUACGAGAGCUCAUCACCUUCAAGCUGGAAGCUGCAAUCCUGUCACGCCGUAAUUUCUCGAGUCAUGAUGGCACCCAAUAUACCUCACCACUAGGUAAGCCAACCCAUAACAUAAAUAAAUGAGCAUAAGACUAGAAGCUAGCGAAAACAAUAAUCUAAACAGAGGACAAUAACGCGGAAGAAAACAAAAAUAAAUAUAAUCAGAAAUCCCUCCCAGAACCUGGAAGUCACUAGUACAGAGUUGUUUAAUUAAGAAUACAAGUUCCAAAAGUGGACCACAAAAAAUGUGUCACAAAAAGCAACAAGACUAGAUAAAACAAAAGAAGGAGACAAGAUAAACCUAGAACGACAAGUACUCACCCUUGUCUCAAAACCACAAUUACAAAAGAUGGCACGAACGAUCACUGCUUGUGGAAGGUACUAGCACAUGCAUGAAAAAAAGAAGAAAAGUGUAGCAUAAGUGCAAAAAUAAGGUACCGAGUAGGUUUCAUAGGCCGAUUGAGCAAGAAUGGUAAAAACAAUCAGAAAAAGAUAGAAUCUAGACACAACAAAAGGUCAAAGCAGGAAAGAAAGAAGGCACACGAGUAUAGAAAGUAAAGCUAAGUAUAGAUAAACUAAACCGAAUUGGACCUCAUAAGCCCAAAAGUUACACUCGUGAACAAGUUUAAAUAAACUGAAAUGGAUCCCCAUAACUCCGACAAGUACACAAAAUAACUAAGACUACAAGAAUAAGAUACUUAAAUCCAUGUCCCAAAGAAGUCAACUAGGUCUUGAACCCAUAGUGAUAGGAUCUAGGCCUGAAAACCAAAGUUGAAGAAGCUAGGUUUUUAACCCAAAAUUAUAGCAUCUGUGACUCGAAUCCAAGGGUAAAAAAUAUGGGCCUCGAACCGAAGACAUCAUUCUCAAGCGGGAAAUAACGUCCUCGAACCGUAAAAUGUCAGCCUCGAACCAUAUAUAAGCAUUGCAGUCAACCAACUCAUAACUUAACUAACAAUAGUGCCAAGGGUGUGUCAAUUCCAAGGAGGAUCCACUGUCAAGUUGAGUCACCAUGGGAUGCCGCACACCCAACGGUAUAAACUGAAGGCUCCAAGCCUAGUACAACUCAAUCUCAUAUCGUCGUAUUAGCAUAACCAUGUGAUAAUACCUUGAAACAUCAGAAACAGAGAGAGAGAGAGGAUAUAAUAUCUAAUAAGCCAUAAACUCACCUAAACUAAGACUUAUACUAUUAGACUCAAGUCUGCUAUUCCAGUCUACAAGUAUCUAGUCUGUCUGAAAUGAUGUUGGAGACAAAUAAAAGCAAAAAAGUUUGAUAGUCUAAGGAAACACUAGUCUAUCCUAGUCGAAGGCUGGUCAUGCAUUAGAAAGCUAGUAAAUUGAUGUAAUUCAUAUACCAUACAUAAACUAAAACCACCCAACUAGCAAGGUACUAUGAUCAAAAUAAUGUCAAUCAAACAUAAGAUAUGGAAUCUAAGAAGAGAGGUAAGAAUACUAGUCCCCACCCCUAAUAACACUAAUAAACAUGAGUUCACACAUUCAUGCUCAAUUAGAUAGAAGGUAAGCCGUAGCCUACCUUUAUGCCGACCACAGGCGCUCCAAAUCACCCUGCUAGAGCUUUUCCUUUCAGAACGUCCUUUGAAUGCCACCACACUAUCAAUUAUAGGACCACAAUGUUAGUAUGAUCGUUUAGACACCAAAAUCACAACAAAUGGAGAUGGGUCAAUUUUGGAGAGAAAAUAGAAACAUGGGACCCACACUGGACUUUCUAGAUGUCAUGACCGAAGGGUUACACCCUAGACGUAUCUUGACGUAGUUGACCCCGAAGGAGUGUCAUACAAGCCCUUAGCAUAUCAUAACAUAAGAUAAUAUAAAAGUACGGAAAUUGAAAAACAUAAUCCAUACAAUGGAAAAUAUUCUUUUAAAAAUCAAGCUGAAGUCUUGACUACACUUUUGUCUCAAACCAUCUACUAAAAGCUCUUGAAUAAAAGUCUUGGGAUGCAACCUACAUAAAAGUCUAAAGCAUAAAGAAAUGACAUAAGGAAAUGUAAUGGGUUUGUCCUCGAAGCUAUGAGGAGUCACCAAGUCUUCAAGUCUUCUUGCUUCUUAGAAACCUAGCCUCCAAAGGAACUAAAUCUCCAACACCCUACAUUUGAUUAGAAUGUAGGCAAAGUAUGCGUUAGUACAAAAUGUAGCAAGUACGAUAGCUAGCACAACAUCAUAAGAGCAUCUCAAAAUAGUUAGUCAACAUAAGACAUAAGCCUAGAGAUAAUGACAUAAUCAUAGCAUAAUCUCUAACAUAAUCAUCAUAUAAUCAUAUGUCAACAUAAGACAUAAUAAAUGAGCAUAAGGGAUACAUCAUAUUCAUAGCAUAGUCUUUACUUAGACUUUCACAUUUACAUACUUCAACCUCUAGUCUUUCAUAUUACAAGAGAACUACUUCACAAGCCACCUCAACGCAUACUUGUGCAAGGCAAGGAUAUCAUCCAAUAAUACCAUCCAAGCUAAGUACCCCUUUUUGGUCAUUCUUGGGCAUAGUUCCCAUUCAUAGUCAAGACCUAGGUUUUCAUGUCAUAGGAGGAGUAUACUCCAAAGUAACCUCAAAGCACACAUGUGCAAUGCAUGUGUGGCAUCCCAUACUACCACACAUACUAAGCAUAUCUUUGAAAUCACUCUAUUCAUGCUUACUACUCAUAGGUGUCAUUCUAGACCUACUUUAUAUUGACAAGGAACUAUCAUCUUAAGACAAUCAUAUCGUGGAAGGAAACCAUAGCAACAAUCCAAGCUAAGCCUACAUCACAUAAGAGAACACUUCAUAAGUAGCUUCAAGUCAUACUUGUGCCAUGUGUGAAUGGCAUCCAACACUACCAUCCACACUAAGUACUUCCUUAGGCUAUCUUACUCAAUGCUUACUAUUUAUCAUCUAGCACUAUCAAAGAAUAGCACCCUACUAGGCUAGACCUAACUACCAUGGAAAACACACUAUCAUGCAAAGCAAAGCUAUACAAGUAAAUGUAUAAGUAUUCCAAUCUAGCUAACAUGCAAGCAUUCAACAAUGCUAAUACAUGCUACCCUUAAGGGAGUGUGUAUCCUCAACCCUAAUUUACUCUUAGGGGAGUGUGUAUCCUCAACCCUAAGCUACCCUUAGUAGAGUAUAAGUCCUCUAUCCUAAGCUACCAUGGAAUGGUCUUGGCCAAACCAAGUCAUGCUACCAUGAAGGCAAUCUAACAAUGCUAGUACAAGCUACACUUAGGAGAGUAUUGAUGCCUAAUCCUAGGAUACCAAGCUACCAUAAAAAAGAUCCUACCAAUACUAAUUCAAGCUAACCUUAGGAGAGUAUAAAUCCUCCAUCCCAAGCUACCAUGAGAACUCCUAACUCAUGCCACCUAAGUGAACUAUACAUGAAGGGAUCAUAAGUAACAACUUCAAGCUAUUUUAUUCUAACAGGCAAUGAUUCCUUUUAGGUGAUUAGCCUUUCAAUCUAGAACCAUGCUAUAUGAGAAAACCAUUCCCAUUCUACGUACAAUCAUUCAUGACUAGGUAGAUUAGGAGAAUAAAAGCCUUUAACAAUAACCCAACACACUAGUAUACUCAUGUUAUGCAAGUUAUCUCUUCAUAUUAGACUUACUCUAAAUCCCUAGUGAUCAUCAUCGUUUAUUUCAAGCCCUACAUUCAAGGUUUACUUUAUAAUCCUCAUAUUAGUCUACAACACAAUACAUAUUAAUCACAUGCCUUAAUCAUAGGCAAUUCUAGGCAUAAUUCAUCAUAAAGUCCCAAAGUUAUUCAUUACUACUCAUGAUCUAUCAUACAUUCCUCAAUGUAGUUCAAUUCAUGAGUUCAUAUUCCUAUUCUUGAACAAGUUCUAAACAUGAUGACAAUUUAGAAGAUCUAUCAAGAAUAAUCAAUUUCUCCUCACAAGGUACAAACCCACAUACAUUGAUUUCUUCUGUUAACCAUGAAAUUCACAUAAAUUCAUCAUAAUAUAAUGAAUCAACACUAAAUUAACCAUAAAUAAGUAUUAUCCAACCAAUUGAAGUCAUACCCAACUAUAUCCACACAUUGGAAGAAACCCUAGCUUAGAUUAGGGUUCUUCUUCACAAAUUUGGGGGAAUUCUAGGGGACUCUAUGGGUGGAGGAACCCAUAGAUGAAAAGCUAAUCAUACCUUAAUCAAAGACCUAACACAAGCUCUCAACAAUGCCGCCUUUGUUUUUUACCUUAGCUUCAAGCUCUAGCUUCUUCUUCAACGGAGGUUUUCUAGAGAGAGAAAUAUUUGAAAGGGGAUUGAGUUGGGGUUUUGAUUCUAAAUGACUUAGUUGGGGUGGUUAAUGACUUAAAAUACUUUUAAUAGGUGUAUAAAACACAUAUAAAAUGACCCCCACUUAAAACUAGUUAAAUAGGAAUUUCCUAUUUUAACCCUCAUUUGGCAACCAUGGUGCUAGGCACCACGACAGGGCUCACGAGACGUGGUGAUGACCACGAGCCGUGCUCCUGCCAGUGGUCCCUUGGGCAGUGGUUUGGCCAAUGAGUUUUGGCCUCCCAAGACUAAGGCAUGACUGCAAUACAUCCCACGAUCGGUGGUCAAGACCAUGAGUCAUGGUCUUGGGAUAGUAGCUUGGCCUCAGGGCCUUGCCGCCCACACGCAUAUGGGGUCUUCACGAGCCCCUUCACGGACCGUGGUCAAGACCACUGGUCGUGAAGGUGGUUGUGGAACUUGAGUAGUAGCUUGCCAAGGUUGGGGCAAUCCUUGGCCUUUGGCUUAGGCGUUUCCCCUUUGCCUUGGCACUUGCCCUUGCCUGCUCAACCAAACUCUAAAUGUUCUUCUAAACUAUGGGGUAUAACAUGUGCCUUGACGUUGGACGUCCUAACUCUUCAUUCUAAGCACGGGAAGGGAAGUCUCAUCUACUACUCUAACCCUCAACAUUAGACUCUAAAACCCAAGUUGAAGGCUCUAGUUUUGUCUACUAGUUUCUGGGGCAUUACAAUAUCUUCCCCUUGGGAACAUUCAUCCACGAAUGACAAUUCUAAACACUUCUUAAAGGAAAUGACUCUAGACUAGCAGCCCAUCGUGCAUGCAAUAAAUCUAAAUGCACACAACCAAGGAGGAAAACUUCCCUUCCAAGAUAAACAUACUCAAUGCAACACAAUGGAGUGGGAACUACAUCUAACAACUCAAAAUGCAUGAAAUCUUAUAUAUAUUCAUUUUUAAUGAGGAACUAACAUUUCUUAGCUAAGACAUGCUCAACAUACACUAAUGGAGCGUAAAUGAAAAUUGACUUAAGUGUACUACAACAUGAAGCAAAACAAUGCAUAUAAGUGAUUCCUAACAAGACCUAAGCAUUAUUAUGAACAUGCAUAUAAGAAAAUCAUGUCAACACAUAUCCAUACAAUAACCUUACUAGAUAGGCACACUAUUUCCCCCUUGGGAGUAAGCUUACACAAGCUCUUCUAAACAUAACUCAUACUAGGGACAAUUUCAAAGUCCAACAUAACAAGUCAUAAAAGACAAGAAAUCCGGAAAUUUACUAAAGCAUAAAACACAUAUCGGAAGGGACAUGAGGAGAUCACUCUUGAUAUUAUCUAGAUUGGAUAGCAUAAAACCUUCUGUUCUUUUGAGGCUUCACAUCCCCACUAGUAGAGGCAACUUGCUUACCCUCUCUUCUUGUCACCUUUGCCUUUGGACAAUCUUUCAUCAUGUGGCCACUCUCACCACAACUAAACCAACCUUCUCUACCGGCCAAACAGCUACCCUCAUGUCUCUUACCACACCUAGCACAAGAGGGCCAUAGGGACUCAUUACUUAUCCCUUGUGGCCUAGGGGUAGAAACCCCCUCCUCCUUAAGCUUAGUAGUAUUCGAAGAGCCAUGUCCGGAAAACUUUUGUCAAUUUCUAGAACGACCAUGCCCAUCGGACCCAUGAUGAAAUGACCUAUCACCAUCCUAGACCUCUUUUUCUCCUUAUAUUUCUCUUCCUUGAGUUUUUGUUCUUCCAUUUGUUGGGCAUGAACCAUGAGGUGUGAGAUAUCAAUAUUAUCAACAAAGAUUGCUUUACGACAUUCUUUUGCUACCAUGUCGGACAUACCCGAGAAAAACCUAUUCAUCAUGUCCUUGGAUUGGAGACCAUGGAUGGAGCAUACUUAGACAAUAGAGUAAAUUUCAAUGCUUACUCUUUCACACUCAUAUUGCCUUUCUUAAGAUUGAUAAACUCUCCCAGCCUGGCUUCCCUCAACUCCCGGGAAAAGAACCUAUCUAGAAAUGCUUCCUUAAAUGUUUCCAACACUAUUGGGCCCGCUUCUACCGGCCGAGAAUAUUUCCAUUGUUCAAACCAUAUUUGAGCAAAAUCCUUCAAUUAUUAAGCGGCUAGCUCUGCUUUUUCCACCGAGGUUUCUCCCAGAAUAGCAAGAACCUUGUAAACUUCUUCUAUGAACCCAUUUGGAUCUUCUUCCACUGCCACUAAACUCCGGAAGGUUCAUCCUCUAAAACUCCUUUACUCUAGAAGCGACCAAAUCCUUAUUGGGUUUUUCGGAGCCACAACAUCUCUAUUGGCAUGCGCCGUCAGGGCUUGAGCCAAUAGUUGCAUAAAACCCCUAAACUCCGCAAGAGUGGCAUUCUCCACCGGAGGGUCAUUAGAAGCUUGAGGAGGAGCUUGAAGUGGAACUUGGAGAGUAACCUCUUGCUCUCCAUUUUCUUCCUCAUCUCUCCUCGCAUUAGCCCUUAUAUUAGCCAUACCCUGAGAAAUCAUAGGGCACACAUUAGAAGAAGGACCUACUAGAGCUAAAUUCUGUAGCAGGACUUAGAUAAUGAAGAAGUGAGAUUUCCUAAACAUCCAAUAGCCUCUUAUUCAUAAACGUGGAGCGCUUCACAUUUAUGAACAAGAAUUUGCUAGACAUGGUUUAAGACAAUCCUAGAACAAUUCUAAACCUUGUGCUCUGAUACCAAGUUUGUCACGACCCAUGGGUACACCCUAGACGUAACAUGGCGUACUUGACCUUGAAGGGGUCUCAUACAAGCCUUGAGAAUGUCAUAACAUAAGAUAAUAGAAAAGUACGGAAAUUUAAAAACAUAAUCCAUACAAUCGAAAACAUUCUUUUAUAAAGCAAGCGGAGGUCUUUACUACACUUUUCUUUCAAACCAUCUACUAAAAUCUCUUGAAUAAAACUCUUGGGACGCAGCCCACAUAAAAGUCAAAAACAUAAAGAAAUGACUUAAGGAAACAUAAUGGGUUUGUCCUCGAAGCUAUGAGGACUUACCAAGUCUUCUUGUUUCUUAGAAAUCUAGCCUCUAAAGGAACCCAAUCUCCAAUACCCUACAUUUGAUUAGAAUAUAGGCAAAGUAUGCGUUAGUACAAAAUGUACCAAGUAUGAUUGCUAACACAACAUCAUAAGAGCAGCUCAAAAUGGUUAGUCAACAUAAGAUAUAAGCAUAAGAGAUAAUGACAUAAUCAUAACAUAAUCUCCAACAUAAGCAUCAUAUAAUCAUAAGUCAACAUAAGACAUAAUAAAUGAGCAUAUGAGAUACAUCAUGUUCAUAGCAUAGUCUUUACUUAGACAUUUACAUUUCCAUACUUCAACCUCUAGUCUUUCAUAUUACAAGAGAACUACUUCACAAGCAACCUCAAAGCAUACUUAUGCAAGGCAAGGAUAGCAUCCCAUAAUACCAUCCAAGCUAAGUACCCCUUUUUGGUCAUUCUUGGGCAUAGUCCCCAUUAUUAGUCAAGAGAUAGGUCUUCAUGUCAUAAGAGCACUAUACUCCUAAGUAACCUCAAGGUACACUUGUGCAAUGCAUGUGUGGCAUCCCAUACUACCACACACAUUAAGGAUAUCUUUGAAAUCACUCUAUCCAUACUUACUACUCAUAGGUGUCAUUAUAGACCUACUUCAUAUUGACAAGAAACUAUCAUCUUAAGUCAAUCAUAUCAUGGAGGGCAACCCUAGCAACAAUCCAAGAUAAGCCUACAUCACAUAUCAGAACACUUUAUAAGUAACUUCAAGUCAUACUUGUGCCAUGUGUGAAUGGCAUCCCAUACUACCAUCCACACUAAGUACUUUCUUAGGCUAUCUUACUCAAUUCUUACUAUUUAUCAUCUAACACUAUCAAAAUAUAGCACCCUAUGUAACACCCCAUACUUUUCAACAUGUAUACGACUAAGUUAAUAGUGAUGAAAGUAUUUAAACUCAAGAAGUAAGGUGGUUAUUAAGAUUAAAUUCUAGAGUUGAGUGUUAACUUUAAAUUAAAAUAUUAGAAUUUGGAAAAUGAGAUAAAAUAAGUGAGGUGCUUGCUUGACUAAAUUAAGCUAGUAGUUGACAAGUAGGUGCAUCACCUACUUAGACUUUUUUACCAACUUAAUAAAAGUAAGUAAUUGCAUAACCUGCCAUAGCUAAAUAGAUUUAAUAAGAAGAAGUAGCUGCAUCACCUAGUUUGACAUUUGAGCAGCUUAAAAAUGGCCAAGUAGGUGGAUCACCUACUUGGCAAUUUAUGGACAAAAAUGAAGAAGAUAGAGGCGGUGGAGUACCAACAAUUAUAGGGUCAUAUUUGGCUCAUUUAUGUCUUAUUUCUUGCAUAGAAAAAAAAGGAAUUUAUCUCCAGCACCCUCUCUUUCACUCAAUGAUUAUGACAGCCACCUCAAAAGUACUCCAUGGGUUCUUGAAGAAACCCUCCUAAUUUCCAACCAAGGUAAGUAGAAACCAUAUGGUUUAGCUUGAUUGUUCCAUGAGAUUUUAUGUUUUUCAUGUUUAAAUAUGGUGCAGACCUUUCCCUAAGUUGUAUGCUCAUGUUUUCUUUGUUAUUAAUAGAGUUUCUCUUCUUAUUUUGUUCAAGUGUGAAGGGUAAUUAAAACUUUUGAAGGAGUACAAGUUAAGAGAACAAUUUUCCAGAAUUUGAGGUAAGGUUACUGCCCUAUUUUGUCUCACUAUAGAUAUUAGAUUGGGUAAUAUUUCUCUACGUGUUUUACUACAAAUUCAUGAAAAAAUGAUCGAAAGCAGUGAGUCAAAGUUUUAUUUAUUAUUUUAGAAAGGUUUGGGGCUGCCUAUACGCGGUGAAGUUUGGAGAAGUACUGGGUGGAUGGUUGGGUUUAUUAGUGGUAAAGGGCAUUUUUUAUUCCUAUAAAUGGUAGUGAGAGUGUUGUUUGUAAUUAUGAGGCCGUUGGGUGUUGAAACACCAUUUAUGAAUUGUAGAGCUUUAUACCCGCUAGGUGUUCGACAUAAUGUCGUAGUGGUCCAUUAAUUGACCUAUUUAUCCGAUUGUCAUGUAAUCAAUAUAUUUUGUAGAUUAUCAUGUGUAAUAUUGGCUAGCCUUCAGAGAAAGUCAUGUGAAAUGAUUUAGGGAAUAAAUGAAGAUACACCAUUUGAAUUGUGGGUUGUGUAGGCGUGCUGCCCCUUAGGUGUGUAUUUACUGUUUUGGAUGUUGUAAAUCCCAGGUAGUAUCGGAUGACCUCAUAUGGGAAGGUCAUAAAUUGUGUAAACAUGGCGAUAAAGGAAUUAGUGAAAAGAACACCCAUUAGUAGAGAGGUUUUGAGCUUGCUGCCCGACUAUAGUUUUGGUAAGUCGAAGUGAUCCAACCUUGUUUAUUAGCUGUUAAUAUUAGCUCUAUUACUUGCCAUUAAUGCAGAUUAACGCCUCAAAGGAAAGGCUGAUUCAUGGUACCACAUAGUAUUGGUCGGGAGACAAGGUAUGUAAGGCUAUUUGAUUCCAUAUUUUAUGGCAUGAAGUCCUAUAUUCUGUGUACCAACCAAGUGAGAUUUCUAAGUCAUCCUCAUGGAAAAAGAUACAAUGUGAGGGUGAACAGUCUCCAAAAAUAAUAAUCUCCCUUAUACCAUCCAUGGUUUCAAAAAUUGUGUCAAGCUACUUCUAUGCGUGUUCAUUCUCCAAUAUUGGUGUGUUUGUACUAUCAAGUAUUAUUAUGACCAAGGUACUCUAAACAGAAAAUUUCAUGAGUUAUCCACCAAGUCAAAUGAGGAUCAUUGAGUCAAUAAGAUCCUAAAUUAUACAUGUUGACAAGUAUUUGUAUGGCAGAUACACAUUAUGUCUAUUAUUCAUUUUAUAUGUCCUUACGUGAAAUGUGCAACACUUAUUUGCAAUCUGUCCUAUGCUUCAUUAGUUCACAUGUUUAUGCACCCUUACCUUUGAUAUCGUGUACUAAGUGUGUAGCUAUCGUAUCAUUAUAUGCACUCCUCUCCUCUCCAUUUCAGGAGUUAUAGUCUCUAUUUGAAAUGCAUGUAUGCCUCCAUUUGAGAUGUCCAAAUGUGUUUUAAAUGAACCAUGUGCUAGUAGAAUCACUCUUGUGAUACCACUUAAUGACUCAUUCUCUAUGUCCUCAUGUUCUCACUUGUUGUGUGUCUUCAUGGCCCAUUUACGAAUAUAUUUUAGGCCAAUCAGAUUCAUUGCGUCAUAUAAAUUGCAAAGUAUUACUACAUUGAUGUUACAUUUGUUUCUUAUGUCAUUACUACUGCCUCAAGUGUUUUUAUUCACUUGUUUACAUCACUGGUCUAUAGUCCCAAAGCCUAAAAAUAUUUAUGAACAGUCUCAAAGAUUAGAGAAAAGACGUAAAGCAAAUAUGUAUUAUUACGGGUAGAAGCUCAGCGGUUAAAAUACCUAGCAUGGACCGAUCCCAAUUGAUAUAUGUACGGGUGGCAGCUCAGGGGUUAAAAUAUCUAGCAUGGGCCGAUCCCAAUUGAUAUAUGUAUGGGUGGAAGCUCAGAGGUUAAAAUACCUUGCAUGGGCCUAUCCAAAUUUAUAUAUAUACGGGUGGCAACUCAAGGGUUACAAUACCUAGCGUGGGCCGAUUCUAAUUUGUAUAUGUAUGAGUACAACAUCCCAGGGGUUAAAAUGCCUAGCAUGGGUCAUCCUCUGAUACCACUGAUCAACUGGUCAUUGUAUCAAAUUAUACAAAAAAAGAAGAGUAAAGAAAAGCAAAGAAUGUAAGGUACUCAAUACCCCCAAAAAGAGUAAGCAAAAGUGGCCUUUCAUCCUUAUUUAUGAAUUUAUAAAUUGAUACAUAAUUUUACUUGAGCUCUUGUUUUACCUAUGAUACUUUAUGCUUUACAUAUUCAGUGCAUUCUUUUGUACUGACGUCCCUCAUGGGGAAGCUGUGUUGCAUGCCACAAGUACAUGUACUCAAGAUAAUAGAAUCUGUUAAAGUUAAGCACAAGAUACUCAGUUGCCUUUGGUGAGCUCUAGUUUGUUCGGGGAUCAUCGAGUCUCUAACCUAUAUUUGAUAUUUUAUUACAGUUAAGGGUAUGACGGGGUCUUGUCCCGACCUUAACUAAGUGUUUAUCUUUUAGAGGCUUUCUAGACCAAUGUCUAAGCGAAGCUUGAUUAUGUCUUAUUUUCUAGGGAUUAAGGCCUCAACGAACAAUCAAGUAUAUCUAUGUUGGUAUUUUAUCAGGGUAUUUUACGUAUACUCAUCAAUGAUUUAUAGCUUCAUUGGUUGCAUGUAUGAUAAGAAAGAGUUAUAUGUUGGUUCUCUCGGGCCUUUAGGGCAUCAUGUGCCUCUUUGUCUGAAUGGGACUUGGGGCGUGACACCCUAUUAGGCUAGAUCUAACUACUAUGGAAAACACACUAUCAUGCAAAACCAAGCUAUACAAGGAAGAGUAUAAGUAUUCCAAUCUAGAUACCAUGAAAACAUUCAACAAUACUAAUACAUACUAACCUUAGGGGAGUGUAUAUCCUCAACCCUAAGCUACCCUUAGGAGAAUAUAAGUCCUCUAUCCUAAGCUACCAUAGAAUGGUCUUGGCCUAACCAAGUCAUGCUACUAUGAAGGCAUUUUAACAAUGCUAGAUCAAGCUACCCUUAGGAGAGUCUAGAUCCUAGAUCCUAGGCUACCAUGCCUAUACUAAUUGAAGUUACCAUGAAAAGAAUCCUACCAAUACUAAUUCAAGCUAACCUUAGGAGAGUAUAAAUCCUCCAUCCCAAGUUACCAUGAGAACUCCUAACUCAUGCUACCUAAGUCAACUAUACAUGAAGGGAUCAUAAGUCACAACUUCAAGCUAUUCUAUUCUAACAUGCAAUUAUUCCUUUUAGGUGAUUAGCCUUUCAAUCUAGAACCAUGCUAUAUUAGAAAACCAUUCCCAUUUUACAUACAAGCAUUCAUUACUAGGUAGAUUAGGAGAAUACAAGCCUUUCACAACAACCCAACACACUAGUACACUCAAUUUAUGCAAUCUAUCUUUUCAUAUUUGACUUACUCUAAAACCCUAGUAAUCAUAAUCUUUGAUUUAAAGACCUACAUUCAAGCUUUACUCUAUAGUCCUUAUAUUAGUCUAGAUCACAAUACAUAUUAAUCACAAGCCUUAGUCAUAGGCAAUUCUAGGCAUAAUUCAUCUUAAAGUACCAAAUUCAUUCAUUACUACUCAUGAUCUAUCAUACAUUCAUCAAUAUAUUUCAAUUCAUGAUUUCAUAUUCCUAUUCUUGAACAAGUUCUAUACAUGAUGACAAUUUAGAAGAUCUAUGAAGAAUCAUCAAUUUCUCUUCACAAGGUACUAACCGACAUACUUUGAUUUCUAGGGUUAACCAUGAAAUUUACAUAAAUUCAUCAUAAUAUCAUGACUCAACACUAAAUUAACCAUAAAUAAGUAUUAUCCAAUCAAUUGUAGUCAUACUCAACUAUACCUACACAUUGGAAGAAACCCUAGCUUAGAUUCGGGUUCUUCUUCACAAAUUUUGGGGAAUUCUAGGGGACUUUAUGGGUGGAAGAAACCAUAGAUGAAAAUAUAAACAUACCUUAAUCAAAGCCCUAGCACAAGCUCUCAAUAAUAGAGCCUUUGUUCUUGACCUUAGCUUGAAGCUCUUGCUUCUUUUUCAAUGGAGGUUUUCUAGAGAGAGAAAUAUUUGAGAGGGGAGUGAUUUGGGGUUUUGAAUAUAAAUGACUUAGUUGGGGUGGUUAAUGAAUUAAACUACUUUUUUUAGGUGUAUACAACCCAUAUAAAUGACUCCCACUUAAAACUAGUUAAAUAGGAAUUUCCUAAUUUAACCCUUAUUUGGCAGCCAUGGUACCAGGCACCACGACAGGGCUCACGAGCUGUGGUAAUGACCACGAGCCGUGGUGCUGCCCAUGGUCCCUUGGGAAGUGGUUUGGCAAAUGAUUUUUGGCCUCCCAAGACUAAGUCAUGACCACGAGACCUCCCACGAUCUAUGGUCAAGACCACAAGUCAUGGUGAUGGUCGUGGUCUUGGGGCAGUAGCUAGGCCUCAAGGCCUUGCCUCCCACAUACCUAAGGGGUAUUCACGAGCCCCUUCACGGACCGUGGUCAAUACCACUGGUCAUGAAGGUGGUCGUGGACCUUGAGCAGUAGCUUGCCAUGGCCAAUUGGGGCAGCCUUGGCCUUUGGCUUAGGAUUUACCACUUUGACUUGGCACUUUCCCUUGCCAUGCUCAACCAAACUCUAAAUGGUCUUCUAAACUACGGGGUAUAACACGUGCCUUGAAGUUUAACCUCGUAACUCUUCAUUCUAAGCACGGGAACUCUCAUCUACGACUCUAACCCUCAACAUCAAACUCUAGAACCCUAGUUUAAGGCUCUAGUUUAGUCUUCUAGUUUCUGGGGCAUUACACUACAUUUGACUCUGCCAAAAGAACUAGCACACUACUCCGAACCUGUGUUCCAACAUGGAACAAAAUUGGAGGCACUAAAUGCAGCGAACACCCAAUAUGCAAAUAACUCACACUUUAAUCAUAUUUAAAGACAUGCAACAGGUAAAACUCAGAAUUUACCAAGAUGGAAGGGCUCCCUAAACUUCUUGAACACUCCACGAUGUAGCCUCGAUAAUUUUCAAUACCUGGGACUUUGAAUCACCUAAAAUCGAGAAAAAAAUUAGCAAUAUAUCACCAAAUUAAUACAGCCAAAAUCAAGAACUUAGAAAGGGCUACAACUGUCUGGUUUAUCGCGAUUUCACAUUGAAUGAUGUGCACUUGAAAAUUUUGGAUCCCUCUACAGUGAAGCCACAAUCAAAAUGAUGCUUUCGCACAUUGAACCACCUAAUUUGACCAAGAAAUGAGACCAAUAUUGGGUUUUGAUUUUCCAAUAUGAGUUGAUAUUUUUGCCAUAUAUAUACCAGAUUUCAACAUUUUUUUCAGAACUUAAAACUCUGACAGGGUGUUCUGAACUCGUUCGGAGCCCCGUACACAAAAACAAGAUAUUCAACCAUACAAAAUUUGUUUUAGUAGACAUAAUGGCACAAUCAAAAUUUCCAUACGAAGUUAUCUUGACGUAAAGUGGGUCACAUACACAACCUCCAUUUUUAGUAAAAAUCCACAAAGAGACUCAGAAUUAGCUCGCAAGCGUUGGGAGUGUAAUGAAGAGUCAAUCUAGACCAAACUCGACAUUCCAGAGCUAACAAAACUGUAACGCCCCAGAAAAUAGUAGACUAAAGUAGAGCCAAGAGCUAGGGUUCUAGAGUGAGAUAUUGAGGAUUAGAGUCGUACAUGAGAAUUUAUGUUCUUAGAAUGAGGGGUUUAGUGGUUGAACGUCAAGGAACGUCUUACACUCCGUAAUCUUAUAGACUAACCUAGGUCUUAGUUUGUGGGGUUGCCAAGCCUAGGGAGUGGGCAGGGUCCUAAGCUAUCAAGGUAGAGUGAAGGCAAAAUUGUUCUUGUUUGGGUCUUGUUGGCGAUUAGGAAGCAUGAUCGCCCAAGUGACUUGGCGAAGUGCCAAUGUGCACAUGGGGUCGCCAAGUGGUUUGUCCCCUUGGCCUAGUUUCUGGAAAUUUGUGCGAGCUAAGUCAUGGCUCGCCGGUUUGAUUGGCAAUGCGCCCAUAGACCCUCUCCACUGCCUAGUGAGCUGCCCUUUUAGGGAGCUUACUGGAAAUUUAGGCAAGUCAAGGGCCCAUUAGGCGAGUCGCCUAGUGCCCUUGGCAAGCCAUCAAGGGCAAAAGGGCGAGCAAAGUCGUGAGAGCUAGUGAAGUUUAAGUUAAAACUUUAAGGGUCCUUAGUUCUUUCCAACGUCAACCCUACAUUAUUUUAUUCCCUUCCUAGCAAGUAUACAAGUUUAUUAGACCUAAGUUUACCUCAUUUAAGUCAUUCUCCCUGGAAUCCGAAGAAACCCAAAACCUCAUCCCCUCCAAAGAAUAUUUCUCUCUCUCGAAAACUUCCAUCAAAGAAGAAGAUAGAGCUUGAAGUUUGGACCAAGAACAAACUCCAUUGUUGAAAGGUUGUGUUAGGGCUUUGAUUAAAGGAAUGUUUAGCUUUUCAUCUAUGGGUUCUUGCACUCAUAGUUUCCCCUAGAAUUCCCCAAGAUUUGUGAAAAAAACCCCAAUCUAAGCUAGGGUUUCUUCCAAUGUGUGGGUAUAGUUGGGUAUGACUACAAUUUUUUGGAUAAUACUUAUAUAUGAUUAAUUUAGUGUUAAUUAAUGAUAUUAUGAUGAAUUUAUGUGAUUACCCUAGUCUAAUUGAUGAAGAUGAGUUAUGUAGGUUAUUGCCAUGGAUGGUCUAAUUGAAGGUCAAAGUGAUCUUCUAGAAUUAAUGCUUUGACUAGUAAUUGUCUAGGGCUAGAACCUAUAUGCAUGAAUUUCUUUAUUAUAAUGAGAAUAUGAUGGUUCUUGAGUAGUAAUACUUUAGAUUCACCUUACAUGAUGAAUUAUGACUAGAGUCUCUAGAUAAGGAAGAAUAUGACUAGAAUUGCUUAAAGAUGAAUCUUAUGACUUAAAUGUCUUGUAAUCUAGAUGAAAAUGAUGAUAUAAUGAAGUAAAGCUUAGAGAUUAAGGCUUGUAGUAAUGAAAGUUGAAUAACUAAUGAUUUGAGAGUAGAGUCAUUGUGAUGAAUAGAAGUCUAAUAGGUGGAAUUCUGGUGAAAGGCCUAUACUCACCUAAUCUACUUUAUGAACGCUUGAAAGUAUAAACUGAUAGAAUCACUUGAACUUGGAUUGGUGGUCAAGGAUAUCCUUCCAUGAGAGAUGAGUGUUUAGCAAGGAUUAACAAGUAAACCUUCGGGUGUAUGCUUAGCUCCAAGUGCAUAUUGAAGAUGAGAUGGAGUGUCACAAAAGAUUAGGUCCGUGCUCAAAGUAGAAAGGAGAACCACACCUAGUUGAUGUGAGGAAAUGUAUUAAGAAUACCGUAAACUCAUGGUAUAUCAACAAUGCUUCAAAAUGUGCUUCAUCGAGGUUUCGUCCCUGACACCCACAACAUUUACACUCCUUACACCACUACCCAUGACAUUUUUGACCAAGCUAUCCAGUUGGGUCAUCAUUUUAAUAAUGUUUUGGUCUUUCUCUUGGUCUUUUUCGAUUUGCUCUUUUAUCAUUCUAAAUGUGAGAGAAGACAUUUGAUCUUCACUAGUGUGCCACACCCUAUUGAACUUGGUCAUGCAAUCAAAGAGUUGGGAUGCUACUUCAUAUGGUUGUUGCAUCAUACCACCAGGAGAAAGUUGAUCAACCAUUCCCUUGUUCACCGAAUCUACACUCUUAUAGAAGUGUUUCAGUAGCACAUUAUUUGGAAGUCCAUCAGUUGGGCACUGAAGCACCAACUUCUUAAAUCUCAGCUAUGUCACAUGGAUUGGCUCACCUUCUAAGUGUUUGAAAACAUGGAUGUCAUCUCUUAGAGUCAUCAUCUUUAAUAGGGGGAAGAAUGUCACUUGGAAUUCUAUGGUAAGCUCAUUCCAAGAGGUGAUGGAGCCCAUCGGUAACCCAGCCAACCAUUUAGUAACUUCACCCAUCAAAGAGAAUGGGAAAAACCUCGGACAGAAUAAUUCUUGCGAUAUGUUCUUAAAUGGGAACGAACCAUAGACAUCCUUUAAGUUCCUAGUAUGCUCAUGGGGUUCCUCAUGAGCCAGCCCCCCAAAUAAUCCUUUAAGUUGUGGGAGCUGAAGCAGUGUGCUAGUAAUGUGGAAAAUAGCUUUUCCUUCAGCUGGAGUGAUAUACCGUGAGUUUAUGGUAUUUUUGAUACAUUUCACUUAAGAUUUGUGUUUGUCAAGGGACAUUUUGUAUUGGAAAUAAUUUUUUAUGUGCUAUGUUUGCAGGAAAUAGGCUUUGACGCGGUUGAGUGAGAUGACAUCUAAAAUUCUGCAUAAGUGACCACCCACGGAGGGACCUAUAAACCGUAUGUACUAUGACGGUCUGUCGAUGGGUAGGCGUAGAGAGGAGCAUCAGGGAAUUCUGACCAAGUGUGGAACUACAAAGUGAUCCACGGAUCGUAGGUUUACCUCCGGGCCAUCCUACACAUCCGUCAAAUCUAAACUGGGAGUUGAAGUUCCAGUACCUGAUGAAAAUCCUAAGUCUGGAGCCACGAAAGAGGACCCACGGACUAUAGAUCAACUUACGGUCUGUCCUGCACGUCCAUAGAUGAUAGACUGGGAGUUAAAGGUUCCAGCCUCUGCUGAAAAGUUCUAAGUGUUGACCAACAGAGGGGACCUACGGACUAUAGGUCGACACAAGGUCCGUAGGUCGAUUUGUCGAUCAAAACCGCAUCCCAUAAGUUUAUUUCCUUAUUUUGUUUAAUUUUUGUUUAGGACAUGUUUUUCUAUAAAUAGGUUAUGUAAACCUCGUUUUUGGGGGUUAGACAUUAUUGUUUACUUUUAGAUCUUGAUAUUUUCUUGGGAAUUAACUUGCAAACUUUGGCAAUUUGAUUUCCAGAUUUCGAUUUAUAAGCUUUUUUCUUUGAAAUACAGUUCGAGAUAUCGGGUUCUUCUACUCUAAGUAUAAGUUCAUGGAUUCUUAUAAUGAAAAUAUGAAUUGUGUUUAUUCAAGAAUUAGUAGCUAAAUCCACAACUAGGGUUGUGGGAACCAUGAGCAAUUAACAACUUAUGAAUAAUAACUAACUAAUUCUUGAAUAUUUUUUAUGCAUGCAUUGGUAAUUAUUUCGCUUAGAAGUCUUUUUAAUGAGUGCACGCAUUAGAACUCGCCUUGUUGCUACUUCCCGAACAAAAGAGGUAGUUAAUAAGAAAAGAAUUAUCAACAGAGAUUUAGUGUGAUACUAUCUAAUAGUCUAAUGUCAAUUGGUGCGAGGGGGAAAACUAAGCCAUACAUUGAUGUGAUGUAUAAUCUGCGGUAAAGGUAAGGGUUAGUAAAUUAUAAACACAUAGCUGGACCAAGGUGCGGGGUGAAAUUCCCUAUUUUGAGGACCAAUCACUUAGGGAUACCUACCUUACAAACUUUGCAUGUAAAACACUAGGAAAGGAUUACUAUUAUUAGGAUUACUGCGUUAAGAGCUUAUGGGGAACACAUACACCAUAUACCUUAUGGAAUCGACUCCAACCUACAAGUCGGGUUCUUUAUUUGACAACGAUAGCUUAUACUUCACCAGCGAGGUGUAUUUUGAGCGUAUCAAAAUUUUGCACCGCUUCCAGGGAAUAAGGCUUUUAGAUUAAGUUUAACUACAUUAUUGAACUUCAGUCGAUUAUUUCCUAAUUUUACAUUUUCUUUUGUUUUUGUUUUCUACAGGUUUCUACUCUAAUGUAUGCCAAAUACACAGAGUCGAGGCGAACCAUUUACCCCAUACGAUUCGAAACUAAGCAAAACUUUGAGAAAAAUGAAUAACCAAGGGGUCCAUAAUAAUCCAAUCAUUGAUGAACACGGGGAUGGAGUUGACUUGCAACCUCCUAGAUUUGGUCAUGAGAAUGCCCAGGGUUCAUGGUGGUAAUCUACUUGGAGAUGCAAUGAGGGUACAAAAUCUGCCAGAACCGAGGUUCCGUGAUAAAUACAGGGUUGACUUCAAUACAUUUGAAUAAGAAGGACCUAUUGUUCUCCAUCCUCUAUCUCCAGGGCAUACAUUCGUGGUAACGAGCAGUCUGAUGUAGAUGAUUCCAGAGAGAGGGUUUUUUUCUUGCCUAAUUUUGGAAGAUACGCGUUCUCAUAUGGCUAAAUUUAGAAGUGUCUGUAAGAGUUGUGUGGGGCAACCGGAGUUGGAUAUGGAUGUCAUCGGGUUGAGAGUCUUCCCUCUAUCAUUGACUGAUAAUGUUGCGGUGUGGUUUGUUAAGCUUCCAUAUAAUUAAAUUCAUACAUGGGACCAAUUGCAUCGAGUGUUCAUGGCAAAGUAUUUCCCAGUGUAUAAGAAGCUUAACCACAAGGACAAGUUGGAUAAUUCUGUUGCACUACUUGGAGAGUCUGUGAGCAGUUCUUGGGAUAGAUUAACUGCAUUCAUCAGAAGUGUUCCAAAUCACCGCAUAGAUGAUGAGUCAUUAAAUAAGUAUUUCUACCGAUGGCAGGAUGACAACGGAAAGGUUGUGCUAGAUAUUAUCACUGGAGGAUCCUAUGGUGACUACACUUUUGAGGAGAUCGCUGAAAAAUUAGAGAAGAUUUCCCAGAAUAAUAAGGCAUGGAGCACUACAAAAGCUAAUACUGUAAGAAGCACAUUCGCUGUUCAAGCAACUCCAUAUCAAUCUAGUGAUGGCAUUCGUGAGGAGAUGGCUCAGAUGAGGACAAAACUUGGGUUGGUAUUGAAGCAUGUUAGCAGUGGUGCAGAGAAAGUGAAUGCGGUAAACUAUCUCACUAGAACUCCACCACCACCAGUUGAAGAAUGCUACUAUUAGGAGGAUGCUUAUUUAGUGAAUGAUCAGACUGGGGGUUUCCAAGACAACACCCAAGGCUCCAACUAGGAAAAUUGGCUCUGAGGUCAAGGAAACCAAAGUUAGAACUAUAGAAACUACAAUAAAGAAGGAAACUAUGUCCGGGAUGGGAACUACAAUCGUGACAACAAGUACAACCGGAACAACUAUGGCAACAGAUAUGAGAGAGUUCGGCCUUAUGUUCCACCUGCAAAUUGGGAAUCUGGUAAUAGAGAAGCUGGGGGUAGUAUUUCACACAUUGAGGAUAUGAUGCAGAAGAUGAUGAAGCAGUUUGAUGCGACUGAUGAGAAUGUGAAAGAUAUGCAAAAUUACUUGUCUAGAAUCGAUCAAAGAGUUGAUGCCCAUGCAGUGUCGAUCAAGGAACUUCAGCAGCAGUUUAAUCAGUUAUCCACUACAGUGAGCCAACGUCAGCCUGGCACACUUCCUAGCAACACCAUCCAAAAUCCGAAGAAUGAUGGGCAUUGUAUGACAGUCACUACUUAAGGAGGUAAAUAUACCAUUGAUCCCCCUAUGACGUCUGUGGUUGAAAUUAUGGCAGAACGAGAUGAUGAAAUUGAGGUUACAUGAGACUUUAAAAAUGUUACAGAGAAGGAAGCGGAGGUGACCGAAAAAGUUGUUCCCAUGCCUAGACCUCUACCUCUAUUCCCACAAAAAUUGGUGAAGAAGACCGGAGAAGGAAAAUACCGCAGGUUCAUUACUAUGUUUAAACAGCUUACCAUUAAUGUUCCAUUGAUAGAAGCUUCGGAGCAAAUGCCUGGGUACGCGAAGUUUAUGAAGGAUUUGGUGACCAAAAAGAGGGCCGUCAGUUUUGAGAAUGAUGAGAGAUUGCAACAUUGCAGUGCUAUUGCUAGUAGGUCACUUGUGCAGAAGAAAGAAGAUCCUGGUGCCUUCACUAUUCCUUGUACCUCUGGGUUGUUGCAUUAUGCGAUGGCAUUGUGUGAUUUGGGUGCUAGCAUUAUCUGAUGCCGUUGUCUAUCUACAAGAAGUGGGGUUUUGGGUAUCUGAUGUUUGCGUAAUCAAGACACAACUUCCGAUGCAAAUGUCUACCAUCGUACAAUAGUUUAGUGACCCAACCAAGGAUUGGGAUCGUCCCAAGAGAGUGGUUUUAAGAUUUUAUAGAAAAAUAAAAUUUAGUUCUAACUAGUUGUAGAUAAAGACAUCAACGAGUAAAAACAUUGUAAAUUAAAGGGGGAGACAAAAGUGUUGAUUAACAAUAGGGGAGUUUUGUCACAAGUAAGGUAAAAAUAGCAAAAUCUACUAAUAUGAGGGGAUUCUUGGGAUGUGACAGUAAUACAAGUUAAGCUAGAAUAUUGGGUAUAUGCUUUCGAUGGAAGAUUCAUAGAGUAAUUGGGACCAGUCUAAGCUUUAAGGGGGAGAACCUCUCUCUCGAGCAACUUACCCCAUUUCAAAUGAGUUCCUCUUAGACACCCACUUGCCUCAUGAAGACCAGCCUACGCCUUAACCCACUCACUCUCUCGAGCUGAGUGUGUGGACAUGGGACUAGGGUCACUCUCUCGAGCUGAACCUCAUGUCGACCCACUCACAGUGGCCAUCAAUCUAGUGGUUUUAGUUUUAAGACCUCUCUCUCUCAAGCAAGCCAAAAACACAUAAAUAAACUUGUAUUUACAACUACAAAUUCAUAAAUUCAUCCACAACCACUAAACGAAAUCACAUUUAAACUAUGAAUAGACUAUCAGCAAGCAAGACCCAACAAUUAUCUUAACCCAUAUUCGCUAAAUCACACCCCAAGAAUUGGGGCUUUUAGCCACACAUCAAGAGAUAGAAAUUUAUACCUAUAUGAGCUUGCAUUCAAAUGGGUUUGAAGAUUUGAGUCUUGUUACAGGCCAAGACUGAAGAAAUCAAGAGACCCAAGUCUGAAUCCUCGGAGAUGAAACCCUCUUCUUCUUCAAGUCUUCAAAACACUCUCAAACGUAGAGUAAAGAAUAUCAAAAAGUACUAUUCUAUAUAAAAACUAUCACAAUUGUUCAACUCAAACUAAAAAUUAUAAUAAUUGUUCCACACUAAAACUAAAACUCUAACUAGUAUUUGUAGUUUUUAUAGAUUUGUGUUGCAGCAGAUCAUUCGGCGUCGUUAAUCGGAACCAUCGAUCAACUCGGCGAUUCUCCCUUUUGUUUAGUUCAUCCCCAUCUUCCACCAGCCCUCAACAUCGUCGUUGUCUGGGUUAUUGGGCGACAUGGUACUGCUUCACGGAAAUUCUCGGUAAUGCGUCGAUUGCUUCAUUUUUCCGCCGACUUGAUCAUUUCCUUCAGGGCUCAGUACACUGGAACAAAAGGCAAAGUAAGACCUUUCGGUGACUCGCCAAGUAGACUCGGCGAUCCUCAGGCCUUCAUUUUUUGUUCUUUUCAGCCUUUUCAUUCCUUUUUGCGAUGUAGUGUCCAUGCUUUCCUUAAAACCUCAAAUACCUGAAACUUAAGGGUUUUCAUCAUAUAUUGAGAUAAAAUAAGCAUUUGAGGACACAAUUUCUAUUAAAAUAUAACCCUAAAUGAGUCCAAUUCGUGGACUCAUCAACACCCCAAACUUGAACUUUUGCUUUUCCUCAAGCAAACUCAAGUUCAGCCAUUCAAAAAGGGUGUCUCGAACAGUGCUAUACAGGACUCAAUCAUGAAUGCACACAACAAGACGCAAUAUACGUAUGCAAAGAUCAAAUGUUCACUCAAAGAUACAAGUUGUGACUCACCAAUAUCAAUAAAUCUCGGGCUCACAAUACUUGCUUCAAAUGCAAGUUCAAGCUCAACUAUAGUGUUAAAAUGCCCUGACACAAAGAAUGAUUCCAUAUUCACACAAUGGUUUCACAGUUUAAAGCUUUGGAAUCAGAUGUAACGCUCACACUCACAAAGAAGAACAUAAUGUAUAAUUUCAACCAUAGGUUUGCCCGUAUUUUCCAAUCAACAUUUGUUUCAGCUCACUCAAGAUCGAAAAGGUCUUUCCAAGGCUUGUACUGGGGAUGAGUCAAAAGGUAUGGUCAUUUAGGCUCAGUGACUUUCAUUCUCAUGAGGUGUGGUGCUCACAACACUUCCUAUUAUUUACUUUCCAAGAAUUGUUUGGAAACCCCCUUUCAUUUUUCAACUUUAUUCCACAACUUUACUUUUUCAUUCUUUUUCUUUUUCUUUUCUGUCUUUUUAAAAAAAAAAUAUAUGGAAGGGUUCUAUUUUUAUCAAAACCAUGGGUAGGAGGGACUUUCUUGCACUCUUUGAUUUUCCUUCUCUUUUCACCACACCCCCAACUUAGGCUUUUGGCCUAAGUUGGCUAUUCAAACUAACCACAACUUCUUGAGAAUUAUGGUGAUGGAUUAAGAAAGGUCUAUUUUUCAUCAAGUUUCUUCCAAAGAAAGGUAAGGCUCAAAGGGUGUUCAAGAGAGAAUCACACACUCACAUGGUAGGUCACAAAAGAGGUAUAUGUCAAAUUGGCUCAAACUCGUAAAAGUUACCUAAGAUCAUAUCAAGAGAGAGCAUCACUUAGUAGACCGGACCAACGGGGCAAAUUCUAGGAUCUAUCAUGCAUAGUUCACAAGUAAGCUCAUUACACUAGGCAUUGACACUGUAAGUUAAACAAGACUCCACACUUUCGCUAGUGUUCAAUGAUCAUCACAAGAGACUCAAUUCGAUACUAUGCUAGUCAUAACGAGAUGCAAAGAGUUCACCUAUUGUCUAUGCAACUUCAUAUGGCCUCAUCGUAGCCACGCAUUCAUGUUCGUUCGAUUGAGAGCACUAUUAAAGUCAUCGGUAUUGAUUGGAACCGAGACUCAAUUUUUUUGCGAAAGAACAACCACAUUCAAAACAAAAGAGGUGGCAAAAAUCGUUAGCUCAAAUAUCCAAGCAAAGUAGCGUAUAAUAACAAUUAAAACAGAACAACCAAAAUAUAAGCACAAAACAUGAGCAUCAAUAUUCAAACAAAAGGUGGGCCUCACCCCCACCACAAAUAAAAGAAAUUUUUCCUCAAAUGCAAAUAACAAAAUAUCCAGAAUUUUAAAAUAAAGAGUGACAGAGAGGGAGGUAGCAAUCAUGUCUACACAGUCGCCCCAUCAGUCUGGGCAUCAGUGCCCGAUGUGUCAGCCUGGAAUUUGAUAAUGGUACCCGGAGCUUCUUCAGAAGAUUCGUUGGCACUUGACUUACUAAGAUUGCCUAAGUCAUGAGCCGGCAAAAAUGAGUGGAUGGCUAUGAAGAAUCCACGUUUCCAUGAGGAAAUAGUAGGGUCUCGGGGAUUUUUUCCCUUACGCGCACUGUGCUUCUUGCCCUCAUUAUCCAUUUUGGGGGGAUUUGUUGCCUUUGUAUUUUUCCUAAAAUUUUUCGCUCUUGUUUGUCAGGGUGGCAUAUUUCUUCCCGCUACUUUUGGCCUAGUCAUUUCAUCAAAGCUUCAAGAAAAAGUUAGAAAGUAUUCAGGUAUUUUAAUUGCAGAAUCACUUUGCCGAACCAGAUGGAGAAGCGUGCAAUUACUUAGGUGGUUCACCGAGUGUAGUGCAUAGAGAAUACAAGGGUGCAGACAAAAAGUGAACCAGAUGUCUUUCGGCAACGUCAUGCAUCUUGCCGAAAAUUACAGAAUUCAACAUCACAAUUAGCAUUUUAUUAAAGGCGAGAUGAGGAUUGCAAAAUAGAGUGCAAGUAUGAAUUUGAGCAGAUAAAAAAAGUGAGUGAAAGUGAAUGAAGUUGAAACUUUUAAACCUUUGUCUUGCAAAAACUGUCCAAUUCUCGCCCACUCAGGAACAUUAGUCUAGCUCGCCUACUCACUCGGCGGAACGCCGACUGUUUAGCUUCUUCGCCAAAAUUUACAAGACCUCUAGUUUAUUGGGGGGUCCAAAUGGCGGUCAUUGUCGGGAUCGCUGACACGGUCGGUUGUUUGCCAAUAAUUUUCCUAUGAUCGCCGAGUUUUACAGACUCCAAUGAAAGAUGGAAUUGAGUCUAACAUCGGUCUAGUUCUGAGUCACUGAACCAUUCGGCGAUUCGCUGAUUGAAUCUGUUGCUCGCCAAUCUGCACUUUUCGUUCACCCUCCACACUUCCAUCUUCAUAAUCGACACACCAUUAUUUUACCACUAAAUAAGAAAGCAAUUAAAGGGGUUUUGAGUUGCCUCCCAAAUAACGCCUUAGUUAAUGUCGUGGCACGACGGAAGUCCACCUUCAAACCUCACUCUUGGGGUUAGCCAUAGUAUCUCUAGGCCAACCCCCUUGCUGUCUUGGAUUAAGGUGAGAUGAUAUAUGACCCAUUUGGGUCUCCAACUGCUUGAUUGAAACAGAAUGGGAGGUGACGGUUUGGCUAAGGGUGGAAACAUCUUCUUUCAUGCCUUUUAGCAUUUUGUCUGACCCUUCAACUUUGUUGGGGAUACGCGAAAGUAUAUCCUCAGACCUACCACCCUACGAAUCCUUUGGCUAUUGACACUCAUUGUGAGGCACAUAUAUGUCCUUCUCCCCAUCCUUCAAGUUAGGAUUUCGGUCUCUCCAUUCAGGAUCCUUCAAUCCUUCAUCUCUAGCCUAACCUUGCUUACCACCCUGCCUUAGAUAUUUUGAUUGAUAACAACCACCUUGGUUGGCUAGGAAGUUCACCUCCUCAUUAUAUAAGGCUUCAAAAUUUGCCUCCUCAUGAUUUGUGCACCCGACUCCCACUGCAUUAACACUAGGGGCACUAGCCCCCAUGACAUUUUUGGAUAAAAUAUCAAGUUGUGUCAUGAUCUUGGCCAUGUUUUGGUCUCUCUCAUUAUGUUUUUCCAUCUGCUCCUUGGAUAGUUUGAAUGUGAGAGGGGAGACUUAGUCUGUAAUGCCCCUCAAAAUGAAGUAGGAUAAAGUAGAGCCUCACAUGAGUUUUACGCAUUAAUAACUUGUUAAAAUAAUGAAGAAUAGUCUUUUUUAGUCACUUUUAAAGAGUUUGGAAGUCAAAUGUCAAGGGACGACCAAGACGUUCGGAAACUAGUCUUUUACGUGUUGGUGUGUUCUAGUAGUAUGUACAUAUUUUUAUGUGUUGUUUGAAGUCUAAAAUCAGUGGAGGUGACCCUAGUCUCUUAAUAAAUGUAUUUAGGGUCAAAACAUCCGGGUACGACUCCCCGGGACCACCCUAAGGAUCCCCAAGGAGGGCCCCAACCCUUGGCGAAACAAGGUGCCAAAGAAGCUUGAAGUUGUGCAUGGAGGGAGUGGCUCCGCAUCGCGGACCUGCUCCAUCAUUGGCCAAAAAGUGGCUCAGCGUCGCGUAAACACCGCGGACUCUUUUUUCCCGAUAUUUUAUUUCUAGAAACUUGUGGGAACACCUCCGCAUUGCGGACUUGUUUCUCGAUGAAAUCUGCGAAAAUAAAACUCAAGUUUGACUUGUUUAAAAAGGUCCAACUAAGUGAGGGGUAGUUUGGGUACUUUGGGGAAUUAUUAUAAAUGGUUAUUCUACCUAUUUUAGGGUAUUUAAAGUGGAUAAAACCCCAAAAACCUAGAGUUGGACCUCAUUAUUCCAAUUGAACCUUCCCUCUCAAAUGAACUUUCUCUCUAGAACUCCAUGGAAGACAUCUUUGAAGCUUCAAGCUAGGGGAUGGGUUCCUACUGAUGUCUCUUCAAAUUCCUAGGAAGUUAAUCAUAAAGGUAUGAGGAUUUUGUCUUUGAUUCUCCUUUCAAUCAAAGAGCCAAAUCAAAGUGAUUUCAAUGUUUUGCAAAAACACUAAAAACCCCAAUUUCAAUUCUAAGCUUGGGUUCUUGCAUGAAAGUAUUUCAAAUGAUGUUUUAUGUUAAUAUUGAUGGUUUUAAGGUAAAAAACUCCAUGAACCCUUGCAUAACUUGAAAUCCUAAUUUUGGGUCUAAAGUGGGUCUAUUGAUUAUGAGCUAAUAAUGUGAUAUUAUUGUGUAGAUUGUUAUGGGCUAUUGAUUUAUGUAUUGUUCCCUAUUGAAUUAUGAGGAAUUUAUGGUCAAUUGUGUUAUAUUGGAUGUUGGCCUUGAAUGGGCAAUUGUGACAUAAGGUUUAUGAUGAUAAUGAAGUUGUGAAUAGAUUAUUUGACUCUAGUAUUAUAUAUAUAUGUUUACCUCUUCUCACACCUAGUGAAGAUUCAAUGAUAGAAUGUGAGAAUGAAUGAAAAGAAUAGGAGUUAAUGCUAAUGAAUGAAAGUUGGGUCUAUUGUAAGGAUAGUCUCAUAAUGUACUCCUUUUAAAUGAAUGGGGUUCCUAUAUGAAAGGUUUUCUCAUCUUUGAAUCCAAGAGCUUCCUUAAUGAAUGUUGGGCUAGGAUGGGUGCUCCUUCGUGAGUUGAGAUGAGAGUACUUAGUAGCAAUCCUUAUCCCUAAAUGAAAUGAAUGUCCAAACUCCGUGGGGGAGUAAUGUGUAUCACCGAGAGGAUAUGAAGAUGGGUGGAUACUACUUCGUUAGUUGAGAUGUAAGUAUUUAGUAGCAACCCUUAAGAUGGGUGCCCCUUUGUUAGUUGAGAUCUGGGUACUUAGAAGCAAUCCUUCUAUCCCUUAACUAUGUGCCCACGUAGGACUAGCAAGUGGUCUCUACCACGUAAAGGCUAAAAUAAUGACCCUACCUUAGCCAAGUAGGGAUCCCUCAUCCGGUAAGGGUAUUACCAGGAUUCCAUGUCAAGCUCCAUGGUCUAUGUCGGUUAAGGCUCUUCCCCCACAUUAACAAAUGAAUGAACUAAGGUCUCUUAAGGAUGUACUACUUAGGAUAGGUGGUGGAAUAGUACAUCAUCUAGACAUUGCACAAGUAGACAUUUAAGGGAGAUCUUGGUGUGUCUUAGUAAUGAUAAUGAAUGAAUGAGUCUCUUUGGGCUAAUUAAUGAAAACUUUGGUCUUUGAGCAUGCUAAUGUGAAAGUGAGUCAUAAUGAAUUGAAUGUACGUGCUUAUGUUGAAUUGAAUGUAUGUGAUGAUCUUAUGUCAUUAGUGAAUGAAGUUGUCUAAAUGCAUUAAGUUGAAAUAAUGAUUUAUGUUGAGAUGUGAAUGGAGCUUGUCUUGUGUAGCCUUAAGGAUCACUUGGGUGAGGUAUGGAGAGGUAGUAUGGGCUGCCUCACCAUGUCUUACUUAGGUGAGUCUUGGGAUGACAUUUGAUGAGUGUUAUAGAUUUAUGAAGUGACUUGUUGGCUUAUGUGCUUAUAUGUCUCAUGUGAUUAAUUGGUGAAGGUUGAGGUAUGCAUGGUAAAUGCACUUUUUGUGACCUUAUGGUGGUGCCUUAGUGUGGGUGAUGGUAUGGGACAUUGCCCAUACAUUGCACAAAGGUAUUGCUUAAGGGUUACUGAAGGUGGAGGUCCAAGGCAAGAACGUAAAGGUAAAUGGGUUAUGUAUGUUUAUGAUGUAUUGUGAAGCAUAUGACUUUGUAUUGUUGGUUGUGACUUGUAAGGUGCCGAUUAUGUUAUGUUUUGCAUAUCCUCAUACUUAGUACGUGUGUUGUACUAACCCCUUUCUUCUAUUUUACUACAAAUGUAGGUUGUGGUAACUAGGAGGGGAUUGUUCUUCGGAGUUGCUUGGAUUGCUUCACUCUUCCAAGUCUUUGGUAUGUCCUCAAGAUUCGAGGACUAUGUUUAGAAGUUUCUUAGUCAUUGUAAUAGACACUUAAGUUUAAUUUCGUUUGUAAAGGGUCGUGUCCCUCAGUACGUUUUAAGUUCUUGUCUGAGAUUGGCUAAAGAGACUUAGUAGUUCCGCUUGCAUAUUGGUGUUUUCAAAUGUUGAUGACUCUUAAAGUCUUAUGGUUUUAUUGAAUAAAAGUUUUAAAUUCUUAGUGAUUUUAUGAUCUAUGCGAUGAAUGAAUGCUAAGGCUUGUAUAAGACCUCCGAGAGGUCGAAUACGCAUGUAACGGCUAGGGGGUGCUCUCGGGUCUUUACAUGGUCUUCACGGGUGUACCAUGCCCUAUUGAUGGUCGUCAUGCCAUCUAAAAGUUGGGCUGCUACUGCAUAUGGUUGUUGCAUCGGGCCUCCAGGUUAAAGCUGAUUAGCGACACCUUUAUUCAUCGAAUCCAGGCGUCGGUAAAGUACUAUAGCAAGACAUUAUUAGGCAGACCAUGAGUCGGGCAUUGUAGCACCAAUUUUUUAAAUCACAGCCAAGUUUCGUGCAUAGUCUAUCCUUCUAGACAUUUAAAACUCUGGAUGUUAUCCCUUAGUGACAUCAUCUUCGAGGGAGGUAAGAAUCGCACUUGAAAUGCGAUUACCAACUCCCCCCAAGAAGUAAUGGAUUCGCGUGGUAGCUCGGCUAGCCACUUGCACGCUUCUGCCAUCGACAAGAAAGGGAAUAGCCUUAACCGGACUGACUCCUGAGAGAUGGUUUUGAACGAGAAUGGUCCGCACACAUGUACAAAGUUUUGAAGAUGCUCUCGUGAGGGUCCUCAUGAGCCAGCCCGUUGAAAAUUCCCUUUAGUUGCAAACGGAUGGCUUCCAUCAAUGGAUGUUUUUGGUGCUUGUUAUGUGAAACACUGCAUUUCCCUCGGCUGGGGGUAAACGGAUGGCUCCAACACCUCCCAUAAGAUGGGGGCCAUUGAUGUUAGGCUCUUGGACAACAUUGAGAUUUUCGAUGUCGUCUUGGUGGCCUACCUAGCUACCGUUGCUACCAUUAACACUCAUGCUUUUUGAAAUAUUCACACAACAAACAAAACCAAAGUAAAGAUUAGGUAAGUAAACUACAACUAAGAGGAACAAAAAUUCUACUAAUCUGAAAAUUCUCAAAUAACACCAAUCCCCGGGAGCGGCGCCAUUUUAAAUGUUUUAGCCAUAAUCAAGACACAACUUCCGAUGCAAGUGUCUACGGUCGUACAAUAGUUUAGUAACCCAACUAAGGGUUGGGAUCAUCCCAAGAGAGUAGUUUUGAGAAUUUAUAGAAAAAUAUAAUUUAGUUCUAACUAGUCGUAGCUAAAGACAUUAACGAGUAAAAACAUUGUAAAUUAAAGGGGGACACAAAAGUGUCAAUUAACAAUGGGGGAUUUUUGUUACAAGUAAGGUAAAAAUAGCGAAAUCAACAAGGAUUUCUAAGUAAUAAGAGGGGAUCCUUGGGAUGUUACAAGAAUACGGGUUAAGCUAGAUUAUUGGGUACAUGCUUUCAAUAGAAGAUUCAUAGAGUAAUUGUGACUAGGCUAAGCUUUAAGGGGGGAUAAGCUCUCUCUCAAGCAACUUACCCUGUUUCAAAUGCAUUCGUCUCGGACACCUAUUUGCUGCAUGAAGACCAGCCUAUGCCUAAACCCAAUCACUCUCUCGAGCUAAGUGUGUGGACAUGGGACUAGGGUUCACUCUCUCGAGCUGAACCUCAUGUGGACCCACUCACACUGGCCAUCAAUCUAGUGGUCUUAGUUUUUACAACCUCUCUCUCGAGCAAGCCAAAAACACACAAAUAAACCUGUAUUUGCAAUAAGAAAUUCAUUAAAUUCAUCCACAACCACUAAACGAAAUCACAUUUAAACUAUGAAUAUACUAUCAGCAAGCAAGACCCAACAAUUAUCUUAACCCAUAUUCGUUAAAUCAUACCCCAAGAAUUGGGGUUUUUAGUCACACAUCAAGAGACAUAAAUUUAUAAAUAAAUGAGCUUGAAUUCAAAUGGGUAUGAAGAUUUGAGUCUUGUUACAGGCCAAAAAUGAAGAAAUCAAGAGACCCAAGUCGGAAUCCUUGGAGAUGAAACCCUCUUCCUCUUCAAAACCCUCUCAAACUUAGAGCAAAAAAUAUCAAAAUAUACUAUUCUAUACAAAAACUAUCACAAUUGUUUGACUCUAUGUGAAAAUUAUAUUAAUUGUUCCACACUAAACCUAAAACUCUAACUAGUAUUUAUAGUUUUUACAGAUUUGUGCUUCAGCGGAUCAUUCAGCGUCAUUAGUUGUAUUUGCCAAUUAACUCGACGAUUCGCCCUUUGGUGUUGUUCAUCGCCGACUUCUACCAGCCUUCAACAUUGUCGUGCUCUAGAUUAUUGGGAGAUUGCUUCCUUUUUCUGCCGACUUGAUCUUUUCCUUCAGGGCUCAGCAAACUGGAAGAAAAGGCAAAGUAAGACCUUUCGGCGACUCAAAAAGUAGACUAAGCAAUCCUCAGGCCUGCAUUUCUUCGUUCUUUUCAUCCUUUUCAUUCCGUUUAUGCAACUGGUAUUGUCCAUUCUUUCCUUAAAACAUCAAAUACCUAAAACUUAAGGGUUUUCAUCAGAUAUUGAGAUAAAAUAAGCAUGACACAAUUUCUAUUAAAAUAUAGCCCUAAAUGAGUCCAAUCAGGCUCCAAAACCGACCGCGAUGCAACUACUCAUGUCCGAUAGAAAUGUGAAGAAGCCCAUUGGUGUUCUCUAAGAUGUCCUUCUGAAAGUGGAGUCAUUCAUUUUUCCGGUGGAUUUUGUGAUACUUGAUUGUGAGGAUGAUUUUGUGGUUCCCAUCAUCUUAGGGAGACCCUUCCUUCCUACAGGGCAUGCCUAGGUCAAUAUGGAGAGAGGGCAGAUAAAGUUUUGAUUGAAUAGUGAAGAGGUAACUUUCAAUAUAUAUAGGUCUAUGAAGUAGGAAAGCGAUGUCAAAUCAAUAUAAGUGGUGAAUUUUAUUGCGGAGCGAGGUUCUGAAGUGUCUAUUGAUGAAAGGUUGGGUGUCGAUGCACUGUCAUUGGUAAUUAUGAAUUUCGAGGGUGAUGGUAUUGAAGACUAUGAUGAAUUAGUUGCCGCACUUGAUAGGUUCAAAUUCCGUUCCAAGCCAAAGAAGUUGGACGUAGAUAUGAAGAAUCUCGAUUCUCCACCCGCAAAACCAUCUAUUGAAAAAGCUCCAAAAUUGGAGCUCAAGGCUUUACCAUCGCAUUUGAGGUAUGUAUUCUUGGGGAGAGAUGGCACUUUACCGGUAAUCAUUUCGACCGAUUUGAGUGAGGUACAAGUAGAGCCAUUGGUUUCUGUGUUGAAAAGGUUCAAACGGGCUAUUGGAUGGACUAUUGCAGACAUUAUUAGGAUUCCUCUUGGAAUUUGUUCUCAUCAAAUCAAACUCAUGCAGGACAAUAAGCCUAGUAUUGAGCACCAAAGAAGAUAAAUCCCCACAUGCAAGAGGUUGUGAAAAAAGAGAUCAAUAAAUGGUUGGAUGCUGGAGAUAUUUAUCCCAUUGCUGAUAGUAGUUGGGUGUGUACUAUUCAAUGUGUGCACAAGAAAGGGAGAAUCAUCGUGGUUCCAAGCUCUAAGAAUGAGCUUAUUCCAAUGAGGCCGGUGACUGGUUGGAGAAUGUGCAUGGACUACCGCAAGCUAAAUGCAUGGACAGAGAAAGAUCACUUCCCUAUGUCAUUAAUGGAUCAGAUGUUGGAUCGUCUCGCUAGUAAGGGUUGGUAUUGUUUUCUAUAUGGGUAUUUGGGCAACAAUCAAAUCUCUAUAGCUCCGGAAGAUCAAGAUAAGACCACCUUCACUUGCCUUUAUGGGAAUUUCGCCUUCAAAAUAAUGCCAUUCGGGUUGUGUAAUGCUCCAGUAACUUUCCAACAUUGUAUAAUGUUGAUUUUUUCAUAUAUGGUGGAGGACACUAUUGAGGUAUUUAUGGAUGAUUUCUUUAUGGUAGGUGACUCAUUUGAUCGUUGUUUGAAUAAUCUGGCUGAUGUACUAAAACGUUGUGAAGAGUGCAAUCUUGUGCUAAAUUGGGAAAAAUGCCACUUCAUGGUGAAAGAGGGGAUAGUUCUGGGUCAUCAGAUUUCUGAUAAAGGUAUAGAGGUUGAUAGAGCUAAAGUUGAGGUAAUAGAAAAGCUUCCACCACCUAUCUCUGUUAAAGGUGUUAAAAGUUUCUUUUGCAUGCAGGUUUUUAUCAAAGGUUUCUCAAGGAUUUCUCCAAAAUUGCACACCCAUUGUGCAAACUGCUCGAAAAGGAGUGUAAGUUGAUAAUGCUUGUCUGGGAGCAUUUGGAGAGUUGAAAGCAAGGCUAGUUUCCACACCUAUCAUUAUUUCACCAGAUUAGGGGCAACCGUUUGAAGUGAUGUGUGAUGCAAGUGGAGAGGCACUUAUUAUGGUAUUGGGACAUAGGCGAGAGAAGAUUCUUCAUCCGAUUUACUAUGCCAUCAAAGCUCUUAAUAUGGCUCAAAAGAACUAUACAAUCACCAAACAAGAACUCCCUGCUGUGGUUUUCACAUUCGAGAAAUUUCGAUCCUACUUGCUUUGUACUAAGGUCAUAGUGCAUACUAACUAUUCUACAUUGAGGUAUCUGAUGGCAAAAAAAGAUGCAAAACUGAGGUUGAUCAGAUAGGUAUUUUUGCUGCAAGAGUUCGAUUUUGAGGUAAAAGAUAGAAAGGGGACAGAGAAUCAGGUUUCAACCCAUUUGUCCAAAUUGGAGGAGGAAGCUAUGCUCAAGUUAGGAGAUGGAGCUGAAAUUAAUAAUGCAGUCGCAAACGGAACAUGUACUGGCUGCUUCUUUUGAACUUAUCCCUUGAUUCGCAGAUUUUGCUAAUUAUCUGGCUAGCGAUUUGGUUCCUUCGGAUUUGUCGUUUCACCAAAGAAAAAAGUUUAUGCAUGAUGUGCAGAAGUUCUUUUGGGAUGAGCCUGACUUGUUUAAUACUUGUGGUGAUGGGAUUAUUCGUCGAUGUGUGCCCGAGGUUAAGAUGAUGAGUAUACUAGAGACGUGUCAUUCAUCGCCUGUUGGUGGGCAUCAUAGUGGUAUUCAGACUGCUCAUAAAAUCUUGCAGUGUGAGUAUUACUACCCUACCAUCCACCAAGAUGCUCAUGAUUUCGCCAAGUCUUGUGAUCGUUGCCAAAGAGAAGGAGGAAUUUCAAAGUGGAAAGAGCUACCUAUUAAUCCGAUGCUGGUGAUUGAGUUGUUUAAUGUUUGGAUCCUUGACUUUAUAGGUCCAUUUGUGAGUUCACAUGGGAUGAACUAUAUUCUUGUUGUGGUUGAUUAUGUGUUGAAAUGGGUAGAAGCAAUUACGCUUUCAAACAAUGAAGGGAAAAGUGUCACCGCAUUCUCGAAAAAGAUUAUCUUCUCCAGAUUAAGUACACCUAGGGCUAUUACCAACGAUGGAGGUUCCCACUUUUGUAAUAGGUUAUUCAAAGCGUUGCUAGAGAAAUAUGGGGUGUGUGACAAUGUAGCUACUAUUUAUCAUCCGCAGUCUAGUGGGCAAGUUGAGGAGUCAAACUGAGAGAUAAACAAAUCCUUGCAAAGACUGUGAUCGCGAAUAGAACAGAUUGGUCAAGGAGGCUUGAUGAUGCUAUAUGGUCCUAUCGCACCACCUUCAAGAUUCCCAAAGGUAUGUCCCCCUACCAACUUGAAUAUAGGAAGUCAUGGUAUUUGCCGGUAGAGUUAGAGCAUAAGGCCAUAUGGGCACUAAAGAAGUUGAAUAUGGAUUGGGGCACCGCAUCGAGUCAAAGAGUGAAUGACUUGAACGAGCUUGAUGAGUUUCGCCUAAAACGAUAUGAGAGUUUAGCCUUGUACAAGGAGAAGAUAGAAAAGUAUCAUGAUCAAAAGAUUGAACAGAGGGAAUUUGUUGUGGGUGAUUUGGUGCUUCUAUUCAAUUCAAGGUUGCGCUUGUUUCCGGGAAAGCUCAAGUCCAAAUGGACCAGGCAAAUAAGACUCACACAAGUAUUUCCACAUUGAGUAGUGGAGGUUGAGAACAAGGAGGGAACGAAGUUCAAAGUGAAUGGGCAGAGAAUAAAGGUCUACAUGAGGCAAUCAGAGAGUAUGCAAGAGUUUAUUAAGGCCUACUAUCUUGAUGAAGUCUGAGUAAACAAGGUGUCUGCGUCGUGCUACAAUGUUAAAUCAAGCGUUGCUUGGGAGGCAACCCAAGAUGUAUCAUCUAUCCAACUAUAGCUUUUUCUCUUCUAGAUAGGAGUUUUUAUUCUUUAAUUUUGAUUUUGUAGUACUUUAGUUCGUUGUGUUAGUUUUGUACUAGUGUUGGCUAUAUGUAUCAUAGGGUCCGUGUCUAAAAAGUGUCUAGAAAAUGUAAAAAAAAAGUCCUAUUGGUUGUUAUGUGUGCAGGGACGGAAAGUUUAAUCAACAGAAAAAGGUUGUGCAGAGGUCUAAGGACCCCAACGACGGUCCGUGGGUCCAUUCACGGACUGUCAAUGGCGUUCGUAGACCCCAGGUAUGUUUCAGAAUUAUUUCUAAGAGUUAGAGAGACCUACAGACCUGACCUACGGUUCAUAGGUCGACCCAAGGACCAUAAAUGGGGUCUUGUGGAUCCAACCUAGGGUUUCUUCUCACCCGACCCGAACCCACUUUUAAAUAAAACUCUUCAUUUUAUAUUCAUUCCCCACAUUCAAAACUCCCUCCCAACCGUUUUUAAACCCACCAAAUAACAAUUACCAUAUAUCAAUCCCCCCACCAAUCACUCCCAUAUCACCAUCCAAAUCCAUUCCCCAUAUCCUGUUCAUCUCCCCUGCUUUCCAAAGAAUCAGUCCCAUUCCCCAUUCUCAUUUCCCUAUGAUUUCAUUGUCCAGGUUCGGCGUCAAAGUGCUAGCAAAGGUCUAAGGAAUUCAAUGCCAUCACACACUCACCCGCUUCGAUUACUUGUAAGGUAAAAUGACUUCACCCUAACUUUCAAUUUCGUUGUUAAUUGUUUAUAUUAGUAAGUAACAAAGUGGAUCUUGACCUUGGGUUGUAUAUAUAUUAAGUGCAUGUUAAAAUUUAGUGAAAAACACCCUUGGGACGAUAGAAUGUUAGUGUGUAGUUAAUUACAACCAACCAAAUAAGGGUAAAAGGUCUAAAUGGCAGUUUUGAGUUAGAGUUCCUAGUUUCGGUAUGUUAAAAGGUCAAAAUUGUAUGUAAUCAGAACCCUAAGGAUGAAGAACUACCAUCUAUUGUGUUGAAAUGCAUGAUUAGACCUAGGUUGAAUGAUUGACUUGUAAAAAUAAUGCGUAGAGUGUGAGUCAUGUCUGAUACCUGGCACAGAACUGACUCACGAGACCCAUCCACGGACCGUAGGUCGGUGCCGUGGGUCUGUUGCACAUCAAGUAGUCGCUAAGUGUCGAACCACGGAGGUGGACUACGAUCUGUCCUUCCAUCAACGAACCAUUCUAAACAUCCAUGGUUCACAUUAGAGACCCAGCCUCUGGGGACUCUGACCUAUGGAGGGGACCUAUGGACCCUAGGUCCAUCAACAGACCGUAUGUACCCACCGUAGGUGGAUAGUUCCGCUACCGUCUAUUUUUAAUUUAUUUUUUGAUUUGUUUCAUUUUUUGUUAUGAAUUUCUUCUGUGUGUUUUAUUUGCUUGUUUUGGUACUAACUAAGCUUUCACAGGUACCAUCGCACCCAAGCAAGAUCUGACCUAUUACGUGAAGGGAAAAUCCAAAUCCAUCACUUCUUCACGACGUAUAAUCAUUGAGGAGGACACUGAGGAAACUCCGUACAUUCCUCCCAACAUCAGGACAACCCGUCGCACAACGAGGAACCUAGCCUAGUUGGUGAUUUUUGACGUGGUCACUGCCCCCUAGUCUGAGGAAGGGGCUAUACCAAUGAAUUCAUCGGCUGGCUCAGAUUCCCCAUCCGUCUCCACCUCUAGCCAUAGCCCCAAAGGUAGCACCGCCUCUUCGUACGAGUCUAAUAGUGCAGAGGAUGCCAUAGUCCCCCCCCUAUUUUGAGCCUCCAGCCGAUGCUACAGAGCCUAACAUGUGGUGUGUGGAUGGCUAAUACCGUAUGUACAAGGAUGUUCGUAUGUUGAACAAGAAUGAUAAGAUGGCCAGAUUGAUCAUAGAGGAGCGUCGGGUUCUCACAGGUAGCCUCCACACCGCUCUAAUCAUUAAUGGCCACUUUCGUAGACACAUGUGUGAUUGGAUGGCACGGCCCCAGGCAUGUAUAGCGAAGAGAUAGUCAGGGAGUUCUACACUUCCUAUACCGCCACCGUUAGUGGGUCCAUCUCCAAGUGGACCAAGCCCGCAACUCACCCUCCACUUGAGCCUACACUAGUCUACGGUUUUUCUAUGUCCUCUUUGAUACCACCCUUCGCUGGUUUAUCUAUGGCCGGGACCACACUCUGCCCAUCAAUACAACAGAGUUAGACUAUCGCAUAGGCAUCAUCCAGAGUGGGGCAUUUCAGAGGAAUGAUGAGUAGCUGGAGUCACUUAUUAGUUGGUUAGCACGACAUCUUGCCAUGGAUGGGGAACGUGCAGAUUGGGUUAGUACACUGAGCCUGGGCAUUAGGAAUACUAACCUGAAUUUUGCUGCAAAAUUUUUCUGGCUGCUGAUGCUAAGCAGAUUUCCCCCCACUCAUGCGGACAACGUGGUCAUUGGGACCGUGCGGUGAAACUUGCAACUAUGGUGGCGUUACUUGAGGUAGAUUUUGUCCGCAUACUUAACGCGGAGAUCCAUUAGAGGGCCUUUAAGGCCACCACCACUUUGCCUUUCCCCGGCCUCAUCUUCCAGCUUUGCAGGGACUCCGGUGUACCAGUUUGGUACUGUGACAGGUUGCUUCAAGCAACCAAGAAUCUGGAUAGUGGGCAGAUCAGAGAUGAUGCCAAUGUAGCCACACCUCGCAGGGAGCCACAUGUCGAGGUACCACCAAUUGGGAGAUGAUCUUGCUGCGGAUGUGUAGCAGAUGCAGGUUGAUGAUACUGCCCCUCCAAACCCUACAGCAGAUGCCCAGUCUCCUCCAUAACCAGCCGCCAGUCAGGCCCCUACCUCAUCCAGAACCACGCCCUCUUUAGGGCCCACCGUCAUCCCUCUAGCCCGAGUCCAAAAGCAGGAGGCACAAAUGGCUAUUUUGGUUCAACAUGUGAAGCCUUUGAUGUAACGUUCAAUAACAGAGUUGGAGGCGAGGGUUGAGCAGAGGAUGGAGAAGAUGAUGGACCAGAAGGUCCAGGCCAUUCAUAAGUGCCUUGAUGCCAUUGAUUUGCGAGUCCUGGAGAGGAUGGCCCCAACUCUUGAUGUGACCACCUACCAGUAGGAGUUGGCUAGCCUCCGUGCUAAUAUUGAUGCACUCGUAGCUCCCCCAGUGACUAUUCCAGAGUCCGCCCCUACAGCCAUGGAGGAUGAUGGGAGUGUUGGAAAUCUUCUUCAGCGAUGCUGUACCGCCACCUGAUUCUUCCCAUGCUGUAAGGAAGAGUCCCACCUUUGGUCGUAUUUCUAAGGAUGCAGAGGUUCAGAGAUCGAGGGAGAGGGAACGACAACAGACUGAGGUGGCUCGUAGGGCAUCUAUAGUUGAUGAGGAGUUUAGACAACAGUGGGGCCGAGAGCGAAAUGUAGGCCCAUCUAGCGGUGUGAGAAAUACUAAGGGUGCUGUGAGAGUUGAUGUGAGCACUAUUGAGGGUGUUGUGUUGGUUGAUGUGAGCACUACUGAGAGUGCGGGAAUAGUAGAUGGGAGUGCUACUGAUGGCAUUCCGAGUAUUGAUACAUCGAGAUCGAGGAAACCGGACCCACCCACUUCUUGAGUGGUCUUCGGCGCAUAAGCGCCAUAGGUUUGCCUCACUCGAUCCUUUACUUUUAAUUUUUUUAUGCAUUGGGGACAAUUGCACUUUAAUUUUUUGGCGGUGGGGUAAAUGGAUUGUGAGUAAUAGGGUGAAGUCUGAUUAACCAAACUAAUAAUCCUCUCUUGGGGUUUUCUUGCUUGUGUUCUUCUGUCCCUAGAUACUGUUUUAAUAUCUUUUGAACCAACAUGUUUAGGAAUGUAUGUGUAGGAGUAAGUAGAAAAAUGAAAGCAUGAUGGCAUCAAAACCAUGAGAAAAAUGAUCCAUGUCCAAAAAUGUUGAAAUGUGCUAGAUCUAUAGUCUUGAUGAGUUGAAUGUAUUGGAUCUCAAAUCGGCAUGAUAAAGAAUCGAUUUGACCUCAUGACUUAAGCUAAAAGUUGAACUAGGUAAUCUAAUAAUCUGAUAAUGAAACAAUGUGCCAAGAGUGUGUGAGAAAAGUUGAAUGUUCAGACAAUAUGUUCAAAUCUAGAACAUACCCCGUUGGUCUUGCUAAGAUAAUCUAGGCUAGAAGUUGGGAAGUGAUCAUAGGCCCUUGUUAAAAUAAAGUCCACACAAGCCUUAAAUGAUCCAACCAAAUGAAAUCAAUGUUCCCUUUGAUCAAAAUAUUUGAGCCUAAAAUAGACAACUUCUUUCAAUUCACCUAACUCAUCUUCCCUAAAAUAAUUGUUUUUGGCCCCCGGUCCCUCCUUGGACAUGUGCACCUUGACUUAGGCCAAAAGUCUAAGUUGAGGGUGGCUAAUUUAAAACUUACCUUGAUCUUGGCCCUGGUCCGACAUAGGAUAUUGUGCACCUCAACUCAUGCAAAAUACAUAAGUUGAGGGUGGCUAUGAAAAAAAGGAAAUCGAAAGAAAAUGGGUAUGAAAAGAUUUUUUUGUUGAAGAGGAAACAGAAAACAAAAGAUGUGACUUUGUGCAAAAGAAGAAAAAAAAGAUAUACAAAAGUGUUGAAAGAAAUAAAGAAAAAAACAAAGUGAAAGAAAAAGAAGAAAGUGAAAAAUAAGAGCCACAAAGUCAAAAGUUACAUCAAAGUUGAAAAGAGUCAAGGGAAAGAAAGUAAAAUAAAAGGUUAUCAAGAAUAGGUUGAGAAAAGAGGUAACUAGAAAAUGUAUUGUCAAAGAGGGCAGAAAGUCACUAAAAAGUACCCAAAUGUACCACACCUGACCCUGAGCCUACGUUACAAGCCAACAAAGUCCUAUAGUGAUCCUAGUGACUAGUUUUUAGAAUCUAUGAAGUGAAAUUAAGAGCAAGCCUAUGGUAUUGAGCACUAAUUGUACUUGAAGUCACUUAUGAGCGUGAGUGUUGAAUGAAUCUUAAAACUUAAAAUUCAUAUCUAUUGUGUGUGAAAAGGGUUUUUCUUUAAAGUUAGGGCACUAGUUACAUUGUUGGAAAAUUGAUACCUUGGUGAUUGUGAAUGGUGUAUAUUGUGGUGUCUGUUGGUCGAUCUAUGUCAUUUUUUGAUCCAUAUGAGUUGGCUUGGUGAGUCUAAGAGACAAGAUUCACACUGAGAAAAUGGAAUGGAUUGAAAUGGUCACGUGAUUGCUGGAGUUUGUAUGUCUGCUUCUACACAAGUGUCGUUUAGAGUGUUAGUAUGUCGCUUUAGGACAAACAACAUCUUUAACGUUGAGGGUGUUGAUAUACCGUGAGUUUACAGUAUUUUCAAUACAUUUUACUUAUGAGUUUUGUAUGUCUAGGACCAUUUGGUAUUGGAAAUAAUGUUUUAUGUGCUAUGUUUGUAGGAAAUAGGCUUUGAUACGGCUGAGUGAGAUGACAGCUGAAAUUCUUCAAAAGUGACCAUCCACGGAGGAAACUACGAACAUUAGGUCCUGUGACGGUCCUUAGGUCUUGUGACGGUCAGUCGAUGGGUAAGCGUAAAUAGGAGUAUCAAGGAAUUCUGACCAAGUGUGCAACUAUGAAGUGAUCCACAAAACAUAGGUCGACCAACGGGCCGUCCUGCACAUCCAUCGAAUGUGAACUGGGAGUUCAAGUUUUAGUACCUGAUGAAAAUCCUAUGUGUGGAGCCAUGGAAGAGGACCCACAGACCGUAAAUUAACCUACACUCCGGCCUGCACAUCUGUAUAUGAUAGACUAGGAGUUGAAGGUUCCAACGUCUGUUGAAAAGUUCUAAGUGUUGACCAAAGGAGAGGACCUACGUACCAUAGGUGACCCAUGGUCCGUAGGUAAAGUCGUCGAUAAAAGUCGUGUCGCAGAAGUUUAUUUCCUUGUUUUAUUUCCUUUUUAUUAGGAGAAGUUUUUCAAUAAAUGGGGUAUGUAAACCUCAUUUUUUGUGGUUAGACAUUAUUGUUUACUUUUUAGUUCUUGAUAUUUUCUUUGGGAAUUAACUUGCAAACUUUGGCAAUUUCAUUUCUAGAUUUCGGUUUAUAAGAUGUUUACUUUGAAAUUCAGUUAGAGAUAUCGGGUUUCUUCUACUCUAAAUGUAAGUUCAUGAAUUCUUAUUAUCAAAACAUUAUUUCUGUUUACACCAUGAUGCUUUUCGUGAGCAAUGACACAAACCUACGGUACGAGUGUCUACGAUCGUCGAUAGUAUAGUAACCCAACUUAAGGUUGGGGUCGUGUCUCAAGGGAGUGGUUUUGAGGAUUGAUAGAAAAAUAAAAUUUAGCUCUAACUAGUUGUAGCUAGAGACAUUAACGAGUAAAACAUAGUAAAUUAAAGGGGGUGACACAAAAGUGUCAAAUAUCAAUUGGGGUUUUUGUCACAAGUAGUAAAAACAACAAAAAAAACAAAAAAAUCAAGUAUGGGAAAAAUUUCUUGGGGCUUGACCACAAUACAAGUUGAGAUAAAUCAUUGGUUACAUGCUUUCGAUAGGAAAUUAAAAAGAUAAUAGUGACUAGGCUAAGAUUUAGAUGGAAAUAAGUUCCCUCUCGGGCAACUUACCUCGUUUCAAAUGGGUUCCUCUCUGACACCCAUUUGCCGCAUGAAGCCUACCCCUUACCCCACUCACUCUCUCGAGCUAAGUUUUAGGAUAUGGGACUAGGGCUCAUCCUCUCGGGCAGAACCUCAUGUCGACCCACUCCUUAGGCCAUUAUUCUAGCGGUUUUGGUUUCGCGACAUCUAUCUCAAGAAAGCCGAAAACACAUGGGUGGUUUUGCAUUUGUAACUACAAACCCAUUAAAUUAAACCACAACCACUAGGUGAAAUCACCAUUAAAAUACAUCUAACAUAUCAGCAACCAAGACCCAACAAUAAUAUCAAUACAUAUUUUCUAAAUCACUCCCCAAGAAUGGGUGUUUUUAGCCACAUAUCAAGAAAUAACAAACUACACCUAAAAUAAUACUAAAAUCAAAUGGGUACAAGGAAUUAAACCUUGAUUUAAGCAAAGGAUUAAGAAUGGAGAAGACCCACUUCCAACUUGGGGAAGAUGAAAUUCUUCUUUCUUUAAGUCUCCCAAAAACCCCUCUCCAAACUAGAGAGAAAAUAUCCCAAAAAAUUACUAUUCUAUUGUGAAAAUUAUAAGAAAAAUUCGAAUCUCCUAAAAUUAAUAAAGAGUUUAGUAUUUAUAGACUUCAGAAAUUAGUGCUGGCGGAUCGUUCGGCGAGGUUAGUCAAAGUCGCCGAAUAACUCGGCGACUCACCCUGCUUCUGUCUUAUCGCCGUUUUGUGCUUACCUUCAGCAUCUUCACGUUCUGGACCAUUGGGCAGUAUAGUAUUGCUUCGCGAAACUAUUCGACGAAGCGCCUACUGCUCUUGUCAUCGCCUUUUUUAUCCUUCCCCUUCAGGGCUUAGCGUACAGGAACAAAGGGUGGAGUGCGUCCCUUCGCCGAAUCGCCAAGUGUGCUUGGCGAUGCUCAGGCUUCAGCUUCUUCAUUCUUUUCAACCUUUUUGUUCCUUUUUGCGCCUAAGUGUCCAUGCUUCCACUAAAACUUUAAAUACCUGAAACUUAAGAGUUUUCAUCAGAUAUUGAAACAAAAUAAGAAUUUGAGGACACUAUUUCUAUCAAAAUAAGCCCUAAAUUAGCCCAAUUUACGAACACAUCAACACCCCCAACUUAAACUUUUGUUUGUCCUUAAGUAAACUUGAGUUCAGCCGUUCAAAAAGGGUGUCUCAAAUUAUGCUACACAAGACUCAAUCAUGAAUGCACACAACAAGACUCAAUUUACUUAUGCAAGGAUCAAUUGUGUACUCAAAGAUUCAAGUUGUGACACACCAUUAGAAAAGAUUCUCAUGCUCGCAAUACUUGCUACUUGUGCAAGUUCAAGCUCAACAAAAAAGUAUCUAAAUGCCCUCACAUAAAGAAUGAGUCCAUCUUCACACACAGAGGUUAAUCAAUUCAAGAUAAGGAAUCAAAUGAAAUGCUCACACUCAAAACGAGGAACACAAUGAAUGUUUUCGCCCAUAGAUUUGCCCUUAUUUUUCGAUCGAUCUUCGAUCCAGCUCACUCAAGAUCAAAAAAGUCUUUCUACGACUUGUAAUGGGGAUGAGUGCAAAGGUGUGGUCAUUUAGGCUCAGUGACUUUUUCCUCGUGAGAUGUGGUAUUCGGAAGGCAUUUCGUUCUUUUCCUUUAUCAAUUCUUUUUCUAGUGCUUCUAAUUAAUCUUUUUAUUCACCUUCAUGGAUUGCUUGGAAACCCGAUUUCCUUUGAACUUUAUUCUGCACAAUAUUUUUUUUUUUUAAAGGUUUCCAUUGUUCUGCAACACCAUGGGUUAAGGGACUUUUCUUGCACUUCUUGACUCCUCCUCUUCGUUUUCACCACACACCCAACUUAGGCUUUUGGACUAAGUUGGCUAUUUGCUAAACCAUAAAUCAAGAGAACUAUAGGUAGUGGGUCAAGUAAGGUCUAAGGUUCAUCAAGGUUCUUCCAAAUAAAGGUAAGGCUCAAAGGGUGUUCAAAAGAGUUUCACACGCUCACGGGUAGGCCACAAAAGAGGUAUAUAUCAAAUAUAGCUCACACUCUUUAAAGUUACCUAAGAUCAUCUCCAGAGGACAACUUUCUAAAUCAAACAGACUAACGGGGUAAAUUCUAGGUUUAUUCAUGCAUGGUUCAAAGCAAGAUAAUCACAAAAGGCAUCGACACUUAAGUCAAACAAGACUACACACUUUUGCUAGUGUGCAACGGUCAUUACAACAGAAUCAAUUCGAUAAAUGGCUAAUCACAACGAGAUGCAAAGAGUUCACAUAUUGUUUAUGCAACUUCAUUUGUCCUUGUCAUAGCCAUGCAUUCAUGUUCGUUCAAUUGAGAGCACUAUUCAUGUCAUCGUUAUUGAUCAAAAUCGAGACUGAAAUUUUUGCAAAAGAACAACCACAUUCAAUUCACGAGGGGUGGCAAAACUGUGCGAAAAAUUUAAAUUUUUUGGAAGGGUCAAAAUCAGUUUGCAAUUAAAAAUAAAUGGAACAUGAACUCAAACAUCCACAAUAAGUAGUAUUAAGACAAUUUGAAAUCAGGACAACCCAAAUAUACGAAAAUCAAAUAGAACACAAAAGGUGGGCCUCACCCCACCACAAAUAAAAAUUAUUUGUCCUCAAAUGCAAAUAAAUGUACUCAAAAGUAGAUGUAAGUAAGAGAAAUAGAGAGGUAAAGAAGUGAUCCUGGCUAUGCGGUUGCUCCAUUUGUCAUGGUAGCAUGGUUCUUCUGCGACCCUUGGGUGUACUAUUUUCCACAAUUUUAGCAUUAGAAAGAAUGCGAGGUGGGGACGUUAAGCGAGUCGUUGAGAAAUUAAGCAAGCUCUCCACAACAUCGCUAAACAACCCAACCCGCCUAUUUUCAACGCAUUUCCUCGAAUGCUUCCUAAUCACUUUGUUUUAGCUUUACUCAACUACUGUCCAAUUUCUGCGUACUCGGCGAUAUCAGUCUGAAUGGAUGGAUCAGUUGGCGUGUCGCCGAGUAUUCACUUAUUUCUCCGAGUUUUACAGAUCUUUCCAGUAAACCUGGGAGUUCAAACGGCGGUUGCCAUCUAGAUCGCCAACAGACACGACGAUGCACCAAUAAGUUCACAUGCUCGCCGAGUUUUACAGGCUUCAAUUUUUUAGAUGAUUGAAGUAAAACGGCGGAUAAGGUCAAGUUCACUGACCUCUUCUGCCACUUGCCAAUUGGAUCUGUUCUUGUCACCCUGCACUUUUCGAGAACUUUUCAUAUUCCAACCUAUACCACAACACAUCAUUAUUUUACCAAUACAUAAAUAUAAAAUAUUAAGGGGUUUUGGGUUGCCUCCCAAAUAGCGCCUUAGUUAACGUCAUGGCACGACGCAAGUCAGCAACUAUUCUUCAUCCCCGGAGUCACCCAUCCGGUAAUUAGGCGAGUCAUCCACGAAUAGUGGGUAAUGAUUUGAUAUCAAAUGGCCAAUUUGAGCAUCCUGCAGCUGAAUAGUCAUGGAGUGAGAGGCUGAUGCAUCAUUUAACAUUUCGAUGUUAUCAUUCAUCUCAUUCAACAUCUUAUCAUGUGCCUCAAUUUUUUGUUGAAUGAGUGACAAAGCUUCAUCAUCCUACACACUUCUCCGCUUCUUCUAAUAUUAACAUUCUUGGAGGGAGGAGUGCUUUUCUUUUCCCAUGGCUUGUAUUUCCAAUUCUGUGACUUGGGUGGAUAGAACAUUCAGCUGGGUAACCAGUGCGUCCCAUUCAUGCUUUCUUUUUGCUUCUUUGUUUGCUUCUACUGUGCCAUCAAGGAGUUUUUCUACAUAUUUCAUAGGGCUGGUGUAGUAUACCGCCCUCGCAAUGUUGAUCAACUAUGCUUCUAUUCUCAGUUCCUAGUUCCUAUAGGAGCACUCGAGUUUCCCCUUGUCUGUCAUCCCGUGAGAUGGGCAUGGUUGCAUCACUUCUUGGAACUUCAGCCAUAUUUCCUGAAUUAUUUCAUUCCCUACCUGUUUAAAUGUCAAGAGGUGAUCCAUGUGGUUCAAUAGUUUCAUAAGGUGAUGAUCUGUGUGAUAUCUAUAAAGAUUUUCCAUCCUUAUUUCCUGUUCUGAUAUUCAAACUAGCAAAACAAAACUACAAUUUAGAUUAGUAAAACUAAAACAAGGAAGAAUAAAAAAUUCUACUUAACAAAACAUUCUCAAGUAACACCACUCACCGAUAUCAGCACCAUUUUGAUACUUAUCUUGACCAACGACACUAACCAAUAGUACGAGUGUCUACGAUCGUCGAUAAUAUAGUAACCCAACUAAAGGUUGGGGUCGUGUCCCAAAGAAGUGGUUUUGAGAAUUGAUAGAAAAAUAAAAUUUAGCUCUAACUAGUCGUAGUUAAAGACAUUAAAGAGUAAAAAUAUUGUAAAUUAAAGGGGGUGACACAAAAGUGUCAAAUAUCAAUUGGGGUUUUUGUCACAGGUAGUAAAAACAACAAAAAUAACAAGAAAAUCAUGUAUAGGGAAAAUUUAUUGGGGUGUGACCGCAAUACAAGUUGAGAUAAAUAGUUGGGUACAUGCUUUCGAUAGGAAAUUUGCAAGAUAAUAGUAACUAGGCUAAGCUUUAGAUGGAAAUAAUUUCCCUCUCGGGCAACCUACCCCGUUUCAAAUGGGUUCCUCUCGGACACCUAUUCGCCGCAUGAAGGCCAGCUUACACCUUACCCCACUCACUCUCCCGAGUUGAGUGUUAGGAUAUGAGACUAGGGCUCACCCUCUCGGGCAAAACCUCAUGUCGACCCACCCCUUAGGCCGUCAGUCUAGCGGUCUUGGUUUCGCGACCUCUCUCUCUCGCAAGACGAAAACAUAUGUGUGGUUUUGUAUUUGCAACUACAAACCCAUUAAAUUCAUCCACAACCACUAGCUGAAAUCACCAUUAAAAUACAUCUAACCUAUCAACAAACAAGAACCAACAAUAAUAUCAACACAUAUUUGCUAUAUCAUACCACAAGAAUCAGGGUUUUUAGCCACACAUCCAGAAAUAACACAAUACACCUAAAAUGAUACUAAAAUCAUAUAGGUAUAAGGAAUUAAACCUUGAUUUAAGCAAAGGAAGAAGAAUGGAUAAAACCCACUUCGAACAUGGGGAAGAUGAAAUUCUUCUUUCUUCAAGUAUCCCAAAAAACCUCUCUAAACUUGAGAGAAAAUAUCCAAAAAAAAGUACUGUUCUAUUGUGAAAAGUAUAAUAAUAAUUCGACUAUCCUAAAAUUAAUAAAGAGUUUAGUAUUUAUAGACUUAAGAAAUAAGUGCUGGCGGAUCGCUCGGCGAGGUUAGUCGAAGCUGUGAAUAACUCGGCGACUCUCCCUUCUUCUAUCUCAUUGCCGUCUGUGCUUGCCUUCAACAUCUUCACAUUCUGGACCAUUGGGAGGUAUAGUAAUGUUUCGCGAAACUAUUCGGCGAAGCGUUGACUGCUCCUUUCAUCGCCUUUUUUAUCCUUCCCUUCCAGGGCUUCGCGUACUAGAACAAAGGGCGUAGUGCAUCCCUUUGGUGAAUCGCCAAGUGUGGUUGGUGAUGCUCAUGCUUCAGAUUCUUCGUUCUUUUCAGCCUUUUUGUUCCUUUUUGCUCCUAAGUGUCAAUGCUUCCAUUAAAACUUCAAAUAUCUGAAACUUAAGAGUUUUCAUCAGAUAUUGAAACAAAAUAAGCAUUUGAGGAAACUAUUUCUAUCCAAAUAAAGCCUUAAAUGAGUCCAAUUUGUGGACUCAUCAACACCCCUAACUUAAAUUUUUGCUUGUCCUCAAGCAAACUUUAGUUCAGCCAUUCAAAAAGGGUGUCUGAAACAGUAAUACACAAAACUCAAUCAUGAGUGCACACAACAAGACUCAAUUUACUGAUGCAAGGAUCAAUUGUGUACUCAAAGAUUCAAGUUGUGACAUAUCAUUACCAAAGAUUCUCAUGCUCGCAAUACUUGCUACCUGUGCAAGUUCAAGCUCAACAAAAAGUAUCUAAAUGCCCUUACAUAAAGAAUGAUUCCAUCUUCACAUAGAGGUUAAUCAAUUCAAGAUCAUGAAUCAAAUGUAAUUCUCACACUCAAAAAGAGGAACACAAUGCAUGUUUUCACCUAUAGGUUUGCCCUUCUUUUCCGAUCGAUCUUCGGUCCAGCUCACUCAAGAUCAAAAAGGUCUUUCUACUGCUUGUAAUGGGGAUGAGUGGUCAUUUAGGCUCAGUGAAUUUUUUCUCGUGAGAUAUGGUAUUCUCAAGGCAUUACCUUCUUUUCCUUUAUCAAUUCUUUUUAUAGUGCUUCUAAUUAAUCUUUUUAUUCACCUCCAUGGAUUGUUUGGAAACCCGAUUUCCUUUGUACUUUAUUCCACACAAUUUAUUUUUUUAUGGGUUUCCAUUAUUCUGCAACACCAUGGGUUAAGGGGGACUUUUCUUGCACUUCUUGACUUCUCAUUUUCCUUUUCACCAUACACCCUACUUAGGUUUUUGGAAUAAGUUGGCUAUUCUCGAAACCACAAAUCAAGAGGAUUGUAGGUAGUGAGUCAAAUAAGGUCUAAGGUUCAUCAAGGUUCUUCCAAAGAAAGGUAAGGCUCAAAGGGUGUUCAAAAGAGUUUCACACGCUCAUGGGUAUGCCACAAAAGAGGUAUAUGUCAAAUUUGGCUCACACUCUUUAAAGUUGCCUAAGAUCAUCUCAAGAGGACAACUUUCUAAAUCAAUCAGACUAACGGGGUAAAUUCUAGGUUUAUUCAUGCAUGGUUCAAAGCAAUCUAAUUACACAAGGCAUCGACACUUAAUUCAAACAAGACUACACACUUUCGCUUGUGUGCAACGGUCAUAACAAGAGAAUCAAUUUGAUAAAUGGCUAAUUACAACGAGAUGCAAGGAGUUCACAUAUUAUUUAUGCACCUUCAUUUGGACUCAUCGUAGCCGCGCAUUCAUGUUAGUUCAAUUGAGAGCACUAUUCAAGUCAUCUGUAUUGAUCGAAAUCGAUACUCAAUUUUUUGCAAAAGAACAGCUACGUUCAACUCACGAGGGGUGGCAAAAAGUGUGAAAUAUUCCAAAAAAUUCGGAAGGGUCAAAAUCAUUUUGCAAUUAAAAAUAAACGGAGUCAUGAGCUCAAACAUCCAAAAAACGCACUAUAAACACAAUUCGAAAUAAAAACAACCCAAAUAUACGAACAUCAAAUAGCACACAAAAGGUGGGCCUCACCCCACCAGAAAUAAAAAUCAUUUGUCCUAAAAUGCAAAUAAAAGUACUCCAAAGUAGAUGUAAGUAAGACAAAUAGAGAGGUAAAGAAGUGAUUCUGGCUAUGCGGUUGCUCCAUUUGUCAUGGUGGCAUGGUUAUUCAGCGACUCUUGGGUGUAGAUUUUCCACAAUUUUACCAUUAGAAAGAAGGCGAGGUGGGGACGUUAAGAGAGUCGUUGAGUAAUUUAGCAAGCUCUCCAUAACAUCGCUAAACAACCCAAUCCGCCUAUUUUCAACCCAUUUCCUCGAAUGCUUCCCAAUCACUUUGUUUCAGCUUUAGUCAAGUGCCAUCCAAUUUCUGCAUACUUGGCGAUAUCCGUCUGAAUCGCCUGAUCAGUUGGUGUGUCGCUGAACAUUCACUUGUUUCGCCGAGUUUUACAGAUCUUUCCAGUAAACCUGGGAGUUGAAACAAUGGUCCCCAACGAGAUCGCCUACAGAGUCGGCGAUGCUCCAAUAAGUUCCUAUGCUCACCGAGUUUUAUGGGCUUCAAUUUUUGAGAUGAUUGGAGUCAAACUAUGGAUAAGGUCGAGUUCACUGACCUAUUCUGCGACUUGCCAAUUGGAUCUAUUGCUUGUCACCCUGCACUUCUCGAGCACUUUCCACAUUCAAAACCUAUACCACAACACAUCAUUAUUUUACCAAUAUAUAAAUAUAAUAUAUUAAGGGGUUUUGGGUUGCCUCCCAAACAACGCCUUAAUUAACGUUGCGGCACGACGUAAGUCAGCAACUAUUCUUCAUCCUCGGAGUCGCCCAAGCUGUAAUUAGGCGAUUCUUCUGUGAAUGGUGGGUAAUGAUUUGAUAUCAAAUGGCCAAUUUGAGCAUUCUGCAGCUGAAUAGUCAUGGAGUGAGCAGUUGAUGCUUCGUUUAACAUUUUGAUGUUCUCCUUCAUCUUAUUCAACAUCUUAUCACGUGCCCAAAUUUUUUGUUGAAUGAGUGACAGAGCUUCAUCAUCCUACACAACUCUCUGCUUCUUCCGAUAUUUACACUCUCGGAGGGAGGAGUGUUUUCCUUUUCCCAUGGCUUGUAUUUCCAAUUCUUUGACUUGGGUGGAUAGAACAUCCAACUGGGUGGGUAGUGCGUCUCAUUCCUGAUUUCUUUUUGCUUAUUUUUUUGGCUUCUACCAUGUCAUCAAGCAGUUUUCCUACAACUUCAUAGGGCUGGUGUAGCAUACCGCCCUCACAAUUUUGAUCCACUAUUCUUCUAUUCUCAGGUCCUAAACCCCUAUAGAAGCAAUUUUGUAGCCCCUCGUCCGUCAUCCCGUGAGAUGGGCAUGGUUGCAGAACUACUUUAAACUUCAGCCACAUUUCCUGAAUUGUUUUAUCCCUUACCUGUUUAAAUGUCAUGAGGUUAUCCUUGAGGUUCAAUAGUUUCAGAAGUUGAUGAUCCGUGUGAUAUCCAUAAUGAUUUUCCAUAAUUAUUUCUUGUUCUGAUAUUCAAACUAGCAAAACAAAAUUACAAUUUAGAUUAGUAAAACUAAAACAAGGAAGAAUAAAAAGUUCUACUUAACAAAAAAUUCUCAAGUAACACCAUUCCCCGGCAGCGACACCAUUUUGAUGCUUAUCGUGACAAACGACACUAACCUACGGUACGAAUGUCUAUAAUCGUCAAUAAUAUAGUGAUACAACUAAAGGUUGGGGUCGUGUCCCAAGAGAGUGGUUUUGAGAAUUGAUAGAAAAAUAAAAUUUAGCUAUAACUAGUCAUAGCUAAAGACAUGAACGAGUAAAAACAUAAUGAAUUAAAGGGGGUGACACAAAAGUGUAAAAUAUCAAAUGGGGUUUUUGUCACAACUAGGAAAAACAACAAAAAUAACAAGAAAAUCAAGUAUGGGGAAAAGCUCUUGGGGUGUGACCGCAAUACAGGUUGAGAUAAAUUGUUGGGUACACGCUUUCGAUCGGAAAUUUGCAAGAUAAUAGUGACUAGGGUAAGCUUUAGAUGGAAAUAAGUUCCCUCUUGGGCAACUUACCCCGUUUCAAAUGCGUUCCUCUCGGACACCCAUUUGCCGCAUGAAAACUAGCCUACGCCUUACCCCACUCACUCUCUCGAGCUGAGAGUUAUGAUGUGGGACUAGGGCUUACCCUCUCGGGCAUUAACCUCAUGUCGACCCACUCCUUAGGCCAUCAGUCUAGUGGGCUUGGUUUCACGACCUCCCUCUCGGGCAAGCAGAAGACACAUGGGUGGCUUUGUAUUUGCAUCUACAAACCCAUUACAUUAAACCACAACCACUAGGUGAAAUCACCAUUAAAAUACAUCUAACCUAUCAGCAAGCAAGACCCAACAACAAUNNNNNNNNNNNNNNNNNNNNNNNNNNNNNNNNNNNNNNNNNNNNNNNNNNNNNNNNNNNNNNNNNNNNNNNNNNNNNNNNNNNNNNNNNNNNNNNNNNNNNNNNNNNNNNNNNNNNNNNNNNNNNNNNNNNNNNNNNNNNNNNNNNNNNNNNNNNNNNNNNNNNNNNNNNNNNNNNNNNNNNNNNNNNNNNNNNNNNNNNNNNNNNNNNNNNGAAUAGAGAAGACCCACUUCCAACUUGGGGAAAAUGAAUUUCUUCUUAUGCAAGCUUCCAAAAAAACCCUCUCCAAACUUGAGAGAAAAUAUCCCCAAAAAGUACUAUUCUAUUGUGAAAAUUAUAAGAAUAAUUUGACUCUCCAAAAAUUAAUAAAGAGUUUUGUAUUUAUAGACUUCAGAAAUUAGUGCUGGCGGAUCGCUUGGCGAGGCUAGUCGAAGCCGCCGAAUAACUCGGCGACUCGCCCUUCUUCUGUCUCAUCGCCGUUUCAUACUUGCCUUCACCAACUUCACGUUCUGGAACAUUGGGCGGUAUAGUACUACAUCGCGAAACUAUUUGGCGAAGCGCCGACUGCUCCUUUCAUCGCUUUUUUAAUCCUUCCCCUUCUGGGCUUUGCAUACAAGAACAAAGGGCGGAGUGUAUCCCUUCGGCGAAUCGCCAAGUGUGCUUGGCGAUGCUCUGGCUUCAGCUUCUACGUUCUUUUCAUCCAUUUUGUUUUUUUUUUGUGCCUAUGUGUCCAUGCUUCCACUAAAACUUCAAAUACCUGAAACUUCAGAGUUUUCAUCCGAUAUUGAGACAAAAUAAGCAUUUGAGGACACUAUUUCUAUUUGUGGACUCAUCACACCACCCAAUUGAUUUGGGUCAUUUACAUCGUUCAGAUUUCAAAUGUCGUCUUGGUGCCCCACUUGGCUGCCAUUGCUUCCCUUUACACUCAUCUCUUCCGAUGUUCAACAAAAACAACAAAAAUACAAAACAAAUUAAGUCGAUUUAACUAUAGCAUUAAAAGAACACAAUUUAACUUCAUUAAUAGAAUUUUAAACAACACCACUCCCCAGUAGCGGUGCCAUUUUGAUGAGACGUUUCAAGCACACCACAUCAAAUUCUAGGUGUAAAUGAUCGUUAAUCAGUAUAAAACCAAAUGAAGAGUUGCGGUCGAACUCACAAGGAGUGGUACAUGUCUAAAAUUCAAUUAAGAAGUAUAAACGUGUUAUAAUGGUUAUAUGAAUAAAAGUUAUCGAAAACAUUCAAUCAAAUAUAAAAUGGUGACAACUAUUGUGAGAUGGGGGGUUUGGUUUUGCUAUGAACAGUUGAACCAACAAUGAAAGCAAGGGAAAAUAACAAUAUGGAAAGGAGUUCUUGGGAUGUGAUCGAUUAUAGGCUAAUUAUGCUAUAUGGGUAUUUGAAAUCUAACGAUGAUUAGUUGAAACAUAGAGGGUAGGCUGGACUUUAAGUACAUUAGUUUUCUUUCGAACAACUAUUAUGGCUCAAGUAAUUUUUUUUGAACAUCAACAAGAUUAACAAAAUAACCAGCCCACAACCUUAAUACCUCCACUCUCUUGAGCUAGAUGGGUAGGAAUGGAUUUAAGAUUCACUUUCUCGAGCUGAACCAAUAUUAACCCAAUACCCACAAAUCAUUAAUCAAAAGCUUUGGUCCCAAAACCUCUUUCUCAAGCAAGCUAAGAACUCAAAAUUAGAAUUGCAUUUGCAACUACAAUUCAUAAAUUAAAACAUAGCUAAUGGUUAAACCCACAUUAAAACAGAAAACUCAUCAUCAAACAACAAUACCCAUACGAUAAUUAGACAAAUAAACACAUGAUCACACCCCAAGAAUUGGGGUUUUAGCUACACAUCAUAAAAAUAGAGAAACGAUUACCAAAUGCAUUAGCCAUGAUCUGGGUAAGAAUGUCCAAGCCUUUACAAUGAUUUCUAAGAAUAAAAUUCAAAGACCCGCUUUUCAAAUCCUCCAUAAUUAUACAAUUCCAACUCAAAAAUCCAGAGAAAACUCUAAGUCUAGAAUGGGAACAGUAAUAUCUGGGAGAGAACUCCUCAGAAUUAAAUUGAAAAUCCAAUUUAUAGUUGCCCAAAAUUUGGCCUGAAAAACCAUUAGGCGAGGUAAGUCGGUCUCGUUGAGUGGUUCGGCUAUCCGUCUGUUGCUUUCUUCCAUGUCCAUUUUGCAUUGGUUCUCAGUAUCCUCAAGUUCUGUAACUUUGGGCUAUCAAUUUUGUCAUCGCGGAAUUAAUCAGCGAUUCACCGACUGCUUAUUUCUGUCGCCGACUUGAUUUCUUCCUUCAAGGCUGGCACACUAGAACUUUAGGUGGUCUAAAGAGCCUCUCGGUUGUUCGCCGAGUGGUCUUGGCGAUCACCAGGAUUUCUCUUCUCCACUUCUUCAUCUUGUUUAGUUCCUUUUUGCCUGUUAGUGUCCUUGCUUUGCUCCUUAGUGCACAUACCUGAAUAUAAAGUCUUUAGCAUUAGUUUAUAGGAUAUAUUAGUCAUUUGAGGAACCUAAAACUAUCAAAACAAAGCCCCAAAUGAGUCCAAAUCUCAAACUCAUCAAAAUCGUCUAGGAACACUUCCGGAUACUUAUUAACAAUGGGGACUGACUCAAGGUUAGGGGUUUUUGAAUCCAUAUCCCUCACCCAAAUUAGAUGGUACAAGCAACUCUUAGUAAUUAUCUUCCUAGCUUUAAGAUAAGAAAUCAACCGACCUUUUGGCAUAGAUUUUCCCCUCUCUCACUCUAGGACAGGCUCAUUUGGGAACUAAAACUUGACCAUACGGGUUCUACAAUCAAUAGAAGUAUAACAACAGUGCAACCAAUCCAUCCCAAGGAUGACAUCAAAAUCUAGCAUAUCAAGCUCUAGCAAGUCAACACAAGUAACUCUAUGGGACAAGGAGACGGGACACUUUCUAUAAACCCUCUCAGCUAUCACAGAAUCACCAAUAAGAGAAGAGACGGAAAAAGGUUCUAACAACACUUCGGGAAACACAUCAAAUCUCAUUGCCACAUAUGGCAUCACAAAAGACAAAGUAUCACCGGGAUCAAGUAAAAAAUAUACGUCCAUUCGAAAAACUUUUAACAUACCGGUAACCACAUCAGGUGAACCCUCUUGUUCACCUCAAGUCUGAAGAGCAUAAAACCUAUUUUUCUUAGGAGCACUAGUACCUGAACGACUUGGACUGGAUAAAGGAUAGGGUUCAUCCCUACGAUGAUUAUCUCCUUCAUUAUUAGCAACCGAAGGACAAUCUCUUAUCUUUCUUACCACAACCAAAACAAGCAUUGGAACCCACUAGACAUUUACCUUCAUGCUUUCUUCAAAACUUUGCACAAUUAGGCAAAGAAGAACUAUUACCACCUCCUUGAGGCUUAGGGUUAGACACCCUUUAAUUUUUGAACCUUGAGGUAGCUUUAGAAGAACCUUGCCCGAAAAACCUUUGUCGAAACCUUGAACGACCACGUCAACCAGACCUAGAGUAUUAAUAGUUACCAUCAUCUGUUCUUUCCCUCUUUGUUUAUCUAGACCUCUCUUUGAGAUUUUCCUCUUCAAUCUAUUGGGUGUUGACCAUGAGAUGAGAAAUAUCCAUGUCAUGGACAAGCAUUGUCAUACGACACUCUUUUACUACCACUUCGGACACACCCAAAACAAACUUGCUCAUCCUUUCCCUAGAGUUUGCAACGAUAGAAGGAGAAUACUUAGAAAAUUGAGUGAACUUCAAAGAAUUUUCUUUCACACUCAUGCUUCCUUGUCAAAGAUUGAUAAACUCAAGCACUUUUGGCUCCCUUAUCUCAAGAGGAAAGAACCUAUCAAGAAAAGUGGACUUAAAACUUUCCCAUUCUAGAGAACCCGCAUCUACCGAUCGUGCUUUCUUCCACUGGUUGAACUAAAUUUGAGCAAUACUUUUUAGUUGGUAAGCGGCCAAUUCUGCCUUCUCUACCGGAGUCACUCCCAUGAUAGCAAACACCUUAUAGACCUCGUAAUUAAACUCUUGAGGAUUUUCCUCAACCUCAGAACCAUAGAAUUCUGAACGAUUCAUCCUUGUGAAGUCCCUUACUUUUGAUGCUGUCGUACCCAAAUUUGGGUUCACAACCUCCCUAUUGGCUUGGGCCAUCACGGCUUGAGCCAACACUUGGAAAGCCAUCCUAAACUCCGCAUUAUUAACUCGGUCGGCCAAAUGGUCAACCGCAGCUUGAGGAGGAGCUCAUUGGUCAAUCUCUUUUUGUCACGACCCGAGAGCACCCCCUAGUCGUAACUAGAGUACUCGACAUCGAAGAGGUCUAAUACAAGCCUCUUAGAUCAUUUAAUGCGUACGAUACAUAAAAAUAGAGAAGUAUUAAAAAAUUUCUUCACACACGAAGAUACUUUCAUUAAAAAUAGCAAGCGGAAGACUUCUGACUUUAUACACUUACGUCUCGAACCCAUCUAAUACCUUUAGAGUACAACAUUGGGACUAAGCCCAUACAAAACUUAAACAAUACUAAAAGACAUAAAAGGGAACAUGUAGGGUAUUGCCCUCGAAUCUAUGAGGACUCACCAAUUCUUCAUCUUCAAACACCUUAAGAAACCUAUCCAUCAUCCAUAGCACACCAAUAUCUCCAAUCCUUACACUUUAGUCAAAAGGGGAAGAAAUGGGGUUAGCACAAUUAAGCCCUAAGUAUGGAAGCCAUGCAAAAACAUGCUAAAAGGGACUUUUAUUGGAGAGACAUGCUUUAUGCCAUUUGGUAAAACUUCAUGAAAAUACAAGUAUAAGAGUCACAAUACUCAACCAUAACCAACAUACAAGUCAUUAACCACUUUAGCACAUACUCCACAUAUAACCCAUUCCUUCACCUUAAACCAUCCACCUCAAGUAACCCUUGGACAACACUUUGUACAAUAUAUGGAUAGCAUCUCAAACCACCAUCCAUACUAAAGCAUCAUCCUAAGGCCACCAAACAUGAACUUACCACUGAUCAUGGUUCAUAUCACAAGCCAUCGUGCACAACUAGUACUAAUAUUCAACACAUAAACAUAUUCGUCAAAACAAAUCAUUUUAUAACAUAUUCGUCAAAAUAAAUCAUUUCAUAACAUAUUCGUCAAAACAAAUCAUUUCAUGAUCGUAGGACCUCGGUCUAAAGUUAUCCUAUGACACACUUAAGUAAGACAUGAAGUGGCCGCCCAUACAACCUCUUCAAGAACACCUAAGUGUUCCUCAAAGCCACAAUAGACAAGAACCUUUACAUUUCAAUACAACAUGCUAAAUAGUUCAUUUCCUUAAUAUAAGAGAGAUAUGCAACAUAUUAAAAAGAUGACAAGUCAAUAAUCUUCUUUAGAGUCAUUUAGGACACAUUCAUGCAUUUAGAGGACUUUCAUACAAUAGCCAUUAGGGCUUAAGGAACUCACUUUAGUAUCUUCAAAGCCUACUCGUGCCAUGUGUAGAUAGCAUCCCAUACUACUACUUACACAUUGUAGAACCUAUCAAAUGACUAGAGUGCAUGUCCACAUGAUGGGAAUAAGAAUUAACCGACAUAGACCAUACUAGCUAGGCAUGGAAUCCGGAGUCUACCGUACUCUGUGGAAGGUUUUCUACUUGCCAAGGGUAGAAGAUGUACAUAACCCAUGUAGGCACAUGGUUUAGGGGAAAUCCAAAGACGUUCAUUGUACUCUUGCCUCAUACUCGGGAAGACCUACCGUGUAAACCAUAUCCACUCGGUGGUUAGCCUUAGUACCCAUAGAGUAAUUUCAUUCACAUUUAUGUACUAGAGAGGGCACUAUAAUUUUGUCUACCGACCCAUAGAACAUCUACCAAGAAGGGCACCACAAGGAUCUACCGAUCAAGGUUCUUUAAGGAUAGCUCAUUGACAUUCUUAGAGAGGGCUUUCUACCUUUCCUGUCCACCAACUCUAAAUCUAUCAUUUCACAGAAGAAAGAGGUCACCACCAUUAGAUCUACUGCUUCAUGGUUUCACAGUCAUAUAGGGACCUAGACUCAUCAUGAAGGGGCACCAUUCUUAGGUCUACCGGUUCAAGACAUAGCCUAGAAUGCCUCAUUUGUCAUUUAUAGAAGGGCACCAACUUAGGUCUACCGAUCCUGGACAUUCAUUCAUUCACUUAUUUAAGAAGAGGUUGCCAAUAUAGGUCUACCAAUUCAAGCACAAUUAGACACUUAAGUCAAGAUGCAUUCAUUACUCAAGAGAAGGAUGCCUAAGCCUACCAAGUCAAGAGAUCACAUUCCAUAGUUUUCAUGUAUCAAGAAGAGGCACCUAAGUCUACCAAUUCAAGCUAUACAACACAUUAUAGAGAUCCUUCACAUUCCAUCAUCAUGACAUAUGAACAAUAAGAGAGGACAUACUUUCAAUCACAAUACAAUAACACUUUAUACAAGAUGACCUUGGGAUCACAUGAACACCUUUAUAUUCACCACAUCACUACCUUUACUUCAUUUGAUUCUCAUUCAAAUCCUUCACAUCACAUUCCAUAUAUGAUAUCAUGUCAACACUUCAAUUCCUCAUACAAUGCCUCCAAGGCCAUACACACAAUACAUUCAAUAAGUAAAGAACUCCACCAUAAGUGGAUCACACAUCAAUCUAUCACAAUUCUAUAUCAAUUCUACAUUAACAAUGAAGUUAGGUCUACCUAUCCUUUUCCAAAGCCACAAUAACCAUUCCUCAAUUCUCCAACAAUUCACAAUAGAUAAGCAUAGAUAAUAAUAGAAAUCAACUAUUCAACUAAAUCUAAGAAUAAUUCCAUCAUCAUUCAAACAUAAAUAAUAAACUCAGUUCAUAAGCCAACUUUAGGGAUAUUCUGAAAUCAAGGGUUCAUCGAGUUUUUUUCACCUUAAAGCAUCAAUUAAACAUCAAUAAUAUCAUAUCUUAUCAUUUGAAAUUAUUUCAUGCAAGAACCCUUGAAUUUGAGUGAGAAAAAGGCUUUUGCAUAAACUUUGAAAACUCAAAAAUAUUUUGGAACUGGCUCUAGGGUGAUAGCUUUCCCUUGAUAAAGAACUCCCAUACCUUUACUAAGAUUGCCCAAGAGAUUUGACGAAGAAAGCUCCUUGAAUCGAAACCCUAGCUCCCACUUCAUCUUCAUCUUCUUCCUUGAGUUAGAGAGAGAAUUUUUGGGAGAGGAAGAACUCUUGUUUUGAUUAGGGAAAAUAAUGAGUAAAAGACUAGUUUUAGUACAUAAACCUAUAUAUACUAAUGAUAUAAAACUUUAAAAAUCAACCCCACUUAAUAAUAAUAAAAAAGGUAAUUACUUAAAUGUCCCAAUUUUGGGCAGCCCCGCCAGGGACCACGCCCACUUGGACGAGCCGUGAAAGGUCACCACGGCUCGUGGUGGUGCCCGUGGCCCUUGAGGCAGUGCCUAACUUUGCCUUGCCAAGCUCCCUCAGGCUUAGUCACCUUCACGACCUCUUUCACGAGCCGUGGUCAAGACCACCGGCCGUGAAGAGGUCCGUGAAAAUUGGGGCAGUGGCUUGGCCAAAAUGUCUUGCCUGACAUGCCACCAAGGCAUCUCCACUACCUCCUUCAUGAGCCUUGGUCAAGACCACUGGCCGUGAAGUGGUCCGUGAAACCUUGAGGUAGUGUCUAGCCAAGGUUGGAAGCCUUGGCCUUUAGCUAAGGCCUUCCUUGGCUUGGCACAAGCCCAAGCACCCUAACCAACAUAGAAAAGGCCUUCAACAACAUGUAGUCUAACACGUGCCUUGACGUUGACUCCCCAAAAUUUUCAAACAAGACUCGGGACAACAAUACACCACUUAGAACACAUAAGCUCACAAGACUAGUUUCCAAACGUCAUGGUCAUCCCUUGACGUUCGACCUCUAAACUCUUUAAACUAAACUUCAAAAGCCAAAACUUAUUAUUUAAACAAGUUAACCACUACUAAAACACAUUAGAGGGUCUAGUUCUUCCUAUUUCAUUUUUAGGGUCAUUACACUUCUCUCUCGCUCCUUCUAGCAAAAGCUGUUCAAGUAGUCAUAUCAUGUAGACCAUCGGGUAAGGAUUAGGAGAAAGACCUUAUAGAGUUAAACUCUAUCGCUUGACUUAGAGAAAUGAAGAAGUGAAGUUUCCUUAGCAUCUAAUAGCUUCUCAUUCAUAAAUGUUGUGCGCUUCACACUUAUGAACCAGACUCUACUAGACGUGGUUUUGAGACAUCCUAUAACCAUUCUAAACCUUAUGCUCUAAUGCUAAGUUUGUUAAGACCCAGGGGUACACCCUAGACGUAACAUGACAUACAACACCUCGAGAGGCCGCAUAUAAGCCACUUAUCUUUCAUAACAUAAGAUAAUAGAAAUGAGCAGAAAUUUAAAACAUUUUUCAACACCGUCAAAGUUUUAUAUCAAAAGCGAAAGUCUAUUACACCUUGUCUCAAACCAUCUAAAAUAUGAAUAUCUUAGGACACAAUCCAUAACAAAAUGUUCAACACAUAAAAUGAAGGAACAUAAGACAAAUGGUUGCCAAAAUCUCGAAUGCUAUGAGGACUCACCAAUCUUCAAGUCUUGGUUCUACUAAGAUCCUAGCCAUGGGGAUGAGAGUCGAGAUCGUCGGACCCUACAUUUGAAUAAGAAACGUAGGCAAGGGUAUCCGUUAGUACAAACAUGUACCAAAUAUUAUAACUAGCAUAAACAUCAACGUAAACAUAAGAGUUAGACAACAUAGGUCAUAAAGAAUAAUCAAUGCACAUAAUAGAUUAUAUCAACAUAAAAGGAAUACUUCUUGAAAUAACCUCAAAUCAACCUUACUCAUUAUGGAAGGCAACUCAAGCAACAAUCCAAGCUCAUCAUUCAUCAUAACAUAGUCUAGCUUAUCUUUUAUAGACAUUGGGAAUCGCCACUUACCUUACUAUAAAGGAACAUGCGUAGUCUCCUCUAGUCCUUCUUAACAUAUUGAUCAUAGGUACCCGCCUCUAGUCAAACAUCAUGUGACAUGGGUAUUCACCUCUUGUCAUUCUGUAGGGAUCAUGGGUACUCGCCUCUUGUCCAAAUCAUAUCUUAAGAACGUGGGGAUUCACCUGUUUCUAAACUUUGAGGGAUAAGGGUAAUCGCCUUUUUAUUCUAUUCUAGGGAAUACGGGUAAUCGUCUCAUAUCUAUCUCAUUUAGAGGUCAUGGGUAAUCAGCUCUAGCCUCAUCUAUAUCUUAGUCUUGAGCAUUCGAUUCACUUUAGGUGAGCAAUUCUUUCAACCUAGAAUAAUUCAAUGUGAGAAAGUCUUUCACAUCCGUAACAUAAACAAUGCAUGUGGGAACUAUCUCUUCCAUAACAAUUACAUCAAUAAUCAACAAUUGACAACAUAAGGUUUACUCUCAAAUCACUAUAUCUCAUAGUCAUUCCAUAAGCUUCACUCUCAAGAAAUUCAAUAUCAUAAUAAUCUCAUAAGCUUCAAUCUCAAAGAAAUUCUAAUCAUGAUUCAUCAUAUAAGCUUCAAUUCUAAUGAAUUUCAUCAAAACUAGAUAAAAUACAUAUAAACCCACAAAUUCUCCUUUCAUGGCAUAAAAUCCAUUUACAUCAAUUUCAACUUUCUAGACAUUGGUUAGGCAUGGGUACAUGUAAAUUCACCCUAAAAACAUGUAUCAAUUCCAACUCUUUCUUAUUCUUCUUCAAGUUCUAGAAAGAGAAAUAUUUGAGAGGAUGACUUUAAGAUUUCUUUUGGGUUUUUGUAAAUAAGGACUUGAAUGGGUGAGUUUAGAAAUUACUUAUAUAGGGUUCUUAGGCUUGGGUAAAAUGACAUAGUAUUAAUCUAAUUAAUUCCAGAAAAGACCCUUAAGCCCCUAUCUUGCAGGGGUCUACCUGCCACGAGAGGCUCCACAAGUUGUGGUGCCCUCCGUGGUAUUGAACUAGUGGCUUGGCAACCACCCCUUGACCCCUAAAAAUCUAACUCAUCACCACGAGCAUUUCCACGGACAGUAGUAGCCUUCACGAGCCAUACAGCUCCGUAAUUAGGACUUGAAAUAGGAGAGAGGUCUUACUCUACUUAGCCUUCAUGGCCAUUUCCUGCUCGAUGAUCAGAUCAAGAUUAAGGAUCUCCCGAUCCAUAAUACAGCCUAACAAAGCUGCCUUCGGAUGCCGGAGUAUCGACUCGUUCUAUGAUGGCCUCAAUAUGCUGCUGAUGAACCAAAACCAAUAACUGGCAGCCACGUUCAGGUCCUUAUUCUCUAUAGGUACACAUGCCUAUAUCCUUUAUGGUGUAAUUUCUGAGCUAAACGGCACCAACCAACCCUUCAAGUCGUUGAGGUUCUUCUUUUGUAUGUGACCCGCCAAGUAGUGGAUCACAUUCACCGUACAAAAAGCACCUCAUUGAUGUCGUGCUGCUGCAUUUUACUUUCUGGCCCCGCACCACUACAUGGUCAACCAGCUUGAAAAAGUUUGCCUUCUUCUUCCCUUUAGGCACCGACUUGCCAUACUCUGCAUAAAACUUACAGACCCAAGUAGGAAUAUAGGAGCCUCAGGGCUUUAUGAAGAUUUAGAACUUGUGGAGCUUGGUAGUGUUCCACACCUACGGGUAUCGGUCUACUAAUCCGUCAGUAGACAAUCGAUUCACCUCUAAAAUGGUACUCAAACCCUCAGCCUUCAGUUUAUUCAAUGAUCGGGGUGGGGGUGCCUGAACUAGUGGCACCGAAGAAACCUGCUCAAUAAUCUAAGCUGGAGGUGGACGAGGAGUAGGCAGCACUACGAUCCCAGAUUGAUUAUGUAAAGAUUUAUAGCGUAUCUCUGCUCUCCUAGUUUGGAGAGUCUUAUCAUCCUCCGGUUAAGACACGGAGGUGGGCGAUCUAUCACCUAAUUUUCCCUCACUUUAUGAAGUAGUGAGGUGGGUGGCAUAGAUGCCCAUACUAUCGGGGCUCACCCCCGCUGGCGUUGUCAUCACGAGCCCCUUUUCCUUGCCUCUUCCCCCUUUUGGAGGAAGUUUGGCCCGUGUAUUCCAAGAGGGUGCAGCACCCUCGUUAAUCACAAUACCUCGUGCACGCUUUUGAGGUUGUUUAUUUCUCGCUACAACCUUAGGUCUAGCCAUACCUGCAAAAACAACAUCAAAUAGAUCAAUCUGUUAGAAGAAUUUCAAAAAAUUAUCAACUUUGAAAAAUAUGAAGAAAAACUCGCUUACCCAGUCGGCGAGUCAUCGAACCCAUUCGGUGAACCAGAUCGGGCUCGCUGAAUGUUUCAGAAUAAAAAUUCCCAGAAAUUAACACAUGUCGGAGAUGUUCAGGGCCUUUCAUCUAGUCGCCAAAACCAAUCGGGAAACUAAAAGUACCUCAUAGAAAGUUAUAGAACAAUUUCUAAAAAAUAAGGCACAAAAGGGUGAUCUAAAUGACAUUCGGCGAGUGGCCGAGUGAACUCAGCGAGCUCAGGCAUAUCACCUAAUGUUACAUAAUCAUUUCAACCAUUUGAAGGAUAGAAAGGGCGAUCCAAGGGUCGUUAGGCGAACCGCCGAACCAUUCAGCAAUAUCUACUUAGCUCGCCGAAUAAUCCAUUGUGCUAGAUUUUGACCCCGACCUUCAAUUUCUAACUCGCAGCCCAUGAUAAAAAAAACUAAACACAUAUUCUAUUCAAUUAAACCCAGACCCAAUACAUUAAUGACUUGGAGGUAGUCAAACAUCCCCUGAUUUGUCCAAAAUUCACCAAUCGACGUCUUUUGCCCUUAAAAAUGACGUCACCCGCUCUAUCAUUGGACAAAAUUAGUCAAUCAGUGCAAAUGGGGUUACUCAUACUUCACCCAAAUUAGACCCAACAAUUUAACAACACAAUGCACAUUUUUAAUCAAGCACACACACGGGAUUUCACAGUUAAAGGCAAAAAUACGAAACGAAGUACGAUAAAAGGCACACAUUAACAACCAACAUUCAGACAAUCAUUAAUACGCACAUAAAUCAACAGGUAAAUGAUCAUGCAUUUCGAAAAUACUAAAAAUUUAAUGACGGGCUUCGAAUAACAAACCUCAAAAUCGAGUAGGUGACUACUAGGCUAACGAGUCGAAGAAAAAUGCACCAAAAUCCCCCCCGAGCAAUUGAUCCCACAUGAAAAUGCAAUGAAAAAUAAUAAGGAAAUGUAAAGUGCGGUUGUGAAAGUGUAAAAGUUGGAAAAUAUCAACUGAGGGAGGUUUUUGAAUUUAAAAAUGAUUUAGCCCAUCAUCACCCUUCAGUUCACGCACUAGUUGGUGAUAGUCCCAUAUGUCGCCGACCAUUCGGCGAUUAGCCGAAUGGCUCUUUAGUCCGCCGAGUUUUCCAGAGCCUCUAGCUAAUGAGCUAGUUCAAAUGGCGAUCCAGGUCAAGCUCCCCGACUUGUUCGGCAAGUCGUCGAUUGGUACCUAGGAUCGCCUAUUUGUUCUUUUUCCAAAAAAAUUGAAUUUUCAACAUGCACAUUCAAUACCCGUUAUUCAAAAAGCAAAACAAAAGCUAAAAACUUGGGUUGCCUCCCAAGAAGCACCUUAUUUAACGUCGUGGCACGAUGAGGAUACACAUCAAGGUUCAUUUUUUGGGUUAGCCAAGGUAUCACUUGGUAGACCGCCUUUUUGCCUCGGGUUUAAAAGAGAUGAUAUGUGCCCAUCUGUGUCUCCAACUAUUUAAUGGACACCGAGUGAGAAAUGACUGUAUGGUUUAUAGUUGAGACUACUUCUUUCAUUUCUUUGAGCACUUUGUCCGACACUUCCACUUUGAGAAUUCGUGCAAGAUCUUCAGUGUCGAAGUUUUCCAAGUCUGCCCUUUGCUCUGUCAUAUUUUGACGCUCAUGAGGAGGUACAUAUCUCUCUUUGUCACCAUCUUGCUCAGUCUAGUUGGUACCACGGGCACGCCAUUCCCUAUCACAGUCCUUCCAGCUUUCAUCACGCUCUCUAUUCCAACUUUGGUUCCCAGCUAGCCUUGGAUACUUUUGGUGCAAACCUCCUCCCUGAUUUGCUAGAAAGUGUACUUCUUCAUUGUACAAAGCUUCAAAGUGUACUUCUUCAUUGUACAAAGCUUCAAAGUGUGCAUCAUCGGGAUUUUCUCUCCUAACCACAACUGCGUUCAGAGCCUUUGAAGCACUAUCGAUGACAUGCUUUGACAAAAGAUCCAUUUGGGUCAUCAUUUUAGCCAUUUUCUCAUCCCUAUCUUGGUCCUUAUAUAUUUGUUCCUUUGUCAUCCUUAACGUCAAAGGAGACACGUGAUUUUCCCUAGUAUACCAAGCACGGUUUAUCUUCGUCAUUCCAUCAAGGAGAGUCAACUCUAUUUCAAAAGGUUGAUGUGUAAUUCCUCCUUCGACAAACUAGUCAGCCACACCUUUGUUGAUUGAAUCUAGACUCCGGUAGAAAAGUUGUAACAACACAUUGUUCAGAAGUCCGUGAGUUGGGCAUUAGAGUAACAACUUCUGAAAACUUAGCCAUGUGUUAUGGAUUUGUUCAACAUUCAAAUGUUCGAAGCCCUGAAUAUUAUCUGUCAACACCAUCAUCUUUGAAGGAGGGAAAAAUCUUAUGUAGACUGCUUCGGUAAGCUCUUCCCAAGAUGCAAUUGAAUCCCUUGGUAGGUCAGCUAACCACUUGGUCGCUUACCCCAUCAAAUAAAAAGGAAACAAUCGAAGUCGAACUGACUCUUGUGAGAUGUUGUUGAACAAAGAAUGGACCACACAUGUCCACAAAAUUUUGGAUGUGGUCAUGCGAUCCUCAUGAGACAGCCCUCCAAAUAAACCCUUAUUUUGCAAUAGUUGCAACAUUGUGCUAGUCAUAUGGAAUACAAUAUUUCCCAUGACUGGAAGUUAUUGAAUAGCACCAACACCACUUAAUUGAGGGUCAUUGACAUCAUUCAAGUUACCGAUGUCGUCUUGAUGUUUAAUUUGGCUACCGUUACUCCCAUACACACUCAUCUCGUCACCUGUUCAUCAAUAACCAAUAACAAACACAAAACAAAGUAAGUCGAUUCAACUACAAACAAUAUUAGAUCACAACUAAACUUCACUAAAAGAAUUCUUAACACCACUCCCCGGCAGCGGUGCCGUUUUUUAUAACGCUCAACUACACUCAUCCAAUUCUAAGUGUAGGCGAUCACAAUCUAGUAUAAACCCAAAAAAGAGCUGGGGUCGAUCCCAUAGGGAGUGAUAGGGUAGAGAAUUCAAUUACUAAUUGAAAGGCAUGUUCUAAUCGGUUGAAGGAAUAGAAAUUAUCGAAACAAUUAAAGUAGAUCGAACGGAUUAACAACAAGUGUCAAAUGGGGGGAUUGCAUUUUUCAUCUAACAACUAUGAAAACAGGGGAGUAAUCAAGUAGAGAGGGAUCCUUGGCGAUGUGAUCGAUUAAUUGCUAAUUUUGCUAUACGUGUAAUUAGUAUUUACUGAAAACCAUUUAAUCUUAGUGGGCAGGCUAGACUUUAGAUGCAAUAGCUAUCUCUCGAUCAACUAUCACAACUCAGGUGAGUUCUCUCGAACCUCGACAAGCAUAACAAUUAUAAACAACCUAAAACCUCAAUUAAUCUACUCUCAUGAGCUAGAUUGGUAGGACCAAAUUAAAACUCACUCUCUCGAGCUGAAUCCACAAUAACCCAAUCACUACAAUCAUCAAUGGAUAACUUUUACUCUAAAACCUCUUUAUCAAGAAAGCAUAUAAUACUAGACUAGAACUGCAUUUGCAACUACAAUUCAUGACUGAAAACACAAUUAUCAAUCGAACCCACUUCAAAACAACAAUUAAAUCAGUAAUUACUAACACCACUAAGCUAAUUGAGACAGUUAAUCACAUAAUCACACACCAAGAAUGGGGUUUUUAGCUACAUAUUAUAAAAGGCAGGAAAAUAUUCCCAACUAUGUUCUCCAUCAGCUGGGUAAAAAUAUUCGAGUCAUCACAAUGCUUGAAAUUAACUUAAAAUAAAAACCCAACCUACAAUUCUACUCAAAAACUCUAAAAAUAGUGUUUGGGAUCAAAAACUCCAAGUUAGAACUCUCAAACACUCAGAACUUUUGCUCAAAAUUUUGGAACUCCUUUUCAUCAUAUAAAAAUUUGCAUUUAUAAUCUUCCAGAUUUUUAGCUUUUUGACCAAUCGGUGGAAUUAGUCGACCAUCGGCGACCAGGUUUGCGAUGUGAUGUUUGCGUAAUCAAGAAACAACUUCCAAUUAAAGUGUCUACGGUCGUACAAUAGUAAUAUAACCCAACCGAAUGGGUUGGGGUCGAGUCCCAAGAGAGCAAUUUUUGAGAAUUAUGAGUUAAGCGCGAAUAUGCUAGAGUUAACCAUAGCUAAUAACAUUACCAAGUAAAAACAUCAUAAAUUAAGGGGUUGACAUGAAUGUCAAUUAUCAAUAAGGGGUUUGUAUUCAAUUAAUGAACAAAAACAGUGAAAAUAAGAAGAUAUGAAUUAGGGAGAGGGGAUUGUUGGGAUGCGAUAGAAAUAUGGGAUAAACUACACAAUCGGGUAAAUGCUAUUAAUAGUCAAUUGCUGAACAUUUGUAACUAGACUAGACUUUAGUGGGGGUAAAUUCUCUCUCGAGCAACUUACCCCAAAUCAACUCGGUUUCUCUCAAACACCGAGUUGCCACUUUUAAGCAGAGCCUCCGCCUUAGCCCAUUCACUCUCUCGAGUUGAAUGUAUGGGAAAAGGCCUAGGAUUCACUCUCUCGAGCUGAACCCACAAUGACCCAAUAACCACCGGCUAUCUAUUUAGUAGUCUUAGUUUUAAAAUCUCUCUCUCGAGCAAGCCAAAAACACUAAGAUGAAAUUGUAUUUGAAAAUACAAUCCCAUUAUGUUCAAACACAACUACUAAACGAAAUCACAUUUAAACAGCAAAUAGCCUAACAAUAGGCAAUACCCAGUAGGAAAAUUUACCCAUAUUCAGAAAAUCACAUCCCAAGAAUUGGAGUUUUAGCUAGACAUAGAAAAAAGGAAGAAAAAGAUACCAAAUCGAAGUAAUAUCAACUGGGUAUGAUUUAUAUUCACUUCAAUCGAGUCUAAGAUGAAUAAUCUUCAACACCCACUUCAAAUUUCUUGGAAUUGGAAGUCUUCAAAUCUUCAAAAGCUCAUCAAAAUGUUCUCUACUUGAAAACUUAGAAAAAUAAAAUGUUGUCACUGAAAUUGCAUAAUAAGAUAAAAUUUCAAACUAGUAUUUAUAGUUGUAAAAAAAAUGUGUUGCGAAGGAUCACUCGGCGUAGCUAGUCGAGAUUGUUGAUCCAUUCAGCGAUCCGCCCUUUGGUUUGCUUGAUUUCCUUUCAACUUUUUCCUUUAGCAUCUUCGCAUUCUGGAUCAUUGGAAGAUAUAGUACUGCUUUGCGGAACUGUUCGGCGACGCGCCGACUGCUCCCUUUCAUCGCCAACUUGAUCUUUUCCUUUAGGGCUCAGCACACUGGAAAUUUGGGCGAGGUUAAAGCCAUUCGGCGAUUCACCUAAUGCAUUAGGCGAUCCUCAGGCCUUCUUUUCUUCGUCUUUUCAACCGUUUUGUUCCUUUUUGCCAAGUAGUGUCCAUGCUUUGCCUCAAACUCCAAAUACCUGAAACUUAAGGAUUUACAUCAGUUAUUGAGACAAAAUAUGCAUUUGAGGACACUAAUUAUAUUAAAAUGAAGCCCUAAUGAGUCCAAAUUGUAGACUCAUCAUGAUGCACCAAGUGUCUCUCUUAAUUGCCCUUCUGACAUGCCUCUCCACCAUUCAACUUCUGUAACUUUAGGCGAUCAGGGUCCUUGUCGUCGAUCUAUUCAGCGGUUGGAGAAAGUGUCAUUUCCAUCACCAAUUUGGCUUUUCCCAGGGCUGGCACCCUAUAACUUUUGGUGAGCUGAAGCACCACUUGGCGAGUAGCGGAGUGAUUUUGGCGGUCUUCAGCUUCUAUUGUCUUCAGCUUUUUCAAUUUUUCCUCUCUUUUUAGCUCGGUAAUGUCCUUGCCUUGCUUUUUUACCUUCAUUGUUGCAAAUCAACACUUAAACAUUAGUUUAGAGCCUAGGCAUUGAAGACACUAAAACAACGAAUAUUAAGCCCUAAAUCAUCAAAAUCCCAAACACAUUAGAAUACUAAUGUCUUGGGAUAAACCUCUCAUUUUCUGAUGUCCAACUUUCAGUUGUUGAUAAUUAGGGAACUUAGUAACAAAUUCCACAAUAUCCUUCUUCAUCCCAUUCCACUAAUAGACUUUUAAUAAAUUACGGUACAUUUUUGUGGCUCCCGGGUUAGUUGAGUACCACAAACUAUGGGCUUCUGACGAGAUCUAUUCCCUCAAGUUGUCAACAUUAGGAACACACAAUCGACCUUUAUAUCUAAGGACAGCGUCUACCCCUUGGGAGAAAGCCUCGAUGGAUCUCUUAAGAACCGCUUCUUCUAACUCAGUCAAAAUUGGAUCAAGACUUUUCUUGGCUUUUACAUCCGCCACAAAAGAUGAUUCCGAGCCGUUGUGAACCAUAACACCACCCUUGGUGGAUUCCACUAACUGAACACCCAAUCAGGCCAAUAUAUGGACAUCUCAAACCAACUCUUUCAUACCUUCCUCAAUAUGUGCAACACUUCCCAUAGAUAACCCACUAAGAGCAUCUGCCACCACAUUAUCCUUACCGGGGUGAUAGAGAACACUCAUGUCAUAAUCCUUCAAUAACUCAAGACAUUUUCUUUGGCGAAGAUUUAGAUCCUUCUAAUUAAACACAUAUUGCAAACUCUUGUUAUCGGUAAACACAUCUACAUCCACACCAUACAAAUAAUGCCUCAAAAUCUUUUAAGGCAAGAACAACCGGCGGUAGUUCAAGUUCAUAGGUAAGAUAAUUCUUCUCAUGAAUCUUAAAUUGUCUUGAUGCAUAGGCAAUGACUUUCUCAUUUUUCAUAAGCACACACCCUAACCAAAUUCUAGAGGUAUCACAAUUAACCACAAAACCAUCGGUCCCUUCCGGUAAAGUCAACACCGAAGCGAAAGUGAGUCUAUCCUUCAACUCUUGGAAACUCUUCUCGCACAGUUCGAACCAUAUGAACUGAGCUUUCUUUCCAGUUGAAGUCAUCAAAGGAGAAGCAAUCGAAGAGAACCUCACAACAAACCUUCUGUAGUAACAAGUUAAACCGAAGAAACUUCUAAUAUCUGAAGGGGUUAGAGGUCUAGGCGAACUCUUGACCAAAUUUGUCUUCUUAGGAUGUUCCUCAAUGCCCUUAAUUGAAACAAUGUGACCAAGAAAAGCUACAGACCUUAGCCAAAAUUAACAUUUACUAAAAUUUGCAAAGAGUUGUUGGUCCUUCAGAAUUUGCAACACAAUCCUCAAAUGAUCAAUAUGCUACUUGUGACUUCUCCAAUAGAUCAAUAUGUCGUCAAUGAACACAAACACAAACAUAUCAAUGUAUUACCUAAACACCUUAUUCAUCAAAUCUAUAAACGCCACAGGAGCAUUAGUCAACCGAAACGACAUUACCAAAAACUCAUAGUGACCAUACCGAGUUUCAAAAGUCGUCUUUGGAAAAUCAUCUUCUUUCACCCUCAAUUCGUGAUAACCCGACCGAAGGUCAACCUUAGAGAAAUAACUUUCUCUUUGAAGUUGGUAAAAUAGAUCAUAUAUUCUCGGAAGAGGAUACUUAAUCUUAACAGUCACCUUUUUCAAUUGCUGGUAUUCAAUGAAUAUACGAAGAGAACCAUCUUUAUUUUAAGAAACAAAACAGGAGAAGCCCAUGGAGAGAUACUCCAUCGGAUGAAACCUAUAUCUAACAAAUCUUUCAAUUGUUACUUCAAAUCCUUAAGUUCUACCGGAGCCAUAUGGUAAUGAGGGAUAGAAAUAGAUUGUGUAUCUGGGAGAAGGUUAAUACCAAAGUUUAUUUCCCUUUUGGGAGGAAUACCAGGUAAAUCAUAUAGGAACACUUCCAGAAACUCAUUAACAAUGGGGACCGACUCAAGAGUAGGGGUUCAGAAUCCACAUCAGUCACCUUAUAUAGAUGGUAAAUGCAACCUUUAGAAAUAAUAUUUCUAGCUUUAAGACAAGAGACAAACUGACCCUUAGGCAAGCGUUUCCCCUUUUCCACUCUAGUACAUGUUCAUUUGGGAAUUGAAACAUGACUACACGAGUUCGGUAACCAUAUCGGGAGAACCAUCUUGUUAACCACAAGUCUAAAGUGCAUAGAAUCAGUUUUUCUUGGGAGCAUUGGAACCCGAACAACUAGGAGGACCUUUCUUGCCCUUUGUUCCUCUAGUCAUAAUCAUCGAGCAAUCCCUCAUCUUAUGACCACUUUUACCCCAACUGAAGAAACCAUCCUUGCCGAUUAGGCACUUACCCUCAUGCUUUUUUCCACACCUAACACAAGUAGACAUAAGCAGUGAUGACCCAGUACCAUUACCUCCUUGAAGCUUAGGGUUAGACACUCUUUCUUUGUUGAACUUAGGAGGAGCAUUGGAGGAACCUUGACAGGAUUUUUUUUUUUUUAAACCUAGAACAACCAUGUCAAUUGGACCUUGCAUAAGUGAAAUUACCAUCACCGAUUUUAGCCCUCUUUGUCUCCCUAGACUUUUCCUUAUUCUUUCCUCUUCAAUCUAUUGAGCAUGAACCAUGAGACAAGAGAUGUCCAUAGUAUUAAUGAGCAUGGUCGUACGACACUCUUUAACCACUAUUUCGAAUACACCCGAAACUAACUUACUCAUCCUUGCCCAUGGAUCGACAACCAUUGUAGGAGCAUAUUUAGAAAAUUGUGUGAACUUGAAAGCAUAUUCCCUCACACUUAUACAUCCUUGUCGAAGGUUGAUAAACUAAAGCACCUUUGCUUCCCUCAUUUCAAGGGGAAAGAACCUAUAAAGAAAAGAGACCUUAACUUCUCCCAAUCAAGAGAACCUUAAACUUCUCCACCUUUUCUAUUGGCAUCACUGCCAUGAUCAUCAACACCAUGUAAACCUCAUCAAUGAACUCUUGAGGAUCUUCCUCAACCUUAGACCAUGAAACUUUGGAGGAUUCAUCCUAGUGAAGUCCCUCACUCUAGAUGCCGUAGUAUCAAUAUUUGAGUUCACGGGAAUCGCAACCUCCCUAAUGUCUUUGGCCGUUACGCCUUGAGCCAACACUUGAAAAGCAGGCAUAAACACCGUGUUAGUCACUUGCUCAGCCAAAGGAUCAACUAGAACUUGAGCAACUUCGGGAGGUCUUGUUCCGCAUUCUCCCUCACAUUCCUUCUAGCAUAGGUGCUUCAAAUAUCCAUAUCUUGUAGGCCAUUGGAUAAGGAAUAUGAGAGAGACCUUAUAGAGUUAAACUAUAUCGCACGACUUUAGAGUAAUGAAAACCGUAGAGUUUCCUAAACAUCUUAUAGCCUCUCAUUCAUAAAUAUGGCGCGCUUCACAGUCAUAAACAAAACUCUACUCAGCGCAGCUUAUGAGACAUCCUAGGACAAUUCUAAACCUUGUGCUCUGAUUCCAAAGUUUUUUCCUGACCCAGGGGUACACCCAAGAUGUAACAUGGCAUAUGGGACCCCUAGAUAUCCCAUACAAGCCACUUAGCAUUCAUAACAUAAGAAAUAGGACAAAUGAAACGACCCCAAAAUGCCCGAAAAUGUGCUUCGGAAACACCUAUAAUUGUAAUUUCCAUAUAUCUCAAAAUCCGUGCAUGAUUUUGGAAAUUCGACUUCAUAUUCUUAUUCGUGGGGUCAAAUUGAGUAGGAAAUGAAUCUAACCCGAAAUUUAGAACAAUCGUAUCAAAAUUCGAAAAUCGCAAAAAAUGCGAUUUUCAGGGUCCACUUUAAAGGGGCUUAUCUCUUAGCACACAAGGAACUGGAAGGGCCGCAACCUAUUAAAUUAAACCUCUAUGAGUUAGCUUUCCAAUGCACUUGGUUUCACCUCAUUCCGAGUUAGGAUGAGGGAGUUAUGACCAUUUUCGUAAAACCUGUCGGAGCAGAUUUGCAAAUUCCAGUGAGCAAAGUUACUGUAGCGGCUGGAGACGUUUUUCUUUUAUAAAAGAGGAUAUGUCCCAUACUUAGUUAUAAUUUGUUCUAGCUCCAAAACACUCAAAAAAACACUCUCUAAACCCUCUCCAAAAUUCCAUCAAGAUCUUCAACCAAAUUCAAACAUCUCAAGCUCUAAUUCCGGAUUCAAGACUCAAUCUCAAGCUUCAAUUCUCCAUUCCAAUCUUCAUCAAGGAUUCUCCAAAGUUGAGGUAUGUGGGUUGAUUGUGGAAACCUUCCUUUCCACAAGUCCAACCAUUUAUCCUCUAUUUUUACUUCAAGUUUAUGGGUCCUUAUGAUCAUUUAUGAACUCUUGAAUUAUGGAAUUACUACUACACAUCCUAUUAUGGUCUAUUUUUGCAUAUUAUCAUGAAAUGGAAUUAUUAUGUGAUGUUUAUGGUUUUCAUGCUUCCAUGAUCAAAUUAUGAAGGUUGAUAUAUAUAUAUAUAUAUGUUGUUGGUGGGCUGAUUUAUAUGUAUUUCGGAAUUGGUUGCACUUAGUACUCUUGAAGUACAUGAUUUCAUUUACAUGAACAAUAGCCCAUCAUGUGUUUGAUAAAAUGCCCAUUUAUAGAAUCCUUAGGAAAUGGAAGGUCCAAUGUACGUCCUAUGAAUCGAAUGGUUAUAUAAUUAUUGAAAUGAUGAUGAAAUGGACACAUAAAUAUGAUUUCUCUAUAUAAGUGUUGUGAGUCGACCAAGCCUAGUACGGGGGGUAGUAGGCCCGUAUAACCAUAUCGAGGGGUUUGUACCUUGGUCCCUAGCUCGGGGGGUGGUAGGCCCGGGUAACCACAUUGAGGGGUUUGUACCUCUUUCGCCUCUCCAAGGGGGUGGUAGGCCUUGGAAAUACUAUAUUGAUGGUCACUCACCACACUUGUGCUACGUCCCACUAAAUAUGAUUUUUAUGUAAGCGUCAUUAUAUAUAUCAUUUCAUUAAUGUGCUAUCUAUCGGGUAUGAUUAUACAUUUUUCCUAUGAUGUCCAUCUAUUGUAGCAUUGCAUUGCAUCCCAUAUACUUAGUACAUUCAAACGUACUAACGCAUACUCUAUGCCUACAUGAUGUCACCAUGUAGGGACCGGAGCACCGCUUGACCAUCCUCCUCCGCGUGGCUAAUACGAUUUCCUAUCAAGGUUAUUGGUGAGUCCUCCAUUCCGGGGACGUUGCUCAUGAUCUUUUGCUAUGUAUAAGACUUUUUCUUUUUAGUUAUGUUUUGUCUAUGAGGGUGAGCCCGGUAGUUUGUCUUGGCCCCCGCUAAGUACUCAUGUUUAGAGGUGGUGUUGGACAAGUUGUGUAUUAUGCUUGAGCUUGACUCAUCUAUGGUAUUUUUGUAUCAUUCUUAUUUUUGUUUCUCUUGCUCCCUUAGUCCCGAUUCCCCCCCUUAAUUAUGCUUAUCGCUUAUGGUCAUUUUAUUUGCUUCCGCGACCAAGGAUGUGUAAUUUUGGGUCGUGACAACAAAAGAGGUAAAGACAAAAUUUCAAGUCCAAAAGAUUUUAAAAAGUAAAGCGGAAGUCUAAAACACUUGUCUCAUUAGCCAUCUAGUACAAUAGAUUGAAAUUGGGCCUAGCCCAUACAUCAGUCUAAAAUUGGAAAUAUGAAAGAAAACUAAGAACAAUGAAAAUCCGUCCUCGAAGCAUAAGGACUCACCAAAGCUCGGGAACCUUGUAAUCAACCAAUAGCCACGAAACUGAGAAACCUUACUGUCGAACCUUACAUUUGGGGAAAUGUAGGCAAGAGUAUACGUUAGCGCAAAACAAUUUACCAAAUAAGAUAGCAAUGCAUAGAACAUUUCAAUCAUGCAAAAAGAGGACAUUUCAUUACAUGCAAUUGACCAAGCUAAAACAUGAUAUAAAAUGGUUACAAAACAUAAGUCAUAAAACACGGUCAAUGCAAGCUAAAGUUAUUAAAACCUUUGACCACAUAUGAGAUACUUCUUGAGGUAACCUUAGUUCAUUAUUAUUGUGGAAGUAGCCUUAACCAACAUAGGGACCAUGUGAGUUAUAACAUGAUCCCCUGGUGUCUCCCACGCCAAAAAGGGUUGUCCUACUUACCAAGGUACAAACCAUGAACUUCUAGCUUAAGUGGAUCCACUAGCUAAUGUCUAUCUAGACAAUCAUCCUAUGGGGGCACAUAGGUAAGGGAUAAGGAGAUUGCUUCUAGUAUCUCGGCAUCUACUAACGGGAGAGCUUCCAUCUCAAUAUCCUCUUGGUGCUAAGCAUAAAUCGCAUGGAAUAGUCAUUUCUUACAUGUUCUUAUUAUCCAUGGAAGGACGCCUCAUCUUCCCAAUCCAAGCUAAUUCACAAGUCAUCCAUGGAAAAGUAUCAUUCAAUAACCAAUCCAAACUAGGUUUCAUUAGAAUAGCUCUUUAUCUUUGAUUGAAUUAGGUGAGAAGACUUUUCAACCUUAGAAUCUUUAUUAUGUGAGAAAACCAUUCACAUCAUUUCUUCAUGUGUAGAUGAAAAACUCCUUUCAACAAGACAACAACAACAUCAUCAUUGAUACUUUACUCUCAAAGCAUCCUUAAAACAUUUGCAUAGAUUUCAUAAGAAUAUGCAAAAUUCCAUAAUUUACCUUUCAAGGUUCAAAACCCAGUUUCAAUCAUCAACAUUUAGAUAACACAUGUUAGAUAUGGAUUUCAUCAUAAAUUCAUGUAAUUUUAUCACUACAUGCUUGAUUUCAAAAAAACUCUUCCUUCAUAAUCAAAAUCCCACAUCAUAUGAUCAUAACUUUAAAAACAUGGGGAUUAUAGGGGUUCAUAUGGGAAUCAUCACAAAAAUCAUAGUAUUUCAUCAAUUCAUGCAUAAGAGAUCAUAAUUCAAUCAUUUAAAUCAAUAAUCAAGAGAACCCAUGUCAAUUGAAGAAAACCCUAACUCAAUUGGGGAUUUCUAACUUUGAAAAUAGAGAAUUUAAGAACUCAUGAAUAGAAGGAAUACACGGAUUAAAAAUAUCUUGCUUCAAAGACAAUUGCUUAUUUUCAAUGGAAGAAUGGAGACUGGACUUGAAACCCUAGGUUGAAUCGCUCUUCUUCAAGGUUUCUAGACAUAGAAAUAUUUUGGAGAGGAAAUUUGUUCUUCUUUUAUGGUGAAUUUGAAGAGAAUGAAGUGAAUAGGGGUCUUAGUGAAAGGUAAAACGAUGUAGUAUUACGCUAGACUAAUUAGUAAAAGACCCAACUUCCAUAAAAAUUAACUUCCAGCCACGACCCCGACUGACGUAUCAUGGUCUGAUCGACGGCCCGUCGUGUCAGUCCGUCGUCCAUCAUCAUAAGCUGGAUUUUGGGGUCCUGACCUACGUACCAUGAGAUAAAAGAGUUAGAAAACAUAAGUCAUAUAUCAUGGUCAAUGUAAGACAUCAUCUUUAAAACAUUCGUGAGAUACUUCUAAAAGUAACCUUUAUUCAUUAGUGUGGGGGAUUUACCAUUAACUGACAUGUAAGACCAUAUGAGCUAUUAACAUGGAAUCUGGUGUCUACCCCACACCGAAAAGAGGUGUCCUCACUUGAAAAUGUAAGAACCAUGAACUGAAAAUCUUAUGUGGAUCCACUAGCUAAUAUGUAUCUAGACAACCUAUAGUUGCACAUAGUUUAUGGGACAUGGGUAAUCUCCACUUAUCCACUCAGUGCUAAGCAUAACUCCCACAUAAUAUUGAUUAUUCUUAACUUUCUUAACAUUCACGAGACAUAGGUAAUCACCACUUGUCUUAUCAUUUGAGUUCAUGGGUAAUCGUUGUUUGCCUCACUCGUAGAAUAGCUCCUUAACUUUGAUUCAUUUUAGGUGACAAGACCUUUCAACCUUAGAAUCCUUUAUGUGAGAAAACCUUUCACCACAAUCAACAAACAACAACAUAAUUUAUGCUUUACUCUUAAAGCAAUUUAUACUUUAUUUCAUCAAUUUUAUAAGAGCAUGCAUAUUUCCAUAAUUCACCUUUCAUGGUUCAAAACUCAGUUUCAAUCACCAAAAUCUAGAAAACAAUGGUUGAGCAUAGGUUCAUGGGGAUUCAUCUUAAAAACAUGGGAUUAUCUCAAUUCAUUUAUAAUAGUUCAUAAAACAAUAAAUUAUGUCAGUAUUGGAAAGAACUCAUUAUAUAGAAGAAAACCUUAACUUCAAUUGGAGAUUUCUAAUUUUCUAAAUUGGAGAAUUUAGAACUCUAUGGAGGAAAGAACUCCAUCGAUGAAAACUAGCAUACCUUAAUGCCAAAAGUUUGACUUUAAUGGUGGAAUUGGUGACUUAACUGGAAACUCUAGUCUUCUUCUUCAAUUUUCUAGAGAGAGAAAUAUUUCAGAGGAUGACUUGUUCUACAUUUGAGAAUUUCAGAGAGUGAAUUGAUUUGGACGACUUUCGGGUUAAAAACGUUUAUAUAGUCUUCUAAUAGAUGAUAAAAUGACAUAGUAUCAGGCUAGAACAAUUAGGAAAAGAACAAAAAAGCCCUUAUAAAAGUAAAUGUCGACUCCCAUCGACGAUCGGACCUCUGGUUCGUUGGUCAAACUACGGACCGUACUGGUUUGUCAUCGAUCGAGUUCAGAGACUAUGAUUUGAGGACUCCCAAUGAUGGACCCAUGUGCGGUUUGUAGGUUAACCUACAUGUCGGACAUGCCCAGUCGUGGGUCUCAACUUUGACUCUAAAAUUUCUCUAAGUCUAGGACUCACCUAUGAGACCUACCUACGACUUGUGCAUUGCAAAAUGACCGUCUUGGUGAAUCGUUGGAAAGUACUGGAACUUGAAUUUUUUUAGGAAUCUGAACUGGCCAACAACAAGUUGACAUACAGACAGUGUAUCAGUCCACAGGCCAUUGGUGGCUUCAUCGAAGCUGGCACCUAAUCCUGCAAGCAUCAAUUUCUACCCUUUUUGAAUCUGAAGUGUUAUAGAAAGGCUCAAUUUAACUACCAAUCCAAUCAUAAGUCAUCAUAGAUGAGCUCAUUUCAAUUCAUGAUUUCAUAAAAUUCUUCAUAAUAGAAACUUACCUUUCUUACAAUCUAAAUCAUGAUUUCAUUCAUAUGUGAGAAAAUCUUUCACAAAUCAUUGAUACUUAUCUCAAAAGAAUUCAUAGAUCAUAAAUAGUCCUUUUCAUAACAUAUGCAUAGCUUUCAUAAUCAUAAUUCAUGUGUUCAUAAGCAUAAUACAUAAUUCAUGUUCAUAAAGUUGACAUAGGCAUGGCUCCAUAUGAAAUCAAUUAAAAAUUAUGUAAUUCAAUCAAAUCAUGUAUAAUAAGAUUCAAAAUAAACAAUUGAAUCAUAACGAAUAAGACCCAUGGAGAUUUCCAUGAAACCAUAGAUAAUUGAGUGAAACUGAAUGGGAGAUUGAGAUUCUUUUAGGACUCAAUGGAUGAAACAGAUCUACUAGUAAAUUCUUACAUACCUUGAUAAUUAAAGACCUAAUAAAUCAAGGAGAAUGAGACCUUAAAGCUUGAAACCCUAGUUCUUCAUCUUGGAGCUCUUGAGAGAAUUUUUGAGAAGAAGACUUAAGAGAUUUUGGGAGGGUUUUAGUGAAUGAGAGAAAUUAGUGUAAGUUUGUAAGAGUAAAACUGGUAAUAGGGGUAGUUAUAGGGCCAAACUGACAUAGUUUAGGGGUUAAUUUGGGAGAAAAAAAAGACUAAAAUGCCCUUAAUUAAAAUCUUCAAGAGGAACCUAAACUUCGACAUACGGUCCUUAGGAACUUCUACGGACCAUCUGGUCAGUUGUACAAUCAAUUACUGGACUCAAAUUUCUAAUAAAUUCCAUGAUACCUUUCUGCGGCCUGUUCCACUUUCUAUGGCUUGUAGACCUCUUACGUAGAACCCAACUUUAAGUCAAUAAAUUCACUAUAUUUGAAUCACUUCAGUGAACACCCCCCCCCCCACACACAGACGAUCCAUAGAACACCCUAUGAUUAAUCCUUACUACUCGUAGUUCAAACAACAAAGACUUGACAUUUCCAAAAUUCCAAAGAAGUCCAAUAUCUCCCUUCCUAUGGCUCAUAGGACUUCCUACGGUCCAUAGGUUGAACUCGUACACUGCUGCCUUGGUGCCAAAAAUACAUAUUUUCCUUUCCAACUCAACUUCCAAUUUUCAAGGUGUUACACUAUCUCCCUCUUAGGAACAUUCGUCUUCAAAUCAUACUGAAGAUAGAGAAAAGAGAGUAGGAGAGAAACUGAAAACCCCACAUGAAUGCAAAUCUCAUCAAAAUACACAAAAACAGGAACAAGUCAGUCGAACUCGCCUCGUUCCUACUUGCCAGACCAAGGAGGUAGUGAAUGAUCAAAGGAUUCAACAACAGAGAUUUAGUGGAUGUUAUCUAAUAGUCUGAUUUCAAUUAAAUUUAGGGUGAAAACUAAACUAAAUUGAUAUGAUGACUAAUCUGGGAGGUAAGGGUUAGUAAGCAUACACCCUUAGACGGACCAAGUUGCGUGGUGAAUUUCCCUACUUGGAGGACCAAUCACUUUGUGUUACCAAACUUACCAACCUUGAAUGUAAAACACUAGGAUAGGAUUACUAUUAUUGAGAUUACUACAUUAAGAGCUUGUGGAGAACACAUAUACCCUAGUUUCCAUAUUAUAUUAAUAACUCAAAUUGUGAAACUUAUUUAUUGGUUACUUAAUCAUUCUAGAUAACAAUCUAUUACUUAUUUACCACAACCCCACCUUGUUUACUUUUCUCGGAUAUUGUUUGACUAAAAAUAUAUAAUUAUGAGUUAAGUUUAAUUCUAAACCAUAUUCCUCGUGGGAUCGACCCCAACCUACAGGUUGGGUUCUUUAUUUGAUAACGAUCGCUUAUACUUCUUUAGGGAGGUGUAAUUUGAGCGUAUCAAAUUUUGGUGCCGCUACCGGGGAAUACAAAUUUUAGAUUAAAUUUAACUACAAUAUUGAACUUUAGUCAAGUAUUUCCUGAUUUUACAGUUUUCUUUUGAUUUUGUCUUGUACAAGUUUUCGCUCUAGUGUAUGCCAUGUACACAGAGUCGAGAAGAACCCUUGACCCCCUAUGAUCUUGAAUUGAGAAGAACUCUCAGGAAAAUGAAUAAUCAAGGGGUACACAACAAUCUAAACUGAGUGGGUCUAGGAGAUGGAGUUGAAUUGCAGGCUCCAGGGGUUAUUAAUGCGCCCGCUCAGAUUCAAGGUUAUCCUAUAAACAAAAAUGUAGAAAAUAGGCAGAAUCUACCAACACCGACGUUUCGUGAUCACUAUAGGGCUGACUAUGACACAAUUGGAUCAGAUGGGCCUAUUGUUCUCCUUCCUCUACCUGCGAGACAUACAUUUGUGGUGACCAACAGUCUUAUACAAAUUCUUACGGUAAGAGGGUUGUUUGAUGGGUUGGCUUCGGAAGAUCCAUACCCUCACAUGGCUAAACUGUCAAGUGUUAGUAAGAGUUGUGUAGGACGACCAGAGUUUGAUAUGGAUGUUAUAGGUUUGAGAGUAUUCCCAUUGUUGUUGACCGGUGAUGUUGCUGUCUGGGUUUCUGAGUUGUCGUAUAAUUCGAUUUAUACAUGGGAUCAAUUGUAUAAGGUGUUUGUAGCAAGGUAUUUUCCGGUGUCCAAGAAGUUUAAUCACAAGGAUAAACUGAAUAAUUUUACAUCACUACCUAGAGAGUCCAUAAGCAGUUCAUGGUAUAGAUUCACUGGUUCCUGAGGAGUGUACCAAAUCACCACAUAGAUGAUGAGUCACUCAAGGAGUACUUCUAUAGAAAAAGGGAUGACAAUUGUCGGGCUGUUUUAGAUACAAUUGUUGGAGGAUCAUAUGGUGAGCAUACUUUCGAGGAGAUCGCUCAAAAACUUGAGACGAUUUCCCUAAUCAAUAAAGCUUGGAGCACUAGAAAGGAAAAUACUGGUAGGAGCACAUUGGCUGUCCAAACUGCACCAAAUCAAGCUAAUGAUGACAUUCGUGAAGAGAUGGCUCAAAUGAGGACAUAACUGAGCUUGGUGUUGAAGCAUGUGAGUGGAAAUGCAGAAAAGGUUAAUGCGGUAAAUUAUCUUACUAGAUCUCCACCGCCACCAAUUGAGGAAUGUUACUAUGAGGAGGAUGCAAAUUUGAUGAAUGAUCAGAUGGGGCAGUUGCCGAACCAACGCCCAAGGAUCCAUCUCGGAUAAUUGGCGCCAAGGCCAAGGAAACCAAGGUAAGAAAUGUGGCAACUACAACCAUGAGGGUAACUAUGUUUGGGAGGGGAACUAUAAACGUGACAAUAAUUAUAACCGAAACAAUUAUGGCAACAAGAAUGAUAAGGCUGGAUCUGAUGUUCCUCCUUCUAAUAGAGAGGCUGAAAAUAGUAUGUCACACAUUGAGGAUAUGAUGAAAAAAAUGAUGAAGAUGUUUGAUGAAACUGAUGAGAAUGUGAAAGAGAUGCGAAAUGACUUUUCUAGAAUCAGUCAAAAAGUUCAUGCCCAUGAAGUGUCAAUCAAGAAACCUGAGUAAUAGUUUACUCAUUUGUCCACCACGGUGAACCCACGUCAGCCUGGAACACUUCCUAACAACACCAUCUAGAAUCCGAAAAAUGAUGGGCAUUGUAUGAUAGUCACUACUCGCGGAUAAAAAAGGACUAGUGACCACCCCAUGCCAUCUGAGAUUGACAAACUGAUAGAAAAAAAUGAGGAUGAGAUUGAGGUUACGAAAGAUCGAAAAAUUGACACAGAGAAGGAAGCAGAGGUGACCCAAAAAGUUGUUUCCAUACCUCGACCUCCACCUCCAUUCCCAUAGAGUGUGGUGAAAAAGACCAAAGAGAGAAAAUACCGCAGGGUCAUAUCUAUGUUGAAGCAACUGUACGUAAAUGUCCCAUUGAUAGAAGCUUUGGAGCAAAUGCUUGGGCAUGCUAAAUUCGUGAAAGACUUGGUGACCAAAAUAAGGGUUGUGAGUUUUGAGAAUGAUGAGACACUGCAACAUUGUAGUGCUAUUGCUACUUGGUCGCUUGUGCAGAAGAAAGAGGAUACUGGAGCUUUCACUAUGAGAGGCUGCAAGCUGCAACAUUCUUAGCAUUCAUUCAUCGCAUUCGGUAAUAAAAACCGUAAGGAAUUUAAACACUUUUUAAAACAAAUUCAUAAUACUCAUAAAAUCUAUCAAAUGUAACGAAGUAGAAUUUCUAAGUCUCAUGUACCAACUUAGACACAAAUAGAACAUAUAAGGGGCACGACCCUUUACAACAAAAUAUAAGUCUUAUACAAUGUCUAAGUGGAAAUACUAGAAAGGUAACAACUAUGUCCUUGAAAAUAUGAGGACAUACCAAGCUUCUUGAGAAGAGUCAAUAUCCUAAUCUUCCUCAAAAGAUCUCUCCACUUUCCACCACCUACACUUGUAACAAUAGAGAGAUAUGGAAUUAGUACAAUAAGUACUAAGUAUGAUGAUCAUGCAAGAAAACAUGCACAACGGACAUUUACAAGGAAUGCAUGAUUUUAAGACCUUCUUUAACAAACAUUUACAACCACAAGCCUAAACCCACAUUUCUAGUCACCAUUCACAAUUAAGACCAUAUUCACAUCAUUUACAACUCAAUACUUAAAAAAGAUAGCAAAGUAAGUCCUUCAUUACCAUUUAAGCCUCUAUCUCAAGUCACCCUAAGCCACACUUAAGUGAAUAAUGAAGUGACCGCCCAUAAAACCUCUUCAUAUACACCUAAGUGUUACUAAGAGUUACUAUAGACAAGGGUUUUAUCAUUAAAUUAUAACAUACUNNNNNNNNNNNNNNNNNNNNNNNNNNNNNNNNNNNNNNNNNNNNNNNNACUAGCAAGGUAUGGAAUCUGGAGUCUAUCCUACUCCGUGGAGGUUGUUCUACUUGCCAAGGGUAGAACUAAAAGCAACCCAUGUUGGCACAUGGUUUAAGAGAUGUCCAAGGAUGUUCAUUGUGCCUAAUCUCAUGCUCAACUAGGCCACCAUCCUAACCACAUCCACUCGGUGCUUAGCCUUGGUUUCCAUAGAGUAUUCAAUCACAUAUGUACUAGAGAGGGUUCCUUUUCUAGUUCAACCGACUCAUAGUACCUCUUCCCAAGAAAGGCCCCAUUUCUUAGUCAUAGCCAAUCUAGGUUCAUAAGGAUAGUUCAUUUGACUUUCUUAGAUAAGGAUUCUCAUUCCGUUCCGGCUCCAUCCAUCUCUAAGUCUAUCAUUUCACUCAAGAAGGGAACAUCACCCUAAGGCCCAUCCUUCAAGGUUAUACAUUUACUUAGGAAAGCUAGACUCAUGAAAAGGCACUAUGCUUAAGUCUUGCCAAUUCAAGUCUUGGCCUAGAAUUCCUCUUUUAGCAUUUAUAGGAAGAGCUCCAUUACUAAGUCAUAGCUCAACCAAACAUUCAUGUACUCAUAUACAUAAUCAAACUUUCAUGACACAAGACAAGAUACUCAAGUCUAGCAUAUGAGCUACAACAUCAUCUUAUAGAGACUCAUCAUAGUCCAUCAUCACCACAUAUCACCAUUUCAAGAGAAACAUGCUUUCACAUUAUCAUAAUACCACCUUAUACAAUAUCACAUUAAUACCAUUAGAACAUCUUCACAUUAUAGCUUAACACAAACUUUACAUAUAGCUUCAUAUAGGACUUUACAUAUAGCCUCAUCUGUGUAUAAUAAAGCAACAAUGUAAUAACACUCAUAUAAUGCCCUUCAUGGCCUUAAUUCACAAUAAUACAAUAUUCCCACAUUAUACAACAACUUCACCAAUGCCUUCAUGGCUAAAAUUCACACUAAUACCACACAAGAAUAAGAUAUAACACUUCCACCAAAGGUGGAUUCAAUCUACCAACAACAAUCAACUCAAUAAAGAGAGUUCAAUCUUUCUUACCAUAACCCAAAGCCAUAGCCAAAAUCACCAAAAUCCAAGCAAUCACCAAUACUUAACCCAUAAGACUUACCACCCUUAAUUCACCCAUUAUCAACAAAUAAUCAUGAAUAAACAUUAAAAACACAAGAGAUAACAAUACAAUUCACUUUACACAUAAUUCCAUCAACUUUGAAUUUAAAGAAAUAGACCCACUUCAUAGCAUAUUUUAGGGUUUUGUAGAAGACAAGGGUUCAUGGAGUAUUUCAUUCAAAAACCACAAAUAAACAUCAAUCAAUCCAUACCCAAACAUUUCAAAUCAUUUUCAUGCAAGAACCCUUGAUAGAAUUCAAAAACAAGCUUUUAGUCACUUUUUGAAAACAUGGUAAAAUCCUUUGAAAUUGACUCUAGGAUGAAUAUGAGUCCUAGAUGAACAGCCACCAUACCUCAAUUGAUGAUCUCUCAAUGAAAUUUGGUGGAAGGGAACCCUCAAUUGAAAUUCUAGCUCUCCACCUUCUUCUUCCUUGAACUUGAGAGAACUUUAGAGAGAAAAAGAACUUUGGGGAUUUGAUAUUGGAAGAAUGAAUUCAAAAACACCUCUUAAAUGUUGUAAUACCUUUAAAAUACUUAAAAACAAUUAAAAUAAUAUUAACCCAAAGUACCCAAACUACCCCUCACUUACUUGGACCUUUUUAAACAAGUCCAACUUGAGUUUUAUUUUCGCAAAUUUCGUCAAGAAAGAAGUUCGUGACGCGGAAGUGUUCCCACAAGUUUUCUGGAAAUUAAUUUCGAGAGAGUAGAGUCCGCGGUGUCUCCGCGACGCCGGAGCCACUUUUUGGCCAUAGGUGGAGAAGGUCCGUGACGCGGAGCCACUCUUUCCAAGAACAACUUCAAGCUGCCUUGGCAGCUUGCUUGGCCAAGGGCUGGGGUCCUCCUCGGGGACCCUUAGGGUAGUCCCGGGGAGUAGUAUCCGAAUGUUUUGACCCUAAAAUCAUUUAUUAAGACACUAGGGUCACCUCCACUGAUUUUAGACUCCAAACAACCCAUAGAAAUAUGAAUAACAUACUAGAACACACCAACACGUAAAAGACUAGUUUCCGAACGUCUUAGCCAUCCCUUGACGUUUGACUUCCAAACUCUUUAAAACUGACUAAUAAGGCUAUUCUUCAUUAUUUUAACAAGUUAUUAAUGCAUAGGACCCAUGUGAGGCUCUACUUUAUCCUACUUCAUUUUGAGGGGUGUUACAAUAUCUCCCACUUGGGAACAUUCAUCCUCGAAUGACACUUUAAAACAUUAAGGGUAAUGACUCAAGACGCAGCCCACAACAAUCAUACAAUAUCAAUAUGAAAGCACUCAUCAAGGAGGAAAGAUCAAUUCCACAUAACAAGGCAUUACAACACAACUUCAUUCAAAUUUAUGGAAGUAGGAAUCACACCUACAACGCAACAUUCAUCAAAUCUUUCUUUUUUUUCCAUUUCUCAUAUAUUUGGAGGAACUUCCUUCUCCAUAGCACCUCAUGCUCAAAACAACAUCAAAGAACACAAUAUGCAAUGAUCUUAUUAAAACACAUUCAUGCUACAUCAAGAAUACACUUAAGCAUGCUUAACUAAUCAACCGUAAUAACUUUUAACAACUCACCAAUUUAUGCAUAUAAGGAGAGGAACGAUCAUGAAACUGAUUUUCUCAUUUAAAUCAAGAAUUCAAUUUAAAGCAUGCAUCAUUAUAAGGAAAAAUAUAGAAACUCAUUUUUUUAACACAAGACUCCAAAAACCAUGCAUCAUGCUUCUACAAUUCUAUGACUCAAACUCGUUUAGGAAUAGAAGAAGGAGACAAGAAUAUCAAACUCACCUCAACUCAUCAUUCAACAUACCAUCCCCCACUUAGGAGCAACCCAUCUAAACCAACACAAAAGGAUUCCAACACAAAACUAGAAAGUAUGACUUACCGGCACCUUCAUCCGAAUUUGCUUCCUUGUUAACUUGGAGAGCAGAGGAACGAUUCCUUGCUUGACCAUCAACACUAGGACCACUAUAAGGAGCUUGCCUAGAAUUCCUUCCUUUAGCCAUAAUAUUAGGAGAAUCUCUCACCCUGUGAUCAUUUUUCCCACAAUCAUAGCAACCACUAGUGCCGGAUAGACACUUCCCAAAAUGCUUCUUUCCACAAGUGGAACAAGUAGGCUUAGCAAUUUGAGAACCACCACCUCCUUCAUGGUUAACCUUAGGAGCACCUGAUAAAUCUUGAUUUGGAGCCCUCUUCUUAAACCUAGGUUCUCCUUGAUCCUCAUACCUACCCCUUUUUAAAUCAUUCCUCACCCUAGUGAUCUUGGACUCCUCAAUAGAUUGAGCAUACACAACAAGCCUAGAGAUGUUCAUGCCACCAUGGAGCAUUGUCGUACGACACUAUUCUUUCACCAAGUCGGAUACACCGGUAACAAACCUAAUCAUCUCUUCUCUAGAGUUAGACACCGAAGAUGGAGCAUACCUAGACAACAUAGAGAACUUCAAAGCAUACUCCUCCACAUUCAUAUUACGUUGCCUAAUAUUAAUGAACUCCUCAAUUUUGCACUCCCUCUUCUCUAGGGGAAAGUACUUACCCAAGAAUGCUUCCUUAAACUCCUCCCAUUCUAUAGGACCCACUUCCUCCAGCCUAUUUGCCUUCCAUUGAGCGUACCAAAUUUGGGCCACCUCCUUCAAUUGGUAUGAAGCCAAUUCCGCUAUCUCUCUAGAAGAUACUCUUAUAGCAUCCACAAUUUUGUUAAUCUCAUCCAAGAAUCCUUGGGGAUCUUCUCCAAUUCUAGAGCCCAAAAAGAUAGGAGGAUUCGUACUCACGAAGUCUCUCAACCUUGAGGCAGUCGUACUCUCAUUAGCAUUCACCUCAUCCCUAUUUUCUUGAGCCGUCAUGGCUUGAGCUAGACUUAGAAAAGCCGCCCUAAUCUCUUCAUUAGUCAUGGCCGGGGGAACCACCGGAACUUCAUUAUCUGGAUUGCCUAUGGGGACUUGGUCACCUUGAAGACCUUGGGGAGGAACUCCCCCAUCCACAUUCUCCUCUUCCGCUCUCCUAGGAUUAGCCCUCGUAUUCAUAUCCUAUAAACACAAGAGACGGAUUAGGAAAGAUACUCAUAGACAAAACUCUAACGUACAGCAUCAAGAUUAAUGAAAGAAGUGAAACUUCUACCGUCCUAUAACCUCUCUCUCAUAGAUGUGUCGCGACUAACACCGAUGAACAAGACUCUACUAGACGUGGCAUAUGAGACUUUGAAUCCUAAGGGAUAAUUUCCAAAACCUUAUACUCUGAUACCAAAUUUUGUAACGACCCGAGAGCACCCCCAAGUCGUAACAUGCGUACUCGACCUCUCGUAGGUCUAAUACAAGCCUCUUAGCAUUCAUUCAUCGCAUUCAGUAAUAAAAACCUUAAGGAAUUUAAAACACUUUUUAAAAGAAAUUCAUAAUACUCAUAAAAUCUUUCAAAUGUAACGACGUAGAACUUCUAAGUCUCAUGUUCCACCUUAGACACGAAUAGAACAUCUUCUGGGCACGGCCCUUUACAACAAAAUAUAAGUCUUAUACAAUGUCUUAGUGGAAAUACUAGAAAGGUAACAACUAUGUCCUCGAAUAUAUGAGGACAUACCAAGCUUCUUGAGAAGAGUCAAUAUCCCAAGCUUCCUCAAAAGAUCUCUUCACUUUCCACCACCUACACUUGUAACAAUAAAGAGAUAUGGAAUUAGUACAAUAAUUACUAAGUAUGAUGACCAUGCAAGAAAACAUGCACAACGGACAUCUACAAGGAAUGUAUGCUUUUAAGACCUUCUUUAACAAACCUUUACAACCAAAAGCGUAAACCCACAUUUCAAGUCACCAUUCACAAUUAAGACCAUAUUCACAUCAUUUACAACUCAAUUAACACAAGUGUACCAUACUUAAACAAGAUAGCAAAGUAAGUCCUUCAUUACCAUUUAAGCCUCUAUCUCAAGUCAUCCUAAGCCACACUUAAGUGAAUAAUGAAGUGACCGCCCAUACAACCUCUUCAUAUACACCUAAGUUUUCCUAAGAGUUACUAUAGACAAAGGGUUUUAUCAUUACAUUAUAACAUACUAAGUCAACAUUCUUUAUAAAACCAUUUAGGAGACACACAAGCAUUUAUGGGACAAUCACAAAAUAACCCUAAGGCUUAGGGAACUCACUUUAGUAUCUUCUAAGCCUACUCGUGCCAUGUGUAGAUAGCAUCCCAUACUACUACCUACACAUUGUAGAACCUAUCCAAUAUUAGAGUGCACAUCCCUUAUGAUGAAAAUAGGCCUUAACCGACAUCGACCAUACUAGCAAGGUAUGGAAUCUGGAGUCUAUCCUACUCUGUGGAGGUUGUUCUACUUUGUCCAAGGGUAGAACUAAAAGCAACUCAUGUUGGCACAUGGUUUAAGUGAUGUCCAAGGAUGUUCAUUGUGCCUAAUCUCAUGCUCAACUAGGCCACCAUCCUAACCACUUCCACUCUGUGCUUAGCCUUGGUUUCCAUAGAGUAUUCAACCACAUAUGUACUAGAGAGGGUUCCUUUUUUAGUUCAACCAACUCAUAGUACCUCUUCCCAAGAAAGGCCCCAUUUCUUAGUCAUAGCCAAUCUAGGUUCAUAAGGAUAGCUCAUUUGACUUUCUUAGAUAAGGAUUUUCAUGCCGUUCCGGCUCCAUCCAUCUCUAAAUCUAUCAUUUCACACAAGGAAGGAACAUCACCCUAAGGACCAUCCUUCAAGGUUAUACAUUUACUUAGGAAAGCUAGACUCAUGAAAAGUCACUAUGCUUAAGUCUUCCCAAUUCAAGUCUUGGCCUAGAAUUCCUCUUUAGCAUUUAUAGGAAGAGCCCCAUUACUAAGUCAUAGCCCAACCAAACAUUCAUAUACUCAUAUACAUUAUCAAGCUUUCAUGACACAAGACAAGAUACUCAAUUUUAGCAUAUGAGCUACAACAUCAUCUUAUAGAAACUCAUCAUAGUCCAUCAUCACCACAUAUCACCAUUUCAAGAGAAACAUGCUUUCACAUUAUCAUAAUACCACUUUAUACAAUAUCACAUUAAUACCAUUAGAACAUCUUCACAUUAUAACUCCACACAAACUUUACAUAUAGCUUCAUAUAGGACUUCACAUAUAGCCUCAUAUGUGUACAAUAAUGCAACAAUGUAAUAACACUCAUAUAAUUCCCUUCAUGGCCUCAAUUCACAAUAAUACAAUAUUCCCACAUUAUACAACAACUUCACAAAUAGCUUCAUGGCUACAAUUCACAAUAAUACAACACAAGAAUAAGAUAUGACACUUCCACCAAAGGUGGAUUCAAUCUACCAACAACAAUCAACUCAAUAAAGAGAGUUCAAGCUUUUAUAUCAUAACCCAAAGCCAUAGCCAAAAUCACCAAAAUCCAAGCAAUCACCAAUACUUCACCCAUAGGGCUUACCACCCUUAAUUCACCCAUUAUCAAUAAUUAAUCAUGAAUAAACAUUUAAACAACACAAGAGAUAUCAAUACAAUUCACUUUACACAUAAUUCCAUCAACUUUGAAUUUAUAGAAAUAGACCCACUUCAUAGAAAAUUUUAGGGUUUUGUAAAAGACAAGGGUUCAUGGAGUAUUUCAUUCAAAAACCACAAACAAACACCAAUUAAUCUAUACCCAAACGUUUCAAAUCAUUUUCAAGCAAGAACUCUUGAUAGAAUUCAAAAACAAGCUUUUAGUCACUUUUUGAAAACAAGGUAAAAUCCUUUGAAAUUGACUCUAGGAUGAAGAUGAGUCCUAGAUGAAGAGCCACCAUGCCUCAAUUGAUGAAAUCUCAACGAAAUUUGAUGGAAGGGAACACUCAAUUGAAACCCUAGCUCUCCACCUUCUUCUUCCUUCAACUUGAGAGAACUUUAGAGAGAAGAAGAACUUUGGGGUUUUGAUUUUGGAAGAAUGAAUUCAAAAACACCUCUUAAAUGUUUUAAUACCUUUAAAAUACUUAAAAACACUUAAAAUAAUAAUAACCCAAAGUACCCAAAAUACCCCUUACUUAGUUGGACCUUUUUAAAUAAGUCCAACUUGAGUUUUAUUUUCGCAGAUUUCCUCGGGAAACAAAUUCGUGAUGCGGAGGAGUUUCCACAAGUUUUCUGGAAAUUAAUUUUGAGACAAUAGAGUCUGUGGUGUCUCCGCGAUGCGGAGCCACUUUUUGGCCAUAGGUGGAGGAGCUCCGCGAUGCGGUCCCUCCAAGAAAAACUUCAAGCUGCCUUGGCAGCUUGCUUGGCCAAAGGUUGGGGUCCUCCUCGGGGACUUUUAGGGUGGUCCCGGGGAGUCGUACCCGAACAUUUUGACCCUAAAACCAUUUAUUAAGACACUAGGGUCACCUCAACUAAUUUUAGACUCCAAACAAUCCAUAAAAACAUGAACAACAUACUAGGACACACCAACACGUAAAAGGCUAGUUUCCGAACGUCUUGGCCGACCCUUGACGUUUGACUUCCAAACUCUUUAAAACUGACUAAUAAGGCUAUUCUUCAUUAUUUUAAUAAGUUAUUAAUGCAUAGGACCCAUGUGAGGCUCUACUUUAUACUACUUCAUUUUGUGGGGUGUUACAAUAUCCCCCACUUGGGAACAUUCGUCCUCAAAUGACACUUUAAAACAUUAAGGGUGAUGACUCAAGACUAGCAGCCCACAACAAUCAUACAAUUUCAAUCUGAUAGCACUCAUCAAGGAGGAAACAUCAACUCCACAUAACAGGUCAUUACAACACAACUUCAUUCAAAUUUAUGGAAGUAGGAAUCACACCUACAACUCAACAUUCCUCAGAACCUUUUUUUUUGUCCAUUUCUCAUAUAUUUGGAGGAACUUCCUUCUCCAUAGCACCUCAUGCUCAUAACAACAUCAAAGAACACAAUAUGCAUUUAUCUUAUUAAAACACAAUCAUGCUACAUCAAGAAUACACUUAAGCACGCUCAACUAAUCAACCCUAACAACUUUUAACAACUCACCAAUUUAUGCAUAUAUGGAGAGCAACGAUCAUGAAACUGAUUUUCUCAUUUAAAUCAGGAACUCAAUUUAAAGGAUGCAUCAUUAUAUGGAGAAAUAUAGAAACUAAUUUUUUUCACACAAGACUCCAAAAACCAUGCAUCAUGCUCUACAAUUCUAUGACUCAAACUCGUUUAGGAAUAGAAGAAGGAGACAAGAAUAUCCAAACUCACCUCAACUCAUCAUUCAACAUACCAUCCCCCACUUAGGAGAAACCCAUCUAAACCAACACAAAAGGACUCCAACACAAAACUACAAAUUAUGACUUACCGGCACCUUCAUCCGAAUUUGCUUACUUGUUAGCUUGGAGAGCAUAGAAACGAUUCCUUGCUUGACCAUUAAUACUAGGACCACUAUAAGGAGCUUGCCUAGCAUUCCUUCUUUUAUCCAUAAUAUUAGGACAUUAUCUCACCUUGUGAUCAUUUUUCCCACAACCAUCGCAACCACUAGCGCCGGAUAGACACUUCCCAAAAUGCUUCUUUCCACAAGUGGAACAAGUAGGCUUAGCAAUUUGAGAACCACCACCUCCUUCAUGGUUAACCUUAGGAGGACUUGAUAAAUCUUGAUAUGGAGCCCUCUUCUUACACCUAGGUUGUCCUUGAUCCUCAUACCUACCACUUUUCAAAUCUUUCCUCACCCUAGUCAUCUUGGACUCCUCAAUAGAUUUAGCAUACACAACAAGCUUAGAGAUGUUCAUGUCGCCAUGGAGCAUUGUCGUACGACAGUCUUCUUUCACCAAGUCGGAUACACCGGUAACAAACCUAUUCAUCUCCUCUCUAGAGUUAGACACAAAAAAUGGAGCAUACCUAGACAACAUAGAGAACUUCAAAUCAUACUCCUCCACACUCAUAUUACCUUGCCUAAGAUUAAUGAACUCCUCAAUUUUGCACUCCCUCUUCCCUAGGGGAAAGUACUUACCCCAGAAUGCUUCCUUAAACUCUUCCCAUUCUACAGGACCCGCUUCCUCCGACCUAUUUGCCUUCCAUUGAGUGUACCAAAUUUGGGCCACCUCCUUCAAUUGGUAUGAAGCCAUUUCCCCUAUCUCUCUAGAAGAUACUCCCAGAGCAUCCACAAUUUUGUCAAUCUCAUCCAAGAAUCUUUGGGGAUCUUCUCCAAUUCUAGAGCCCAAAAAAUAUAGGAGGAUUCAUCCUCACGAAGUCUAUCAGCGUUGAGGCAGCCGUACUCUCAUUAGCAUUCACCCUAGGCCCCUCAUCUCUAUUUGCUUUAGCCGUCAUGGAUUGAGAUAGAGUUAGAAAAGCCGCCCUAAUCUCUUCAUUAGUCAUGGCCGGGGGAACCACUGGAACCUCAUUAUCUUGAUUGCCUAUGGGGACUUGGUCACCUUGAAGACGUUGGGGAGGAACUCCCCCAUCCACAUUCUCCUCUUCUGCUCUCCAAGGAUUAGCCCUCGUAUUCAUAGCCUAUAAACACAAGAGACGGAUUAGGAAAGAUACUCAUAGACAAAAACUCUAAGGCACGACGUAAAGAUUAAUGAAAGAAGUGAAACUUCUACCGUCCUAUAGCCUCUCGCUCAUAGAUGAGUCGCGACUCACACCGAUGAACAAGACUCUACUAAACGUGGCAUAUGAGACUUUGAAUCCUAAGGGACAAUUUCCAAAACAUUAUGCCCUGCUACCAAGUUUGUAACGACCCGAGAGCACCCCCAAGUCGUAACAUGCGUACUCGACCUCUCGGAGGUCUAAUACAAGCCUCUUAGCAUUCAUUCAUCGCAUUCGGUGAUAAAAACCGUAAGGAAUUUAAACACUUUUUAAAACAAAUUCAUAAUACUCAUAAAAUCUUUCAAAUGUAACGAAGUAGAAUUUCUAAGUCUCAUGUACCAUCUUAGACACGAAUAGAACAUCUUAGGGGCACGACCCUUUACAACAAAAUAUAAGUCUUAUACAAUUUCUAAGUGGAAAUACUAGAAAGGGUUCAACUAUGUCCUCGAAUAUAUGAGGACAUACCAAACUUCUUGAGAAAUAGUCAAUAUCCCAAGCUUCCUCAAAAAAUCUCUUCACUUUCCACCACCUACACUUGUAACAAUAGAGAAAUAUGGAAUUAGUACAAUAAGUACUAAGUAUGACGACCAUGCAAGAAAACAUGCACAACGGACAUUUACAAGGAAUGUAUGCUUUUAAGACCUUUAACAAACCUUUACAACCACAAGCAUAAACCCACAUUUCAAGUCACCAUUCACAAAUAAGACCAUAUUCACAUCAUUUACAACUCAAUACUUAAAAAAGAUAGCAAAGUAAGUCCUUCAUUACCAUUUAAGCCUCUAUCUCAAGUCACCCUAAGCCACACUUAAGUGAAUAAUGAAGUGACCGCCCAUAAAACCUCUUCAUAUACACCUAAGUGUUCCUAAGAGUUACCAUAGACAAGGGUUUUAUCAUUACAUUAUAACAUACUGAGUCAACAUUCUUUAUAAAACCAUUUAGGAGACACACAAGCAUAUAGGGGACAACCACAUAAUAGCCCUAAGGCUUAGGGAACUCACUUUAGUAUCUUCUAAGCCUACUCGUGCCAUGUGUAGAUAGCAUCUCAUACUACUACCUACACGUUGUAGAACCUAUCCAAUAUUAGAGUGCAUAUCCCAUAUGAUGGAAAUAGGCCUUAACCGACAUAGACCGUUCUAGCAAGGUAUGGAAUCCGGAGUCUAUCCUACUCCGUGGAGGUUGUUCUACUUGCCAAGGGUAGAACUAAAAGCAACCCAUGUUGGCACAUGGUUUAAGAGAUGUCCAAGGAUGUUCAUUGUGCCUAAUCUCAUGCCCAACUAGGCCACCAUCCUAACCACAUCCACUCGGUGCUUAGCCUUGGUUUCCAUAGAGUAUUCAAUCACAUAUGUACUAGAGAGGGUUCCUUUUCUAGUUCAACCGACUCAUAGUACCUCUUCCCAAGAAAGGCCCCAUUUCUUAGUCAUAGCCAAUCUAGGUUCAUAAGGAUAGUUCAUUUGACUUUCUUAGAUAAGGAUUCUCAUUCCGUUCCGGCUCCAUCCAUCUCUAAGCAUUUCACUCAAGAAGGGAACAUCACCCUAAGGCCCAUCAUUCAAGGUUAUACAUUUACUUAGGAAAGCUAGACUCAUGAAAAGGCACUAUGCUUAAGUCUUGCCAAUUCAAGUCUUGGCCUAGAAUUCCUCUUUUAGCAUUUAUAGGAAGAGCUCCAUUACUAAGUCAUAGCCCAACCAAACAUUCAUAUACUCAUAUACAUAAUCAAGCUUUCAUGACACAAGACAAGAUACUCAAGUCUAGCAUAUGAGCUACAACAUCAUCUUAUCUUCAUCAUAGUCCAUCAUCACCACAUAUCACCAUUUCAAGAGAAACAUGCUUUCACAUUAGCAUAACACCACAUUAUACAGUAUCACAUUAAUACCAUUAGAACAUCUUCACAUUAUAGCUUCACACAAACUUUACAUAUAGCUUCAUAUAGGACUUUACAUAUAGCCUCAUAUGUGUAUAAUAAUACAACAAUGUAAUAACACUCAUAUAAUGUCCUUCGUGGCCUCAAUUCACAACAAUGCAAUAUUCCCACAUUAUACAACCACUUCACCAAUGCCUUCAUGGCUACAAUUCACAAUAAUACAACACAAGAAUAAGAUAUAACACUUCUGGAUCCAACCUACCAACAACAAUCAAUUCAAUAAAGAGAGUUCAAGCCUUCUUACCAUAAUCCAAAGCCAUAGCCAAAAUCACCAAUACUUCACCCAUAAGGCUUACCACCCAUAAUUCAUCCAUUAUCAACAAUUAAUCAUAAAUAAACAUUAAACAACACAAGAGAUAUCAAUACCAUUCACUUUACACAUAAUUCCAUCAACUUUGAAUUUAUAGAAAAAGACGCACUUCAUAGCAAAUUUUAGGGUUUUGUAAAAGACAAGGGUUCAUGGAGUAUUUCAUUCAAAAACCACAAACACAUCAAUUAAUCCAUACCCAAACGUUUCAAAUCAUUUUCAUACAAGAACCCUUGAUAGAAUUCAAAAACAAGCUUUUAGUCACUUUUUGAAAACAUUGGAAAAUCCUUUGAAAUUGACUCUAGGAUUAAGAUGAGUCCUAGAUGAAGAGUCAUCAUACCUCAAUUGAUGAAAUCUCAACGAAAUUUGGUGGAAGGGAACCCUCAAUUGAAACCCUAGCUCUCCACCUUCUUCUUCCUUGAACUCAAGAGAACUUUAGAGAGAGAAAGAACAAAGGGUUUUGAUUUUGGAAGAAUGAAUUCAAAAACACCUCUUAAAUGUUUUAAUACCUUUAAAAUACUUAAAAACACUUAAAAUUAUAAUAACCCAGUACCCAAAUUACCCCUCACUUAGUUGGACCUUUUUAAAUAAGUCCAACUUGAGUUUUAUUUUUGUAGAUUUCGUCGGGAAACAAGUUCGCGACGCGGAGGUGUUCCCACAAGUUUUCUGGAAAUUAAAUUCGAGACAGUAGAGUCUGCGGUGUGUUUGUAACAACCCGAGAGCACCCCCAUGUCUUAACAUGCGUACUCGACCUCUCAGAGGUCUAAUACAAGCCUCUUAGCAUUCAUUCAUCGCAUUCGGUAAUAAAAAUCGUAAGGAAUUUAAACACUUUUUAAAACAAAUUCACAAUACUCAUAAAAUCUUUCAAAUGUAACGAAGUAGAAUUUCUAUGUCUCAUGUACCAUCUUAGACACGAAUAGAACAUCUUAGGUGAACGACCCUUUACAACAAAAACAAGAACCAUUGAUAAUAUUUUCAUGCAAGAACCCUUGAUAGAAUUCAAAAACAAGCUUUUAGUCACUCUUUGAAAGCAUGGCAAAAUUCUUUGAAAUUGUCUCUAGGAUGAAGAUGAGUCCUAGAUGAAGAGCCACCAUACCUCAAUUGAUGAAAUCUCAACAAAAUUUGGUGGAAGGGAACCCUCAAUUGAAACCCUAGCUCUCCACCUUCUUCUUCCUUGAAGUUGAGAGAACUUUAGAGAUAAGAAUAACUUUGGGGUUUUGAUUUUGGAAGAAUGAAUUCAAAAACACCUCUCAAAUGUUUUAAUACCUUUACAAUACUUAAAAACCCUUAAAAUCAUAAUAACCCAAACUACCCCACUUAGUUGGACCUUUUUAAACAAGUCCAACUUGAGUUUACUUUUGCAGAUUUCAUCGGGAAACAAGUUCAAGACGCGGAAGUGUUCCCACAAGUUUUCUGGAAAUUAAUUUCGAGACAGUAGAGUCCGCGGUGUCUCCGCAACACAGAGCCACUUUUUGGCCAUAGGUGGAGCAGGUCCGCGAUGCGGAGCAACUCCCUCCAAGAACAACUUCACGCUGCCUUGGCAGCUACCUUGGCCAAGGGUUGGGGUCCUCCUCGGGAACCCUUAGGGUGGUCCCGGGGAGUCGUACCCGAACGUUUUGACCCUAAAAACAUUUAUUAAGACACUAGGGUCACCUCCACUGAUUUUAGACUCCGAACAACUUAUAAAAACAUGAACAACAUACUAGAACACACCAACACGUAAAAAACUAGUUUCCGAACGUUUUGGCCGUCCCUUGACUUUUGACUUCCAAACACUUUAAAACUGACUAAUAAGGCUAUUCUUCAUUAUUUUAACAAGUUAUUAAUGCAUAGGACCCAUGUGAGGCUCUACUUUAUCCUACUUCAUUUUGAGGGGUGUUACAUUAGAAGCUCCAAAGCCGACUGCGAUACGUCUACAUAUGGCCGAUAGAAAUGUGAAGGGGCCUAUUGGAGUUCUCGAAGAUUUCCUUGUGAAAGUAGAGUAAGUCAUCUUUUUGGCGGACUUUGUGAUAUUUCAUUGUGAAGUUGAUUUUGAAGUUCCGAUCUUCUUAGGGACCAUUUCUUGCUAUUGGGCGUGACUUGGUCGACGUGGAAUGAGGGUAGAUGAAGUUUUGAUUGAACAAUGAGGAGGAAACUUUUGACAUCUGUAGGACCAUGAAUCAUGAAAGUGAUCUUAAAUCGGAAUCCGUGGUGAAUUACAUUUAGCGGCACAACUCUGACGCUUCCAUUGAGGAAAGGUUAGGUGUUGAUGCGUUGGUAGUGGUGAUGAUGAAUUUUGACAGUGAUGGUAUUGAUGAGUAUGAUGAGCUAUUGGUCACACCUGAUAGGUUCAAGUUCCGUUCCAACCCAAAAAGAUUAGAGUUAGGUAUAACUAAUCUAGACUCCCAACCGGCAAAACCGUCUGUAAAAGAUCCUCCAAAACUAGAACUCAUUGCUCUACCAUCCCACUUGAGGUAUGUAUUCUUUGGGAAAGUACUUUACGAGUAAUCAUUAUUUCGGAUUUGAGUGAAAGGCAAAUAGAGGCUUUGAUAUCGGUGUUGACGCGGUUCAAGAGGUCUAUUGGAUGGACUAUUGUGGAAAUUAUUAGGAUUCCAUUAGGCAGACUAAAUCUCCUUAUGUAAGAUGUUGUGAAAAAAGAGAUCAUUAAGUGAUUAGAUGCUGGAGUUAUUUAUCCCAUUACUUAUAGUAGUUGGGUGUGCCCAGUUCAGUGUAUAUCAUAGAAAUGAGGAAUCAAUGUGGUUGCUAAUGCUAAAAAUGAGCUUGUUCUAAAGAGGCCGGUGACUGGAUGGAGAGUGUGUAUGGACUAUCGCGGGUUAAAUGCAUGGACCGAAAAGUUCACUUCCCAAUGCCGUUCAUGGAUCAGAUGCUAGGUCGUCUCGCUGGUAAGGGUUGGUCUUGAUUUCUAGAUGGGUAUUCGGGGUACAACCAAAUCUCCAUAGCUCCGGAAGACCAAGAGAAGCCCACCUUCAGUUGUCCUUAUGAGACUUUUGCCUUCAAAAGGAUGUCAUUUGAGUUAUGUAAUGCUCCAGCAACCUUCCAGAGGUGUAUGAUGUCGAUAUUUUCACAUAUGGUGGAGAACAUGAUUGAGGUAUUUAUGAAUGAUUUCUCGGUGGUCGGUGACUCAUUUGAUGGUUGCUUGAUGCAUCUGGCCGAGGUACUAAAAUGAUGUGAAGAGUGCAAUCUUGUGCUCAAUUGCGAAAAGUGCCAAUUCAUGGAAAAAUAGGGGAUAGUUAUGGGUCAUCGAAUUUUGUAGAAAGGUAUUGAGGUUGAUAGUGCCAAAGUUGAGGUAAUAGAAAAGCUUCCACUACCUAUAUAUUUAAAGGUGUUCAGAGUUUUCUUGGGCAUGGAGGGUUCUACUGGAGGUUCAUAAAAGAUUUCUCAAAAAUUGCACACCUAUUGUGCGAACUACUCGAAAAGGACUAUAAGUUUUAUUUUUAUGAUGCUUGUCUGAGAGCAUUUGGAGAGUCGAAAGAAAUGUUGUCUUCGGCUAUCAUUAUUUCACAGGAUUAGGGACAACCAUUUAAAGUGAUGUGUGAUGUGUGAUGCGAGUGGGGUAGUGCUGGGUGUAGUGUUAGCACAGAGGCGAGAGAAGAUUCUUCAUCUGAUUUACUAUGAAAGCAAAGCUCUGAAUGUGCCUUAAAAGAACUAUAUUAUGGCUAAACAGAAGCUUUUUUUUGUGGUUUUCGCAUUCGAGAAAUUUAGGUCCUACUUUCUUGGUACUAAGUUAAUAAUGCAUACUGACAAUUCUGUAUUGAGGUAUGUUAUGUCUAAAAAGGAUGCAAAACCAAGGUUGAAUACAUGGGUAAUUUUGUUGCAAGAGUUUGACUUUGAGGUAAAGGAUAUAAAGGGAAUACAAAACUAGGUUGUUGAUCAUUUGUCCAGAUUUGAGGAGGAAGCUAUGAUCAAGUUUGAGAUUAAUGAUCUAUUCCCUGAUGAACAAGUAUUGGCUGCUUCUUAUGAUCUUAUCCCUUGGUUCGCAAAUUUUCCUAACUACUUGGAAAGUGAUUUGGUUCCUUAUAAUUUGCCAUUCCACCAAAAUAAAAUCAUGUCUGAUGUGAAUAAAUUCUUUUGGGAUGAGCCUUACUUGUUUCGUGUGUGUGCUGAAGGGAUUAUUCGUUGUUCUGUGCCCGUGGUUGAGAUGAUGAGUAUACUAGAUGAGUAUCAUUCAUCGCCUGUUAGUGGGCACCAUAGUGGUAUCCUAACUACCCAUAAAAUUUUGCAGGGUAUUACUGGCCUACCAUCCACCAAGAUUCUCAUGAUUUUGCCAAGUCAUGUGAUUGUUGCCAACGUGAAGGAGGAAUUUCAAAAAGGCAAGAACUACUGAUGCACCCAAUACAGGUGAUUGAGCCUUUUGAUAUUUGGGGUCUUGAUUUCAUGGGUCCUUUUAUUAGUUUGAAUGGGAUGAAGUACAUUCUUGUUGCGGUUGACUAUGUAUCAAAAUGGGUAGAGGCAAUUGCGCUUUCCAACAAUAAGGGUAAAAGUGUCACUACAUUCCUGAAAAAGAAUACCUUCUCCAGAUUUGGUAAACCAAGGGAAAUCAGAAGCGAUGGAGGUUCUCACUUUUGUAAUAAAUUGUUUAAGGCGUUGCUUGAGAAGUAUGGUGUUCAUCAUAGUGUAGGAACUCGUAUCAUCCGCAGUCAAGUGGGCAAGUUAAAGUGUUGAAUCGCAAGAUAAAUCAAAUUCUUGCAAAGACCAUAAAUGCUAACAGAACUGACUUGUCGAGGAGGCUUGAUGAUGCUCUAUGUGCUUAUCGUACUGCAUUUAAAAUUCCCAUAGGUAUGUCCCCCUACCAACUUGUAUAUGGGAAAUCUUGUCAUUUGCCUGUAUAGCUAGAGCAUAAAGCAAUGUGGGCCCUAAAGAAGUUGAAUUUUGAUUGGGGCGCCACAUCGAGUCAAAGACUGAAUGACUUGAAUGAGCUUGAUGGGUUUCGACUAAAAGCAUAUGAGAGUUCAGCCUUGUACAAGAAGGAUAUGAAGAAGUACCAUGAUCAGAAGAUCGCAAACCGUGAACUCGUUGUCGGUGAUUUGGUGCUCUUAUUGAAUUCAAGGUUGCGCUUGUUUCCUGGCAAGCUCAAGUGCAAGUGGACCGGGUCAUUCAAAGUAACUCAAGUAUUUCCACAUGGAGCGGUUGAGAUUGAGAGCAACGAUGGGACAAGGUUCAAGGUAAACAGACAGAGGAUCAAAAUCUACUUGGGGAAAUCUGAGAGUAUCAAUAAAGUGAUAGAGGCUUGGCACCUUGAUGAAGCAUGAUUAAUCGAGGUGUCUAUGUCGUGUAGCAUUUCUUGGGAGGCAACCCAAGAUGUAAAAUCUAGCCAACUAUAGGACUUUAUUUUCGAUAUAGGAGUUUUUCUUCUUUCUUUUUGAUUUUCUAGCUCUUUAGAAAUCUGUUUAUUAAUUUUUAUGUGUAGUGUUGGCUAGAUAUUGAUAGAAUAUGGUCUGUGUCUAAAAGAUUUCGAGAAAAUGUAAAAAGGAAGGCUUUAUGUUUGCUACGUGUGCAGGGACGAAAAGGCAAAAUCUGAAUAAAUUAAGUUGUUGCAUUGGUCUACGGAUCCCACCAAUGGUCCGUCAGUCAAUCCACAGACCAUGGAUGGCAUCCGUAUAUGCCAUGUAUGUUUUCUGAUUUUAUUACUAAGUGUUGGAAUGACCUACAGACCUAAUCGACGAAUCGUAGAUCGACCUAUGGACCGUCGACUGGGUCUCGUUAGUCCAAGUUAAGGUUACUGGUGACCAGACCCAGACCCCAUAUAAAUAAAAAAUCCUCACUUCAAAUACACCCCCCACUUCAUAUUCCCCCCUCCUUCCCCCCCCCACCCCCAACCGUUAAAACCACUUCAUCACCCCAAAAUAACCCACUCCACUUCCAAAUUAAUCCCAUAAAAUCCUCCAAUGUAACUGAUAAUUAGCCCUACUUCCAUUUCUGCCAUUUUCUCCCUAAUUCUCCUUUUCUAUCUUACAAUCCUCUAAUGCCUAUCAAUGAAUAAAGGUUUGGGUUCGGUGUUAACGUUGGUCUAAGGAGCUUGUACAAGAUUAACACAAUCAUCAACUUUGAUUGCUUGAAAGGUAAAUGAUUUCACCAUAAACAUUGAAUUUCUUGUUCAUUGUUUACAUUAUUAAGUCACAAAGUUGCACUUGACCUCGGGUUGUUGAAAUACAUGUUAAAAUAUUGACAUUUUGUUUAAUAAAUACUUUUGGAAUGAUGGUGUGGGAGUGUGUAGUUGAUAGGUCUAGUUGGAAGUUUGGACUUAGAGUUUUUCAAUGUUUAUGUGUUCUUUGUUGAAAAUUGCAUGAUCAAAACCCUAAGGAUGAUGAACUACCACAUAAUAUGUUGAAAUGCAUGUUUAACCUUAAACAAUUGAAUGUUUGUUGUGUUACUGUUAUUGAAGUCAAAUAUGGAACUCAAACCUGGCACAACUUUGGUCCACGGCAAACACCAACGGUUCGUAGUUCCACCUACGGACCGUAGGUCGUGGUCCGUCACUAGCCCUGCUCAAAAUGUUUGCUAAGUUGUGAACCACGGUGUGGACUACGGUCCGUCGUUCAAUCGACGGACCAUUCUGUAGAUCCGUGGUUCCAACUACAAGGACACAAAAAGGGACCCUCUAAUCUAUGGAGGGGACCCUCGUUCAAUCGACGUACAGUAGGUAGCCACCGUGGGUUACCAAAUCAGAUAUGGCCUCGAAAUUUAUUUAUUUUUCGUCUAAAUCUAAAAGGAUUUCUAAAAAAUUUCGUUGGGUCUUUUUGUGUUUUUUGGGUACUAACUAAGCUUCCACAUGCACCAUGGCCCCGAAAAAAGUUCCAGUUUAUGCAAGGAAGGGAAAGUUCAAGUCAAUCGCCCCUUCCCAACACCUGUUAGAUGAGGAUACCAAUCAAGAAUACAUCUCGGAGACCACCAGAGUCUCCCCUACUGCACCCCGGACCACGGGGAACAUGGCCAGGAAAAUUAUUUCAUUCAGUGACAAGGUCGAGGUCACUGUCCCCCCCCCUCCCCGGUUUGAGGAGGGGGCUUUAACUGUAGCAGAGUCGCAGUCCGGCUCCAAUUCCAGCAGUGCUUCCAUAUCUUUCUCUGAUGCCGUUGUACCACCCAGAGAUGAACAAAUUCUGAAUGCCACGGAGCUGAAUAGGUGGUGCGUCAAGGCCCAAAACCAAAUUUGUGUUGAUUCAAUGUGGUUAAUAAACAUCAGGAUAUGGACUGCAUUAUUACUGAGGAGUGUCGGGUUCUUACAGGUAGCCUCCAGACUGUGCCCACUAUUGAGGAGUUAUUCAAGAGACAGAAGUGUCAGUGGAUAGCAUGAAGUUCGAGGAAAUUUAGUGAGGAUAUGGCCCGAGAGUUUUAUGUUUCAUACACAACCACCGUCUGUAACUCUAUCUCUAAACGGGCUAAGCCAAUGGCUCAGCCCCCACUUCAGGCUACCUUGGAACAAAAAUUUUCCGUGGAUAUCUCUGAGACCACUAUCUGCAGGCUCAUUUAUGCCCCUGACCACACUCUGCUCAUUAAUACUGCGGAGUAUGACUACAGGAUGGGAGUCGUUCAGACUGGGCCUUUACAGAGGGAUGCUGACCACGGAGAGAGUUUACUACGUUAGAUGGCCCAUCACAUUGCAGAUGAGGGAGAGCGUACCGAGUGGGUGCACAAUAUGACUUUGCCUAUUUGAAAGGCUUCCCUGACCUUCACUGUGAAGUACUUUUGGACCAUUGUGUGUACCAGACUGUCCCCUACUCAGGCGGACAACGUGGUUAUUUCGGUUAGGGUAGUGAUGUUUGCAGCACUGUGGCAGGAUUGGAGGUUGACUUCACCGGGAUUUUGAUCACAUAGAUACAUGAUAGGGCCUGCAAGGUCACCACCACUUUUCCUUUUUCCUUGUCUGAUAUUUCAUCUGUUCAAGGCUUCUAGGGUGCCCAUUUGGCAUUGUGAUAGUUUGAUAGAGGCCAACAAGAAUGUGGCAUUCGCCUCAUUAGAGAGGAUGCCAACCUUGAUGCAUCGCUGAGAGAUCCCCAAGUUGCCCUACCUUUUUUGGGUGUUGACCUUGUUGUUGAUGUGGAGCAGAUCCAGGUUGAUGGCACUGUUGUUCCUCUUAGUACUACAGAUGCACAUGUUUCACCUCCUACUACCACUAGUCAGGCUGCGAGCUCAUCCCGCGCAACUCCCCCUUCAGGGUCAACUGUUUUUCCUCUGGCCCGAGUCAAGAAAUUAGAGGUCGAGAUAGCUACUUUGUUGCAGCACAUGAGUCCUUGGAUGCAUCGUUCUAUUGAGAAUUCUGAGGCUAGGAUGGAGCAGAUGAUAAAUAAGAAGAUUCAAGUAGUUCAGAAGAGUCUUGAUGCAUUUGAAUUGCGAGGUUUGGAGAGGCAUGCCCCUGCUAUUUGUAUCACCACCUCUAGACAUAGUUGGCUAGCUUAUGUGAUGAUGUUGAUGCCCUCCUGGUCCCUCCUGAGGUUGUACCGAAGUGUGCACCUGAGGUUGAGGAGGACGAGGUGGUGAUGUCUGCACUCUUUGGCAACACUAUGCCACCGCCCGAUCCUUCACAUUAUGCUUGGAAGCUUCACAAUUCUGCUUAUACUUCUGACACUAAGGAGGUUCGAUGAGCAAGGAAGAGGGAGCGCCAUCAGAAAGAGGAAGCCCAGCGGUAGUCAAUUAAUGAUAAGGAGAUGAGGCAGCAGCGGGAAACCGGAUCCACCCGCCUCUUGAUCGGACAUCAGCGCAUAUGCACCACAGGUUUGCUUCAUCUUAUGCUUUACUUUUCUCUUUUUGUUGUGCAUUGAGGGCAAUUACACCAUAUUUUUUUGGGGGUGGGGUAAAUGGUAUGUUGGUUGGCUCCGUCGAGAAUUUGAUGCGAUCAAAUUACACCUCCCUAAAGAAGUAUAAGCGAUCGUUGUCAAAUAAGGUUGGGGUUGAUCCCACAAGGAAUAUGGUUUAGACCUAAACUUAACUCACAGUUAUAUCUUUUUAGUCAAACUGUUUCCGAGAAAAGUAAACAAGAGGGUUUUUGUAAAUAAGUAACAAAUUGUUAUUUACAAUGAUUAAGUAACCAAUAAACAAGUUUCACUAUUUGAGUUAUCAAUAUAAGAUGGAAACUAGGGUAUAGGUGUUCUCCACAAGCUCUUAACAUAGUAAUCCUAAUAAUAGUAAUCCCAUCCUAGUGCUUUACAUUCAAGGUUGGUAAGUUAGGUAUCGCUAAGUGAUUAGUCCCCAAAUAUGGAAUUUCCCACGCAACUUGGUCCGUCUAUGGGUGUAUGCUUUAGUAACCCUUACCUUUACCCCAUAUUAGUCAUCAUAUAAAUUUAGUUUAGUUUUCACCCUCACUUUAAUUGAAAUCAGACUAUUACAUAGCAUGUUCUUUUUCCCCAAGGGACUGAUUUACUUUUAUGUUGAACCGGCAUGUUUAGAAUUGUAUGUGUAGAAGUAAGUAGAAGAAUGAAAGAAUGAUGGCAUAAGAUGCAUGAAAUUGAUACCCGUCCAAAUUUUGUAAUGUGCUAGAUCUAUAGGUUCAAUGAGUUGAAUGUGUUGGAUCUUCAUAUGACAUGAGAAGGAACUGGUACAAUAGAAUGACUUAAGCUAAAACUUGAACUGGGUAAUUCAAUAAUCCGGUAAUGAAACAAUGUGCCAAGUGUGUGUGAGAUGAGCUUCUUUGUUCAUGCAGUGUGUGCCAAUCUAAAACUUGCCCCGUUGGUACUGUUUGGACAAUCUAGGCUAGGAAUUGGGAGAUUAUCAUAGGCCCUUGUUUAAAUGAGUCCACUAAAUCCUGAAAUUAUUCAACCAAAAGAAAUAAAUGGUCCAUUUGAUCCAAAUGGUUCAGCCUAAUGCAGACCAUUUCUUUGAAUACACCUAACUUGCCUUCCCUAAAAGUUUGUUUUACCCCUGGUCCCUCCUUGGACAUGUUCACCUUAACUUAGGCCAAAAGCCUAAGUUGAGGGUGGCUAAUUUAAAAAUUUACCUUAAUUUUGGCCCUGGUCCGACAUCGGAUAUUGUGCACCUCCACUCAUGCAAAAUACAUAAGUUGAGGGUGGCUACGAAAAAGGAAACCGAAAGAAAAUGGGAUGAAAAGAGUUGUGUGCGGAAGAAAGAAAAUGAUAGAAAAUGAUUUGACUGGAGUUAAAAGGAACAAAAAGUAGAAUAAUAAACAUUGGUGAAAAGUCAAAGAAAGAAAAAGAAAAAAAAGUGAAAUAUAAGAGCGAUAAAGUCAAAGUCACAUCUGUGCUGAAGAAAGUCAAGGAAAAGAGUUGAAAAUAAAAAUAUGUAACGAAUUGGUUCAGAAAGAGGUAAAUCCAAUGUAAUGUCAAGGAGGGCAGAAAAGUGACUAAAAGUACCCAAAUGUACCCUACCUGACCCUAAGCCUACGUUACAAGCUAAGAAAGUCUUAUAGUGAUCCUAGUGACUAGUUUGGAGAGCCUAUACAGUGAAAACAAGGGUAAGCAUAUGGUAUUGAGCACUAACUGUACUUGAAGUCAUUUCUGAGCGUGAAUGUUGAAUUAAUCCUUAAACUGGAAAUUCAGAUUUAUUGUGUGAAAAAGGAUUUCUUUUGAAGUGAGGGCACUAGUUACAUUGUUGGAGAGUUGGUACCUUGGUGAUUGUGAAAGUGUAUGUUGUGAUGUCUAUUGGUCUGUCUAUGUCAAAUUUUGAUCCACAUGAGUUAGCUUGUUGAGUAGAGAUGAAAAGAUUUGCAUUAAGUGAUGGAAUUGAUUGAGAAAGCCAAGUGAUUCCUUGAGUUUGUAUGUUUGCUAGUACAUAAGUGUCGUUUAGAAUUUUAGUGUGUCGCUUGAGGACAAACAACAAGUAUAAGUUAAGGGUGUUGAUAUAACGUGAGUUUACAAUUUUUUUGAUGCAUAUCACUUAAUGUUUGUGUGUGUCUUGGGCUAUUUUGUUAUUAGAAAUAAUGUUUUUAUAUAAUUCUUUGAGGAAAUAGGCUUGGAUGCGGUUGAUGAAGAUACGAGCUGAAAAAUGCAGAAGUGGCCGGUGACGGAGCCUACCAUGGACUGUAGGUCCUUUGACGGAACGUAAGUGCUACAGCGUAGAUGAAGGUUCAAGGAAGUCUGACCAUGUGUGGAACCACGGAGGCAUCGAUGGACCGUAGGUCGACCCGCGGGCCGUCCUGCAUAUCCAUCGUUGGUGAUCAUAGAGUUGAAGUUCCAAUACUUGAACCACAGUGGCAAGUGACGGACCUUAGUCCAGUCCAUGGACCGUAGGUGGAGUCGUCGUCUGAAUGCCCUGAAUUAUUGCUCAAGUCUUCAACCACGGAGGGUGAGCACGGACCGUAGGUCGACCCACGGUCCAUAGGUCAGGUCGUCAACGGAAACCGCGUCUGAAGCUGUUAUUUCCUUAUUUUGUUUCCUAGUUGGUUUAGAAUUUGUUUCCUAUAAACAUUAGUUGUAAAUUCCAUUUUUGGGGUUAGACAUUAUUGUAAGGUUUUAUAUUUUGGUCUUUUGGAAUUAUUUUGCAAACUCUUAGCAAUUUAAUUUCCGGAAGCUUGUUUAUGUAAAUUUUACUUUGAAUUUCAGUUCAAGAUUUUGGGUUUCAUCUAUUAUAACUAUAAGUUCAUGAAGUCUUUUAACCUAAUUAUGAAUUGUGAACUCUCAAGCAUGAGUAGCUAACUCCACAACUAGGGUUGUGGGAACCAUGAGCAAUUAACAAUGUAUGAAUAAUAAUUAUGUAAUUCUUGAAUAGUAUUUAUUAAUGUAUUGUUAAUCCUUUCGUUUAGAAGUCUUUUGAGCGGUGUGCAACGUUAGAACUCGCCUCGUUCCUACUUGCCAGACCAAGGAGGUAAUGAAUGAAAAAGGGAUUAAACAACAGAGAUUUAGUGGAUGCUAUCUAAUAGUCUGAUUUUAAUUAAAGUGAGGGUGGAAACUAAACUAAAUUGAUAUGAUGACUAAUCUGGGGGUAAAGGUAAAGGUUAUUAAAGCAUACACCCGUACACAGACAAAGUUGCGUGGGAAAAUUUCCUACUUUGAGGACCAAUAACUUAGGGAUACCUAACUUACCAACAUUGCUUGUAAAAUAGUAGGAUAGGAUUACUAUUAUUAGUAUUACUGCGUUAAGAGCUUGUGCGGAACACCUAUACCCUAGUUUCAAUCUUAUAUGGAUAACUCAAAUUGUGAAACUUGUUUAUUGGUUACUUAAUCAUUCUAAAUAACAAUUUGUUACUAAUUUACAACAACUCCUUUGUUUAAUUUUCUCAGAAAUUGUUUGACUAAAACGAUAUAAUUUUGAGUUCAGUUUAAGUCUAAACCAUAUUCCUCAUUGGAUCGACCCCAACCUACAAGUUGGGUUCUUUAUUUGAUAACGAUCGCUUAUACUUCUUUAGGGAGUGUAAUUUGAGUGUAUCAAACUUGGACAUCAUAUCAGCUUAAGCUUCCCAAGUAGAACCCUCGUCUAAUUGAUUCUUCCGAAGCACUUUCAUGGAAGCAACUUCCUUGUUUCUCAACUUCUGAACUUGAUGGUCUAAAAUCUCAACAGAUACCUCGUCAUACAAAAAUCUUCCCUUAACUCCCAAAUUUUCCAAUGGCACUAUAUAUGUCGGAUCUCCAACACACAUUUACAACAAAGAGACAUAGAAUACUGGAUGUAUUGAUGCUAAGUUAUUUAGUUUACUCUAAUUCAUAAAAAACCUUGACAAUAAACCUGAUCCAUAAAAGGGGAACUAAGCUUUCCUUUUUCCCCAAACCUCAUCACACCCUUCGUGGGUGAAAUUUUCAAGUAGACCCCAUCAACAAUAUUAAAUUCAAGCUCUUUUCAUCAAACAUUCGCAUAAGACUUAUGUCAAAUUGAACCAUUUUCAAUCUUUCACAAAUAAGUCAAACAUUUCCAUAGCUUUAUUCACUAACUAGGGCCCUAUCAAAGUGACCUCGUCAACUUCAAACCAAAAAAUAGGAGAUGUACACCUUUCACCACAUAGAGCCUCAAAUAGAGUCAUUUGGAUACUCGAGUGGUAAUCAUUAUUAUAAGAGAACUCAAUAAAAGGCAAAUGAUCAUCCCAAUUACCCUUAAAGUUAAUUACACAAGUUCUCAACAUAUCUUCCAAUGUAUGAAUAGUAUGCUCCACUUGUCUAUCGUUCUAAGGAUAAAAAGUUAUGCCAAACUUCACUUGAGUACUAAUACCCUUUUGAAAUGACCUCCAGAACAAAGUGCUAAAAUGAGUACCACAAUCAGAGAUAAUGGAUAAAGGUACUACAUGCAACCUUACCAUUUCCCUAAUGUAAAGCUUGGCAUACUCUUUGGCUGAAAAUGAAUUCUUACGGAAAGAAACUGAAUCGACUUCCUCAUUCGUUACAUAAUGACCCAAAUUAAAUUAAACUGACGAUGGGUACGAGGUAAGCCCAUAAGAAAGUUCAUAUUCAAAUUAUUCCACUUAAUAUCUUGAGCCAACCCACCAUGCUUUUGAUGCUUAACCUUCACUAAUUUAAAGUUAGAAUAUUUGCCACAAAUUGUGUAAUAAAUCAUAACUGUAAUUAUAUAUAAAAUGAUUCCAUACCAGAAUUUUUUUUAAUACCUUUUAGGUUUUGGAGUUCUCAACAAAAAAUACCUACCUCUCUAUUAGAAUACAAAUUCAUCAAAAAAUUGGAUUUGAUUGUAUAGUGUACACCGGAUUGUUACACUCCAGAAACAAGUAGGAGUAACUAGGUGGGUGGGGUUAACAAGCCAUGGAAGAGGGAAAGAGCCUAAGAUACCUAGGAAUUAACGAAGGAAAAGACUUCCUUCCCCAAGCCCUUUCGGUGAGGGACAGUGAGGUCGCCAAGAGGACUUGGCAAUCCGCCAAGUGCACCAUGGUCGCCUAGUAGACUGUCCCCAUGACCGUAGGUGCUGGAAAAUUGGGCGAGCCAAGUCAGAGCUCGCCCGUUAGGUCGGCACAUUGCCAAGGGGCUCCUCCCCAUGGCCAAGUGUCCAGCCUCCUUGAAUGAGCUAUUGUAUGUAUUUAGGCGAGCCAAAGGGUCCAUUUGGUGAGUCGCCAAGUGCCCUUGGCGAGCUUCAACGUCAAAAGUUGCAGGGUUUUUAGUUGAAGUCUUUGAUGUCUUUUCAUAGUUACUUAAAACUAUACUACAUUGUUUUACCCUCUAAUCAUAAAAGCUAUAUAAGCAUUUUACUCUCAAAUUUCCCCAAUUAGGUCAUUUACCCUAGAAUUUAAAUGAAAUCCCAAGAGUUCUUCUAUAAAAUAUUUCUCUCUCUAGAACUGGAAGAAGAAGAUAGAGUUUGAAGCUAGGUCAAGUUCAAGUCUCCAACUUUCAAUCUUGUGUGGGCUUCGUAAUCAAGGUAUGAUAGCUUUUCAUCAUUGGAUUUCUUCCAUCCAUGGAGUUCCCUAGUUUUCCCCAAUUAUGAAGAUGAAAUCCCCAAUUUGAGUUAGAUGUUCUUCCAAUGUUGUGGGUAAUGAUGAUUGUUGACCCAAUUGUGUGAAUAAUGAUUGUUUUUUAUUAAAUUCCAUGUACCCAUGCCUAACCAAUGUCUACAAAGAUGAAAUCAUGUAAUGGGUCUUGUUGCCAUGUAGGACUAUAAUGUGGAUUUAGAUGUAUUCAAUCUAGGAUUGAGGAGAUAUGUUAGAAUUGAAGCAUAUAUGAUGAAUCAUUAUUUUGUUACUUGAGAUUGAUCAUAUAGUAUGAUUGUGAGAUAUAGGGCUUGAGAGUAAAGCUUAUGUUGUCCAUUAUUGACUAUUGAGAUAGUUGUUGUGGAAGGGAUACUUCCCACAUAAAUUGCCUAAUUAUGAAUGUAUUAAUGUGAAAGGUCUACUCACAUGAAUUAUUCUAGGUUUCAAAGGAUUUCUCACCUAAAAUGAAUCUGGACUAAAAGUUUUGUAAUUGAUGAGGCUAGAGGUGAUUACCCUUGACCUAUAUAUGCAAGGAUAUGAGGUGAUUCCCUUAUUCUUUAGAAUUAAACAAGAGGUGAUUCCCCACGUUCCCACUAUGAUGAAAGGACAUGGGGGAGUACUUAUGCUCCUUAUGAAAUGAUGUGGAGGCGAGUAUGUCAUAUGAUGAGGUUGUGGAGGUGAGUAUGUCAUAUGAUGAGGUUGUGGAGACGAGUACCCGCAAUCUAAAAGUGAGUAAGGCAAGAGGCAAAUACCCAUUAGCCAUUGUAAGUUAGGCAAAGAGGCGAAUCCCCAUGUCUUUAAAAGUAUGUAUAAACUAUGUGAACUAUCUUAUGAAGACUGAAUAGCUUGGAAUGUUGCUUGAGGUACCUUCCAAGACUUAAGUUGACUAAGAGAUGAUGACCCAAGUCUUGACUAAGGAUGAGUAAGGUUUCUUGAGAAGUAUUCCUUUCUUAUUAUGAUAUUGAUGUUUGUGCAUAAUUAUGCUUAUGGUUUAUAUUGACUAACCAUGAUGUUUAUGUUGUUUAUGCUAGCUAUCAUAUUUAGUACUUAAUUGUACUAACGCAUAUUCUUUCCUACAUUCUUAUCAAAUGCAGGGUCCGACGACUUAGAUUCUCACACUCGUGGCUAGCUUCGUUGUUGAUGAAGGAAGUGAAGAUUUAGUGAGUCCUCAUUGUGUUCGAGGAUAUGAUCACCCUUUUCUAUUAUGUUUUUCUUUUAUAUCUUGGACUACUGUAUGGGUUGUAUCCCAAGACUUUAUUCAUGUUGUUUUAGAUGGUUGGAGACUAUGGUAUUAGACUUCCGCUCGUUUUUAUAAAAGACUUUGAUUGUAUUGAAAAGUUUUAAUCCUCUCUCAUUUGUAUUACUUUAUGUUUUGAUAUGCUAAAUGGUUUGUAUGAGGCCUCUCUCGGUCUUAUAUGCCUUCUUACAUCUAGGGGGUACCCCUACGUCGUGACAAACUUGGUAAUUAGAGCACAAGGUUUAGAAUGGCUCUAGGAUGUCUCAAACCACGUCAAGUAAAGUCUUUUUCAUAAGUGUGAAGCGCGCCACAUUUAUGAAUGAGAGGCAACUAGAUGCUUAGGAAACUUCAGUUCUUUAUUUAUCUAAGUCGUGCCAUGGAGUUUAACUCUAUCAGGUCUUUCUCCUAAUCCUUACCUGAUGGUUUUAAGGAUAUGACUACUAGAAGAAUUAAUGUUAGAAGGACUAAGGGAGACAACGUGGGACACGAAGUUCCUCCCCAUGCUCCUCCUCAAGUUCUGAUUGAUCCUUUGGCUGACAAUGUGACGAAUGCGGAGUUCAGGAUGGAAUUUCAAAUGUUGGCUCAAGCCGUGACGACACAAGACAAUAGAGAGUUGGUAUCUCCCGUGAACCCAAAUGUGGGUACGGCGGCGGCAAGGUUGAGGGAUUUUACAAAGAUGAACCCCCCCAAAUUUUAGUGCUCCAAAGUUAAGGAAGAUCCUCUAGAGUUUAUCGACGAGGUCUAUAAGAUACUUGCUAUUAUGGGAGUCACACCGGUAGAUAAAGCAAAGUUAGCUACUUACCAACUCAAAGGGGUUGCACAGAUUUGGUUCAAUUAAUAGAAAGAGGUAAGGCCGGAAGGAGAGGGUCCCAUUGAAUGGGAAAGAUUCAAAAGUUCUUUUCUUGAUUGAGUUUUUCCUCUUGAGAUAACAAAGUACAGGGUGCUCGAGUUCAUUCACCUUAGGCAAGGAAAUAUGAGUGUAAGGGAAUACCCUUUGAGGUUCACUGAACAAUCUAAGUAUGCUCCUUCUAUUGUGGCGGAUCGAAGAACCAAGAUGAGUAAGUUUGUGUCGGGAAUAUCCGACAUGGUUGUCAAGGAAUGCCGCAACACUAUGCUUGUCCAUGACAUGGACAUUUCUCGCCUUAAAGUGCAUGCUCAAUAAAUUUAGGAAGAAAAGCUAAAGGAAAUAUCUAGAGAGGAAACGAGAGCAAGAAUGGAUGAUGGUAACUAUUCAUAUUCUAAGUCCGGUAGACGGGGUCAUUUAAGGUUUUGACAAAAGUUCUUCAGGAAAGAUUCUUCAAAUACUCCUCCAAGGUCGAACAGUGAAAGGGUGUGUAACUCUAAACUUCAAGGAGAUGGUAAUAAGUCCAUGAUGCCUACUUGUGCUAAGGGUGGAAGAAACCAUGAGGGUAAGUGUCUAGCGGGUUCCAAUGUUUUCUUUGGGUAUGGAAAGACGGACCACAAGAUAAGGAAUUGUCUUUUUAGUUGCUAAGAAUGAAGGAGAUAACCGUCGUAGGGCUUAACCCAACUCCUCAUCCGGUUCAAGUGGCUAGGGUGCAAGUGCUCCUAAGCAAAACCUAUUUUAUGCUCUCCAAACUAAAGGUGAUCAAGAGAGCUCCUUGGAUAUGGUAACUGGUAUGUUAAAAGUUGUUUAAUUAGUUGUGUAUGAUUUUCUUGAUCAAGGAGCUACAUUGUAUUUUGUGACACCUUAUGUGGCCAUGAGGUUUGAUGUGCUCCCCGAUGUGAUUUUAGAACCUUUUUUUGUCUCUACUCCUUUUUUUGAUUCUGUGUUGGCUGAAAGUGUAUAUAGAAGAUGUCAUGUUUCUUUAUCCCAUAGAGUUACUCUUGCUGACUUGGUAGAGCUUGAUAUGUUAGACUUUGAUGUCACCCUUGGUAUGAAUUGGUUGCAUUUAUGUUAUGCUUCUAUAUAUUGUAGAACUCGUGUAGUGAAGUUUCGAUUCCAAAAUGAGCCUAUACCAGAGUGGAAGGAAGGGGGGGAUUCUAUGCCUAGAGGUCGAGUUGUUUCUUAUCUUAAAUCUAGGAAAAUGUUGUCCAAGGAUUGUAUGUGAUACGCUCAAAAUACACCUCCCUAAAUAAGUAUAAGAAAUCAUUAUCAAGUAAAGAACCUAACUUGUAGGUUGGGGUCGAUCCCAUGAGGAAUAUGGUUUAGACUUAACUUUAACACACAAUUAUAUAUAUUUAGUCAAAUUAUUUCCGAGGAAAGUAAACAGGGGGGAUUUUGUAAGUAAGUUACAACUGAAGUAAGAAGUAAACAAAAUUCAGACUUUGAGUUAUCAAUAUGAGAAAGAAAGUAGGGUAUAUGUGUUCUCCACAAGCUCUUAAUGUGGUAAUCCUAACAAUAGUAAUGCUUUCCUAGUGUUUUAAAUGCAAAAUUGGUAAGUUAGGUAUCCCUAAGUGAUUGGUCCUCCAAGAAGGAAAUCUCAGCAAGCAACUUGGUCCGUAUACGGAUGUGUGGUUUACUAACCCUUAUCUUUACCCCAGAUUAGUCAUCAUAAUAAUGUAGAUUAGUUUUAACCCUCACUCCAAUUGACAUCAAACUAUUAGAUGUCGUCCACUAAAUCUCUUUUGUUAAUUCUUUUCUCAUUCACUACCUCUUUGGUACGAUAAGUAGAGACGAGGCGAGUUCUAACGUUGCACACUGUUUAGAAGACUUCUAAGCGAAAGAAUUAACAAUACAUGCAUAAACACUAUUCAUGAAUUACAUAAUUAUUAUUCAAACUUUGUUAAUUAAUCAUGGUUCCCACUACCCUAGUUAUGGAUUUACCUACUCAUGCUUUACAGUUCACAAAUUAAUAAUUAGAUACGAAGAAUUCAUGAACAUACAAGUAGAAUUGAUGAAACCUGAAAUCUUCAAUUGAAAUUCAAAGGGAAAAUUAUACAAAACAAAAUUCGGAGAGUUAAUUGCUAUGGUUAGACAAAUUAAUUCCCAAAGAACAAAACUUAGAUGUAUACAAUGAUGUCUAACCCCAAACGAGGAUUACAACUCCUAUUUAUAGAAAACAAAUCUUAAAUUAAAUGGGAAACAAAAUAAGGAAAUAAACAGCUGAAACGCAGUUUCUGUCGACCCUUUGACCUAUAGACCAUGGGUCGACCUACGGUCCAUAGGUCCCCUUCCGUUGCUCGAAACUUGGAAAAAUUCAUUAGGUACUAGAACCUUCAACAGCCAGAUCACCAUCGACGGUUGUGCAGGACGGGCCGUGGGUUGACUUACAGUCCGUCAUCUGCUCUGUGGUUCCACACUUUGUCUGACUUCCCUGAUCUUCCACCUAUGCUGCAUCACAUAUGGUUUGUGGACUGGACUACGAUCCAUCCUGGAACUUUGUGGACUAAGUACUGGAACUCAACUCCCAGACCAAGACCUACGACUGCCCCUCCACGACCCGUCGUUGGACCUACGAUCUAUUGGUGGCUACUUUUGCACUUUUCAGCUCACAUCUUCAUCAACCGAAUCCAAGCCUCUUUCCCGCAAGAAUUAUACACGAAACAUUAUUCCUAAUAACAAAAUAGCCCAAGAAACACACGAACUCUAAGUGAAAUGCAUCAAAAAUACCGUAAACUCAUGAUAUAUCAGUAUGUAUCACAUAGUGAGGGUGAGUGAUAUGGAUUCCGAAGUCCCUAGUCUUGAGUCGGUCCCCAUUGUUAAUGAGUUUCCAGAAAUAUUUCCUGACGAUUUGCCCGGUAUUCCUCCAUAAAGGCAAAUAGACAUUGGUAUUGAGCUUCUCUAGGAUUCACAACCUAUCGCUAUUCCACCUUAUGGAAUUGCUACGGUGGAAUUUAAGGAGUUGAAAUAACAUUUGAAGGAUCUCUUGGAUAAAGGUUUCAACUGAUCGAGUAUCUCUCCUUAGGUGCUCAGGUCUUAUUUGUUAAGAGGAAAGAUGGGUCCCUUCCUAUGUGUAUUGAUUGUCUACAAUUGAACAAGGUGACCAUUAAGAAUAAGUAUCCUCUUCCAAGGAUUGAUGAUUUUUGUUAUCAACUUCAAAGGGCAAGUUAUUUCUCUAAAAUUGAUCUCUGGUCAGGUUAUCACCAAUUGACGGUGAAAAAUGAAGAUAUUCCAAAAAGGGUUUUUAGGACCCGAUAUGGCCAUUAUGAGUUCUUAGUGAUGUCCUUUGGUUUGACUAACACUCUGUCGACAUUUAUGGACUUGAUGAAUAGAGUGUUCCGACAUUAUCUUGACAUGUUUGUGAUAGUCUUUAUCGGUGAUAUUUUGAUCUAUUCAAGGAAUGAGAAUGAUCAUAAGGAUUAUUUGAGGAUCGUAUUGCAAAUCCUCAAGGACCAAUAACUUUUCGCAAAGUUUAGUAAAUGUGAAUUUUGGUUGAGGUAUGUGGCCUUCUUAGGCCAUAUUGUUUCAAACAAGGGUAUUGAAGGGUAUCCAAUUAAGACAAAUGCGAUCAAGAGUUAACCUAAACCUCUAUCACCGACAAAUAUUAGAAGCAUCUUGGGUUUGGCCUUUUAUUAUAGAAGGUUUGUGGAGGGAUUUUCCUCCAUUGCUUCUCCUUUGACGGCCUUUAUUCAAAAGAAGGCUAAGUUCAUAUGGUCGGAUGCUUGUGAGAAGAGUUGAAAGAUAGGCUUACUUUCGCUCCAGUGUUGACUUUAUCGGAUGGUAAAAAUGGUUUUGUAGUAUAUUGUUAUGCCUCUAGAGUUGGAUUGGGAUGUAUAAUUAUGCAAAAUGGUAAGGUGAUUGCCUAUACUUCAAGGCAACUUAAGGAUCAUGGGAAGAACUAUCCCACCCACGACCUCGAAUUGACGGCAGUGGUAUUUUUCUUAAAGAUUUGGAAGCAUUAUUUGUAUGGGGUACAUGUUGAUGUUUUCACCGACCUUAAGAGUUUACAAUAUGUGUUUACCCAAAAAGAUCUAAAUUUUCUCCAAAGAAGGUGUCUUUAGUUAUUGAAGGAUUAUGACAUGAGUGUUCUUUAUCACCCCGUCAAAGCUAAUGUAGUAGCGGAUGCCCUUAGUAGGUUGUACACGGGUAGUGUUUCUCACAUUGAUGAGGAUAAGAAAGGAUUGGUACGAGAUGUACAUAGAUUGGCCCGUUUGGGUGUUCGGUUAGUAGAUUCUACCAAGGGUGGUGUCAUUGUUCAUAAUGGUUCCGAAUCAUCUUUUGUGAGUGAUAUGAAAGCUAAGCAAUGUCUAGACCCGAUAUUGGGAGAAUUGAAAGAAGUUGUAGUCAAGAAGUCCAUUGAGGCUUUCUCUCAAGGGGGAGAUGGGGUACUUAGAUACCAAGGUCAUUUAUGUGUUCCGAAUGUAGAUGACGUAAUGGAACAUUUUUUUGCAGAAGCUGAUAGUUCUCAAUAUUCCAUUCACCCGAGAGCUACCAAGAUGUACCGUGAUUUACGGGAAGUCUAUUGGUGGAAUGGGAUGAAGAGGGAUAAUGCGGCAUUUGUGGCUAAAUGUCCAAAUUGCCAACAAGUAAAGGUUGAGCAUCAGAAACCGGGAGGUUUAUUUCAAGAUAUUAGCAUUCCUACUUGGAAGUGGGAAGAUAUGAAUAUGGACUUUAUAGUAGGGUUGCCACACACUCGUGUCACGACCCGAGAGCACCCCCUAGUCGUAACCGGCGUACUCGACCUCUCGGAGGUCUAAUACAAGCCUCUUAGCAUUCAUUCAUCGCAUAACACUAAAAACAUAAUGAAUUUAAAACUUUCUUUACCAAGAAAACAUUUAAUUAAAAAAUAGCAAGCGGAAGACUUUCUAGACUUUAUACAUGAUGUCUCAUAACCAUCUAAUACUUUAGAGUACAAAAUUCGGGACUAAUCCCGUACACAACUUAAACAAUACUAAAAAGACAUAAAAGAACAUAUUGGGUAUUGUCCUCGAAUCUAUGAGGACUCACCAAGUCUUCAUCUUCAACACUUAGAAACCUAUCAAAGCCAUGACAUGUCAUCAUCUCCAAAUCCCUACACUUUAGUUAAAAAGGGAAAGAAAGGGGUUAGCACAAUUAAGUACUAAGUAUGGAGACCAUGCAAAAACAUGCCAAAAAGGACAUUUUCAAGGAAGUAAAUGCUUUCAUAUCAUUUUGAUAAAACCUUCACUUCACAAGUAUAAGAGACAUAAUACAAGUCAACAUUAACAUAUAAGACCAUAGCCAACCAUACAUAUACUCAACAUAAAUCCACAUACAACCCAUGCUUAACUUUAAAAGAACACAUGUCAUUUCAUAACCAUAAGACCUCUACCUAAUAUAACCUUAAGACACACUUGAGUGAGACAAGAAGUGACCGCCCAUACAACCUCUUCAAGCACACUUAAGUGUUCCCCAAGAUUACCUUAGAUAAGGACAUUUCAUUUACAACAUAACAUCAAUAGACCAACAUUCUUUAAGAAACCAUUUUGGAGACAUUCAAGCACAUAAGGGGACUUUCACAUAAUAGUCGUUAGACUUAGGGAACUCACUUUAGUAUCUUCAAAGCCUACUCGUGCCAUGUGUAGAUAGCAUCCCAUACUACUACCUACACGUUGUAGAACCUAUCCAAUAACUAGAGUGCACAUCCCACAUGAUGGGAAUAGGCAUAACCGACAUAGACCAUACUAGCUAGGCAUGGAAUCCGGAGUCUAGCCUACUCCGUGGAGGUUGUUCUACUUGCCAAAGGUAGAACUAGUAAGCAACCCAUGUAGGCACAUGGUUAAGGGAUGUCCAAGGAAGUUCAUUGUGCCUAAUCUCAUACUCAACUAGGCCACCUUCCUAACCACAUCCACUCGGUGCUAGCCUUGUUUCCCAUAGAGUAUUCAAUCACAUAUGUACUUAGAGAAGGUUCCUUUUCUAGUUCAACCAACUCAUAGUACCUCUUCCCAAGAAAGGCCCCAUUUCUUAGUCAUGGCCAAUCAAGGUUCAUAAGGAUAGCUCAUUAAAUCCCCCUAGAAGGGUGCCUUAGGCCUACCGAUCCAAGGUUCAUCAUUUCACACAUGAGAAGGGCUACCACCAUUAGGUCUACCGAUUUCAUGGUUUUACAUUUACUUAGGAAAGCUAGACUUAUGAAAGGGCACCAUUUCUUAGUUUUGCCCAUUUCACACAUUCAUGCAUUCAAGACUUUAAGUAACAAGGAGGGACACUUUAGUCUACCAACCAAGUCACAACAUUUUCAUUUAAGGAUACUUCAUAAUCCAACAUCAUUUCAUAUAUACAUCAUGAGAAAUCAUACUUUAACUCACAAUGCUAUCCACUUUACAUAGGAUCAUCACAAGAUCACAUAAACUCAUUCACAUCAUACCUUCACAUAUAGCUUCACAUAAAACUCAUUCACAUCAUUCCUUCACAUAUAGCUUCACAUAAAACUCAUUCACAUCAUUCCUUCACAUAUAGCUUCACAUAAAACUCAUUCACAUCAUUCCUUCACAUAUAGCUUCACAUAAAACUCAUUCACAUCAUUCCUUCACAUAUAGCUUCACAUAAAACUCAUUCACAUCAUUCCUUCACAUAUAGCUUCACAUAAAACUCAUUCACAUCAUUCCUUCACAUAUAGCUUCACAUAAAACUCAUUCACAUCAUUCCUUCACAUAUAGCUUCACAUAAAACUCAUUCACAUCAUUCCUUCACAUAUAGCUUCACAUAAAACUCAUUCACAUCAUUCCUUCACAUAUAGCUUCACAUAAAACUCAUUCACAUCAUUCCUUCACAUAUAGCUUCACAUAAAACUCAUUCACAUCAUUCCUUCACAUAUAGCUUCACAUAAAACUCAUUCACAUCAUUCCUUCACAUAUAGCUUCACAUAAAACUCAUUCACAUCAUUCCUUCACAUAUAGCUUCACAUAAAACUCAUUCACAUCAUUCCUUCACAUAUAGCUUCACAUAAAACUCAUUCACAUCAUACCUUCACAUAUAGCUUCACAUAAAACUCAUUCACAUCAUUCCUUCACAUAUAGCUUCACAUAAAACUCAUUCACAUCAUUCCUUCACAUAUAGCUUCACAUAAAACUCAUUCACAUCAUUCCUUCACAUAUAGCUUCACAUAAAACUCAUUCACAUCAUUCCUUCACAUAUAGCUUCACAUAAAACUUAUUCACAUCAUACCUUCACAUAUAGCUUCAUAUAGGACUUUACAUAUAGCCUCAUUCAUAUAUAAUAAUAUAACAAUACAAUAACACUCAUAUAAUGCCUUCAAGGCCAUAAUCAAUACACAUUCAAUAAGUACACACCUCCACCAUAAGUGGAUCAAUCCAAACAAGAACAAUUUCAAUAUAGCAUGAAAGUAGGUCAACUUACCAUUCUCCAAAGCCAUAAUCACCAUUAUCCAAUUCUCAACAAUUCUAACAUCACAAGAGAAUUUACCCAUGACUUGCCUACAAGGCCAUAAUUCUCAACUCAUCCAUACACCAACAAUCCACCAACAAUAGAUAUAGAUAACAAUAGGAAUCAAUAAUACAAUUCAAUCUAAGUACAAUUCCAUCAAUACCCAAGCAUUAUCAUAAAACCCACUUCAUAAGCCAAACUUAGAGAUUUAAGGAGAUCAUGGGUCCAUGGAGUAUUUUCAUCUUAAAUCGUCAAUACAACAACAAUAUAACCAUAAAGUGCCAUUAGAAACCUUUUAAAACCAUUUGGUGGAAGAACCCAUGAGAUAGAGUGAAACCUAGAUUUUUCAUACUUUGAAAUAACUUUGGAUUUGGCUCCUUGAAUGGAAAUUUAGACAAGGAUCAAGACCACCAUACCUUUGCUAUGAUCUCCCACGAAAUUUGAUGAAGAAAGCCUUGAAUCCAAAGCCCUAGCUCCCACUUCUUCUUCUUAAUGGAGGAUUGUAGAGAGGGAAAUGUUUUAGGGAUGGGAAUUGAACUAAUGGUAUCUAGGAAAUAAUAUAUGUCAUUUGGAAGAAUGGUCCAACACUUAGAAAAAAAAAGAGGUGGGUGAACAGUAAUUUCGGUCACUGGAAAUUUGCAUUUCCUGCCGGACAGAUUUUACGAAAAUGGGCAUAACUUCUUCGUCCGAACUCCGAAUGAGGUAAAACGAAGUGAGUUAGGUAGCUAACUCAAAGGGCUUUCCAUGGAUAUAUUAUUGGCCACCCAAAUAAUUUGUGUGCUAGGAGAUAUGACCCUCCAAAGUAGACCCUCGAAAAAGGCUUCACUUGGAAAUUUCGGAUUUUGAUACGGUUGCUCUAAAAUUUGGGUUAGACCCAUUUCCCACUCAAUUUGACCCCCUAAACAAGAAUAUGAAGUCGGAUUUUCGAAAAACGAAACGGAUCUUUUUAUAUACAGCUAAACAAGUUUCCGGUAACUUCCGAAGCACAUUUUUAAGAACUUUUUGGGGUCAAAUUCAAUUAUAACCAUUUCAUUAAGUUCUCGACUCCAAACUCACAUGUGAGACUCUAGUUUCACUCUAUCAUUUUCCGAGUCGUUACAACAACAACCAAAUAGAGUAUGCCUGCACAACAAUAAAAACUCAGCGUAUCGCCACACCCCUCUUUUCCAACCCAAAAUAACCAUAACCAAAUCCUAACCACGAGUCUUCAAACCAUUAAAUCCAUAAAAAUAUGUAUAAUACAGUUUUAUAAUUGUUCAAUAUAACCAUAAUAACUUGAACUCGCCGCUUCCAAUCAUCAUCCUAUACGUUCGUCCAAUAAUUACAUUUGGAGUCAUGUCUUUCUCUUCAUAUGCAAUAAGAGCUUAAAAGGACAAAACCUAAACUUAAACUUGAUGGAUCUUGCAGUACAUUAACUUGUCUUGUCAAUAACAAACAGUCUCCUUAAACGCAAGACGUUGAACCAAGAAGAAACAAUUUGAAAAUUGCAAUGCAAUAAUUGAACCAGCGUUACACUAAUUUAUGUUACAAUAAAUAUCCAUCUAUACUUCUUCUUCUCUUCCAAACUCAAAUCAACAAGAACCACACACAUACAAAGCAUUUCCAAAAAUAUUCCAGCAACAANNNNNNNNNNNNNNNNNNNNNNNNNNNNNNNNNNNNNNNNNNNNNNNNNNNNNNNNNNNNNNNNNNNNNNNNNNNNNNNNNNNNNNNNNNNNNNNNNNNNNNNNNNNNNNNNNNNNNNNNNNNNNNNNNNNNNNNNNNNNNNNNNNNNNNNNNNNNNNNNNNNNNNNNNNNNNNNNNNNNNNNNNNNNNNNNNNNNNNNNNNNNNNNNNNNNNNNNNNNNNNNNNNNNNNNNNNNNNNNNNNNNNNNNNNNNNNNNNNNNNNNNNNNNNNNNNNNNNNNNNNNNNNNNNNNNNNNNNNNNNNNNNNNNNNNNNNNNNNNNNNNNNNNNNNNNNNNNNNNNNNNNNNNNNNNNNNNNNNNNNNNNNNNNNNNNNNNNNNNNNNNNNNNNNNNNNNNNNNNNNNNNNNNNNNNNNNNNNNNNNNNNNNNNNNNNNNNNNNNNNNNNNNNNNNNNNNNNNNNNNNNNNNNNNNNNNNNNNNNNNNNNNNNNNNNNNNNNNNNNNNNNNNNNNNNNNNNNNNNNNNNNNNNNNNNNNNNNNNNNNNNNNNNNNNNNNNNNNNNNNNNNNNNNNNNNNNNNNNNNNNNNNNNNNNNNNNNNNNNNNNNNNNNNNNNNNNNNNNNNNNNNNNNNNNNNNNNNNNNNNNNNNNNNNNNNNNNNNNNNNNNNNNNNNNNNNNNNNNNNNNNNNNNNNNNNNNNNNNNNNNNNNNNNNNNNNNNNNNNNNNNNNNNNNNNNNNNNNNNNNNNNNNNNNNNNNNNNNNNNNNNNNNNNNNNNNNNNNNNNNNNNNNNNNNNNNNNNNNNNNNNNNNNNNNNNNNNNNNNNNNNNNNNNNNNNNNNNNNNNNNNNNNNNNNNNNNNNNNNNNNNNNNNNNNNNNNNNNNNNNNNNNNNNNNNNNNNNNNNNNNNNNNNNNNNNNNNNNCUAUCAUCAUUCAAUCACAAACAAUAAUCCCACUUCAUAUGCCAACUUUUGGAAAUUUGCAAAGACAUGGGUUCAUGGAAUUUCCUUUCUUAAAACCAUCAAUAAUAACAUAAAUUAUCAUUAAAAACAUUUAAUGCAAGAACCCAUGUUAGAAUUCAAAAUUAGGAUAUUGAGUUUUUGAACAACUUUUGAAAUCUUUUGGAUUGACUCUUUGAUUGAAGAAGGAAUCAAAGAUGAAGAGUCCCCAUACCUUAAUAUUGAAAAGCCGACGAAAAUCGAUGAAAGAAGCCUCCAAUUUGAAACCCUAGUUCUUCACCCUUCUUCUUCCUUGAACUUGAGAGAAAUAUUUGAGAGAGGGAAUGAUUUUAGGGAUGGGAAUGAACUAAAGGUAUAUAGGAAAUAAUAUAUGUCAUUUGAAAAAAAUGGUCCAACACUAGAAAAAUUUUGAGGCGGGUGAACAGUAAUAUGAACAGUAAAUUCGCUACUGGAGUUGCCGUUUUUCUGCCGGACCGAUUUUACGAAAAUGGGCAUAACUUCUUCGUCCAAUCUCCGAAUGAGGUGAAACGAAGUGCAUUAGAUAGCUAACUCAAAGGGCUUUCCAUNNNNNNNNNNNNNNNNNNNNNNNNNNNNNNNNNNNNNNNNNNNNNNNNNNNNNNNNNNNNNNNNNNNNNNNNNNNNNNNNNNNNNNNNNNNNNNNNNNNNNNNNNNNNNNNNNNNNNNNNNNNNNNNNNNNNNNNNNNNNNNNNNNNNNNNNNNNNNNNNNNNNNNNNNNNNNNNNNNNNNNNNNNNNNNNNNNNNNNNNNNNNNNNNNNNNNNNNNNNNNNNNNNNNNNNNNNNNNNNNNNNNNNNNNNNNNNNNNNNNNNNNNNNNNNNNNNNNNNNNNNNNNNNNNNNNNNNNNNNNNNNNNNNNNNNNNNNNNNNNNNNNNNNNNNNNNNNNNNNNNNNNNNNNNNNNNNNNNNNNNNNNNNNNNNNNNNNNNNNNNNNNNNNNNNNNNNNNNNNNNNNNNNNNNNNNNNNNNNNNNNNNNNNNNNNNNNNNNNNNNNNNNNNNNNNNNNNNNNNNNNNNNNNNNNNNNNNNNNNNNNNNNNNNNNNNNNNNNNNNNNNNNNNNNNNNNNNNNNNNNNNNNNNNNNNNNNNNNNNNNNNNNNNNNNNNNNNNNNNNNNNNNNNNNNNNNNNNNNNNNNNNNNNNNNNNNNNNNNNNNNNNNNNNNNNNNNNNNNNNNNNNNNNNNNNNNNNNNNNNNNNNNNNNNNNNNNNNNNNNNNNNNNNNNNNNNNNNNNNNNNNNNNNNNNNNNNNNNNNNNNNNNNNNNNNNNNNNNNNNNNNNNNNNNNNNNNNNNNNNNNNNNNNNNNNNNNNNNNNNNNNNNNNNNNNNNNNNNNNNNNNNNNNNNNNNNNNNNNNNNNNNNNNNNNNNNNNNNNNNNNNNNNNNNNNNNNNNNNNNNNNNNNNNNNNNNNNNNNNNNNNNNNNNNNNNNNNNNNNNNNNNNUAGACCCAUUUCCCACUCAAUUUGACCCCCCUAAACAAGAAUAUGAAGUCGGAUUUUCGAAAAACGAAACGAAUCUUUUUAUAUGCAGCUAAACAAGUUUUCGGAAUCUUCCGAAGCUCAUUUUUAAGAACUUUUUGGGUCAAAUUCAAAUAUAAUCAUUUCAUUAAGUUCUCGACUCUAAACUCACAUGUGAGGCUCUAGUUUCACUCUAUCAUUUUCCGAGUCGUUACAACUCGGCACCAAUAUGAUUAGAUUUGGGUUAUAGUAGACCGAAUGAUGAAAUCGGCUCAUUUCAUCCCCGUCAAGGUUUCUUAUGCGGUGAAAGACUAUGCUAAGUUAUAUUUGAGGGAAAUGGUAAGAUUUCAUGGUGUACCGUUGUCCAUUAUAUCUGAUAGAGGUACUUCGUUUACUUCUCAGUUUUGGAAAUCAUUCCAAAAAGGUCUUGGCAUAAAAGUGAAGUUUAGCACGACUUUUCACCCACAACCUGAUGGGCAGGCGGAGCAAACAAUCCAAAAUUUAGAGGAUAUAUUGAGUUCAUGUGUCAUCGAUUUCAAGGUAAGUUAGGAUGAUCACUUGCCAUUGAUAAAGUUUGCUUAUAAUAAUAGCUACCAUUCUAGUAUUGGUAUGGCCCCCUUUGAAGAACUUUAUGGUAGGAGGUGUAUAUUUCCAAUAGGGUGGUUUGACGUGGGUGAAGUUUCCUUAAUUGGACACGAGCUAGUUCAUGCGGCUAUGGAAAAGGUCCAGCUUAUUAGAGAGAGGUUGAGGACCUCCCUAAGCCGACAAAAGUCCUAUGCCGAUGUUAGUGAUGAGUCCACAAAUUGGACUCAUUUAGGCCUAUAUUUUGAUAGAAUUAGCGUCCUCAAAUGCAUAUUUAAUCUAAAUAUCUAAUGAAACCCCUUAAGUUUCAGGUAUUUGGAGUUUGAGGCAAAGCAUGGACACUACUUGUCAAAAAGGAACAAUGUGGCUGAUAAGAAAGAAGAAAUGAAGGCAUGAGGAUCGCCGAGCCCAGUUGGCGAGUCGCUGAUCGUCCUGGAGAUCGCCUUUUGUUCUGGUGUGUUGAGCCCUGAAGGGAAAGAUCAGGUUGGCGAUGAAAUGGAGCAGUCGGCGUGUUACCGAAUAGUUCGGUGAAGUAGUACCAUAUCACCCAACGAAUCAAAGCAUGAAGAUGCUGAAGGAUAAACCAAGAAGGCGAUGAAAUCGACCAAAAGGUGCAUCACCGAGUGUAUCGGUGAUCCAGACUAACUUCGCCGAGUGAUCCGCUGCAGAACAAAAUUUUCAAACACUAUAAAUAAUUGUUUAAAAAUCUAACUUAACAUCAUAUCACUAUUAUUAUUAGAACCUUUUUACAGUUUUUGAGAGAGUCUAUGUUUUAGAGUGUUUUGGAGACUUCAUUUUAAGACCUUGAAGAUUCACAGUGUUUCAACUCCAAGAAAUUGGACUUGGAUCUUGAAGAUUCUUCACUCUUGACGUGUUUUAAGACUUAAUUCUUCAUACCCAGUUGAUGGAAACUAAUAUUGGUAUUGAUUUUUACCUCUUUUACAUGUCUAGCUAAAACCCUAAUUCUUGGGGGUGUGAUUUUGUGAAUAUGGGUUAGAUUAUCUGUUGGGUCUUGCUUGUUGAUGGUUUAUUUGUUGUUUAAAUGUGAUUCCAUUUAGUAGUUGUGUAUGAACCUAAUGGGAUUGUAGUUGCAAAUACGAAUUCAUCUUAGUAUUUUUGUCUUACUCGAGAGAGAGGUCGUAAAACUAAGACUACUAAACUAAUAGCCGGUGGUAUUGGGUUGACAUGGGUUUAGCUCGAGAGAGUGACCCUAGUCCUUUUCCCACACAUUCAUCUCGAGAGAGUGAAUAGGCUAAGGCGUAGGGUGUGCUUAAUGCGGCAAAUCGGUGUUCGAGAGAAAUCAAGUUGAUUCGGAGUAAGUUGCUCGAGAGAGAAUUUACCCCCACUAUAGUCUAGCUUAGUCACAAAAACUGAACAAUUUACUAUCAAAAGCAUGUACCCGAUAAUUUAGUCUAUCCCGUAUUCCAAUCACAUCCCAAGAAUUCCAUCUCUCUAUCUCGUUUUCGUAUAGUUUUGUUGUUUUUAGUUGUUAAUUAUUACAAAACUCCCCAUUGAUAAUUGAUGCUUGCGUCACCCCUCUAAUUUACUAUGUUUUUAUUCUAUAAUGUUUUUAGCUAUGACAAAUUAGAACUAGAUUUUAUUUUUGUAUUAAGUCUCAAAACCACUCCCUGUGGGAACCAUUCUAACUCUUGGUUGGGUUAUAUCACUACAGGCGAUCGUAUGUCACUUGAAACGAACUAGUGUCAGUUGAUUACGUCCUCAAAAUAUCAAAAUGGUGACGUUGCUAGGGAGUGGUGUUCUUAGAGAAUUUUUAGUUAAGUAGGAUUUUCGUUCUCGUUAGUCAUAGUUUACUAACUUUAUUUUUAGUUUUAUUUUUCUUUCUUUGAGUUGUUGGUAUAGGCAGAUACCCUGAGCAUGGCUAAGGGAAAUGGUGACAAAUUGGUUGCGGCGAAGCAAGAGUUCGAGAGGGAUUUCAAAUUAACCGCACUCGUAACUCAGCUGAACGAUUUGGCCACCAAAAUAUCAGAGGUGGAAGACCAGUGUAGAAGUAAAGGGAGGUACAUAACCCCUCAUGAGAGGAAAAGGUCUAGAGACAGGAAGAACAGUAGUGUCGAGGAUACACUACAAAUCAUUCUCCAAAAGAUCACUGAACAAGAUUGAGUGCUAGAAGAGAUGCAGGAGAAAAUUGAAGUGUUAAAUCAGAUGAUUGGCUCUCAUUCUAGGUCUAUCCAGCUGAUCAAGACACUCAUAAGUUAUGCAGUGCCUCCUCUUCACUCAAAUGAACUAUUGGGGUUACCUAAUAACACUAGGGCCAGCCCCAAUGAUGGAGAGUGAGGAAAAGACUUGCGUCGUGCCACAACGUUAACUAAGGCGCUAUUUGAGAGGCAACCCAAAACCCUUUUUUUUCCUUUUUAUUUGUGUUUUGUUAAAAUAAUGUUGUGUUGUUUUUACAGGUUGAAGUGUGGAAAGAGCUCGAAAAGGUGCAGGAUGGUGAACAACAGGUCCAGGCGGCAAGGCGCCGAAGAGGUUGGUGAACUCGACCUAAUCCGUUGUUUGACUCAAGACAUCUUCAAAUUGGAGUCUGUAAAACUCAGCGAACCAAGGGAAAUUAUUGGGGAAUCGCCGACCAUGUCGGCGAUCCCGACGAAGACCGCCAUUUGGACUCCCACAACAAUUGGAGAUCCUGUAAAAUUCAACUAGCAAAUUAACCACCCGUCGUGUCGCCGAAUGGCUCGGCGAGCAUGACUAAAGUCACCGAGUGGGCGAGAACUGGACAGUUUUUGUAGUCCAGAGGUUUAAAAGUUGAAAACUCGUUCACUUUCCCUCACUUUUUAUCUGCCCAAACUCACACCUGCACUCUAUUUUCAAUAUCCCUACACUUUUGGAGUAUGAUUUAUGUUCGGGACUUGGUUUACAUUGCUGCCUAGCAAUUCAAUUCCACUUUAGUUACCACAAAAGGUUGGUUCCCAAACUCUGAGUUCUUUCUAUCAAUUUUGUACUCAUUGCAAUGAUAUUACCUUGUUGAUGUGUGUUAAGCCUCUCUGGUAGGACUAAAUUUUUUGUUUGCAUGUGAGAGUCACUAAUCUUGCUCGUACCGAGUUAAAUACUCAAUUCCUAAAAGUUGUACCUUAAAGCAGAUGAAAAAUUGAGUGUUGUACAUGAGUGUCAUUGGGUCUAAGUCUAAUUUGAGUUGUACAUGCCUUGAUUUUGUCUUUGGGGGUCGGGGCGUAGAAUUCGGGAAAUUGGGUUGAAAAUAGGCACUUUGGGUAGGUCAGCUCGCCAAACCACUCGGCGUUUCGCCUAAUGUCCCCAUCUCACCUUUAAUUUCAUGCAAAAUAUGAUGUUGGAUUCUGUAACUUUCGGCGAGAGCCUGAGGUCAUCGAACACACUCGGCGUCUUGCCAAAUUACUUCUUGUUCACCCUUUGUAUGCACCCUUGUAUUCUCUGUGCACUGCACUCGGUGUAUCGCCUAAGUGGGUGAAUGGUUCAACAACUAGUUCGGCGGAGUUUUUCUUCAGCUGAACUUCUAUUCUUUUUGUUGGGACAUUUUCUAACUCUUUCUCAUAGCUUUGCAGAUAUGGCUAGACCAGAAGUAGCUGGAAGAAAUAGGCCACCCCGACAGGUAACAGCGAAAAAUUUCAGGAAAGAUACAAGUGAAGCGAAUACUCCCAAGACAGGAAGUAAGGGCAAAAAGCCUAGUUCAAGCAAGAGAUCUAUCCCCCGAGAUCCCAUUGUCCCUUCGUGGAUUCUACAAAGCUAUACAUUCCUUUUUGGUGGCACAUGACUUGGACAAUUUUAACAAGUCAGUUACCGCUGAACCUUCUGAAGUAGCUCCGGGACUAUUAUCCAAGUACAAGCUGACACAUCGGGCACUGAUGCCCAGACAGAUGGAGCAACUGCUUAGACAGGAUUCCCUCUUUACCCCCCCUCUCUGUCUUUGUUCUUUAUUUUAAAUUCUGGAUAUUAUGUUAGUUGCAUUUGAGGACAAAUAUUUUUAAUUGUGGUGGGGUGUGGCCCACCUUUUUCUGCUUUAUUUCUUGUUGGGUUGUGAAUCAUAAUGUUGUGUUUUACACUGCUUUUUGUGGAAUGUUUGAGCUUCUGGCUCCUUUUAUUUUAAUUGCAAAUGAUUUUGACCCUUUCGAAAAAUUUUAAAUUUUUGCCACCUCUUGUAUGUACUUGAUAGUGGUUGUUCUUUAGCAAAUUUAUGUCUCGGUUUUGAUCAAAAUCGAUGACUUCAAUAGUGCUCAUAAUUAAACAAACAUGAAUGUACGACUACGAUGAGACCAAAAGAAGUUGCAUAGACAAUAUUUGAACUCUUUGCAUCUCAUUAUGAUUAGCCAUGUAUCAAAUUGAUUCUCUUGCGAUGAACAUUGUACACUAGCGAAAGUGUGUAGUCUUGUUUGACUUUAGUGUCGAUGCUUUGUGUGAUGAGCUUACUGUGAACUUUGCAUGAUAAAACCUAGAAUUUACCCCAUUGGUACGGUUAACUAAGUAAGGCUAUCUCUUGAUAUGAUCUUAGGCAACUUCGAAGAGUGUGAGCCAAUUUGACAUAUACCUCUUUUGUCGCCUACCUUGUGAGUGUGUGAACCUCUCUUGAAUACCCCUUGAACCUUACCUUUAUUUGGAAGAAACUUGAUGACAACAUGACCUUUCUUGACCUAUUACCCUUAAUCCUCAUGAAUUGUGGUUGAUUGAAUAGCCAAUUUAGGCCAAAAGCCUAAGUUGGCGGUGUGGUGAAAAGAAAAGGGAAAGUCAAGAAGUGCAAAGAAAGUCUCCUUUAACUCAUGGUAUUGAGAAAAAUGGAACCCCUCCAUACAAAAAAGAGAGAAAAGAAAAAGAAUGAAAAAGAAAAGUUGUGGAAUAAAGUUGAAAAAUACAAAAGAAAUGGGGUUCCAGAACAAUCCAUGGAGAGUGAAUAAUAGGAUGACUUACGAGCACUAAAGAAAAUGAUGAAAGGAGAGGAAAGGAAGAGUUGUGAGCACCACAUUUCAUGAGGAUGAAAGUCACUGAGCCUGAAUGACCAUACCUUUGCACUCAGCCCCAUUACAAGCUCUGUAAAUACAUUUUUUUAUCUUAAGUGAGCUGAAACAAAUGUCGACUGGAAAAUACGGGUAAACCUAUGGUUGAAAGCAUGCAUAAUGUUCUUCUUUUUGAGAGACUGAGUGUUGCAUUUGAUUUCGAAGAUUUAAAUGAUUAAACCUUUUUGUUUGAAUAUGGAAUCAUCCUUUGUGUGAGGGCAUUCAAAUACUUUUGUUGAGCUUGAGCUUGCAUUUGAAGCAAGGAUUGCCAGCUUGAGAAUCUUUAGUAAUGGUAUGUCACAACUUGAAUCUUUGGGUACACAAUUGAUCCUUGCAUGAGUAAAUUGAGUCUUGUUGUGUACAUUCAUCAUCUAGUCUUGUGUAGCACUAUUUGAGACAUCCUUUUUGAACUGUUGAACUUGAGUUUUACUUGAGGACAAGCAAAAGUUGAAGUUGGGGUGUUGAUUAGUCCACAAAUUGGACUCAUUUAGGGCUAUAUUUUGAUAGAAUUAGUGCCCUCAAAUGCAUAUUUUGUCUCAAUAUCUUAUGAAAAUCCUUAAGUGUCAGGUAUUUGUAGUUUGAGGCAAAGCAUUGACACUACUUGGCAAACAGGAACAAGGCAGCUGAAAAGAAAGAAGAAAUAAAGGCCUAAGGAUCACUGAGCCCAGUUGGCGAGUCGCCGAUCGGCCUGGAGAUUGCCUUUUAUUCCAGUGUGCUGAGCCUGGAAGGGAAUGAUCAAGUUGGCGAUGAAAUGGAGCAGUCUGCAUGUUGCCGAGUAGUUCCACGAAGCAGUACCAUAUCGCCCGACGACUCAAAGUGCGAGGAGGCUGAAGGCAAAAGCAAGAAGGUGAUGAAAUCGACCAAAAGGCGGAUCGCUAAGUGUAUCGGCGAUCCUGACUAACUGCACCGAGUGAUCCGCUGCAGCACAAAUUUUAAAACACUAUAAAUACUUGUUUAAAUUCUAGCUUAACAUCAUAUCACUAUUAUUAUUAGAACUUUUUACAGUUUUUGAAAGAGUCUAAGUUUUAGAGGGUUUCGAGACUUUGUUCUAAGACCUUGAAGAUUCAAAGGGUUUCAACUCCAAGAAAUUGGACUUGGGUCUUGAAGAUUCUUCACUCUUGACGUGUUUUAAGACUUAAUUCUUCAUAUCCAGUUGAUGGAAACUAAUAUUGGUAUUGAUUUUUACCUCUUUUACACUUCUAGCUAAAACCCCAAUUCUUGGGGUGUGAUGAUGUGAAUAUGGGUUAGAUUAUCUGUUGGGUCUUGCUUGUUGAUGGUUUAUUUGUUGUUUAAAUGUGAUUUCGUUUAGUAGUUGUGUAUGAACUUAAUGGGAUUGUAGUUGCAAAUACGAUUUCAUCUUAGUGUUUUUGGCUUGCUAGAAAGAGAGGUCGUAAAACUAAGACUACUAAACUGAUAGCCGGUGGUAUUGGGUCGACAUGGGUUCAGCCCGAGAGAGAGAAACCUAGUCCUUUUCCCACACAUUCAGCUCGAGAGAGUGAAUGGGCUAAGCCGGAGGUUGUGCCUAAUGCGACAACUCGGUGUUCGAGAGAAACCUAGUUGAUCAGGGGUAAGUUGCUCGAGAGAGAAUUUACCCCCACUAUAGUCUAGCCUAGUAACAAAUACUCAACAAUUUACUAUCAAAAGCAUGUACCCGAUAAUUUAGUCUAUCCUUUAUUCCUAUCACCUCCCAAGAAUCCCGUCUCUCUAUCUCAUUUUCGUAUAGUUUUGUUGUUUUUAGUUGGUAAUUACUACAAAACCCUCUAUUGAUAAUUGACGCUUGCAUCACCCCUUUGAUUUAGUAUGUUUUUAGCUAUGACUAAUUAGAACUAGAUUUCAUUUUUCUAUUAAUUCUCAAAACCGCUCCCUGUGGGAACGAUCCUAACCCUUCGUUGGGAUAUAUCACUACACGCGAUCGUAUGGCACUUGAACCGUACUAGUGUCAGUUGAUUACAUCCUUAAAACAUCAGUUAGAAGAAGAGACCUUGAGUUUGAGGUUAGUAAUUGGGUCUUUUUGAAAAUCUCACCCAUGAAAGGUGUGAUGAGACUUUGGAUGAAAGGAAAACUUAGUCCACGAUUAUAGGCCCAUAUCAAAUCUUAAGACGUGUUGGUAAGGUUUCUUAUGAGUUAUAUAUUCCAAAUGAGUUGGCAACCGUGCAUCCCUUUUUCAAAGUCUCUAUGCUUAAGAAGUGUGUUGGAGAUCUGACAUCCAUAGAUUCCCUUUAAGGAUUGGGAGUUGAUGAGAGUCUUUCAUAUGAGAAUGUUCCGGUUGAGAUUUUGGACCGAUAAGUUACGCAAUUGAGGAACAAGGAAGUUUCUUCGGUGAAGGUUUUAUGGAGAAACCACUUAGUUGAGGGUGCUACUUGGGAGGCCAAGGACGUUAUGAAGUCCCGAUAUCCUCAACUUUUUCCUUCUACUCUAGCUUGAGGAAAUGACUUUCCUCUUUGUUUGUUUUAUGCUUAAAAGUCAUGUGUCAUUUAUGUGUUUCCAUGAUCUCUUUAUGUCCAUGUUAAUGAAAUAGCUUGAGUUUUGAAAGAAAUGACUUAUGUGAAUGAUUUUCCUCAUGUUGUAGUGGAUUGAGUAUGAGUUCCCUAAGAUGAGUUGAUGAACAUGUUUGGAUAUGAUUUUUUAGAUUGAAUUGCAUAUGAGCUCCAUGAGAUUGUGUUGAGCAUGCUUUUAUUGUUGGAGAUGAUAGUACCUCCUUGAAAGUAAGAACCAUGAAAAUUUCAUGCAUAUUAGGUUGUAAGAUAUAGUUCCUACUUCCUUGUGGUGCGUUGAGUAUGUUGGCGUGGAGUUGAUGUUUCCUCGUUAGUUAUAUGCAUUUAGUUGAGUUGCAUGCAUUAUGGGCUGCUAGUCUUGAGUCUUUUCGUUUAGAAAUAUGCUUAGAUAUGUCAUUUAAGGACGAAUGUCACCAAGGGGGAGAUAAAGUAACACCCUGGAAACUAGUAGGCAUAACUAGUGGGUAGGGGUAACAAGCCAUGUAAGACGGCAAGAUCCUAAGAUACCUAGGAAUUAACUAAUGGAAACACUUCCUUCCCCAAGCCCAUUUGGCGAGGGACAGUGAGGUUGCCAAGGGGACUUGGCAAUCUGCCAAGUGCACCAUGGUCGCCUAGUGAACUGUCCCCAUGACCCUAGGUGCUGGAAAAUUGGGAGAGCCAAGUUGAGGCUCGCCGGUUAGGUCAGCUCAUCACCAAGGGUCUCCACCCCAUUGCCAAGUGGCCAGACUCCUUGAAUGAGCUACAGAAAAUUUAGGCGAGCCAAGGGUCCAUUUGGCGAGUCACCAAGUGCCCUUGGCGAGCUUCAGCGUGAAAAGCUGAAGGGUUUUUAGUUGGGGUCUUUAAUGUAUUUUCAUAGUUACUUAAAACUAUACUACGUUGGUUUACCCCUAACCUAAAAAGGUAUAUAAGCAUUUUACUCUCAAAAUUUCCCCAAUGAAGUCAUUCACCCUAGAAUCUAAAAUAAAUCCCAAGAGUUCUUCUAUCAAAUAUUUCUCUCUCUAGAACAUGAAGAAGAAGAUAGAGUUUGAAGCUAGGCCAAGUUCAAGUCUCCAAAUUUCAGGCUCUUGAGGGCUUGGUAAUCAAGGUGUGAUAGCUUUUCAUCCUUGGAUAUCUUCCAUCCAUGGAGUUCCAUAGUUUUCCCCAAUUAUGAAGAUGAAAUCCCCAAUUUGAGUUAGGGUUUCUUCCAAUGUUGUGGGUAACAAUGAAUGUUGAUCGAAUUGAGUGGAUAAUGGUUGUUUAUGAUUGAAUUAUUAGUAAAUCAUGUUUUUAGGAUGAAAUUUCAUGUACCCAUGCCUAAUCUAUGUCUAGAAAGAUGAAAUCAAGUAAAUGGUUGUUGUUUCCAUGAAGGCUAUAAUGUGGGUUUAGAUGUAUUCAAUCUAGGAUUGAUGAGAUAUGUUAGAAUUGAAGCUUAAUGAUGAAUCAUGAUUUGGUUGCUCGAGAUUAAGCAUAUAGUAUGAUUGUGAGAUAUAGGGCUUGAGAUUAAAGCUUAUGUUGUCCAUUGUUGACUAUUGAGAUAGUUGUUAUGGAAGGGAUACUUCCAACACAAAUUUCCUAAUUAUGAAUGUAUGAAUGUGAAAGGUUUGCUCACAUGAAUGAUUUUAGGUUUGAAGGAUUGCUCACCUAAAAUGAAUCUAGACCAAAAGGUUAUGUAAUUGAUGAGGCUAGAGGUGAUUACCCUUAACCUCCAUAUGCAAGGAUAUGAGGUGAUUCCCAUAUUCCAUAGAAUUGAACAAGAGGUGAGUCCCCACAUUCUUACUACGAUGAAUGGACAUGGAGGCGAGUACCCAUGCUCCUUAUGAAAUGAUGUGGAGGAGAGUACCCGUAUCAUAUGAUGAGGUUGUGGAGCCGAGUACCCGCAAUCUAAAAGUACGUAAGGCAAGAGGCCAAUAUCCAUUAACCUUUUUACGUUUGGAAUAUAGGAGAAUCCCCAUGUCUUUAAAAGUAAGUAUAAACUAUGUGAACUAUCAUAUAAAGAAUGAAUAGCUUGGAUUGUUGCUUGAGGUACCUUCCAAGAGGUAAGUUGACUUAGAAGUGAUGACCUAAGUCUUGACUAAGGAUGAAUAAGCUUCCUUGAGAAGUAUUCCUUUAUUAUUAUGAUAUUAAUGUAUGUGCAUGAUUAUUCUUAUGGUUUAUAUUAACUAACCAUGAUGUUUAUAUUGUUUUUGCUAGCUAUCAUAUUUAGUACUUAAUUGUACUAACGCAUACUCUUGCCUAAAUUCUUAUCAAAUAUAGGGUCUGGUGACUUAGAUUCUCACACUCAUGGCUAGCUUCGUUGUUGAUCAAGGAAGUGAAGAUUUGGUGAAUCCUUAUUGUGUUCGAGGAUGUGAUCACCCUUUUCUAUCAUGUUUUUCUUUUAUGUCUUGGACUAUUGUAUGGGCUGCGUCCUAAGACUUUAUCCGUGUUGUUUUAGAUGGUUGGAGACUAUGGUAUUAGACUUCUGCUCGUUUUUAUAAAAGACUUUGAUUGUAAUGAAAAGUAUUAAUUCUCUCUCAUUUCUAUUACUUUAUGUUAUGAUAUGCUAAGUGGCUUAUAUGAGGCCUCUUGGGUCUUAUACGCUUUGUCACAUCUAGGGGGUACCCCUGGGUCAUGACACGGAUCUAAUCACGAUCUUAUAUAUAAGAAGAACAAAAUAUAUUUAUUGAUCAAUCCCUUUGCCCCUCAUUCUUCAAGAAUAAGGAAGAUCUUUUUCAUGUUUGAAUUUGUCACCUUAACCUUAAAUAAAAGGACAAGAAAGAGAUUAUUGAUUUUCUUGCUCCCGCUUCCUCAUCUGUGCUCAUCAAGCCAACUUUGCUCUUUGGGAGGUGAUAGAGUUGUUGAAGGGGUCAAUAUGUAAACAUAGUAUCUAUUUAGAUAGGCCCAAAUGGCCCCUUCUCAUUAUGAGAAUGUAUAUAACCCUAUUCCGUACUUUUUCGGUAUGGAAUGAACUUAUAAUCAUGGAAUUAACUCGAUCAUCACAUUAUAAGUUCAUAACCCUAGUCCAUUCCCAUUUUGGGCGGAACAGAUCUACUAAUUCAUUGAUUCCAGUUAGUAAGAGGGGUCUAUAUCACUAAAAUACCCCUAGAGGGGGAUAAGGCUAUGCGGAGCAAAAAGGGUUUUCCAUGAGAUGGGAAAUGAAAAAUAUUUUGCCCAGACGAAGUUUGUGAAUAAGUGAUUGUCGAAAUCGAAGUAGGCGAUAAAGUAGCUGGAAGACAUAUAAAUAAAGGUAUCAUUUCCAAAAUUUUGCCUCGACAAGAUAUGCCUUAUUUACAAAAUUAAAGAUCUAUUGAUAUGGUCUUUAACCCAUUAGGAAGACCUUCACGAAUGAAUGUUGGACAGAUAUUUGAAUGUACACUAGGGUUAGCAGACAUUCCGUUAUGGUCCAAUUCUGAUCGAUAAUAAAUCAGGACUUUGCAAUAUUUGAUUGAUCACAAUUCUAUAUAUUCCAUUGACUAUAUGAAUAUACCACAUCAAUUUGUUAUGUAUGGAUGAUGAGAUUCCAUUGAUACAAAACCAAUUCCAAUAGACUUAUUGGAUGGUCCCAUUGGCGUGCAUCCAGUAGGAAUUGAACAUACGAAUUCACCAAUUAUGAGUUCGGUGCUUUAAACAUUCAGCGAUGGAUGCUUAGCGGGGAUCCACGUACAUGGUGAAUAACCAAAUUCCAAUUGAAAUGAAAUAUUUAGGAUAAAACAAUGCAAUUUAGGAGGAAUUAAUGAGAGGACAUCAAUUCAAAGGAUGUUGGUGACCUGAUGACAGGGGAGCCGACGAUCGAAGCCCCUGGGAACAGUGGUCGUAACUAUAACGGUCCUAAGGUAGCGAAAUUCUUAAUCUAUGAGGGACGUCUUUUCCCUUUAUUAUUAUUUGUUAAAUGAGAACGAAAUGAGCAGUAAAUUUGCCUGAAUCAACAUUAUGUCCAAACUCAUUUCUCUCAUUUGAAUUGACUGGAUCUUCCAAAUCAGUCCCGCAGGUUUUUUCUGAUCCUUCGAGAAAAAGAUUCAUUCUCUUCCUGAAAAAUAGGAGGUAGAACCCAAUAAAUUCAAAUGAGGGUCAAAAAAAAAGAAUAGGACCUAUUAUUCCUACAUCUUCCAUUAGUAACAUUCUCGUGAGAUGUUACUACGGAUUUUGCUUGGGUUCAAUCUUUCGUGAUUAUAAAUCAUAUAGAAAUUUCUUUGUGAGUAGGCACCCCUUCUCCCCAAGUUAUGAGGCUAUUUUUCCUAGUUCCUUAGAGAGAGUUGUCUCGGGCCCCUAGGUAUUCGGUACGUACCCACAUGUGUCGAUUUCGAGUACAGGUACCUUUUUGCUUAACAUCGUUCGAGCUUUUCCUGGGAGUAUGGCAUGGGUUACUUCAGCGCCGUAGCACCUGGUAUUCGAAUAUUGGCUCGAGGCAUUUUUUGUACCCCUUCUUACCCUGAAAAAGUAGGGACACCUUACGUUCAAGAAUCAGUUUUCUUUUUAUAAAGGCUAAGAUCACUUAUUUUGGCUUUUAUACCCCAUAUUGUAGGGUGGAUCUCGAAAGAUAUGAAUGAUCUCCGUCCAAGUCGUACAUACGACUUUCAUGGAAUAUGACUUUCCGUAGAAUUCUAUAUGUAUCUAUGAGAUUGAGUAUGGAAUUCUAUUUACUUCGAGAAUCGGACUGAUUCGAUCUCUUUUCGUUCCGUUUGAAGAAAGGAAGAAUCCCAAAGAAUUGAUCUUUCUUUUCGUUGUUGAAUCUAGCUUUGAUUAAUCAAUCUGUGAUAUUCUGAAUCCUCAUUACUUCUUGCAUGGACUUGGGUUUGGUUUGAUGAUGGACGUUCCUUGGUAACUUCUAGUUUGAUCAGGGAAACCACAGAAAAUGAAUCUUCCACUACACAUGUUUCUAGCAAUUCACAUGGCAUCAUGAAAUGAUACAAGUCUCUGAUAAGAAUCUACAACGUACUAGAACGCCCUUGUUGACGAUUAUCCAUAGUGUACAUUGAAUGUACAAAAAUGGCUAUAACAGAGUUUCUCUUAUUCGUAUUAAAAGGUACUCUACGGGGAAUAUUUUUAUGCGGUGCUAAAGAUUUAAUAACUAUCUUUGUAGGCCCCAGAAUGUUUCUGUUUAUGCUCCUACCUAUUAUCUGGAUAUACUAAGAAGCAGCUGGCAUCGGUCCGUAGAACCUAUAAAAAGCAUGCAAAAAGCGAUAAUAGGUCUCAUCGUUAAUAUUAAUAAUAAAAAAAUAGACCCUUAUGAUUCAGUAGUAGGAUACAAACCUUAUUCAACUAGUAUUUGGGUGUUUCUUCUUGAGUUGUAUGGGAUGAAAGUCUCAUAUACGGUUCUUAGAGGGGUGCACCCGUCAAUUCCUUUGAGUUUUAUUCUUGCGAACGUACUCCCUAGGCAAUACUAACUUCUUUCACCGUAAAAUACCACAAUAUCCUAGAUUCACGAUUUGUCUCAAACAAGAGAAAGAAACCAUUAUUAUCUUAUUUACUUUGAUUCCGAUAAACUAACUACUUUUUGCUACAAACACAAAAUAAAAAUGUACCAAUUGGGGCUCUCCCUUCACCACCCCCAUGGGGAUGGUCUACAGAGUUCAUAACUACUCCUCUUUCUACAGGAUGAUUUUCGGGUAUGAAAUGGGCCAUUUCAAAUAGGUUCAUUGCUCUGGCCCAGAAUAUGAUUAAUCCUGCAAGGGCUACAUGAACCCCUAGUAGUUUACCGGAUAGAUUGAUAAGUCGGGCAUUCCCGGACCACUAAGCGAAACCUGUGGUUUCUUGGUCACGACCACUGAAUUAACCGAAGGUACGAAAAGAGAGGGGUUCGAACCAUCUAUAAACAAAAGCCUACAUAGCUAUUCCAAUGCUACGCCUUGAACCACUCGGUCAUCUCUUCUACAUAAUCAUUAUGACCCCAGAACCGAGUGAAUAGCGAGUCAGUCAUAAUCCAUAUUCAGUUAUUAGAUAGGUAUGUCCAAUCCAUUUGAACUGAAAAUUUGUCAUCAACAAAUUGAUUGAGAAAUUCAUCUCCAAUAAUGAAAUAAAUCAGGAAAAAAUUAAUUAAAAAAAAUUCACAUUUCUCCCCACAACCUCUCCCCUUUUUUUUAUUAUUUUUCAAAAAAGAAGAAGAUGUGGAACCUGAACUGAAAUAAAUAUUUAUUCUGAUGGAACCUUCUCUUCUAAUAUAGAUUGGAUGUAGAUACACAACCCAAACCUAGAUACUGUCGGAGUAAAGGAUCGUCAACAAGGGUAUUCUAGUGCGUUGUAGAUUCUUAUCCAAGACUUGUAUCAUUUGAUGAUGCCAUGUGAAUUCAAACUUCCAUCGAAGAGAAGCAAAUGAAAGGCUUUCAUAAAAAUUCUCGUAGAAUCGAGAAUGAAGUUUUCAUUCUGUACAACAAAAAAAUGAGAAAAACAGAGUUUUUGAAAAAAAAAACCCCAUUUUAUCAUUUAGACGAAAAAAAAUUAUGAUUCUAAAGAACUCAACGGGACCUUCCCCUUUGAAUCAAACAAACAAAGAAGGGAAUCCCGUUAAGUUCUUAUGCUUUCAUGUUGACAACUCAAUUCAGUCGAUUACUACAGUGAUGAACUUAAUCCGGAAAAUGAAACAUAAAAAAAAUACAUGUUAAACUGAUUACAAGAAUACCAGUUACAGUACCUAUUAUCCAAAGAGGAAUCCUUCCAGUAGUAUCAACAAUUUACCCCACUUCCCUUAAAAUUUCAUCAAGUUGUCAUGCUAGAGACAUAAACAGUCAUGGAUAAUUGAAUUACGAGAUCCUUCUGAAUGAGCUAAGAGGUACUCUAUUGCUUAGUCUAGCUUUUAUGGAAUCUUUAACAAUUUAUGGACUACGAUUCACAUGGCAUCAUCAAAUGAUACAAGUCUUGCAUAAAAAUCUACAAUGCACUAGAACGCCCUUGUUGACGAUCCUUUACUCCGACAGAAUCUACAGUUCCUCAAACAAUGUGAUAUCUCACACUAGGAAAAAUGAGAUUAUUCAAGAAUACACAUUGAAUUUCUGGUAGUAGAUCCAUAAGCAAAAAAAGUGUUCGUGAUUGUUCCAUAAGAAAUGAAACAAAAUAUAUGGUAGUUGAAGUAAUAAGAUUAUUGAAUCAUCAAAAAAACUUCGAUAUAUCAUUUUUACUUCUUAGCCACUGAGUCUUUGUAUAACUAUACGAAGCCCCAUGAAACCGUAAGCUCCCAAGCAGUGGGAGGAGCCAGGGCUCUGACCGCGUGCUUGUUGAAGAGACCAAGAACUACGAGAUCACUCCUUUCAUUCUGGGGUGAUGGAGAGAUCGUACCAUUCGAGCCGUUUUGACAGUUUAGAUCCACAUAGAUCGUAUCUUGUAAAUUUGAAAUUCUUUCUUUUGAAUUCUUUAAUGACCAACAAUUGGAUUUCAAAAUUAAAUACUGGGAACUAGCCAAUUUAUCCUUUGCCAGUCAUUUUUUUAUCAUCUUAAUAUCUUUCCUUCAAUUAUUCGCACCAAGCCAUAUCCAUUAUCACAUAUACAUGACUUUCUUCCAUAACGUAAACCAAGCAUUCAUCUUACAUUCAAUCCUAUUCGAUAAUCAAGCGUCGAAACAUCUAGAAGGGUUCUCUUAUAGUUAUUCAAGUACAGAUACUCCUGCCCCUUUCUAAAAUAUGAAGUAGAAGAACCCAGAUUUCAAAUGAACAAAUUCAAACUUGAAAAGGAUCUUCCUUAUUCAUGAAGAAUGAGGGAUAAAGGGAUUGAUCAAGAAAGAUAUUUUUUUCUUCUUAUAUAUAAUAUCGUGAUUGGAUAUCUAGGUUAGAAUAAUAGUUUUAUCCAGUUUGGCGAGAUAUACCCCAUCUAUAACAUAGAUGGGUAGAGUUUCUUAGAUAAAGUAUCUAAAAGAAUUGGAUUCUAUCUCCUCUUUUUUUCUCCUCUUGUUCAAACAAAUUCUUUCUAAUUUGUAUCAUGAUUCAAUCAAAAUUUCUCGAGUUCUUAUAAUUUGUAACUUGGCCGAAAUUGGAAUAGUUCAUAUACUACAACAUUAGUAUGAAAUCGAAUCGCAUUGAAAUAUUUCUUAUUUCUUCUUGAUUCCUAUCAAAAAGGAACAAUUGGAAUAGAGGAUUCAUAUCUGUUGUUUUUUUUAUAAAAAAAAAAGUUUUGAAAACUUUUUUUAUUGCAAAAUUUAGGACAAUACAAUAAAGGACAAAAUAAAGGCCAAGGGGAAAGAUGUCCGAGUAACGGUGAUUUUCGUAUGUACUAAGUGUGUCCAAAUUAGUGUUGAUAAGGUAUCAAGAGGUAUUUCCAGAUAUAUUAUUCAAAAGAAUCAGCACAAUACGGCUAAUCGAUUUGAAUUGAAAAAAAUUUGUCCGUAUUGUUACAAACAUAUGAUUCAUGGGGAUAUAAAGAAAUAGAGCAAACCUUUCUUCAUAUCAUUCCACCAAUAGAUUUCUCGUAAAUUAAGGUAAACCUUGGUGGCUCCCGGGUGAAUAGAAUAUCAGUAAUUAUGAGCCUAUAUCAAAAUCUGAUUCCUUAACUCAUCAAUAUUCGGAACACAUAACCGACCUUGGUAACGAAUGACACUAUCUCCUCCUUGGAGAAAGCCUCAAUGGCUUUUCUAGAAAAUGACUUCUUCAAAUCAACCAUAACUCGAACAAGAUCUUGCUUAGCCUUCACAUCCAAUAUUGUAGACACGUAAUUUUUCACCAAACAUACGCUUAAAUAUUUUAAUUAAAAAGCUUAAAUUAAAUAUUGUGAUUUUUAUCUUAUUUUAUUAAGUUUAUUUUAAAAGAUUUGAAAGCAACAAAAUUGAAUGACAUUUUAGGGUAAAUUUUAUUUGUUAUAAGAAAGAAAAGAAACUUCACAAAAAAUAUAUUUUUUAACUUCGGUUUUAUAAACAAGUUAGUAUUCUCUUAAUUAUAUUCUUAGUUUUAGCUAUUUAAAUUUUCUAUAUUUUUAUUUGUUCAAAAUAGUUAGAUAAUAAUUUAAUUAUUAUAUUUUAUAUAUAUCAUUUUAUAAAAAAAAUAAUAACAAAUCCUGAAACCACCCCACUGAUCUACACUAUUGUAAUGACCCAUUAGAUCAUUUUGAGUACUAGAAUUAUUUCGACCCUUUCCAUAAAUUUUAAAUGAGAAUGUUUAGCAAUUUUCUUAACUACAAUUAUAUAGUUUUGUGUAUUUAUUAAAUAAUUAAUUCUUAGUUUAUUGUAAAUGGGUCAAGUCUGAAAUUUAAUUAAUGCCCUUUAAAACUUGGACCAUCUAUAGAAAUAAAAAUAAUAAAAUUUAGAAUUUUUUGGUUCAUAAUUAAUUUAGAAAUAAUUAAUUAUGGAGAAGACGUGUCUGUAAACGGCGAAGAGCGUCAUUUCCAUCUCAGGUAAGAAUUUCAAUUGUGGAAAUUAGGUUACUAUUCGAAGGAAAAUAGUCCUUGACACUAAAUAUUAUUAUAAUUUAAUUUUUAAGUAUGUAUCCUAACUAUUAUUAAAAUAAGUUGGUUAGAUGAGGAAUUGUAAGGGGUAUAGAAUAGAAGUUUGGUUUUGAGGUUUGUGGGGUAACUUCUAUACGAAAUGUUGAUAUGGAUCGAAAAAGGGUGGUUCGAAUAUCAUCUACUAAUAAUACCGAAAAUAUUGUUCAAAUACUUUUACGAGAGGGUUUUAUCGAAAACGUGAGAAGACAUCGAGAAAACAACAAAUAUUUUUUGGUUUUAACCCUACGACAUAGAAGGAAUAGGAAAACACCCUAUAGAAAUAUUUUAAAUUUAAAACGAAUCAGUCGACCUAUCUACGAAUCUAUUCUAAUUAUCAACGAAUUCCGAGAAUUUUAGGUGCAAUGGGGAUUGUAAUUCUUUCUACUUCUCGAGGUAUAAUGACAGACCGAGAGGCGCGACUAGAUGGAAUAGGUGGAGAAAUUUUGUGUUAUAUCUGGUAAUCCUUUAUAAUAUGCAAAUUGGAUUCGAAACUUCCUAUUUGCGAAAAAGAAAAAAAGGGGGGAGAGUUGUCUAAUAUCUUUCACAUUAGUUGAUACCUCAAAGGAACUUUGUUUUAUACAGAUACUGCCAGUAAAUAGAGUCAAAAUUGAAGUAAGUCCUUAUGAGUCAACCAAAGGGCAUAUAAUUUAUCGACUCCACGACAAAGAUUUGAAGGAUUAGGUUUUCAACUUCACCAUUCUUUUCGUGGGAAUACAAUUGGAGGUGAAAAAUUUCAAGAAACUUAUUUUCUUCCAAGAAAUAGAUUCGGAAUUAAGGUAAGGAAUGAGAAAUAUGAAAAUAAGAGCUUCCGUUCGUAAAAUUUGUGGAAAAUGUUGACUAAUCCGUAGGAGGGGGCGCAUUAUAGUAAUUUGUUCCAACCCGAGACAUAAACAAAGACAGGGCUAAUCAGACUUUCCAGAAGAGCCAAUGUACAAAUAAAGAAUAUGUUUUGACAUGAAAUGGAUAUAUCCAUAUAUCUCUGACUCAUAUUUACGAGAUGAUAAAAUAUGGCAAAAGCUAUACCAUAAAUUAGUUCACGUAAGGUAUGCAUGUAAAAUACCAAAGGGAGUUAUUCAUGUUCAAGCAAGUUUCAAUAAUACCAUUGUCACUGUUACAGAUGUACGGGGUUGAGUAGUUUCUUGGUCCUCAGCUGGUGAUUCUAGAUUCAAAGGUACGAGAAGAGGAACACCAUUUGCUGCUCAAACCGCAGCAGCAAACGCUAUCCUUACAGUAGUGGAUCAAGGUAUGCAAUGAGCAGAAGUCAUGAUAAAAGGUUUUGGUCUCAGAAGAGAUGCAGCAUUAUGAGCUAUUCCUCGUAGUGGUAUACUAUUAACUUUCAUACAGGAUGUAACUCCGACGCCACAUAAUAGUUGUAGACCUCCGAAAAAAGACGUGUGUAGAACUGAACAUUGAAGAAAUCUCAAGAGAAAGAAAAGAUUCGAUGAUCUAAUCAAAUAAUAGUACUAUCGUUCGAGAGAAAGUAACAGUAUCUACUCGGACACUACAAUGGAAGUGUGUUGAAUCAAGAACAGACAGUAAACGCCUUUAUUAUGGACCUUUUUUUGUCUCCAUUUAUUAAAGGCCAAGACGACACAGUAGGCAUUGCAAUGCGAAAAGCUUUACGUGGGGAAAUAGAUGGAACAUGUAUCACACGUGUAAAAUCUGAGAAAGUACCACAUGAAUAUUCUACCAUAACUGGCAUUCAAGAAUCGGUACAUGAAAUUUUAAUGAAUUUGAAAGAGAUUGUAUUGAGAAGUAAUUUAUAUGGAACUUCUGAAGCGUCUAUUUCUGUCAAGGGUCCUGGAUAUGUAACUGCUCAAGAUAUCAUCUUGCCACCUUAUAUGGAAAUCGUUGAUAAUACACAACAUAUAGCUAGUUUAACAGAACGAAAUGAUUUUUGUAUUGGAUUACAAAUAGAGAGAAAUCGUGGAUAUCUUAUAAAAACGACGCAUAACUUUCAAAAUGGAAGUUAUCCUGUAGAUGUUGUAUUUAUGCCUGUUCGAAACGCGAAUCAUAGUAUUCAUUCUUAUGGGAAUGGGAAUGAAAAACAAGAGAUACUUUUUAUCGAAAUAUGGACAAAUGGAAGUUUAACUCCGGAAGAAGCACUUCAUAACGCAGCCCGAAAUUUAAUUGAAUUAUUUAUUCCCUUUUUACAUAUGGAGGAAGACAACUUAUAUUUACAGGACAAUCAACACACGGUUCCUUUAUCCCCUUUUACCUUUCAUGAUAAAUUGGCUAAACUCAUAAAAAACAAAAAAAAAAUAGCAUUGAAAUCGAUUUUUAUUGACCAAUCAGAAUUGUCUUCCAGGAUCUAUAAUUGCCUCAAAAUGUC
rnacentral:lncRNA from 1 species